rnacentral:lncRNA from 1 species
AUAGCAGACGCAAUCUAAAAUUGCGAAUAUACUAUAUCAAACCAAUGUCUCAACGAGACGAUAAGUUGGAGUCUUGACGACGGUAAAACAGGUGGUCUAACCGACACACGCGAUUACACGAAAGUAGCAAAGAUGGCUAAACUUUAUCUAAUCAAAACCCAAGGCUCCUUAGGGGGGGCUCAUGGGGUAUAUAAAGGAGGAGAGAGAGAUAUUUUCGUCCACCUUGAGUAAGGAGGCCGAAAUCCAACUCUAUCUGUAACUUUCCUAACAAACUACAACUCUUUAGAAAACAGAAAAACAGAUCCGUCAGCUUGUUUUGCCCGUCACGGUCAGCACGAGUCGAAUCUCUUGAUGGGGCCAGAUCCGUUGGAAAGGUCUUGUAAUUAUCUUUCCAACAAGUACUUGUUUGCUUGAUUUGGACUCCGGAUGCGGCCUGGGUGAUUAAAACAAAUUCGGGUCUCCUGGCAGCUCGGAUCCGAAUCGGAUUCAAUUUUAAUUCGUGAUAUCUUUCUCUAGCAAGCUCCGAAUCAUGUGCCGUUUGAUUUGUUGGAAAGUACACUUGAAAUCCUUCCCUCUCAGCUGUAUGAAUGCUUGAUUCUUGUUGGCCCUCCUGUUCGCCUCCAUCGUAUCUCAUCUUGACCUUGGACUUGAAAAGCUCGACAAGAUGCCUACGUAAUAAAACGAGACAAGAUAGUAGUAGCUCCGCCUCUUCAUAAGUAUGACAAUGAAAAGAAUUACUACUUGAAUUCACCUGAUUAUAAAUCUUGUCAAAUAUUAUAGAAUUGAGGGUACUAAAGGUCGUAUCCAUGGUUAGCAUGUCCAUAUGACUGUGUGUCGCCAGUCCACACAAAGGGACACCCUUGCGCAAGAGAUUUGUCAAAGGCCGGCUGAUGACUCCAUAGUGGCGCACAAAUUUGCGAUAAUAGCAGACAAGCCCAAGAAGCUCCUCAGCGCCUUCACACAAGUGGGUGCAGGCCAGUCACGGACAGUAGCAAUUUUAGAAGCAUCUGUAGCGACGCCGGCAGCAGAGAUGAUGUGGCCAAGAUAAGCAAUACUCUGUUGGGCGAAAGCACACUUCGAGAGCUUGACCUGCCAACGAUGGUCACGAAGCUGCUGCAACACUAAUUCAAUGUGCUGGAGAUGCUCGUCAAGGGAGUGACUGUAAAUAAGAAUGUCGUCGAAGAAAACCAAGACGAACUUGCGCAGGAAGGGGGCCAGAGUGGCAUUCAUGGCACUAAGAAAUGUCGCUGGAGCGCCAGUCAACCCGAAGGCCAUGACCUUGAAUUCGAAGUGCCCAUGGUGAGUUUGGAACGCGGUCUUGUAUUCUUCCCCGGGAGUAAGACGGAUCAGGUGAUAGCCGGCACGGAGGUCCAAUUUGGAAAACCAAGUGGCGCCCGCCAAUUCAUCCAAUAACUCAUCAAUCACAGGCACCGGGUACUUGCUCUUGAUAGUGAGAGCAUUAAAGUGACGAUAGUCGACCACCAUACGCCACGUUUCAUCCUUCUUUUUCACAAGAAUGAUGGGUGAGGAGAAAGCACUAUUGCUUGGUUGAACCACUCCACUGUCAAACAUUUCAGCCACUUGACGCUCAAUCUCAGUUUUCAGCUGGGGUGCAUAGCGGUAGGGCCGGCGAUUGACAGGCUGAGCACCCAGGAUCAAGGGAAUCGAGUGAUCACACAAACGACGGGGAGGCAAGCCCACUGGAUCAGCAAACAUGGUGGGAAAAGCAUCCAGAAGUGGCUGUACUUCAGAAGGUAUAGCAGGUGUGUCGAGAGCAGUGACUGAAAUUAACUCCACCACAGUACAAGCAAAUUGAUCAGGAUACUGACCCACAAGAGUAAUCAUCUGCCCUUGAUGCAAGAAGGACAUCCUGUGCUGGUUCCAAUCAACAUGCAUUGGACUAUGCCGAGCCAACCAAUCAAUUCCCAAGAUACCAUCAAAACCCUCGAGAGCAAGCAACUUGAAAUCAGACCAAAAGAGAUGGCCAUCACAGUCCCAUUCACAUUGAGAAAGUCCAGCAGAACAGAGAAGCACUGCACCAUCAGCCACUUUAACACGCGAGGUUGAAGACAACGGCACCACGGAAUCCAGCUGAGAAGCAUAACGCUGAUGCAGAAAAGAGAAUGUACUGCCAGAAUCGACCAGAAAAGUGACAUGUUGAUUCUGCACCAUACCUGCUAACUGAAACUUUAGAGUUGAGGGAGCACUAACAGUGGCAUCCACGGCCAGAAGCAUGAGAUCUGCAGGUUCCAAUGGGUCGGUAGUAGAAGAAUCCGACACUACGGCGGCAUCAUCAGAAAAUAAGUCCAGCACCUCCUGCAAGACAUGGAGCCAGACUGUGCCCUUGCACUGAUGAUCGCGAGAAUAGCGCUCGCCACAAGUAUAGCAGAGACCACGCGCGCGGCGAUAAGCCCGCAGCGCAGCCCACUUGUCCUCCGCCGGCAUGAUCUUGGGUGGCGGCGCGCCGCGUUUGUCCUCGGGGCCACGCACUGGUGCGUGUGGCGGUGGCAAAGGAAGAGGUUGAGGCCGACGCGUCACCGGUGGCACCCAAGGCGCCGGGCCGGGUUUGACAGGUACAAGCUCCCCCGCCACUUCUUCCUGCAACAGGGCGAGAGUAUACGCAGUAUCCAAAUCCGGGGGCAUUUGUACAGCAACAACAGCACGAAUUGCAGGUUUAAGACCAUCUACAAAACGUGUCGUGUAAUGCAAGGACUCUAACUCAUGCUCAUAAGCAGACAAUUGAUCGACAAGUUCAGCAAAGCGAUCAACAAUUCAACCACUGUGGUAGUCUGACUCAUAGCAUAACUGACAGAGCAAGGACUGGUGCUGAUUUCGACCAAAGCGUGCAACAGCCCAACAACAAAAUUCAUCCCAACUAAUGGCGCUGGAUAGACUGCAACCAGCCCAAGGCCGGCACUCCUUCAAAUUGCAUCGUGGCCACCGUAAUCCACAGAGCAGGAUUAGUGCCAUACCGCAGGAAGUAAUCCUCACAACGUUGCUGCCAUAACUUGGGACAGGUACCAUCAAAACGAGGGAAAUCGACACGAGGGAUGGAACGCCUAUCAUCACGAGGAGAUUCAAUUCCAGAGUGGGGAUGGGAAUGAGCCGCACCUCUAGCCGGAGGAGGGACAUAGACCCCAGAAGGCCUAUGUGCUUGCCCCCGGCGUGGUUGAUUCCCGUUGUGCCCACUUGGGCCGAUCUCGUCGUCAAAAGACACCUGGUGAGGUUGCGGUGCCUUCGUGUCGGGGUGGACGACGCGAUCCAGUCGCUGAUGGAAUUCGCCCAGAUCCAGGCAGAUCUCGGCGAGCACGGUGGAGUGGGCGCGGUUCUGCUCCGCGAGCGCCUGAGUCAUCGUGCGAUGCUGCUCCGCGAGCGCCUCCAUGAGGAUGCGAUGCUGCUCCGCGAGGGCGUUCGUAGUGGUGCGGUGCUGGUCAUCGAGCGCCGCCUUGAGAGACUCCUCGGCCGCCUUCUUCUGCUCGUCGACGAUUUUGAACAUGGCGUCGAACAUCUGCUGCUUGGUGAAGGAUUCGACCUCCAUGACUUGAGAUCGGAGCACGAGACGCGUGCGGUGGGGGUGGGGAGGGGGAAAAAUUCGAUCCAGGAUAGCUAUGGCUCUGAUACCAGAUUGUUAACACUCGAUCUAGCUAGGGGAGAAUUGGGGAUCGGAGCAGUAUUCGAUUGCAGAUGAAUGUUUUGGAUUACAAGCCACGGCUCAGCCGUUCACCUAUUCGCCGAGUUACAGAAUGGAAGGGAAACUAGCUUAAGUAGAUGAAGAAGCUCUCAGGCGCCGUCGCGGUAACGGGCUGGUGUACGCCGAAUGCGAGCUGGCGCACGUUGUGGGCCGUCAGGCCCACCAUCGUCUUGAGUAUUGGACGGCUCAGUGUCCGGGCUGUCGACAGACACCUCCAAACGGCUGCACCAAAUUCACGCCGUUCUUUGUGGUGUACGGCGCUAAAGCAGUCCUACCAUCUGACGUCCGGUUCAAUGCACCCGGAGUCACGGCGGACACUGGGCCAGAAGCUGACAUGUCAAUGGAAGACACCCUCGACGCAGUCGACGAAGCUCGUGACGUUGCGCUCGCACGAGUAGCCGUCUAUCAGCAGAGCCUGCGUAACUACCACAGCCGUCGGUUGCGCAGCCGCUCAUUCGUUGAAGGUGACCUUGUACUUCGACUCAAGAAAAAUGGUCAUCACAAGCUCCAAUCGUCUUGGGAGGAACCCUACGUGGUCACCAAGGUGAUUCCGGGAGGCGCUUACUAUAUCAAAGACAUGAAGAGUGGCGUCAUCUACAGCAGGCCUUGGAACGUCGCACAACUACGACGAUUUUACGCCUAAGUUUUUCCGGCGUUUUAUCCACUUUUUCUUAAAAAGUUUUUAGCAUCUUUAUUUCUCUUAGACUAUAAUUGUUUCAAUUCCAAUCGUGCACUUCUGUACUUAAUAAAACUUUCAACCUUCUCUACUCAGAGGUCAUUUACUUGUUUUUUGGGCUCGCCACCUACUUGGGGGCUUCGCCCGCGCUCGCUAUAACAUCUUAUUGCGAGCCGCACGGCGCAAAGAACAAUAAUCAGUUCUCGUCCAAUAAGCAGGAUGGACCCAAAAAGCUGCUUGUCUUGGACGCACCCGAUACUCGGAGGCUGCAUCCAAUUGACUCUAAUGCUUGUCUUGGACGCACCCGACACUCAGGGUUGUGUCCAAUCUACUCCAAUGCUUGUCUUGGACGCCCCCGAUACUCGAAGGAUGCAUCCAAUCGACUCUAAUGCUUGUCUUGGAGGCACCCGACACUCGAAGGCUGUGUCCAAUCGACUCUAAUGCUUGUCUUGGACGCACCCGACACUCGGGGGCUGCAUCCAAUCGACUCCCAUGCUUGUCUCGGAUGCCCCCGAUGCUCGGGGGCUGCGUCCAAUCGACUCUAAUGCUUGUCUUGGACGCACCCGACACUCGGAGGCUGCGUCCAAUCGACUCUAAUGCUUGUCUUGGACGCACCCGAUACUCGGGGCCUGCGUCCAAUCGACUCUCAUGCUUGACUUGGACGCACCCGAUACUCGGGGACUGCAUCCAAUCGAUUCUAAACCAUAUCUUGGGUGCACCCGACACUCAGAAGCCGCGUCCAAUUAAGUGGAGACCUCGUCUACAAAACACACGGCAGCAACACCUAUCUAAUAAGCAUUACCUUGAGAUCACGGCCUUUUCAAACAAGUACAUGGAGGUAUACUCAGGGAUUAACGCACUUGGGUCAACGCUUGACUACUCUUAGUCGACCCCAGACCCGGGGGCUACUCCCACCAGUCGCGUACCCGGUAGAUAUUACUUGCGUCUCCACUCUUGUAAGUUCAAUGAAGGAUAAAAUUCCAGAAUCACUCCCACUGGGAUUCUUGUAACAUCCCAAUUUUUCCAAACUUUGCAUCAUGCAUUUGCACUCAUGAGCAUCAUGCCAUUUAUGCACUUUGAGCACCCUUAAACCAAGGAGUUAAAAUUUAAAACCUUUUAUUAAGCUUUUACCUUUUAAUAUCCCUUUGCUUCUUUUUGGAAUUUUUCAACCCAUGGGGUUUUUGACAAUAGAAAGGGGUUUAAUGCAAUAAGAUAUGCUACCCCAAAAAUUUUGGAAUUUAAUUUGGAGUUGAAAAACUAUUUUAUUUUUAAAUAAUAUAGCACUAGAGGCAAAUAUAUGAGCAAAACUAUUUUUAAUAAUUUACUUUUGGAGGAAAUCAAAUCCCAAUGGCAUUUGAGGAUAUGAUUUUACAGAUUUUCUGGAAUUUAUUUGAGGUCAUUUGGAGUUCAAAAUCAAAAGUAAUAAAGGAAAAACAGAAAAAGAAAAGGAGAAAAGAAAAAGAACAAAAAAUAAAGACGGACCGGCCUGGUAAACUUGGGCCGAACCGGCCCUGUCGCCCCGCGCGCGCCCGCCUCCCAGCCCCGCGAGCCGGCCCAGCUCGCUGGCCAGCCCGCCAGCGCCCGCGUGCCCGAGCUGAGCCACUGACAGGUGGGGCCCACCUGUCAGGCUCUUCUUCCCCAAGGAGAUAAGGGCAGAAUCUAGCCUUAUCAUGUGCAACAGGUGACAGAAACCAAAUUUAGGAGUGCAUCAUGUGCAUGGCAUCAUGGCAUAUUUUAUUUGAUUGCUUGUAUGUCUUGUAUGAUUGUUUAUUUUGCUAUACGUUUGAUUGUUAGAUUGUUCGGAGUGCGAACCCUGUCUUUGCGAAGAGUGUGAGAACAGCAACAACUUUGGACAAGGCAAGUUCAUCUUGAUCAUGAAUUUCCUACUAUCGCACUUAUUUUUAAUCCUUUAUGCAUUAGCGUUGUUUGUAGAAUUGCAUUAGGAUUAAAUUAUUAUGUUUAUGCUGGCUAUGUUGUCCUAGUAGAAUAGAUUUUCCUCGCCAUCAUAUCGCCACCAAUAGCCAUCAUUAGUAGUUACGCUUAGGCGGGCUAUGUAAAUAUACGUGGGAGGGAACCACUUCAUUCUAGAAUAUUGUUGAUGUGAAAUGUUAUUUUGAAGUAUGGCUAAAAACAACUACAUGUGCGGCUUUGAGUAUUAUGGUUGUACGCGACGUCAGGUCCAUUUCUAUGGGGCCCGCUGAGUCGUCUCUCCGUGGAUUCGGGAGCGUCCAUGGUCGUCUCUCCCAUAGACUCGGGGAGCGCCUGCAUCGCAAAAGUGGAAUGCCACCUGAGGUAACCAGAGGCUGAACUGGGUUCCUAUUUAAUUGCUUCCAGUACAACCACAUGCUAUAUGGGCUCUGGCGAGAAUAGAGUAUGUUGUAUGAACCUAGACCUGAAGAAUUGUAGUGAUGUAGCAAUGUAGGUGGAGCGUGAUUCUCUCGUGGUCUAGAGAAUUACUUCUGAAAAUCUCGUAAUCGACGCCGUUGCUACUCUACCUUGAGGACAGCAAGGGAUUAACCCGUCGGUUUCUUGUGGGGAUUGUGUACAACCUCUCGAGAGUGUCAAAACUAAGUACUUAGCCGUGUCCCCGGUUAUGGACGAAUUAUGAGCACCUAAAUAUGAAAACUAAGUAGGGUUAGAAGCAUUGAUGUGUCUACUCAAUGUCCUUAGUUCUAAUAGGAGCAUCGGUGUGUCUACCCAAUGUCCAAUAGAUUUAUCUUACUAUAAAAUUCAAUUGUAGUAGGAUAAAAAUUUAUGUUAAUUGCUUCCACGCCAAAAAAAGCCUGAUCUCCACAUAGCCAAUAAUUGCAUAUAUUUGAUAGGAUCUGUUAUAAUCCCUGGUGAACUUGCCAAUACAUUCAAUGUAUUGACCCUAGUGGCUGCAACCUUUAAAUUAUUGCAGGGAAUUCCGACGAUGAGUAAGGUUACGCGUUGUGUUGGGUCACGAGCCUGCAUUCCAACAUGCGCUCUCUGUGGUGUUGCUAUGGUUCAAUUUUCCCUUCGUUUUCCGCUGCUGAACAAUUUAUGAUAUUUUUCAAUGCUAACCCAAGUGGUUAUGCAAAGUUGUAAGUACUAUAAAGUUCUGGAUGAUGACGAUGUAAUAAAUUACUAGACUUUUGUUUCUCGAUAUUACAUCUUGAACUGUGUGUGUGCUAGUGAGUCGAUCCAGGCACUAGCACUAUAAGCACAGAGAUCGAACCCUGUACGGGGGCGGUCGCUUCAGAUGGUAUUAGAGCACUGUGUUGCUUGGAGGAACGUGACCCUAGCAUGGAAAAAGACUAAGACCAGCCCUUAGCACAUGUGCAUCUCAUAUUCAUUACUGCAUGCAUAACUUGUUAUUAUUUUCUUUGCAAUCACAUGUCAUACCACCGAAUAUUCAUGCAUUUUACAGAGUCGUUUAUUUUUUAUUUUAAUUUUAGUACACUUGCAAGUCAUUCUGCAUAAAACACUCCAUGUUAUUAAUUUGCCACCAUGCAUUGCAAAAUUUACAUACGGUCAAUGCCAUUAAUUUCGUUCCACCAUAAUGUCAUAUUUAAUUGCUAUUUAUGCAUCCACGCAUUGAUCAUGUCAUUAACAUCCACUCUCUACUCUUUUUUCUGUAGAUGGACAACCCACCACAGUUUGGCAACGUUCCGCCCUUCACCCACAACCACUACCCAGCUGUUGGUGACGCGCAGCUUUUUAGCUCAGCUUUGGCGUCAAUGUGCGCCUACCUCGACCUUGCGCCACCACGUUUUUGGGGACGCGCCGAGCCGGCACACCCCCACGGUUGGCAGCCCAGGUGGGAGGUUGAGACUGUCGUCAGAGGCCGUGAGGUGGAGCUAGUGAUGGCGGACAUCGCCUUCACCGGACGCUACCCCAGCUUCACGUCAGGCCUGCAGUUCUUCAUGCAGCACGCCCUCGCGCACAUGUGCGAGGCCUACCGCGACGAGCUGCCGAACAACUCCUUCUUCCGUUAUUUCGGGAGGAGAGCCGUUGGAGGAGCCUCUGUGGGUUUCGACGCCCUCGGAGACAACCCGACCGAGGUGGCUUUCCAGUUUGAGCAAAUGGAAAGCAACACGGUUGAGUUGGAGACUCAGCUGUACGACCAGAUGACUCGUGCUGAUAUUGCUGAGGAGCAGGUUCAGUACGAGAGGGACUUGCUGCAGCUGCACAUCAAUCAGAUGCAGAACUUCCUCAACAACGCGCUCGCAGCCAACGCUCCAGCACAGGAGAUAUCCGAGCCCGAGGGAGAGGGACCACCUCCAGAUGAGCCCUCAGAGGAGGAGAGUUUUCCAGAGGAGGACACACCCGCCGCCAACACCCGCUCCAGGAGGGGAACCGAUGGAGCCACCACCUUCGUCACACUCCCUUAGUCGAGUUGGAGACCACCACAUCCUAUCUUAGCAUAUAAUAAAAUUCGAGUGCGUGUUAGUCGUUGACCGUACAGAACUUUGUUGUAUGGCAACGUAGAUUGUUGGAUCUUCUUUCCAUUUAUUUUAUUUUAUUUUUAUUUCCUUUUACUUAGACCGUGGGCCAUCAAUACAACAACACUAUGUCGUUUAUUCGGAUCUUCAAAAGAAAAUUUUAAUAAAGGAUUGUUGUUUGAUUGAUAUGCUUGUGUCUGUUUGUGGGGGAAUAGUUAUCCUUAGACCUCGUCCAUCUAUAUUUUUCUCAUCUUUGCUAUCCUAAAACAGAUGCCACCAAGACGCCAAACCCGCAACAUUGCCAACAACAACGACAACAAUGCUGAAAGUAAUGCAGAAGGGAAUGAGAAUGGAGCAUUAGUGCAGCAAUUACUGGCAGCCCAGACUCAGUUUAUACAGUUGAUGACUCAGCAGAUGGCCAAUAAUAAUAAUCCGAACCAAAACCAGAAUCACAACAACCAGCACCACCCACCUCCCCAGGUUGAUAUGCUGACCCGUUUUCUGAGAUUGCGGCCACUCACUAUCUCGAGCUCCCCAGAACCGAUUGUGGCAGAUGAUUGGCUUCGUUCAGUCAACAAGAAUCUGGUUAAUGUGAACUACACUGACGAAGAGAAGGUCAGAUUUGCUGCCCAUUUGUUGGAAGGACCAGCCGCAUCUUUCUGGGAAAAUUUUCAGAUUACCACCCCUAUCGAAGAUGUUACUUGGGAGAUGUUCCAGGAGUCUUUCCAUACCGCCCACAUCUCAACGGGGGUACUUAGUUUGAAAAAGAAGGAAUUCCUGAAACUGAGGCAGGGGAACCGCACCGUGAUAGAAUUCAUUGAGGUGUUCAACAGCCUGUCCCGCUACGCACCAGAUUAGGUGAAUACUGACGCCGAGCGCGGAGAGAUUUUUGGACGGCCUGAAUGAUGAGCUAUCCGUCCAGCUGGCUGUCGCCUACACCCCCACAUACAGUCUUUGAUAGACAAGGCCGUUGUACUGGAGAAUAAACUAAACCAGAUGGAGAGCCGUAAACGUAGACUUCAUCGAGGAAAUUCCCACUCCAGACCGCACCAGAAAAUGCGCACCUCCUAUGAUGGAAAUGGGAGUUUUUCUGUGAGCAAACUUGGCAGCCACAACCGUCAGCACCAUGGAGGAAGUGGCCAACACCAUCGCGAUGGUAACCAUGGAUAGAAUCAUCCGGGAGGAAAUGGGAAUCGACCGCAGCACCAGCACCAGAACCAGCCUUCUCGUCCAAGGAACCACAGUGACAGUGGUAAUGGCAGCAACCAGGGCAAUGGAGGGAACGGGGGAGAGAACCGCAACGGCAACCACCCCAAGCGCGACCUCAGCCAGGUGGAGUGUUUCAAGUGCCACAAGCUGGGACACUACUCCAACGACUGCCCAGAAAAAUUCAAGGAAGCUAGGAGCAAGCCGAAACCCUUCGCAAAGGGCAACGUGAACCACGUUGAUGUGAAGGAGAUCAUCGAGGAACAAGGUAUCGUAAUCGGCACCUUCCGCAUUAAUUCGUUUGAGGCACUCAUACUAUUUGACACUGGUGCAUCGCAUUCGUUCAUAUCAAGGGGUUUUGUGAUUAGAAAUGGGUUACCAACUAGCACAUUAGUGAAUCCCAUGAAGGUGAAAUCACUAGGAGGAGAGAUACUAGCUGCCUAUGAGUGCCGUAUGUUGACUUUGGAAAUUGGUAAACACAGUUUUCCUACCAACCUGAUAGUGAUAGGAUCAAAAGGACUGGAUGUGAUCCUAAGAACGGAUUGGUUAACUAAGUAUGGGGGAGUCAUAGACUGGUCAAGAGAACCGUUGCUCUCACGACACCGGAAAAAAAAUGUAUACGUUUCAAGUCUACCUUCGAACCCUUGAGACCUAAGGUCAAUUCUCUUAAGGGGGUUAGCCUAGAAGAUGUGGCCAUAGUGAAGGAAUACCCAGAUGUUUUUCUAGAAGAGUUACCAGGCAUGCCACCGGAUCGUGAUGUGGAAUUCCUUAUCGAGUUGAUGCCAGGAAGUGGACCCAUAGCUAAGAGACCAUAUAAGAUGGCUAUGGAUGAGUUGAAGGAGCUAAAGAAACAACUUGCUGAACAGUUGGAAAAAGGUUUCAACCGCCCGAGUUCGUCACCUUGGGGAGCACCCGUACUGUUUGUGGAAAAGAAAGAUAAGAGUCAGCGGAUGUGCAUCGAUUAUCGAUUAAUGGAAUACAUAGUGAUGCCUUUUGGUUUGACUAAUGCUCCAGCCUACUUCAUGAGUAUGAUGAACAAGGUAUUAAUGGAAUAUUUGGACAAGUUCGUCGUAGUUUUUAUCGACGAUAUUCUGAUCUACUCCAAGAGCAAGGAGGAACAUGAGCAACACCUGUGCUUGAUUUUGGAGAAACCCUGAGAGCACAAGCUGUACGCCAAAUUCAGCAAGUGUGAGUUUUGGUUGUCAUAAGUCAGUUUCCUUGGACAUAUCGUGUCAAGACCAGGAGCGCUGUCGACCCAACUAAAGUGGCAGCAGUAAUAGAUUGGGAGGCACCCAAGAACGUCGGAGAUGUCCGCAGUUUCUUAGGACUUGCCGGCUACUAUCGUAGAUUCAUUGAGAAUUUUUCCAAGAUAGCGAAACCCAUGACUGAACUGUUGAAGACGGAAAAGAAAUUUGAAUGGUUUGAGAAAUGUGAAGAGAGUUUCCAGGAGCUCAAAAAGAGAUUAGUGUCAGCACCCAUCCUUGUUUUGCCCAAUCUACAGGAAGACUUUCAAGUAUACUGCGACGCCUCGCAUCAAGGUUUAGGAGGUCUUCUGAUGCAAGAGGGAAGAGUUGUAGCGUAUGCUUCGCGACAACUAAAGAAUCAUGAAGGAAACUACCCCAUGCAUGACUUGGAGUUAGCCUCAGUGGUGCACGCACUCAAGACCUAGAGACACUAUCUCAUGGGAAAACCUUGCGAUUUAUUCACCGAUCAUAACAGCCUAAAAUACAUAUUCACCCAGAAGGAGUUUAAUUUGAGACAGAGGAGAUGGCUAGAACUGAUCAAGGACUACGAUCUAAACCUUCAGUACCACUCGGGCAAAGCUAACGUUGUGGCAGAUGCGUUGAGCCGCAAGGGCUACUUAAAUGGACUGUCAGCUGGAGAGUUACCUCCGGAGUUGUGCAAGCAAUUCAAGGAACCGAGAUUGGAAAUUGUGCCAGAAGGUUAUCUUGCGAAUCUGGAAGUGCAACCCACUCUGUUGGACAGAAUCAAAGAAGCCCAAAAAGAUGACUCCGAGAUCGAUGAGAUAAAAGGGAACAUGUUAAUCGGGAAAGCAAAAGGUUUUCAAGAGAAUGACCAAGGGAUUAUAUGGUUUGAAAAACGUGUAUGUGUACCAUAGAACCCAGAGAUCAGAAAACUGAUACUUCAGGAAGCCCACGAUUCACCGUACUCCAUCCAUCCAGGAAAUACCAAGAUGUACAUGGACUUAAAGGAAAAAAUUUGGUGGACCGGAUUUAAGCUAGACAUCGCAGAGUACAUAGCGUUGUGCGAUGUAUGCAACAAGGUUAAGGCUGAACAUCAGAAACCAGCGGGAUUGCUACAACCGUUACCCAUACCAGACUGGAAAUGGGAUAAGAUAGGUAUGGACAUCAUCACCGGACUGCCGAGGACCAGAUCAGGAUAUGACUCCAUAUGGGUAGUAGUUGAUCGUUUGACCAAGGUUGCUCAGUUAGCAAAACACUACAUGUCCAGAAUCGUGUGUUUACACGAAGUUCCGAGGGAAAUAGUGUCAGACAGAGGUACCCAAUUUACCUCGAGGUUUUGGGGCCAGCUACAUGAGUCAUUGGGAACGAGACUGGAGUUCAGUACAGCUUUUCAUCCGCAGACUGACGGACAGACUGAGAGGGUUAACCAAAUCCUUGAGGACAUGUUGAGAGCUUGCGCUCUAGAUUAUGGUUCCAGUUGGGAUGAUAAUUUGCCCUAUGCCGAGUUCUCGUACAAUAACAGUUUCCAAGCAAGCAUCACCGUUUGAAGCAUUGUAUGGGAAGAAAUGCAGGACACCAUUGUUACGGGAUGGGGUAGGAGACCGCAGUCUAUUCGGCCCUGAUCUGAUAAAAGACGUCGAAGAAAAAGUUAGACUGAUUCGAGACAGACUGAAAGUAGCAUAGUUGAGGCAGAAGAGUUAUGCAGACUCAAAGCGUAGGGAGGUUACCCUACGAGGUUCGUGAUAGGGUGUAUCUCAAAGUUUCACCGAUACGCGGAGUUAAGAGAUUCGGAAUCAAAAGAAAAUUAGCCCCACGAUUCAUUGGACCGUACCGAGUCUUAUCACGCCAGGAAGAAGUGGCAUAUAAGUUGCACCUACCAGAGACUUUGGAAAGCAUCCAUAACGUGUUCCACGUAUCGCAACUAAAGAAAUGUCACCCCGACAUGGCCGACACCCCAUUGAGGGAUACUAAUCCACUUGAGGAGGUCCAGUUGCAGAGUGACCUCACCUAUGAGGAAAAACCCAUCCGGAUUUUGGAUACCGCAGAAAGGCAUACCUGCUCCAAGACUAUCAAGUUCUGCAAAGUGCAAUGGGAUCACCACACCGAGGAGGAAGCCACCUGGGAACGCGAAGACGAUCCUCGAGAUGACCACCCACACCUCUUUUCUAACCAACCAGAAUUUCGGGGAGGAGAUUCAUCUUAAUGGGGUUAGGUCUGUAACAUCCCAAUUUUUCCAAACUUUACAUCAUGCAUUUGCACUAAUGAGCAUCAUGCCAUUUAUACACUUUGAGCACCCUUAAACCAAGGAGUUAAAAUUUAAAACCUUUUAUUAAGAUUUUACCUUUUCAUCUCCCUUUGCUUCUUUUUGGAAUUUUUCAACCCAUGGGGUUUUUGACAAUAGAAAGGGGUUUAAGGCAAUAAGAUAAGCUACCCCAAAAAUUUUGGAAUUUAAUUUGGAGUUGAAAAACUAUUUUGUUUUUAAAUAAUAUAGCACUAGAGGAAAAUAUAUGAGCAAAACUAUUUUUAAUAAUUUACUUUUGGAGGAAAUCAAGUCCCAGAUGCUACGCCAUUUGAGGAUAUGAUUUUACAGAUUUUCUUGAAUUUAUUUGAGGUCAUUUGGAGUUCAAAGUCAAAAGUAAUAAAGGAAAAACAGAAAAGAAAAGGAGAAAAGAAAAAGAACAAAAAAAAAAGACGGACCGGCCCGGCCAACUUGGGCCGAACUGGCCUAGUGGCCCUGCGCGCGCGUACGCAGCCCAGCCUCGCGAGCCGGCCUAGCUAGCCCGCCAGCCCGAGCUGAGCCACUGGCAGGUGGGGCCCACCUGUCAGGCUCUUCUUCCCCAAGGAGAUAAGGGCAAGCUUUCAAGACGCGAUUUAGGGCGCCAUGAAGCCCCAUCUUAACUCCCCUGCACGCCACUAUAAAGCCCCAUGCCUCCUCUCCAUUUUCCCCCACACCCCCUCGCUCCACUCACACUCACGCCGCCGGAAUUCCUCGCCUGAGUUGCCGCCGCCGGCCGUUCUUCGCUCGCCGUCGUCACCCCGGUGAGCCAUAGAGCCCGAAUCUUUCUUUUCCUCCAUCCCUGUUUCCUUGCGCAACUUUUGAUGCGGGCGGGCUUAGUAGUUAACGUUGUGAUUGCUUUUGAGCUAUAAGAACUUCUUCAUUCCAGUACCGCCAGCCAAUAAUCUUCGCCGCCUGUGCAUAUACGGCCUGAAAGUGCGGUCGCAUGUUGGUGUCCUCGUCAGGUUCGACACGGAGUUUAGAGAUUCGGCUCAGGUCGAGCCUAGGAUGCUGGAUCCGCACGAACGCUAGAGCUAUCUUCGCUCCCCUCACCAGCUAACGGUACAUCAAUUCCCAGAAGACGCUGUUUUGCUCGAGUCUUUGGGUCAGCUUACCAACCUCUUGAGGCACCUCCUCUAAGGGCCAGAAUGCCUGAUGAAUUGCCUUCAGAGUCUCCAAAUGCAAAUCAAAGAAGGUCUAUUCUGAUCUAUGCAGUCACGCAGCAGCAUCAGGUCGUGACCCCUCACUCGGUCAGACCAGAACGAUGAAGGAUCAAUCGUCUGACGAGCAUUCACAGCACUGUUCACCCAAUCUUGCUCGGCUCGCGGGUCGGUUUUGAAUAAACACAAAUCAAAAGAAGAAAUCAAGCAAAAAGGAUGUGGCGACUCACAUUGAAGUUGAGAACUCAGCCUGCGAAGUUCUUCGAAGAUAAAUUCUUCGCGGGAAGCGGCCGCCUUUAGCUUGGUCUUGGCGAUCUGCAACUCGCCCAUGAUUCUCUGACUCUGCAUCGUUGAGUCCUUGGCUUGGCUUCGGUUUCUUGGAGACGUCGACGAAGGAACUCUAGUUCACUUUGAGUCUUGUCCAAGGAAGGAACCUCCAUAGGAGCCAUCGACUCCACGAUUUUCAAAGCUUCAGGAGGGUUCACUUCAGCCGAGAUUUCGGCACUCGCGAUGUUCGACUCGGGAGUCACGAACUUAUCGGCGUCUACUUCAACUACUGGAAUCAUGGACUCUUUCUGCCUCUGCAGAAGAGAAAUUCCUUUUAGUCCUGAGAAGGAUUCAAAGACAUCAAGCCGAACUAGGUGCAAGGUGUCUGACUCAUAUCAGUACAAAGGAACAAAGGUGUUUCUUUAUUACUAACGCUCAAACUCGAGCAAGGACCGUACAAAAAAGAGGCAAAAUUACAAAGAGAAAAGGAGAAAGCCUAAGAAGUCUAAACUUCAGCUUGGCCCACCUCCUGACUCGGCACAGGAGUCGACGAUUGUGGAGCCGCUCCUCCUUCAGUGGCCAUACUACCCAGCUGAGCCGACAACUGGGUCACUAGUUCUUCCCCGAGCUAGAAGUAAGGCGUCAGCGCCAUCUCCUCCCCCGUUGGGUAGAAACGGAGGACCAGAAGCCUCCUUCCACAACACAUCCUCGCCGAUGUCGUGCGCUAAUGCUAACACAAACGUCAACUCAGCACCGAAGUUGGUCUGGACCUGGCUGAACUCGUCCAGGGGAUCCGGGUCAGCACUGAAAAACUCUAUGAGUUUCCCAAGCGACUCCGGCACCGGCUCAUCAGGGAACAUCUUCCCAAACAAACCGGUGAGCACCCUAGAAGCUUGCUGGAGACCAAUCGCCGCCUCCGAACUGACGCUUGCCACAGCGUCAAUCACCUUUUCGAGUGAAUUCUCACUCGAGGUCAAAAGACAAGACAAGGAGAGCAGGCCUGCAAAAGAGCCAAAGUAUUCACAAGACAUUCAAACAAAUGGAAUCAACUGCGACAGUUUUACCUGCAAGGGGGCCGAUGACUCCGCUAAGUUGGGCGAUUCGUGUCUUCUCCUUCUCAGCCUCCUUGGCGAGAAUGGCGUCCGAAGCUUCUUGAGCAAGGCGCUUUUCAGCUUCUACCUUCUCUACCGACUCCCUCGCCAGAUCAGCAAGCUUCCUUUCCAAAUUCUUGGACUGCAGCUCAGCGGCAUCCUUGAGGGAGUUAGCCUGAGAAAGGAGAUCUACACGGCAAACAAUAAAAUAUGGUAGUUUUCGACUCAAGGAAAGAUCGAGUCAAAGAUAUUACCUCGAGCGGAUCUCAGCUCCUGUUGGCUUUGAUCCAACUCUCAACGGAGUUGAUUGCGCUCAGCCACUGCCUCCUCAAAUUAAUCAACAAACUCCGUUAUGGAGCGGACGAUCGGCUGCGAGCAUGUUGGCGUCAGCAUCUGACUCCCACUCCCACCGGGAGAACAAAAAUCAAAAAUUUAACAAGAAGAGUUCGAAACUUACAUGGCAAGCUGAGGUUGAGGUCUUGGAAGGAGUCCUUUUGGCUCCGUUGCUCUCCAAACGAGUCUUUGAGUGGGGCAACUAUUGGAGUUGAUUUUCCCUACUCGCUGGAAAAGGCACCUCAGGCAUUGCUACCUGAGGCUCAACCGUCUCAAUGAUGGUUGAGGGACCCGAAGCCUUCGGGUCCGACCCUGCCGGCUCAAUAGCCUGGGUCGUUGGUUGGUCACCCGAGACCACGGAACUGACAAAAGAAAUUCAUGAGUUUAAAAACCAGACUGUAUUAUUUAAAACUACCUCCUGAAAGACCACAUACCUGGUCUGGGUGACUCGGCCAAGAAGGCCAAAUCGUCGGACAGGCGUUGGACCGCCUGUCUUGGUCUUCUUAGCGGAGGGAGGAGGAGACGAGGUUGCAGCAGUUGGACCUUCAACUCCCGCUGACUGGUCACUAGUCUUCGGGUUCGACUCCCUGCUGCGUUUCCUUCUCGUCUCCAGGCCAACUUCUUCGGCCUCGGAGUCGCUUACCUGGUCUGGCGACUCCGAGGACUCGUGAGCCAGUUCUUCCUCCCCAGCAGGGGGAGGCUGACUCAAUGGAUCUUCAAGUCCCUGCGAUCCGCAAACUGGUCAACAAAACACAAACGCAAAAUUAAAGCAGUUGAAAUAUAGAAAAUACCUCUUCCCUUGGCCUGUCAAAGCCAUAUGGGAUUACUGGCGAGUCAAUCUCGCAUGGAGCUGCGCCGGUCAGGUUCGUCAACCUUCGCACCCGCGACUCCACUUCUUCUGACGAUAGUUCUUUUGCGUUCACUCGAGUGGGAUCCCCGAGUCCUUCGUAGGACCACAUCGGGUGAACGCAAGCUUGCAGUGACUGGAUCCUCAUCCUGAGGAACUGAGACAUUAGGUGAAUACCUGUCAGCCCCUGCCCCAUAUGGGAGUGCAUCCUAGCCAUCAGGGAUGCCGCCUCCGAUUCCUCUACAGGCGACAGUUCAUGGUUUCAUGCCGCCAUCUUCUUUACCUUCUUCUUGAUUCAAAAGGCAGGAAGAUUCGGGUCGGCACCCAAGGCAUCAUCUUGGACAUAGAACCAUUUCGACCUCCAGCUUUGCACAGAUUCGCGCUGCUGGAGGGAGAAGUAUUUGGCGUCAGAUCUCACCUGGAAGUUGACACUCCCAACAACGUCAGCCUUCUGGCCUUUGAUCAUGAAGAUCCUCUUCCAGAGCCCCCAAUGAGAGCUUACUCCCAAGAAACAUUCGCAUAGCUGGAUGAAGCACGCAACGUGCAAAUAAGAGUUUGGGGGAAGAUCGUGCAGCUGUAGCCCAUAGGCUAAAAGGCGUGAAGGGCGAAAAAAAAACCCGCAACACAUAGUCGAUGAAGAUAACCCACUCACCUAGCAGAGGUCGCGGGUACUCCUCCUUCGCCAGGAAGCGGACCCCGUCAAGGCCUCCCGGCAGUAGGCCCUCAUCCUAUAGUUCCAGGAUCUUGGUGCGCUGGUUAAUCACGCCCGACCAGGGAAUGGCUCCCUUGCCAGCGUCUCCCUUGCCGGCUUCGGUCUUCGAACUCGUGGCUUUGGUCUUGCCCAUCUCCGGAUGGCGAGAGCUGCUUGGAUGAUUGAGGAACUCGCGAAGUCUUUGGCUAUGGAAGCAGAAAGCUUGAGCGCUUGAGCUUGGGUCGCGAGGAAAAAGAAGGGUAAAAGGCAUUCCUUUUCCACCCUCCUCUUUAUAUAAGCCAAACUUUGGCGAAGAAUCUGGGCCGCAAGAUCCUUAUCUUGGCCACGUGUCCCACAUCGAUCGGGAUACGAAGCGGUGAAAACAGAAACGGCCGCCUACAUUUUGGGCGCAAGAAUCGAUGAAAUCAUUAUGCCUUAUUUACUGCGCGAAGUGUGAUCGUUUCCCCACUCACGCACGCCAACGGUGCGUCUAGCUGUCAGGCUAGACUGUGCACCUAGUCACAUCGGCUGACCAAACGACUCUUCACCUUCAACAUGUACGUCAUCCAUGACGAAGUCUGACUCGAAUAUCAUGACUCGAAACUAUCUUUCAUAUAGGAUGAUGGAAAAAUGUUGAGACUCGUCUUGAGUCUCGCCUGUGAAUACAAGGACUCUCAUUCGAGUCACUAACUGACCGACUGUUGGUUAAAGACUUCGUACAGUCAGGUACUAUUUAUUUUUUACUUACACAAGUAAAAUCAGGUCAACAACCUUGACAUAAAACAGUCGAUUUCAUAUAAGUCGACACGACUGGGUCGCACCAGCUGCGUCACUUCAGUUAUUUAUGCUCAUUUGCAUAACAGUAAGCCUCAUGGAUUUCAUCCACAGAGCUUGGAGCCGCACCAGCUGCGCUGCUCUAGUUAACCCAUGCUCAUUGCAUGAAGAUAAGACCCGAAAGUUCUUUAUCGGGCCUGGAACCGUAGUAGCUACGUUAAUCCAGUCGAAUCCAUAUUCAUUGUAUGAAGGUAAGCCCUAAAAAUUAGGCCUGGAUAUGCAUCGACUGCAUUCCUCCAGUAAUAAUUCUCAUUUAAGGGUCGCUCCCUACAACCAUGUUCAUUACAUGAAGAUAAGACCCGUAGGCUUCCUAUAGGGCCUGGAAACGUACCGGCUACGUAUUUCCAGUACGUACAAACUUGAUGAACGAGUCGCGUACUUAACAAUUAGAGUUCAACUCUAUAAGACCCCAGCAGGCUAAGUCGAAUUUCACCAGUUGCCAGGUUCGAGCCCGGGGACUCGAAUACUGAAGAAAACUAAUGUUGUAUUCGCCCUAGAGCGAUUAACUGGACUUGAUUUCUCGAAUAUCUAGGCACAUUAACCAUAUAUCCCUAUGAUCUCUUCUCAUUGCAUUUGAUUUGACCUCCUAUCAAAAUCAUGUUACUUAAUAGUCGAACACUAAAACAGCGGCUCGGACAUUCUCUGAGUCGAAAUGCUUCUCAUUCGGAGUUCAAAUCCAUGAAAUACCAAGUCUGCAGCACUAUGCAACUGGCUCAACAGCAAAAUGAGUUCAUUCUUUAUGGGGAAAGUCCCUACUCAACUAGGCACUUGGGGGCUACUGACGUGGUUAUGACUAACCACGUACUCGACUCGAGUAUACCCGUUAUGGCCCAGCUGGGGGCACAAGGAAGCCUACUACGACUCUAAGAGUCUAAAUGCCAAAUCUUGCGACUCAAGAUAAGGAAGAUUAAUUAGAAUAUAUAUUUUCAUUGUAACCGACUUGGACUCUACCUUACACCUGAGUUCCUGCAUAUAUAAAACACCAGGAGGGGGCGCUAAGGAGACACCUCAACCUAGGUAGAAGUCGCCUAGACGCACUCACCAGAUCGAAUCUAUGCAUCUAACCUUCGCUGCACCCCAUUGUAAUCGACUCAUCAAUACAGAUCAGACAAGCAGGACGUAGGGGUAUUACCUCAUCGAGGGCCCUGAACCUUGGUAAAUCAUGUUCCCUGUGUUUUUGUUAGCCGACGAGUUCGCUAACACAUACACUCAAAAUAUUUCCCAGAUACAAGUGCACCAAUAUGGACAUUGUCGAAAUCACCCCUUCGUCAUCGGUGUCAACGAGGUUGGUCAUGAUGUAGUAGCCAUGGUUGAUGGUGUAGUCACAUGCACAUAGCCGGAGGCGCAACAAUAUUGUGCUAUCUUGUAGAGAUAGAGCAUGAAUUGUGGACUAGCACCUUGCAAAUGUCAAAAGGUGUCACACCGAGGACAUCUUCUAGAUGUACGAGGACGUGUCGUCGGUGUCGGUGAUGAGGUCACCUCAUCGAGCACACAUUGGUUUUGGCUGUGCGUCAUGUAGGGGGUCAUCUUAAGUUCAUAACAGUGAAGUCGAUGUCGAUGUGGACAAUGUCGUCGUACAGGUGACAUGAUCCUUGACAUUGUCGGGGUCGGGUCUUGCAGAAGAGUGAGUCACACAACACUGAAGAGAUUUCAUCCUUGUGGACGAUGUGGCGUGUGCCGUGUUUUCUGUUACCUAGCGCCUAUUUCUGUGUUUACGUGCAAUUUAAAUUUUAUUAGCCGGGCUACCAUUGAUUUGUUUUCCUCGUAAUUACGUUUGUAUCGAGUCAGAGUGUUGAAUGAAGCUGUAAUUUCCUUUUGUGUAGCUACUAUGUAUAUGGUGUGUUGUCAUUGUACAAAUGUCUAACGUAUCAAUAGCCUGUGAGAAUACACACGGGGUCCGUGGCGACUAGCUAGUCUAAAUAUUGUUACAACAGUGGGAAAAAGGGUUAGCUACGCAGUAAAUUGCGGCCUGAUCGAUAUCGUCACCCUACUGGCGGUCCCCGGCGCAUCGUGGUACCGGAGUCGUCGUACUCGUACUCCCUGGACUGCUCGAACUCGCCCGUGAACUCCUCGGAUGCGAAGGCCGUGCGCCGGAGCUGCUCGAUGGCGGCCUCCUGCUGGCCGGCCGUUCUGCUGUACACCUGGCUCUGCCCCACCUUGACCCCGUUGCUGAGGUCCGACAUGCUCCCCUCGUCCACGUCCACGUCCAGCGCCCUCAUCACCUGAGACCAAAAAUUCAUUAAUCACAGUUUCAACACCGGAGCAGCUGGAUGCAUGCUGGGCCGGGCCGCGUACGUACCUGGACCAUGCGGGGCCGCCUGGGGGCCGAGUGGCGGACGCAGGCAGCGGCGGCCUCCACCAUCCGCGUCAUCUCGGCCCUGUUGUACCCUCCGCGGGCCUCCAGGCGCGGGUCGGUCAGCUCCUCCAGGUUUCCAGUCUCCAGGGCGCUGGCCAGUACCGGGCGGGCCCAUUCCACGAGGCUCUCCUCCCCGAGCGGCCGGUCCUGGUCCACGGGCUUCCGGCCCGUGAUGAGCUCCAGCAGCACCACGCCGAAGGAGAAGACGUCCGACCGGUCCGUCAGCUUCCCGCUCGACGCGUACUCCGGGGCCAGGUACCCGAACGUGCCCAUGAUGCGCGUCGACACGUGCGUGUGGGUGUCGUUCGACAGCUUCGCCAGCCCGAAAUCCGCAACCUACAUAUAUAAUCUGUUAUUAGAGGAAAUUAAAAACACCAAGCAUGCAUAUAUGUAUAUAUGUAUGUAUCUCGUGCCUGUGCUUCAAACGAGUAAUCCAGCAGGAUGUUGGCCGACUUGAUGUCCCUGUGGAUGAUCCGCGGGUGACCUGCAUGCAAAGCGUACGUACGUCACGUCACGUCAUCAGAAAACCAUUCAAUUUCGUAUCGAUUGACAAUUAAUUAGUGUGCAUUUCACAACACGAAAAAAUACAUAUGUCAAGAGAAUAUUAACAUACAAUCUUCAUGCAGAUACGCUAACCCCUUGGCUGCCCCGAUGGCGAUCCUCAGCCUCGUCGGCCAAUCCAUCACCGGCACACCGCGUCCUGCAUUGCACGCAAUUGAACUGAAUCUCUGCACUAGAGUUUAACACCUCCGUUUCAUAAUUCUUGUCUCAAAUUUGUCAAAAAUGAAUGUAUCUAUUCUUAAAAAACGUCUAGAUACAUGCAAUAUUUUGACAAGAAUUAUGAAACGGAGAGAGUAGUACGUACCGUGCAGAUGAUGCUCGAGGGUGCCAUUGGGGACGAACUCGUAGAUGAGCAUCCGGUGGUGCUGCGCGACGCAAUACCCAACCAACGAGACGAGGUGCCGGUGGUGCACGCGGCUGAUGAUCUCCACCUCGGCCUGGAACUCGCGCUCGCCCUGCCCGCUGCCGGCCUUGAGCUGCUUCACGGCCACGCACUUGCCGUCGGCCAACCACCCUUUGUACACGCACCCGAACCCGCCUUCCCCGAUCACGUUGUCGCGAGAGAAGUUGCUGGUGAUGCUCGUCAGCUCCUCAUAGCUGAAGGAAGACUUGGAUCCAGCAGCCGCAGCCGCCGCCUCGAUGCUGCCCGACCGGUAGUACCCGGCCGGUGCUCCUCCUCUGAAGCUGUCCGUCGUGCCCGGAGGCCCGUACGAGAACCCGCCCGACGCUCCCGGCGGCGCCGCGUACAGCACCCCCGACGGGUGGCGGCUCGAACCCACCAGUUGACCCGACGAUUGCAUGUAGAAGCUCCCAUCUGCAAUGUCGUACGCGCAUACAGUAAUUCUGUUGUUAAUUACCUGCAACGUUAACGUAUAUGUUUUGAAACUAAGAGCAUAUAAGUAUAUCAUCAUAGGAAGAAAAUAAAGUUACCCGAGUGAUAAACCAGUCCAUCCACCUUUCUUCUCUUCCUCGUCACGAUGAAGACAAUGGCUAUGAUGACAAACAACAAACCCGCGACCGCAGCGCCGGCAAUGGCGGCGGCAACCUGGCCACUCACUGCUGGCGAUGAGUCGACGGGGGAGUGUUGUGAGGACGAUGAUGAAGCUGUGGUGCCCGAUGAACCAGCAGCUGCCUGCAUGGCGCCGUUGUCGGUGCCGCUUUGUGCAGCGGGCAUGGAACCUGGGAGGUGAGAAGACAUCACACCCACGGCGCCAGGCGGUGCCAUGGUGGUGACAAGCCCGGGAGGUGCUCCGGGAUGGCUAUUGGACGACGACACGAUCGGAAUGAAGACCACCGAAUGGUUUGCUGGCGGCGGAGGCGAUGGCUGAGCACCAGAAGGUGGAGAUUCUGCUUGCUGAUUACUCGAUUGCAGUGGCGGCGGAGACGGAGAGGCUUCGGAUGAUGAUGGUGCGGGAGGGCUCCGGGGCAACGGUGGAGAAGGAGGAGGCUUUGAGCCUUCUGACUGCUGGGACCAGGGCAGCGGUGGUGACGAAGAGUUGGAAUUAUCAUUGUCCCCAAAGGAGGAGUCAGACGGCGGAGCUGGAGGCGACGAAAAGUCGGAAUUUUCAUCAUUCGAAGAAGAGCGGGAGGGCGACCCUGACGGCGAUGGCGAUGAAUCUGAUUCUGAUGAUUGUGGAGGAGAGUUGGAGGAACGCGAACCUUGUGAGUUAUUAGAGGAAGACGAUGAGGAGGAUCUUGAGCCCCCAGAUCCUGAAGACGGCGAUGGUGGAGGACCAUUAUUAUUCCGGUUCGAAGAUGAGCCUGAUCUGGAGCCUUGGGGUGGAGGUCCGGCGUUGGAAUCAUGGGACUGCUCAUCACUUGCAUCCUCUGAUAAGCUCGGCGACGCGGCUAAAUUCCGCGACAUGCUUUCUCAAUCAGAUUGACGUGAUCCCUUUCGUGAUCAAAGCUUCCUCGGGGUGCUUCCCUUGCGAAAAUCAUCAAGCACCUUUUCCUGGCCACGUUUGUCGUCAACUCUCCCUUGGUUUCCUCAGCACCUCCAGAUGGACUGUGAUCCCCAAACUUGCUUCUCCCCAUUCUAUGUUAGUACAGCUCCUCGCCAACCAUCUUUCCCUUCAACAGAUUGAUUCAAUCGUGUCCAUGUGCACACGGAUUCUCACCUGCCGGAAGCCAAGGAAAAACGACUACUUUGGUCGUCAAGAGGAACGAAAAGAGACAAGACUUCUUACGAGUGUCUAAGAAUAGGGACAACCGGAGCAUCAACAACAACCAACCUAGCUAACUAAAGAUUUGGCUGCUAUAUUUGGGCGUUAGAAUUCUUCUAAGCGCUAGAAGAAAGGAACUCAUAAAGUAAAAUAAUUCGCAAGAAAGUAGGAGGUUGGUGAGCUUUGUCCUCCUUGUUGCUAUUUUUGGUUGAAACCUCUAUUGUCCAUCCAGUACUUAUGAAGUAAACGUUGUUUGUGCACCAUUCCAUUCACUACUACAAAGAGAAAUGCUUGAUUGGUCUCGAGAGUACUGCGCCUCCUACUACAGUGCGCUGAAGAAAAAAAUUCGCUCGCCAGAAGUACAUUGCGCGCCGCCUGCCGCCGCUGCCACGUGGCGCGCCGCCUGCUGCCGCCGCCGCUGCCACCUGGUGGAGACACACACACACACACACACACACACACACAGAGGCAAGCCCCGCUGCCAUAUGGUCAGCGACGUAGUGGAGAGAGCGAAAGGGGGCGAGCCCCCGUCACACCCACCUCUCUCUCUCUCUCACAUGGAGCUGCCCAAUGGAGCCGCCCGAAGACGCGCCGCUGCGGGAGGAGAGCUGCCGCCCGCUGUACCGCCGCCACCGCGCUGCCCGAAGAGGCGCGUCCGCUGCGCCGCUGCAACGCUGCUUUGCUGCUCGACGGGACACGCCCGCUGCGCCGCCACCAUGGGGCAGGGGAGGCCGCCAGAAGCCUAGGACGCGUGCGGGAGGUAGGUGACCAGGUGGGACCCGUGGGGCAGUGAGGGGAGAUAUAUUAUGUUAUGUGUUUCAUGCACGGAUCUCGAGGCAACAUUUGAACGGUAUAGAUAGCUGGAUCAAAGCGCUGGGGAGUAAAAAAUCUAGUCUCUACUACAAAACAUGUCAUCUUUAACCUGAACCUGUGUUCAUUCAGGCUAAAUUGUAAUGACAAAAAAUAGCCGCCGGUCUGUGGCGUGACUAUUUCACAAGCCUAUUGUAAAACUCUGCACUUGUCGUAAUGUAUUCAUGUGGGGAACCAUUGGCAUGCCCUAUAGGAGCCGCGUUGACAAGUCAUCAUUGGUAACGCGGAGGUUGUCAACUCCCCGUGAUUUACACCCCACGUGAUAGCCACAUAUUUGCUAUCCCCUUCCUCUUUCUCUUUCUUUUAAUGUAUGGGCUGUAUUAAAUUAGAGGUGGGUAUUAACAUGGCUGAUAACUUUUGUUCUUCUCUCUCCUUUUUAAAUACAUAUUUAGUACAUUAUGUAUAUGAAUUGUAUCUCAGAUUUUAAGUACAUUAUGGUACAUGACAUGUACCUUAUCAGUUUUUAAGUACCUCUUGUACAUUACCUUACGAUACGAGUACAUCAUAUGUUAUAUCACAUGUACCUUAACAGUUUUUAGUUACCUCGUCAGAUACAUCAUGUACCAAGACAAAAUCACAGCACAAAUUAUGUACAUUAGCUUAUGAUACGAGUACAUCACAUGGUAUAUCACAUGUACCUUAACAGUUUAUAGGUACCUCGUCAGAUCAAAUCAUGUACAUUAUGUACCAAGACAAAAUCACAACACAAACGGUCAUAAAAAACUAGUACCUCGUCAUGUACCCAUGGUACAUGAUGGUACUAAAAAAUCACAGUAUCUUUAUAAGUAUCUCAUGGAUCAAUCAAUCACUACUACAAAACAUAACAUAAGUGACGAGUCAUUAGUGACGGGCCUUUCCCGACCGUCACUGAUGACCAUCAUCAGUAAUGGGCCUUUCCCGUUUGUCACUGAUGACCCCUCAUCAGUGACGGCCGCACAAAACCCAUCACUAAUGAUCCCUCAUCAUUGGCGGGCGGGCUCUUCACUGAUGAUGGGUCAUCAGUGACGGACGCGGGACGCCCGUUACUAAUGAUGCAAUACAAAAAUUUGCAAAAUUCACCAAAACAUACAUCAGUGGCGGGCCUCACAUAUGCGCCCGCCACUGAUGUCCCCUGAAGACACCAGUUUGGGCCCAAGCAACGAGUUUCUCGGCCCAACACACCCCCUCGCUAUAUAAACCUACGUAUCCUAACCCUAACCGACGGCUACCCCUCCUCCUCUCUCUCUUUCCUUGCGCCGUCAAUUCUCCCUCCUCUCCUGCUCCCUCCCUCUGCCUCUCCUCUCUCUCUCUCUCUCUCUCUCUCUCUCUCGGCUCGCAGCCGGAUCUCCCCUCUCUCUGCGCCCAAUCUCUCCCGCUCCCUCCCUGUGCCCCCGAUCUCUCCUCUCCUCUCUCCCCUCCGAGCCCUCCAUCUCUCCCCUCCGGCUCUCCAUCUCCCAAGUCCAAGCCGCCAUGAAGCUCACACGACCCCCAUAGAUCCACGGCCCUGCUCCGACCGACGGCCGGAUCCGGCUGCCUCGGCUUGGCUGCCGCCGGAUCUGGCUGUCCACCAUCGUUUGCUGCAGGUAGGCCCUUGGUUCCCUCUCUAUUUCUCUUCCUCUCUCAAUCUCUCUCCCUCUCUCACUGUCUUUCUCUCUCUUGCAGACCCGCGGCGCCGGAGGAGGGUAGAUGAGGAUGGUUGCGUCUUGUGGCCGGCGCAUUCUCGGCCACAAGAAGGAGGAGGCGGAGUCCCGGAGUCCCGUCAUCGCUAGCCCGCCUCCACCCGCUGGAUCCGGGCGCCACCCCGCCUCAAGCGCCAGAUCUGGCCGUCAUCGACGCCACCACUGCCGGUAAAUUCCUUCUCCCUCUCUGUUAUCUUCAUCCUCUCUGUUAUCAAUUCUCUCUCACCUCUCUCUCUCUCUCUCAAGUUUUGUUCGAGAGGUGUGGCAAGGGCAGCGAGUUCGUCGGAGUAGUGUGCCUCAAGGCGGGCCUCGGCGUCGGAGUAGAUGCGGACCAGCCAUGGAUUUAGUUUUAGGUUUAGGUUCAUUUGUUGUGAUUUUUCUGUGAUUUGUUGUAUGCGAUUCGUGGAUUAAUUCAUCGAUUGGUUUGAUUAAAUUGUGGAUUUAGGAUUCGUUGAUUCAUCUCUUGCGGGCUGUGGCCCGCUUUUUUUUUUAAAUGUCAAAAACGAUAUCAGUGUCGGUCACCCUACAGGGCCCGCCGCUGAUGUGCAUAUCAUCACCAACGGGUUGAGCGCCCGUCACUGAUGUACCCCACAUCACUGACAAGAAGUAAGUGAUGGGCGGUCUGCCCGUUACUGAUAGCCAUUUUCGACCGUUACUGAUAAGCGUUUUGUAGUAGUGAAAGUACAAGUACCUCUCAAUUCAAAGAGAAACCAUGAGAUCCAAAAUCAAAAUCAAGAAAACAACAUCCUCUCCAUGGCCCACGAUGGGGAUACACAAAUCAAAACAAUACUAGAGAUCCACGGCCCGCGAUGGAGGCAGUCCUAGUUGAGCCCACGGUCGACGCCGGGGACGGCAUGGGAGCUGGGCUUCUUGGUGGGGGAUUGAGAGCUCGCGAGGGGAAGGAGGUACCUGGCCAUCGGCGAGGGCCCUAUAGGGCCGCGUGAGCCCCCCACGACGCAGCAGCUCCUCCAUCUCCAAGCUGCUCCCCACGGCCAGGAGGGCAGUCGGACAGGCAGCGGCCCGGCGGCACCUUGUGAAGGCCAUGGCGCUUGUCGGCCAGGAGCAGGGAGGAAUAAAUAAGAAGGGAGAAGAGAGACAAGAGGGAUGGGAGAGAAGAAAAGGACGGGGGUACUGUCAGAGGAGUCAGAGGAUUAGGCAGAAAAAAUAAAGAAGGGAAGGGGAAGGUGGGUGGUGGAGAUGAGGGGAGUAUAUCGUGGGCGGUGCACCGUGUGCUUUGGCCAUCAUUGGCAUGCCCUAUAGGAGCCGUUAGAGUUGAAUCUGAUGGACUGCGAGAUAUACGCCAUCAAUGCUGAUAAGGUAUCGCGCCAUUGACGUGUCAUGCCCAAAAGUCAUCAAUAGUAAUUUGGUACGGAACCCUUGAACGACUCAGUGUAUAUUGUGUCAUCUCUGACGAGUCACUAGCAAUAUUCAUCCUCACCGACGUGUCUAUUACUCUAUUUUAGUAGCUACACUUCUCUGAUGACUCGGUCACCACUUGCCUACAUGGCAUGGGAGAGACACCAUAGACAGGUCAUGUGUAUGACUCGUCAGUGAAAGCUCGACACCCUAUAUAAACUCACAGGCGUUUGACUUGGUGAAAUUCUCAUUCCACAAGUCUUGUGCCCCUCAUUAAAACAAGGGUUUUAAUAUUUCUCUGUUGCCUGAGAAAUAAGCAUUUCCCUUAUUUCUCAAUCGACCAUCUGAACCGUCCAUUUCUGCACUAAGAUCCGUGCUAGCUUUUUUUCUUUCUUUGAGAACAAUGCGUGCUACCUAGUAAUGGGCUUCGGAAUGUGUGUUGUGUCUGGACUGAAGUAGCAGGCUUGUGGGCCUCUUCUUAUUUCUUAACCUUUAUCCUUUUUUCCUUUGUUUACCCAGUAAUGGGCUUCAUUGGGUUGGACGUGGAAAACAAUAGUAAUGGGCUUUAUUGGGCUGGCUGUGUUGGUUUUUCCUUGUUAUUUUUUGAGUAGUAUCGAAGUUUUCUUUUUUUCGUUUCGUUUUGUUCUCAUUUAGUUUCCACCUUAUUCUAAAAAAAAAUUAGUUUCCACCUUUGUUUUCCGGUUUCAUUUUUACUACCUUUUUCCUAGUUUUUUUAUUCUUGUUUUUCUUUCCAUGAGCAAAAGGAGUCACUUUACGUACCAACUAAUAUGGUUUUUUGCUUUUCAUGUACAUUGGGUAUGCUUUCAAGUUAAUAUUUGCAAAAAAAAAUGUUGUUUCUUGUAGAAAUUUUGAUUCUCGUUUUUCUAUAUAUCAGCACAUUCUGAAUAUCAUAACUUGCACGGAUAAUUUAUCUACAACUAUUAUGUUAAGAUGUUCAAUAAGUCAUACCUUUGUAAGAUUAAAACUGUAUACCUCUGUUUUUUCACCCCUUUUGUUGUGUGUAGCAUCAAAACUCUGGAUUCUCCUUUUUCUAUUGGUUCCUACUCUUAUUGAUUUUAGACAUUUCAAAAACUAUAGUAGCUCAAAUUGUUUAUGUGCAAUAUGAGAGUUAGGAAUGUGUGAGUUGGUUAAGUUGCGCAUGGCUACUAUUAUAAUUUCACACUUUUUUUUGUCAUUUAUCCCAUUCUUUUUCCAAAAAAUAAUUGUUGUUCUUGGUGUUUGUUCAUGAUGGUUGAACGGACUCUUGUAAUGAAAAAUAUCAAUAUAUUUUUAAUUAUAACUUUUGAUUAUUACCCUCAGACCAUUAUGUUUAUUUUCUUUAUGGCUGAGUUGCACAUUGAGAUUCUUGAUGUGCAACUGAGUUAUUUUCAGUGAGUUGCACAUAAUCUCUCCUUAUGUACAAUUUAGAAAAAAAAUACGAGAAAUUUGCAGAUUGAGACUCUUGGAGUGUAAUUGAGUUUUUUUAUUAAUGGUGAUGUGAAAUUUAGAUUUUCACGGUGUGAGGGUGAGUUGCACAUUGAUGUUCUUGAUGUGUGUAACAUCCCAAUUUUCAAAACUCUUCAUAUGCGUUGCAUAUCAUAAGCAUCAUGUCACCUUUGCAUUUGAUCACUUUGAAAACCCAAGAUUUUGCCCAGAAAACCCUUUUGCAAAAAUGCUUUUAUUUGAUUUUGGGCUUUGAUCUUGCUUUGGAGUAUUUGCAUUUCAACCCAUGAGGGUAUUGUGGUAAAAAGGGGAUUUAGUGCAUAUACAAAGCUAUCCCAUAAAUUGGCUUUUGAAAGUAUUUCGAAAAAUAAUUUGUUUCGAUAGCCUAAGGGCCCUAAAAGCCAUUUUAUAGGAAAAUGUAUUUUUAAAUAUUUUAUUUUGAGGAAGUUCUUGUUCCAAAAGUUAGAUCAUAUGAAAAUAUGAUUUAAAAAAUUUUGUUGCAUUUUAUUUGGAGUGAUUUGGAGCUUCGAGUGAAUUUUGAGGUUAAAAAACAAAAAAUAGAUAAGAGAAAAGGAAAAACCGAAGAAAAAUGGUCAAACCGGACUGAACCGGUCAAACCGGACCGGACCAAACCGGACUGGCCCAGCCCGAACCGCCCGGUUCCUCUCACUGACCGGUGGGACCCGCAUGUCAUCUUCUUCCUCGACUGCUUCUUGAGAAAACCGGCCACGCACGACUCCGAGUCGCCCACGAUUCCGUCUCGAUUUCUCCGCGCACACGACUCCAAAUUCAAAACCCCGCGCGUCAUAUCGAAGCCCCCGAACUCCUCUACCACUUCCCCCAAACCGGUUAGAGACUAAUUGCUCGCCGGAGUUCGUUGCUGACGUCGCCGUUCUUCGCGUUUCGCCGUUGUUCCGGUGAGCUUCCGCCCGCGCCGACCCCAUCCCCUUCCUCCUCUCUUCCUUGCGCAUGCAGUGACGCGAGCCAGCCGCGAUUUGGAGCUCCGCGGCGCCGUCCGCCGUCUUCCCCGGCGCCGACCGCCGCCCGCCUGCCCGCGCGCUCCGGGCCCGCUUGUCGCCGCCCCGACCACGUGCGCCGCUCGUCUGCGCCCUUGCGCCGUCGCCGGCCGGAACCCUAGGUCCCGGCCUAUCCCGCGCUGCCACGUGGCGAGGCCUUUUUAUUUUAUUUUAAUUCGGCCGAAUUAGAUAAUGCAAUUUUUGCAGAAAAACCCCUGUAACUUCAAAGCCUCAUAUCUUUCAAACCGUUUGUCCAAAAAUUGUGAUCCACACCUUUCUGGAAUCGUCACAACGUGUAGAAUAUUUUGGCACUGCUUAAAUUCAGUUUUGAACAACUUAUACAGAAGCUAUUUACAGAAUGGUUGAAUAUGGUUUAAAUUUCAAAUGAAUUGUUUCAAAAUAGUUUUGAGCAUGUUAUCAUGCUGUAAAAUUAUUUAAACUUGUUCUCUGUCCAUUAGGACCAGAAAAUAAAUUAUUUUGUGUAUAAUCAUGGCAUACAAGUUUAAAUAUUGCUCUAUGUUGCAAAAGCCGCACAAUUUUUUGUUUUAAACCCUAUCCAUGUAUCAUGCAUAUUAAUUACCACUUGAUGUUGUAUAACCUGUCCUAGUCUUUUCAGAAACUUUUCAAAAUAGAAACAAAACUUUGUACUUUAGAAGUAACCCUUGCAUGCAUCAUCAUGGCAUAUGCAUCAUGGCGUGGCUUUUGUAUUGAAUGUUGUGUUUAUUGUAUGUAUGUUUCUUUUAUUUUAGAUUGUGUGGAGUGUAAUCCUUGUUGUUGCGAAGAGUGCGAGAACUACCACAACCUUGGACAAGGCAAGUUCACUUUGAUCAUUCUCUUAAAUAUUUUUACUAUGCACUAGAUGUUUUAUUAGAUGCAUCAGGAAUAUUACGCGUACUUCUAUGCUAGCUAUAAAUCUCAGGUAGUCUAGUUUACCCUCGCCAUUACCUGGCUACCAAAAUUGCCAUCGAUUGUAAUUGAAUGCUAGGCUAUGGUAGUAUCGUGGGGGAAAUAACUACAUUAUGAUAUUGUUAUGCCUUUGACGAUAUGAAAUGUUUUUGUUAGAUGUAAGGCAAAACAAUUGAUUCAAUGAACCGUCCUGGGUGGGCUGCUUUGAAGAUUUUGAGGAUUAAUGGCGUCAGGUCCAUUUCUAUGGGUCCCUCUGAGUCGAGUUCCUGCGGAUUCAGGAAUGGAUCUUCCAUGGACGUCUCUUCCGUGGAUUCGGGGAGCGCCUACGUUGCAAAUGUGGAAUGCCACCUGGGGUAACCGAGACUGGACUAGUUUCCUAUUUAGAAGCUUCUAGUACAACCACAAUGCUAUAUGGGCUCUGGCGAGACAAGAGUAAGUUGUAUGAACCUAGACCCGAGGAAUUGUACUGAGGUAGCCGUGUAGGGGGAGCGUGAUUCUCUCAUGGUUUAGGGAAUUACCUCUGAAAAUCUCAUAAUCGAUGCCGUUGCUACUCUACCCAGAAGACAGCAAGGGAUUAACACGUCGGUUUCUUGUGCGGAAUGUGUACAAACUCUCGAGAGCGUCAAAACUAAGUACUUAGCCGUGUCCCCGGCAACGGACAAUUUGAGCAACUAGAUGUGGAGCUGUAAGAAAAGUCUCACUCACUCUAACUUCUUAAAUAAAAUGAAUGGUUGAACAAGUUAGGAGCACUUGAUGAAUCCACUUCAAUGUGCUCUAGGUUAAUAGGAGCACGGGUGUGUCUACCCCGUGUUCAAUAGUGAUAAAAUUCUAUUUGAUUAAAAGAUAGGAUUCAAUAACCAAGCUUUUAUGCAAAUAGCCUUGUACCCCACUUUGCCACAUUAUGCAUAUACUUGGUAGGUUCUGUUAUAACUCCUAGUGAAUCUUGUCAAUACAUUCAAUGUAUUGACCCUAGUGGCUGCAUCGUUUAAUGAUGCAGGAAGCUCCGACGACGAGUAAGAUGUACGUUCUGCUUGUUUGGGUUACGGGCUUACAUUCCUACACGCUCUUACCGUGGUGUUGAUGUGCCCUUGUAUCUUUCGUUUUCCGCUACUAAACAAUUGUUUUAUUUCUAGCUAACCCGCGAGGUUAUGCGAAUGGUAAGUACUUUUAAAUUCUGGAUGGUACGUUGUAAUAUUGAGACCUUUGUUCUAUGAUAUUACAUCUUGAAACUGUGUGUGCUAGUGAGUCGAUCCAGGGACUAGCACUAUAGCACAGAGAUCGAACCCGUAUACGGGGGCGGUCGCUUCAAUGUGCAACUGAGUUUUUUGGUGGCGAGUUGCACAUAAUCUCUCUUGAUGUAAAAUUUAGAUAAAAAAUACGAGAAAGUUGCAGAUUGAGACUCUUGGUGUGUAAUUGAGUUUUUUUAUUAAUGGUGGUGUGCAAUUUAGAUUUUCACGGUGGGAGGGUGAGUUGCACAUUGAUGUCCUUGAUGUGCAACUGGGUUUUUUGGUGGAGGGUUGCACAUAAUCUCUCCUGAUGUAAAAUUCAGAUAAAAAAAUACGAGAAAGUUGCAAAUUGAGACUCUUCGUGUGCAAUUGAGUUUUUUUUAUUAAUGUUGGUGUGCAAUUUAGAUUUUCAUGGUGUGAGGGUGAGUUGCACAUUGAUGUUCUGGAUGUGCAACUGAGUUUUUUGGUGGUGAGUUGCACAUAAUCUCUCUUGAUGUGCAACUAAGUACAAUUUAAUUUUUUUAUGGGUGAGUUGCACAUUGAUAUUCUUGAUGUGCAACUGGGUUUUUUGGUUGAGUUGCACAUAAUCUCUUUUGAUGUGCAAUUUAGUACAAUUUAAUUUUUUUACGGGUGAGUUGCACAUUGAUAUUCUUGAUGUGCAACUGGGAUUUUUUGGUUGAGUUGCACAUAAUCUUUCUUGAUGUGUAAUUUAUAAUAUAUAUUUUUUGGUGGGUCACACAUUGUGACUCUUGAUGUGUAGUUGAGUUUUUUUAGAGGUGAUAUGAAAAAAAUCACGGGUGUGUUGCACAUUAAGAUUCUUGAUGUGCAACUAUUUUUUUGGUGAGUUGCACAUAAUCUCUCCUGAUGUGCCACUUAGGAUUUUUUUGCUUAUAUAUAUAUUUUUUUUUUUUGCUUAUCGUUAUCUCGGCUUAGGGUCGCGCUAUUUGACUCCCAGGGUGAAGAAUAUUAUUCUGCACCCAGACCCGCGCGGUGGCGGCAGCAGGAGCAGCAUCUCCGUCUCCAGUUCACGCACGAGCGCCGACGAGAGAGACAAGAAGGCUAGCGAGGGUGUCGGGGGGAUGACCUCGGGUGGGGUCAUGGCGACACACAUUAGCCGAGAUAACGAAAGCAAAGCCGGCACAGGCAUACACGCCGGCAUCCUAAAGUCGGAGUAAUGCUAAGCCGGCAUACCAAGUGUAUGCCGGCAUGACUAUCUUGUCUUAUGUGAUUGCAGGAUAAGAACGAGUACUCUGAUCUCAGCCACCGCCGACAUGGCUCAACGGUCUUAUCCUCAUCACGUGGCGCAAAGUAAAGCAACGUUAUCUUUAUCACGGGAAAGCAGUCGUUGCUUACGUCGCGGUGCCAGGCGACUGCGCAAAGAAGCACCGAAAUUGAAUUGGUGACGGAAGCCGGCAGCUGGCUGUUGUACUUGUUGCAGGGCGCCAGGAAAAGUAAAGUUGUCUUGUCCCCUGCGGUGCCACGCGGAGGGAACCAGAGCGCGUGCCCGGCGGGGCCCAAAGAAGAUAACGUUAGCCCUUGACCCACAUGUCAGUGGGACAUGAGCGGUCCAUAAAUAGAGCACUACCUCCUAGGAGAGGGAGCGCUCACUUAGACAUCUAGGGUUUCCCCCUUCUUCUUCCUCAAGAAUACAGCUCAAGGAGCACUAUUGUAAGAUCUCAGUUAUUACAGCAAAGCAGGAGUAGGAGUGUUACCUCGAUAAGAGUUCUCCGAACCUGGGUAAAUCUGUGUGUACUUGUGUGCUUGUGCGUGUUUCUCUUCACGUCCUCCCUCCUCCGGAUCCUCCUUCGUCCAUCGGCCCCAACAUAAGCCAUCCUAUGGCAUCUGUCGUGACACCACCACGAUAGUUGGCGCCCACCGUGGGGCCAGCAGCGGUGUUGGCUGGAGUUUUCAUCCGGACGGAAGCUUCCUCGUCACCGGAGAGCGCGUGGUCUCCGGUUGGCGACCCCGUGCCCAGCUCCACUUCGGCAGCUGGGGCUUCAUCAUCCUCGGGGGCUCUCCCCGGCACCGACCUCGGCACCCUCGCCGGGGUCGCUUGGAAUCCUCUUACCUGGGAUCCGAGCGUCUUCGAGCGGGGGCACCGGUUCCUGGACGCCGUCCGGGACCAGCAGUUCGCCUUCGUCACCUCCUAUAACGAGGUGAGGGAGCGCCACACCGCCGCCAAGAAUCAACUUGGCGAGGUGAGGGAGGCUGUCGAGAGAGAGCGGCGCAAACUCUCCCGGCUACGCGAGGAGGCGCGCCUCGCCGAAGAGGAGGCGCAGCUGGCCCGGCAAGCCCUGGAGGCUGCUCGGGAGCCGGUAGUCCCGGAGACCGAGCUUCGUCGGCAACUGGAGGUCCAACGCACGGAGCUCCAAGGAAGGCUCGACGCAAUGGCGGCAACUCUAGAAGUGUCCUGGAAGGAGCAUGCCGAGGUGCUGGCGACGGCCCAUGCGCGGCUGGACGAGAAGAGCGAGCUGAUCGCCAACUACCGCGGCGAAACCGAAGGCCUCAGCGUCCUGCUGAAGGUGCAGGUCAAGGCUGCCGAGGACGUGGCGAGAGCGGCGACUCAGCACGAGGCCGAGCUCAACUCCAUCAAAGGCAAAGCGGCCGGGCUUGAGGACGAGUUGGCCGCCGUCCGGGAAGAGCUCACCAAGGCCGGCGAGGCCAACGCGACCCAAGCCUUAGAGCUUGCGAAGCUGGAGGGCCGCGUUAGCAAGGCCAAGAAGGCCGCGCAAGAUGCCCGACUCCAUCACGGCACGCUGAUCGGGCAGUGGCAGCUCGAGACGGAGAAGCUGGCGAAGAUCGCCGAGUUGCUGCGCGACCUGCUGCCCAAGUUCGAGCUGCAGGCGACGGAGGUGGACGGCACAGACGUCACGACGUUGAUCCCCUUCUUCUCCGACUUGUUGGGGAAGCUUGGGGCGCUCGAUGUCUGGAUCACCAAGUAUGGCGCCAACGAAGUCGCCAACUGCGCCCGGGAGGUUGCCGAGACAAUCCUCCCGCGGAUUCAUCUCCGGGACCCGAAAUUUCCCUUCGAGUCCCUUCUGGACGCUUGGUCCGACAGCGAGGACGAGCCCACGCACACCCAAGCAGUGCGCGAGUUCGUCGACGAGGUCGUCGAGCGGAUGCGGAUGAAGCCGGAGCCUGAACCCCCCGUCGACUCCCCGGCCGAAGACGGCGACAGCUAGUUGCCGCAGCCCCCAGCUAUACUCGUUGCUUCCACUGUACCUCCUUCUUGUUUGCUUUUCCUGCAAGUAUGGCGUUUAGCGCCGUUUGGACAAUGACCUUUUGAUUAGUCUAUGUAACCAUUCAACACUUAGUCAAUCAAGCUUGUUAGUUUGCUCAAUUUUUGUCCUUUAUUCCCGAGGCCGCCUCGCGGGGUGGUUCCCUUAGCUUUUGCGUGUCUUGCCUUGUGUUGCGGGGGGACUCGCGCAUGCCUCACCCUUGACCAGACCAAGGACCCGGAACGGACCCGCAGUGCCGACCUGGGGCCAAGCGGUAGCGGGAGCCACUCCACUUGCGGCGUAACCACUCCAAGCCGUGUCCUCCCGGGGCGGACCCGGGAGCCACACGGGGAGCGCACUCCCCCCGCAAGCGUCCCUUUUAACACCCCGGCUACGCGUGGGAUCCGGGGCCGCACCGAGCGGGGCAGUGCUCAGUUUCGUUCAGCUCUUAGCGAAUUCAGCGUUCAGGUUCAGAUACUUAGCUUUUCCGUUCGGUCCAAUGUUUCGCGAUGCUCUGCGGUAGAGUGCAGACGGGGCACUACCUCGGUAGAAAACCAUCUGGGGUACCUGUUCAAGGGAAACGAUCUCGGAGGGAUGCGGCAGGAACGCGGAGGCAGGAUCGCCGCCGGCGGCAACCGCCGCCGACGAUGCUACCACCACGCUCACGCGGCAACCCUCGCCCUCAGGGGCGAACCCUGGCUUAGGAGGACUCCGCUCCGGGUGCAGCCGCAAAACGGCUAUAACGUCCUCGCCGCCGGCUUCACCUGAAGCGAUCCCCCUUCGCCAAGGGUUCGAUCUCUGUGCUUACUUGUGCUAGUCCCUGGAUCGACUCACUAGCACACACAGUUCAAGAUGUAAUACCAAGAUACAAAGGUCAAAAGUACUUUAUUACAUCGUAUCAUCCAGAACUUAGAUUGUACUUACAAACUUGCAUGACCUCUUGGGCCAGCAUAAACAAAUAAUGUUCAAAACCAUGACAACAAUGUAUCAUGAAGCUGCAGCGGAAAAGUAGAGUAAAAGGGCCUCAUCUACUCCCAGAGGAGAGAGCAUGUUGGAAUGUAAGCACAUGACCCAUGACAAAACGACGAGCCUCACUCAUCGUCGGAUCCACCUGCAUUGUUAAUUGCAGCCACUACGUGGUCAAUACAUUUGAAUGUAUUGGCAAGCUCACUAGAGUUAUAAAGGACCUACCAAGUACAUGCAUAGUUUGGCUAAGUGGGGUUUGGCUAUUUUGCAUAAAAGCAUCAUUAUUCAAAUCCUAUCAUUUUUAGACAAAUAGUUUUGAAUUCUAUUGGACACGGGGUAGAAACACCCAUGCUCCUAUUAACCUAGGCACAUUGAGUAGAAACAUCAAUGCUCCUACCCAGUUCAAACCAUUCAUUUUAUUGAGAAAUUGGAAUGAGUGAGACUUUCCUUACAGCUCCGAUAUCCAGUUGCUCAUAAUUGUCCGUAACCGGGGACACGGCUAAGUACUUAGUUUGACACUCUCGAGAGGUGGUACACUUUACCCACAAGAAAUCGACGUGUUAAUCCCUUGCUGUCCUCCAGGUGGAGUAGCAACGGCAUCGAUUACAGGAAUUUUCAGAACAUAUUCCCCCAAACCACCUGAGGGACGCGCCCCCACCUACACUGCUACAUACCGAUGUCACCUCGUGGCAGAGCCCAUAAUACCAUGUGGUUGUACUGGAAGCUACUAAACAGGAAACUAGUCCAGUCUCUGGUUAUCCCGGGUGGCAUCCCACAUUGUGACGCAGGCGCUCCCCGAAUCGCACGGGGAGACGACCAUGGACGCUCCCGAAUCACACGGAGAGACGACUCAGCGGGCCCCAUAGAAAUGGACCUAACGUCACGACAUCCGAAAACUCAAAGCAGCCCACCCAGGACGGUUCAUUGAAUUACUUGUUUUGCCAUACACUAGGAAAAUCAUAUUGUAAUUCAACAGUAUCACAUUGUAAUAAUACCACACUCGUAUAUUAUCAUAGCAUAGCAUUUUACUACUACGAUGGCAAUUGGUGGUAAGGUCAUGACAAAGGGUAUCAUAUACUAAUAGGACCGAUCAUAGCUAGCAUAGAUACAAUAAUAAUCAUGACAAUGCAACUAAUAAAAUCUAGUGCAUAAUAAAAUAAUAGGAUGAUGGUCAAAGUGAACUUGCCUUGAUAGUAGAUGGAGUUCAAACACUCGUCACAAUCGCAAGGUUCGCUCUCCGAGACUACUAUACAAUCAACAAACAUAUACACACACAUAAACACAUAAUACAAACAUGACAAAAGAAUAUGUAUGCCAUGAUGCGAUGCAAAACAUAUGACAUGGGUGGGUUGGUUUUAUUUGGGUGAUCUACUGGUCCAAGGCAUUGAUAAUUAGGCACAUGCAAUUAGGGUUUUUAAAUGAAUUGCAAAGCCUAGGGUUUAAACCCUAAAAUGAGGUUUUAUUAGCAUCAGCCAAAUAGAUUAAUUCAAAACAUGUAUUUCUCUGUCCCAUUGGACAGAGGACAUUAAAACAAAAUUUUGGGCACUGGUUUCAUUCAAAAAGGACUUCUAAAUAAUUAGUUAUGAUUUAAAUGGUAUGAACCCUAAUCUGUAAUUUGAAUGUGAUUCAAAUAUUCAAAUUUAAAUUUGGACAGUGCCAAAAGAUUCUACACUUUCUAAGGAUUCCAAAAGUGCCUUUUAUUAUUUCCGGGGGAUUAAAAUUACAUUUUAUUUUAUAAUACCGGGUGCCACGUGUCGCAAUCUCAUUGGUGCAUACCGGUUCGGUUAAAUGAAAAAAAAAUCGGGAUCUAAUCUGGACCGUUGAUCACGAUCGGACGGACGGGGACUCUCGGGCUCACCUAGGGUUCCGGCGAGGAAACUCCGGCGGCGGCGCGGCGCGGGUGGGGACGGCGGCGGGGUCUCCGGCGGGGCUAGCGUGACGGGGAGGUGCGGGGACGGAGCGGCGCGGCACGGCGAGCUCGGGGACGCGGUCGGCGCGGGCUCGGGCGGCGCGGGUCGGCGCCUAGGACGGGACGAGCGGGCGGUGCGGUCGGCGGACGGCGGCGCGGGCACGGGCGCGGCGGCGCGGGGACGCUCCGGCGACGUGGGCGCGACGGUGAAGGCACGGGGAGGCGCGGCGCGGCACGGCGGAGACGGGGCGCGGUCGGGGACGGUCGGGGACGGUCAGGGACGGCGCCGAGGACGAAGAUGGGCGGCGGCGCGGUCGGCUCCGGCGAGAAAUCGGGGCAGCCCGGCGGCGCGAUCGGAUGAGGAAACAAGGGGGAAAGAGAGAGGAGGUCGCGGGGGUUAUAAAGGAGUGCUCGGGCAUGAAAAUGGAAGGCCGGAGGAGCGGAUUGCGGCGGCGGGCGCGCGGGGACGGCGGCCGGAAAUCGCGCGCGUGACCGGCGGCGCUUUCCUUCGGGGAAGACGCAGCUGACAGGUGGACCCCACCUGUCAACGACUGCGGGCGCGCGCGCGCGGACCGGGCGGUCUGGACCGGUCGGGCGCGGUCGGACUGGGCCGGUUCGGCCCAUUUUGGCCGGGCCGGUCCGGUUUACCCCUUUUUUUUUUCUUUUAGGCCUUUUCUUUUUCUGUUUUUCUCAUUUCUUUGAUAUCUUUUGUGUUUGAACUCCAAAUUGGUCCAAAUAAAUUCCCGAAAAUUUGUAAAAUCAUGUUCUACCAUGAUACAACUUUUGGAAGUAGUUUCUCUUCAAAAUAAAAUAUAUAAAAAUACAUUUGCCCUAUAAAUGACUUUAGGGCUAUAUAUCUGUUUGAAUAAAAUACUUUUUCAACUCCAAUUAGUUAACCAAAAAUUAUGGGAUAGCUUAUAUAUGCAUUAAAACCCUUUUUAUACCUCAAUCCUAUUGGUUUGAAAAUCCAAAGGUUACAGGGAUGUAAACAAAAUCUCUUAAAGUCUUUUGUGAUUCAAAAUUUGAAUUCAAACAUGCAAUUGUGUCAGGAUGCUCAUGGAUGAAAUGCACAUGUAAAGGUUUGAAAUUUUGGGAUGUUACAUCACCACACCCCGAACAGCGGGCACGGGUGGCGACGAAGUUAUAGCCUUCCAGCAACAGCCCCCGCAACUGGAGAGACCUGGCUUUUCUCUAGGGAACUCGUCCCAAGGGAUGCGACGACCCUUGUUACCCGGGAGCUAAACUGCUCGAGGACCGCGGCAAGGACGCGGUGAUGGGCCGGAACGAGCGACGAGCGCUGGCACCGGCGCCAUCACAGCGUCCUCGCAACGACCCGCGCCCGAAAAAGGCUCUCUCAAAGGGAACGCGGCCGGGUCUCUAUUUUAGUGUACCCGUCGGCACAAGGCACGGAUGGCAUGCACUACCAUAGAGUCUCCGCGGCAGCCCCUGCUCCUUGUGGAGGUGUCCUACGGAGGGGGGCGACAAGGGCACUGUGGCAAUGCACCCCGUCGGCGCCGGACGCUGAGGGGAUGCACCACCACAGUGCCUCUGCGGCGACCCUCGCGCAGGAACCGUCCCUUUGAGGAAGCGCAGCAGGGGCACAAUGGCCGUGCACCCGUCGGAGCGGGACACCGAUGGCAUGCACUCCCAUCAUGCCUCUGUGGCACCCCUCGGGGUGGGCUCGAUGGGGUGAUGCAGCAGGGGAGCGAUGGUGGCGCACCCGCCGGUGCUAGGCUCCGGCGGGAAGCACCACCUCCGCGCCUCCGUCGCACCACCUGCUUUCACGGCCCCGAACCCGGCUUCGCUCUGAGCAAUUCCAUGGUUGGGGCGCACCUUUUAUAGACGCGGGAGGGAGGCACCGUGGCGCCUUUUCCUCGAACGCGGCGCAGUUUCCGCCGCCAUGCUUACCGGAUAACCGCGGCACACUUGGCGGCAAGCCGUCAACUCAGAAGCCUCGGAGUGCGCUGAACCCCUUGUGUUGCGGUCCUCCCUCGCCACAAGGCAGGUGUAUGGUGCGACCCGUGGGCAGCUCACGGGCACCACAGUGUACAAGAUUCCUCCCUUUCCUGCAGGUUAGACUCUUACCAGGUCUGGGGUGCUGCAAAAAAUUUUGAAACUUACGAAAACAAGUAACGCAGGUAAAUCAGAUAAAUCUCUCCUGCUUCCUAGCCCCCGGCACAAAGGGGUCGAUGCCAAACUUGGAUGCGAGCAUUUCCCUUCCCAGGCGCAGCGACUGCACGGUGCAUGCUGCGGGAGGCCGAGCAACUGCACGCCUAGUGAUGCACGUUGCGGGAAGCCCGCCAACGGCACGACCAGUGAUGCACGUUGCGGGAAACCUACCAACGGCAUGGCUCGUGCCGGAACGAUCCGGCAACGGGUUUUCGUUUCAGGGCCACUGCAACCCCUUGGUCACAACCAAGUAUGGUAAGACACCUUUGUGCACUUAAAGCAGGAGGCAAGAGGGGGAAAACACGCGAAUGAACAAGGCAAAACCAAAGCUUAGGGGUGAAACACUUAUCUUUAUUCACAAUUAACUAGCGGUUUACACACGGGGGCUUCCCGGUUACACUAGUUCGAGUGGUAUGCAUAGGAGGCAUCACCUGAGGGUCGGGCUCCGCCGCUUCACGGGUAGAACUUGCGCAAGUGUUCAAUAUUCCAGCUAUUGGGCACCAGCAAGCCGUCUUCGGUUUCCAGGCGGACAACCCCCGGCCUGGUCACCUGCACUACCCGGAAGGGGCCCUCCCAUUAGGGAGUCAACUUGUUCCCGGCCUUCGUUCCUUGUAUCCGACGCAGGACAAGGUCUCCGUUCUCGAGCCCCCCGGGACGGACUCGUCUGUCGUGAUAACGACGGAGUCCCUGCUGGUAGCGCGCGGCUCGCACAGCAGCCCGGCAUCGAAGUUCUUCGAUGAAGUUUAGAUCGUCGACCCUUUGCUCGUGUUGGCUGGUGUCGCCGUACGCGCGUACUCGGGGAGAUCCGUACUUGAGCUCGAGGGGCAGCACCGCUUCUGCCCCGUAGACAAGGGCGAAAGGAGUUUCGCCCGUUGCCCGACUAGGUGUGGUCCGGAUGGACCACAGCACGAGCUGGAGUUCUUCGAUCCAGUGCUUCCCGUGGCCCUUGAGCUUGUCAAAGGUUCUCGUCUUGAGCCCCCACAGAACCUCUGCGUUGGCUCGCUCUGCCUGUCCGUUGCUCCUCGGGUGAGCGACGGACACGAAGCGCAGCUUAGUGCCCAUGUCUUCGCAGUAGGCCUGAAACGCCGCGCUCGUGAAUUGCGUGCCGUUGUCGGUGAUGAUGCUGUUAGGAACACCAAACCGGCACACAAUGCCCUUAAGGAACUUGAUGGCCGCCUGGGCGGUCACCUUGCGCACUGGUUCCACCUCCACCCAUUUGGAGAACUUGUCGAUGGCCACAAACAAGUAUUCGUAACCGCCAACCACCCUUGGUAGCUUGCCGACGAUGUCCAGUCCGCAGACCGUGAACGGCCAUGAGGACGGGAUGACAUGCAGGGCCUGGGCUGGUUGGUUGCUCUUCUUUGAGUGGAACUGGCACGCUUCGCACGUCCUCACCAGCCGUUCUGUGUCGGCCAGGGCCGUGGGCCAGUAGAAGCCAUGCCAGAAAACUUUGCCGGCCAAAGCCCGGGAGGCCACAUGGUGUGAACAUGUGCCUCGAUGUAUGUCCUCCAACAGUGCACACCCUUCUUCCUGCAGCACGCAGAUGAGUUUGACACCAUUCGCACGCCUGCGGUAGAUGCUGCCGUCUAUCACAGUGUACAUCUUGGCUUGUCGCGCUACACGCUCCGCGGCGACGUCAUCCUCCGGGAGAGCCUCCCCUUUCAAAUAGCGGCCGAUCUCUUCCGCCCAGGGAGGAAUUUCCCUGCCGACGCAUGCCGCCAUAUCAGCGGCAUGAACCCCUGCUGCUGCAGGGGUUCCUUCAGUUGCCAGAGGGGCGUCCCCGGCAGCCGGCUGGGGGGCGACUGAAGGAGCCAGUUGCUUCUGACAGAACACCCCCGCCGGAGGCUUCCGGCGCUCUGCUGCCAUCUUGGCCAGCUCGUCAGCAGCGAAGUUGUCCCUCCGCUUGACGUGUUCAAAGCGCAAACCCUUGAACUUCCGUUUCAGCUUGCGGAUCUCUUCCACGUACGACGCCAUUUGAGGGCAAUCGUAGUCCUUGUUCACCUGGUUGAUCACAAGCUGGGAAUCACCGCGAACAACUAGGCGCUUCAUGUCGAGGGCGACCGCUGCCCGCAGCCCGGCAAAGCAAGCCUUCGUACUCCGCAGUGUUGUUGGUGGAGUUAGCGAAGUCGAGUUGGACGGCGAACCGCAGCUGGUCCCCUGUGGGUGACUCGAUGACGACCCCGGCCCCCGCUCCCUGUAGACUGAACGCACCGUCGAAGUAGAGGACCCAGUGGCCCUCGUCCAGCUUGUCGGGAAGGCCGGUCUCCGACUCACUUUCUUCUACGCCUGUGGAUGUCCACUCCGCGACGAAGUCCGCCAAGGCCGUGCUCUUGAUGCUUUUAGAGUUGGCGAAGUGGAGGUCAAACUCCGACAGCUCCAUCCUUCAUUCGGCCACCCUCCCGGUGGCUUCACGGUUGGUGAGGGUCCGCUCGAGGCAGAACGCGGACACCACCGUGACGUGGUGCGCCUGGAAGUAGUGGCGCAGCUUGCGGGACGCAAGGAGAAUCCCCAGAAGGAGCUUAUGUACUAGCGGGUACCUUGUCCACGCGUCGCGCAGCACCGUACUAACGAAGUAUACCGGGCGCUGCACCAACCGCUUCCGCGGCACCGGGGUUGCCGGCUCAGGGUCGGUCCCCGGGUUCGAGGCAGUUGCCGGGGGCCGCUCAGCCCCCUGCCCCGCCGCCCCAAUCCCCGGGACGUCUUCCUCCCUCUCGGCAACCAGCACCGAGCUGACCACCUGGUCGGUCGCCGCUAAGUAGAGUAGCAACGGCUCGCCCAACUUGGGGGCGACGAGGAUGGGCGGUGACCUCAGGUAUUGCUUGAGUUCCUGGAGCGCCGCCUCGGCCUCGGCAGUCCAGUCGACUAGACCCUUCUUCUUCAUUACCCGGAAGAAAGGCAGGGCACGCUUGCCCAGCCUGGAGAUGAAGCAUCCCAGUGCGGCAACGCAGCCGUUGAGGCGCUGGACAUCUUUCACCUUGCGGGGGGGGCCUCCAUCUUCUCGAUGGCUUCUAUUUUGGUCGGGUUAGCCUGUAUCCCCCGGUGUGAAACCAAGAAACCCAGAAGCUGCCCGGAGUUGACACCGAAGGUGCACUUAUCAGGGUUCAGCUUGAGCUUGAUCCUACGGAGGUUAUCAAAUGUCUCUCGCAGGUCAUCAAUCAGCGAGUCCCUACGCUUCGAUUUGAUGACAAUGUCAUCCAUGUAGGCCUCCGCGUUGCGGCCUAGCUAGGGCCCCAAACAUUCUCGCAGGGCGUGCUUGAAUGUGGAGCCUGCGUUCUUCAACCCGAAAGGCAUGCAUGUAUAGCAAUAGCAGCCAACCGAGAUGAUAAACGCUGUCUUUUUCACCGCCGUCUUGAUUUGAUGGUAGCCAAAGAAAGCAUCCAGAAAACUCAACAGGUCACAACCAGCGGUAGAAUCAAUUAUCUGGUCGAUUCGGGGUACAGGGAAGGGAUCCUUGGGGCAUGCACGAUUAAGAUCGGUAAAAUCUACGCACAUGCGGAGCUUAUUCCCUGCUUUGGGCACUACUACAGGGUUAGCCAGCCAAGUGGGGUACAAAACUUCCCUGAUCGCCCCGGCAGCCCUGAGCUUGCCCACCUCUUGCUUGAUGAAAUCUUUCCGCUCUUGUGCCUGCCGCCGGAUCUUCUUCUUGACAGGGUGCGCGUCCGGGCGCACCGCGAGCCGAUGCUCAAUCACCUCCCUGGGGACUCCGGGAAGGUCCGACGGUUCCCAGGCGAACACGUCGGCAUUUUCCCGGAGGAAGGCGACGAGGGCGCUUUCCUAUCCGGCGGUCAGGUUCGCACCGACGGUAACGGUGCGCUCCUUGUCGCCGGCUUGGAGGGGCAGCUUCUUCACUUUGGCGGCCUCCUCCCGGAACCCCCGCCCCUUGCCGGGGCGCGCGCUCGAGCCUGCGCCUCCUCCGGCUAGCCCUUGCGGGGUGGCGCGGGCCUUCUUCGUUGCCGGGGCGUCACCCGGCAAGGCCUUGUCCUCGACAACACCUUCGUCGCCGGCGUCAGCUGCAGCAGCGGCCGGGACGACCUCGCCAACGCACCAAGCUGCGUCUUUGAGAUCGCACCCGAUGGAGAGGACUCCGUAGACGGACGGUAUCUUCAUCACGCCGUAGGCGCAAUGCGUACCCGCCAUAAACUUGAUCAGCGCCGGCCGACCAAGGAUCACGUUGUAGGGCAACGGGGUAUGCGCCACGUCGAACACUAUGUGCACGGUCCUGAACGCUUCUCGGGACCCGAAGUUGACCGGCAGCGUGAUGCGUCCUAGCGGGCGCACGAUCCCGGGGUUCACCCCCCGGAACGAUUCGGUGGGCUUCAGCUGCUCCAUCGGCAGCUGGAGCUUUUCCACCAGCCUGGCGGACAGGAGGUUAAGCCCUGCUCCGUUGUCCACCAGCACCUUGGUCACCGUCAUAUUGCUAAUGAUCAGCGAGACGACGAAGGGUAUUACCCCGGAACCCAACUGUCGCGCCGGGUGAUCGUCGGCGCUGAAGGUGAUCGGCACGUGCGACCACCUCAGCGGCUGUUGCGGCUCCGCAUCCGACAACAACGCGCACACGUCGUGGGUGAGGUGCUUCACCGCGGCGUGGGAUGGGAGAGCGUAAGCUCCCCCAUGGAUGCAGGCGACGCCACGAGGCUCCUGGAAGCCCGGCUCGUCGCCGCCGGAAUAGUCGGACUCGCGCUGCUCCUCGGCGCGUGCCCUGUCACGCCCCCGAGGAGGGCGUUCGAGCGCAGCGAGGGGCUGGCGGCGCCCCCCUUGGGGUUCAACCCUGUCGGCAUCACCGCAGGCCGGCCUCGGACCCGCUCUGGGGUCGUUCGGGCAAUCUCGGGAGAGAUGCCCGAUGUCGCCACAAUUGAAGCAGGCGCCGGCGGCGCGGCGCCCCUCGUGGCGCUGCUCCCGCCGCUGCUUGAUCCCUUGCAGGACGCGGCAACUCUGCGCGUCGUGCGUGGAGUUUUUGUGGACAGGGCAGCGGGGCGCGUCGCCCUGCUUCCCGCCAGACUCUCCCCCCGGCGAGGCCUUCUUCGUGGGCCUCGCGGCAGGAGCCCCCGAGUCCGCAGCGAGGACUUGCUUCCCGCUGCGCUUACGGAAACCCUUCUUCUGCGAGCCCUCGCCAGGGCUCGCGGCAGCCUGGGCAGCGAGCUCGGGCGCUAGGCGCCCCUCCUCGACCAUGGCGCACUUGUGCGCCAAGGCGUACAAGUCCUGCGUCGUCCGGAUCCGAUGUGUGCUCAGCUUCUCACGCAUCUUGGGAUCGCGGACGUUGAUGGCGAAGGUGUUGAUGAUGGCGACCGCCUCCGCCUCCGGGAUAGAAUAGGAGAUUGGAGAAGCGGUUGACGAAGGCUCACAACGUCUCUCCCGGUUUUUGCACGAUGGUGUGCAGCUCUGCCAUGGUCCCCGGGCGCUUAUAGCCACCCCGGAACGUGCUCACGAACUGCUCACGCAGGUCUGCCCAGGUGGCGACGGAUCCGGCGGGCAGGUUGAGCAACCAGGUUCGCGCUGCUCCCUUCAGGACCAUCGGGAACCAGUUCGCCCUGACCUUGUCAUCGGCGCCGAUGGCAAAUGCAUGCCCAGCGUAUAGGUCAGGAGAAAAUCUUUGGGUUUAGCGGUCCCGUCAUACGUACUGAGCGCAGGCGCUCGGAACUUACGGGGCCACACCACCCGCCGUAGCUCGUGCGUGAAUGCGGUGCAGCCGUCUUCUGGGCCCAGGGGAACGUCUUGUAACAUCCCAAAAUUUCAAACCUUUACAUGUGCAUUGCAUCCAUGAGCAUCAUGCCACAAUUGCAUGUUUGAAUUCAAAUUUUGAAUCACAAAAGGCUUUAAGAGAGUUUGGUUACAUCCCUGUAACCUUUGGAUUUUCAAACCAAUAGGGUUGAUGUAUAAAAAGGGUUUAAUGCAUAUGUAAGCUAUCCCAUAAUUUUUGGUUAAUUAAUUGGAGUUGAAAAGGUAUUUUAUUCAAACAGAUAUAUAGCCCUAAAGUCAUUUAUAGGGCAAAUGUAUUUUUAUAUAUUUUAUUUUGAAGAGAAACUACUUCCAAAAGUUGUAUCAUGGUAGAACAUGAUUUUACAAAUUUUCUGGAAUUUAUUUGGACCAAUUUGGAGUUCAAACACAAAAGAUAUCAAAGAAAUGAGAAAAACAGAAAAAAAGAAAAGGCCUAAAAGAAAAAAAAAAGGGGGUAAACCGGACCGGCCCGGCCAAAAUGGGCCGAACCGGCCCAGUCUGACCGCGCCCGACCGGUCCCGACCGCCCGGUCCGCGCGCGCGCGCCCGCAGUCGCUGACAGGUGGGGUCCACCUGUCAGCUGCGUCUUCCCCGAAGGAAAGCGCCGCCGGUCACGCGCGCGAUUUCCGGCCGCCGUCCCCGCGCGCCCGCCGCCGCAAUCCGCUCCUCCGGCCUUCCAUUUUCAUGCCCGAGCACUCCUUUAUAACCCCCGCGACCUCCUCUCUCUUUCCCCCUUGUUUCCUCAUCCGAUCGCGCCGCCGGGCUGCCCCGAUUUCUCGCCGGAGCCGUGCCCGCGCCGACGCCCAUCUUCGUCCUCGGCGCCGUCCCCGACCGUCCCCGACCGCGCCCCGUCUCCGCCGUGCCGCGCCGCGCCUCCCCGUGCCUUCACCGUCGCGCCCACGUCGCCGGAGCGUCCCCGCGCCGCCGCGCCCGUGCCCGCGCCGCCCGCUCGUCCCGUCCUAGGCGCCGACCCGCGCCGCCCAAGCCCACGCCGACCGCGGCCCCGUCUCCGCCGUGCCGCGCCGCCCGGUAAACCCUAGAACCCCCCUCGUCCGUCCGAUCUAGAUCGAUGGCUAGGAUUAGAUCAUUUAUAAACCGAACCGGUACCGUCCAAUAAUAAUGCGCCACGUGGCACCCGGUUUUUAUAAAAUAAAAAUGUAAUUUUAAUCCCCCGGAAUUAAUAAAAGGCACUUUUGCAGAUAGGCCCCUGUAACUUCAAAUGAUCAUAACUUUAAAUCUGUUUGGCCAAAUUUAAUGAUCCACACCUUUUUGGAGUCCUUAGAAAGUGUAGAAUCUUUUGGCACUGUCCAAAUUUAAAUUUGAAUAUUUUAAUCACAUUCAAAUUACAGAUUAGGGUUCAUACCAUUUAAAUCAUAACUAAUUAUUUAGAAGUACUUUUUGAAUGAAACCAGUGCCCAAAAUUUUGUUUUAAUGUCCUCUGUCCAAUGGGACAGAGAAAUAAAUGUUUUGAAUUAAUCUAUUUGGCUGAUGCUAAUAAAACCUCAUUUUAGGGUUUAAACCCUAGGCUUUGCAAUUCAUUUAAAAACCCUAAUUGCAUGUGCCUAAUUAUCAAUGCCUUGGACCAGUAGAUCACCCAAAUAAAACCAACCCACCCAUGUCAUAUGUUUUGCAUCGCAUCAUGGCAUACAUAUUCUUUUGUCAUGUUUGUAUUAUGUGUUUAUGUGUGUGUAUAUGUUUGUUGAUUGUAUAGUAGUCUCGGAGAGCGAACCUUGCGAUUGUGACGAGUGUUUGAACUCCAACUACUAUCAAGGCAAGUUCACUUUGACCAUCAUCCUAUUACUUUAUUAUGCACUAGUUUUUAUUAGUUGCAUUGUUAGGAUUAUUAUUGUAUCUAUGCUAUGCUAUGAUUCUCCUAGUAGCAUAGGACACCCUUGCCAUUUCCUAACCACCGAUUGCCAUCGUAGUAGUAAAUUGCUAUGCUAUGAUAAUAAACGAGGGCGGUAUUAUUACAAUGUGAUACUAUUGAAUUACAAUAUGAUUUUCCUAGUUUAUGGCAAAACAAGUAAUUCAAUGAAUCGUCCUGGGUGGGCUGCUUUGAGUUUUCGGAUGUCGUGACGUUAGGUCCAUUUCUAUGGGGCCCGCUGAGUCGUCUCUCCGUGUGAUUCGGGAGCGUCCAUGGUCGUCUCCCCGUGCGAUUCGGGGAGCGCCUGCGUCACAAUGUGGGAUGCCACCCGGGGUAACCAGAGACUGGACUAGUUUCCUGUUUAGUAGCUUCCAGUACAACCACAUGGUAUUAUGGGCUCUGCCAGGAUGGAUGUAAGAAAUAUGAACCUGGAUCCGAGGUGACAUCGGUAUGUAGCAGUGUAGGUUGGAACGCGUCCCUCAGGUGGUUUGGGGGAAUAUGUUCUGAAAAUUCCUGUAAUCGAUGCCGUUGCUACUCUACCCUGAGGACAGCAAGGGAUUAACACGUCGAUUUCUUGUGGGUAAAGUGUACCUCCUCUCGAGAGUGUCAAACUAAGUACUUAGCCGUGUCCCCGGUUACGGACAAUUAUGAGCAACUAGACAUCGGAGCUGUAAGGAAAGUCUCACUCAUUCCAAUUUCUUAAUAAAAUGAAUGUUUUGAACUGGGUAGGAGCAUUGAUGUUUCUACUCAAUGUGCCUAGGUUAAUAGGAGCAUGGGUGUUUCUACCCCGUGUCCAAUAGAAUUCAAAACUAUCUGUCUAAAAAUGAUAGGAUUUGAAUAAUGAUGCUUUUAUGCAAAAUAGCCAAACCCCACUUAGCCAAACUAUGCAUGUACUUGGUAGGUCCUUUAUAACUCUAGUGAGCUUGCCAAUACAUUCAAAUGUAUUGACCACGUAGUGGCUGCAAUUAACAAUGCAGGUGGAUCCGACGAUGAGUGAGGUUCGUCGUUUUGUCAUGGGUCAUGUGCUUACAUUCCAACAUGCUCUCUCCUCUGGGAGUAGAUGAGGCCCUUUUACUCUACUUUUCCGCUGCAGCUUCAUGAUACAUUGUUGACAUGGUUUUGAACAUUAUUUGUUUAUGCUGGCCUAAGAGGUCAUGCAAGUUUGUAAGUACAUUUUAAGUUCGGGAUGAUACGAUGUAAUAAAGUACUUUUGACCUUUGUAUCUUGGUAUUACAUCUUGAACUGUGUGUGCUAGUGAGUCGAUCCAGGGACUAGCACAAGUAAGCACAGAGAUCGAACCCUUUGUGAAGGGGGAUCGCUUCAGAUGGUAUCAGAGCAAAGUGUUGCCUGUAGGAACGUGACCCUAGUUUGGAUUAAGAUAAGACAAGACCAAAGACCAAACCUUAGGAAUAGUUCUCAUCCCUUUCGGUUCUAUAUCUAUAUACAUACAAUUUAUUCCUUAUCCCUAUUCAUCUAAAUCUUUGCAUUUAUAACUUACAUAUGCAUGACAUGUUUAUUGUUUUAUUCCACAUAUACAUCGAAUACUAUGUUUAUUACCACAUAUGCAUGCUUAAUAUAUUUUACCACAGAUGCAUAUUCGAUUUUUACACCAUACACCACUAUAAUCAUGUUGCCAUGUUGUUCACAUGUUAGUAUGCAUCCAAUUUUAUAUUUACAUUUCCACCCUGGAUAUUAAUGUUAUCACUUGAUUCCCACUCUACCACUUUUAUUUUAUUUUUACUUACAUUCGACCAUUUGAUCAUGUCACUGAUACUCCCUUAUCUCCUUCUUUAUUUUCUAUAGAUGGGAAGCCCAACACCGUUCGGCAAUGUACCGCCGUUCACCCGCGUCUACUAUCCUUCCACGGACGACGACCAGCUGUUCAGUGCCCUUUGGCGGCACUGUGUGCUUUCCUCGACCUGCCACCACCCAGGUUCAGAGGCCGAGUUGAGACCGCCGCACCCGAGGGAUGGCAGCCACGGUGGGAGAUCGAGGCGAAGAUCCGCGGGCGUGAGAUCGCGCCAGCUACACCGGAUAUCACCUUCAUCAGCCGCUACCCCACAUUCGAGCAGGGCCUUCAGUUCGCCAUGCAGUGCGCCUUCGCACAGGUGUGCCGGGACUAUCGGCACGAGUUCCCCGAGGAUUCCCCCUUCCUCCUCUUUGGAAGGCGGAACCAUGCAUGCUCGGCGGUGGCUACGACCAACGACGAGGAUGCGACCCCAGUGACGACCCACUUCGAGAACAUGGAGAUAAACACCGUGGACUUGGAGUCUUGUCUCGAGCACGAGAUGACCAGGGCCGGCCUCGCCGAGGAGCAGGUUGGUAACCUGAUGGGAGAGAAGACCCAGUGGCUGGAGGACAAGGCCGUGUUGGAGAACACUGUCCUCAAUAUGGGAGACGCCAUCGAGCAGCUGCAGUACGAGAGGGACCAGGCUCGCUACUACUGCGAGCAGUUCCAGGCGUUCAUCGCAGCAGCAGCCGCAGCAGCACCAGCUGCCGCACCGACGCCAGACCAGGUCCCACCUCCACCACAGGAUCAGGACAUGGAGCCUCAGGAGGAGGAGCCGACUGAGGAGGAGGAGCCCCAGGAGGUCCACGAGAUGGACACCCCUGCUACAAACACCCGCUCCAAGAUGAAGGCGAACGGGACCACACCGACAGCCACACUCCCUUAGAUCCAUUGAUGCCUACCAGACUUUAUCUUUUCUUCUAGCUAUCGGUAGUGCGAGUUAGUCAUUGACCAUACAAUCUAUGUGUAUGGCAAUGUAGGUCGAUUGCUUUCUCCUCGUACUCUUUUCUUUAUGGGCAAUGCCCCACCAUAAACAAGUGUGUUUUGUUAUGAUUUUUCAAAACCUUUUAUGUUGAUGAGUGUAUGAUUGAUAUAUGCUUGAGUUACUACCUGGUUUUGAGGGUUUAGUUAUCCUUAGCUCUAUUCUAUCUGUUUUCCUCAUCUAUGCUACCCUAAACAGAUGCCUCCGAGACGCCGGAACCCCGCCAACAACGCUGAGGCUAACAAUGCCGAAGCUGACGGAAACGCUGCCACCAUGCAACAGUUAUUGGCCGCUCAGACCCAAUUCUUCCAGAUGAUCACCCAGCAAUUGGCCAACAACAAUGCCAACCACCAGCAGAACCACAACAACCAGCAACACCACCCACCCCAAGUGGAUAUGCUGACCAGGUUCCUACGUUUGCGCCCGCCCACUUUUUCCAGCUCCACUGAGCCUAUUAUGGCUGACGAUUGGCUCCGGUCAGUCAACAAGAACUUGGUCACCAUCAACUGCACUGACGAAGAGAAAGUGCGAUUCGCAGCUCAUUUGCUAGAAGGACCCGCAGCGUCAUGGUGGGAAAAUUUUCAGAUCACCACUCCCAUCGAGGAUGUCACCUGGGACAUGUUCCAGGAAGCCUUCCGCACCGCCCACAUCUCUGCGGGAGUGCUCAGCCUGAAGAAGAAGGAGUUCCACAGGCUACGACAAGGAAGCCGCUCUGUGUCAGAGUACAUAGAAGUAUUCAACCAGCUGUCCCGCUAUGCACCGGACGAUGUGAACACCGACGCCAAGCGCAGAGAGAAGUUCUUGGAUGGUCUGAACGACGAGCUGUCAGUUCAACUUGCUAUUGCUUACACCCCGACCUACCAAUCCUUGAUCGACAAGGCCAUUAUUUUGGAAAGCAAGCUCACUCAAAUGGAGAGCCGCAAGAAAAGACUUCACCAAGGGGGCUCUCUCACUGGACCGCACCAGAAGCAGCGCACCUCCUAUGACGGAAGUGGCAGUUCCUCCUUGAGCAGGAACGGGAACCAGAGCAACCACCGUAGUGGAGGUAAUAGUCACCACCACCGCCAGGGAAGCCAAGGACACCACCAUCAUGGUGGCAAUGUGAACCGGCACCAUCCACAGCACCAGCCUCAGCAACAGCACCAGUUCGCUCGCCCAAGGCCCAUCAAUGGCAACGGGAACGGCAGGAACAACGGCAAUGGCCAGAGCAACAAUGGUCAGAACCACAAUGCCAAUAAGGACAUGAGCAAGGUGGAGUGCUACAAGUGUCACAAGAUGGGACACUAUGCCACCAACUGCCCGGACAACCAGGAUGGCACUGGGAACAAGCCCAAUCCAUUCCAGAAGGGCCACGUGAAUCACGUGGAUGUGGAAGAGAUCACCGAGGAACCAGGUAUCAUACUUGGCACCUUCCACAUUAAUGCUUAUGAAGUAUUAGUUCUAUUUGACACUGGAGCAUCACAUUCAUUCAUUUCAAGAGUAUUGGUAGAAAGAGGCAAAUUACCCUCUGAGACCAUGAGUAGACCUAUGAAAGUAAACUCACCGGGUGGAAUAAUGCUAGCAACCCGACACUGUCGCCAGCUACCCCUAAGUAUUGGGAGACACAUUUUUCCCUCUGAUCUCAUAGUUAUAGAUUCCCGAGGACUGGACCUAAUCCUGGGGAUGGACUGGUUGACCAUAUAUGAAGGAUUAGUAGACUGUGCCCAGAGAACUGUCACACUCACUACCCCAGACAAGAGACGCAUCCGGUACAAGUCAACCCACGAGCUUAAGAAACCUAAGGUUAAUGCUCUUAAGGGGGUUAGCAUGGACGAUGUACCAAUAGUGAAGGAAUACCCAGACGUGUUUCCAGAGGAAUUACCAGGCAUGCCACCGGACCGUGAUGUGGAGUUCCUUAUUGAGUUAAUGCCAGUGAAGCGAUCCCCCUUCACAAGGGUUCGAUCUCUGUGCUUACUUGUGCUAGUCCCUGGAUCGACUCACUAGCACACACAGUUCAAGAUGUAAUACCAAGAUACAAAGGUCAAAUGUACUUUAUUACAUCGUAUCAUCCAGAACUUAAAUUGUACUUACAAACUUGCAUGACCUCUUGGGCCAGCAUAAACAAAUAAUGUUCAAAACCAUGACAACAAUGUAUCAUGAAGCUGCAGCGGAAAAGUAGAGUAAAAGGGCCUCAUCUACUCCCAGAGGAGAGAGCAUGUUGGAAUGUAAGCACAUGACCCAUGACAAAACGACGAACCUCACUCAUCGUCGGAUCCACCUGCAUUAUUAAUUGCGGCCACUACGUGGUCAAUACAUUUGAAUGUAUUGGCAAGCUCACCAGAGUUAUAAAUGACCUACCAAGUACAUGCAUAGUUUGGCUAAGUGGGGUUUGGCUAUUUUGCAUAAAAGCAUCAUUAUUCAAAUCCUAUCGUUUUUAGACAAAUAGUUUUGAAUUCUAUUGGACACGGGGUAGAAACACCCAUGCUCCUAUUAACCUAGGCACAUUGAGUAGAAACAUCAAUGCUCCUACCCAGUUCAAACCAUUCAUUUUAUUCAGAAAUUGGAAUGAGUGAGACUUUCCUUACAGCUCCGAUAUCCAGUUGCUCAUAAUUGUCCGUAACCGGGGACACGGCUAAGUACUUAGUUUGACAUUCUCGAGAGGUGGUACACUUUACCCACAAGAAAUCGACGUGUUAAUCCCUUGCUGUCCUCCAGGUGGAGUAGCAACGGCAUCGAUUACAGGAAUUUUCAGAACAUAUUCCCCCAAACCACCUGAGGGACGCGCCCCCACCUACACUGCUACAUACCGAUGUCACCUCGGAUCCGGGUUCAUAUUUCUUACAUCCAUCCUGGCAGAGCCCAUAAUACCAUGUGGUUGUACUGGAAGCUACUAAACAGGAAACUAGUCCAGUCUCUGGUUAUCCCGGGUGGCAUCCCACAUUGUGACGCAGGCGCUCCCCGAAUCGCACGGAGAGACGACCAUGGACGCUCCCGAAUCACACGGAGAGACGACUCAGCGGGCCCCAUAGAAAUGGACCCAACGUCACGACAUCCGAAAACUCAAAGCAGCCCACCCAGGACGGUUCAUUGAAUUACUUGUUUUGCCAUACACUAGGAAAAUCAUAUUGUAAUUCAACAGUAUCACAUUGUAAUAAUACCACCCUCGUAUAUUAUCAUAGCAUAGCAUUUUACUACUACGAUGGCAAUUGGUGGUAAGGUCAUGACAAAGGGUAUCAUAUACUACUAGGACAGAUCAUAACUAGCAUAGAUACAAUAAUAAUCCUGACAAUGCAACUAAUAAAAUCUAGUGCAUAAUAAAAUAAUAGGAUGAUGGUCAAAGUGAACUUGCCUUGAUAGUAGUUGGAGUUCAAACACUCGUCACAAUCGCAAGGUUCGCUCUCCGAGACUACUAUACAAUCAACAAACAUAUACACACACAUAAACACAUAAUACAAACAUGACAAAAGAAUAUGUAUGCCAUGAUGCGAUGCAAAUCAUGUGACAUGAGUGGGUUGGUUUUAUUUGGGUGAUCUAUUGAUCCAAAGCAUUGAUAAUUAAGCACAUGCGAUUAGGGUUUCUAAACAAAGCAAAAGCUAGGGUUUAAAUCCUAAAAUGAGGUUUUAUUAGCAUCAGCCAAAUAGAUUAAUUCAAACAUUUAUUUCUCUGUCCCAUUGGACAGAGGACAUUAAAACAAAAUUUUGGGCACUGGUUUCAUUCAAAAAGGACUUCUAAAUAAUUAGUUAUGAUUUAAAUGGUAUGAACCCUAAUCUGUAAUUUGAAUGUGAUUCAAAAGUUCAAAUUUGAAAAUGUACAGUGCCAAAAGAUUCUAAAUUUCCUAAGGAUUCCAAAAAGGUGUGGAUCAUUAAAUUUGACCAAACAGAUUAAAAGAUAUGAUCAUUUGAAGUUACAGGGGCUUUUCUGCAAAAGUGCCAUUUAUUAAAUCCGGGGGAUUAAAAUUAGAUUUUGAUUUCUAUUUUACCGUGCCACGUGUCAGAAUUGAAUAGGUGCGUACCGGUUCGAUUAAAAUAAAACCUAGGAUCUAAUCUGGACCGUGGGAUCACAAUCGGACGGUCGGGGCGGGCUAGGGUUUCACCUGCGGCGGCGGCGGUCGCCGGAGACGAGGGAGACGGCGGCGCGGCACGGGCGGGCGGCGGGCGGCUCCUCCGGUGAAGCGGACGGCGCGGCGCGGCACGGCAGACUCGGUGACGGGGUCGGCGGCGCUCGGGGACGGUGGACUCCUCGCCUAGGACGGCGCGAGCGAGCGGUGGCGCCACGGGAGCUCCGGCGAGGACGGGCGGGCGGCGUCCGGCGGCUAUAGUGCACAAAGCGAGGAACCAGCCGCGUCAAAAGAAGCGCAAAGGGGAGGGGAGAAGGAGCAAGUGCGCGGGGUCGCCUCACACCUUGUGGUUAGCCGGCGGUGACCUCGGAAAGGCGGCGGCGCGAGCUAGGGUUUCGGGGGAAAAUCCGGCAGCGUGGUCGCGAAAUCAAGCGGGGGAGUAGGGGGAAAAAGGAGAGGGGAGCUCGCCUUUUAUGGUGACGCGCUCGGGCUGUCGCGGGGAGCACGGGGACGGCGGAUCCCGGUAAUGGCGGCGGCGCGGAUCACGCGCGUGACCGGCGGGGGUUUCCCCGGCGGGGAAGACGACCCCGACAGGUGGGGCCCACCUGUCGGUGGCUCACGCUGCGCGCGCAGCCUGGGCCGGCUCGGUUCGGGCGGCUCGGGCGGGACUGGGCCGGUUCGGCCCAAAACGGUCGGGCCGGUCCGGUUUUCCCCUUUUUUUUUUUUUCUUUAGCCUUUUCUCUUUUUUUUCUGUUUUUCUUAUUUCUUUGAUAUCUUUUGAUUUUGAACUCCAAAUUGGUCCAAAUAAAUCCCAGAGAAUUUGAAAAAUCAUGCUCUACCAUGAUACAACUUUUGGAAGUAGUUUCUCUUCAAAAUAAAGUAUAUAAAAAUACAUUUGCCCUAUAAAUGCCUUUAGGGCCAUAUAUCUAUUUAAAUAAAAUACUUUUUCAACUCCAAUUAGUUAACCAAAAAUUAUGGGAUAGCUUAUAUAUGCAUUAAACCCUUUUUAUACAUCAACCCUAUUGGUUUGAAAAUCCAAAGGUUACAGGGAUGUAAACAAAAUCUCUUAAAGCCUUUUGUGAUUCCAAAUUUGAAUUCAAACAUGCAAUUGUGGCAUGAUGCUCAUGGGUGCAAUGCACAUGUAAAGGUUUGAAAUUUUGGGAUGUUACAGCCAGGAAGUGGACCCAUAGCCAAGAGACCAUAUAAGAUGGCUGUGGACGAGUUGAAAGAAUUGAAGAAGCAGCUAGCUGAACAGUUAGCGAAGGGGUUCAUCCGCCCCAGUUCAUCACCCUGGGGAGCACCUGUCCUGUUUGUAGAAAAGAAGGACAAGAGCCAACGGAUGUGCAUUGACUAUCGUUCACUCAACGAGGUGACGAUAAAGAAUAAGUAUCCUUUGCCCAUAAUCAAUGAUUUAUUCGACCAGUUGAAGGGAGCUCAAGUGUUCUCAAAGAUCGAUCUGCGAUCAGGGUAUUUUCAGCUGAAAAUCCGGAAGAUGGAUAUACCCAAGACAGCAUUCACCACUAGGUAUGGACUGUACGAGUACACCGUGAUGCCUUUUGGUUUGACCAAUGCACCUGCAUACUUCAUGAACAUGAUGAACAAGGUGUUCAUGGAAUUCUUGGACAAGUUCGUCGUAGUAUUCAUCGAUGACAUACUGAUCUAUUCCAAGAGCAAAAAGGAACAUGAGCAGCAUCUGCGCAUGUUUUUGGAGAAGUUGAGAGCGCACCAGCUGUACGUCAAAUUCAGCAAGUGUGAAUUUUGGUUAUCAGAAGUCAGUUUUCUUGGACACAUAGUGUCAGGAGCCGGAGUAGCCGUUGACCCAGCUAAGGUUGCAGCAGUUACAGAAUGGGAGGCACCGAAGAACGUCGGAGAAGUCCGUAGUUUCCUUGGACUUGCUGGUUACUAUCGGAGAUUCAUUGAGAAUUUCUCCAAAAUAGCGAAACCCAUGACAGAGCUAUUAAAGAAAGAGAAGAAAGUUUCCACGAAUUGAAGAAAAGGCUAGUGUCCGCACCCAUCCUUGUUUUGCCUGACCUACAAGAGGAUUUUCAAGUAUACUGUGACGCCUCACGUCAAGGAUUGGGAGGAGUGUUAAUGCAAGGAGGAAGAGUUGUAGCAUACGCUUCGCGGCAACUAAAGAGCCACGAAGGCAACUAUCCCACUCAUGACUUGGAGUUAGCAUCGGUAGUGCACGCCCUGAAGACCUGGAGGCACUAUCUGAUGGGAAAGCAUUGUGAGCUGUUCACGGAUCACAAGAGCCUGAAAUAUAUAUUCACCCAGAAGGAGCUGAACCUGAGGCAGAGAAGAUGGUUAGAACUGAUAAAGGAUUAUGACCUGAAUUUACAAUACCAUCCAGGCAAGGCUAACGUUGUAGCCGAUGCUUUGAGCCGCAAGGGCUAUUUGAAUGGAGUAACAACUGGAGAGUUACCACCAGAGUUGUGUGAACAGUUCAAAGACCUCAGGCUGGAAAUAGUACCUGAAGGUUACUUAGCCGCUUUGGAAGUGCAACCCACACUGCUAGACAAGAUUAGAGAAGCACAGAAGGCUGACUCAGAAAUUAAGGAAAUAAAAGAGAAUAUGCUUACUGGAAAGGCCAAAGAGUUUCGAGAAGACGACCAGGGUACCAUAUGGUUCGGAAGACGCAUUUGCGUACCGCAAGGUCCGGAAAUCAGAAAGUUGAUUCUGCAAGAAGCCCACGAUUCACCAUACUCAAUCCACCCUGGAAACACAAAGAUGUACAUGGACCUCAAGGAAACAUUUUGGUGGUCCGGAUUGAAGCGUGACAUCGCAGAGUUCAUUGCCUUGUGCGAUGUGUGCAGUAGAGUUAAGGCAGAACACCAGAAGCCAGCAGGGUUACUGAGACCAUUGCCUAUACCGGACUGGAAAUGGGAUAAAGUUGGCAUGGACUUUAUCACCAGGCUAGAAAUUCUUAAUAGAUAUAUAGAAUUCAUACAAACUUUAUGUAAGUAUCAAUGUGAUGAUACAAUAUUGUAAUUUACAAUACAUAUGUUAAAUAUGCAGGUACCAAUAUGGUGAUACACUAAUGUAAUAUUACAAUAUAGAUGACAACAUUUACUAUAAUUAUUUACAACAACAUUUGGACAUAAAUAUAGAUAAUAUCUAUUUUGGAGAUAGGUAAACUAGCUUGGGUCUCCAUGAAUAUCAUUUGAAGUAAAUUCAACGAUCAUGUUCUCCGUGCUCAUUAGGUCCUCGGACGUUUGGAGUGGCAGGUUGUUACUUGGUUCCUCCAUAAUGUCAUGCGAACAACCAGCUUCCUUUGAAUUGUCGGAUUGGAGAUUGAAGUGUGAUUCAAAUCUUGGUCCGUGUUGAGCAUGUCACUUGAGUCCCACGGAUUGGAGGUACAGAUCUACCAGAUGACGGGGGUUACGACACUUCUUUGUGAUAUGCUUGUAGCACCCACAUUUCUGAUAAACAUUAGAUUUAUCAUAUUGUGGUUUGAAAGUACCUUUUCCCUUUUCUGAUACACGUGGCUGAAAGUUCUUGUUGCUCUUUUUCUUGCCUUUGAAGUUUGUGGGUCGUCGAGAUGACUCAUCAAACUUGUUAUUUUUCGAAAAAUUGGCAUGCACUUCAGGCAAAGGUGCAGUGUCGACAGGGCGCUGAUGAUGAUUCCUCAUGAGGAGUUCAUCAUGCUUUUCGGCUUGAAGUAGAACAUGGAUAAGAUCAGAAUAUGUUGUAAAUUGGCGUGCAUGAUAUUGUUGCUGGAAGAUCCUAUCGGCCGGAAGCAUGGUGGAUAAGGGUUUUUCAAUCUUGUCUGCUUCAGAGGGUUCCUUCUCACAAAAUUGCAACUUUGAACAAAUUUUAUGAACGGCAUGAAUGAACUCUCCAAUGGAUUUAAAAUCUUGUAGACGGAGUUGAGUCUAUUCAUGUGUGGCUUCAGGAAAAAUCACAGCCUUUUGCCGUUCAUAUCUAGUUUGAAGGGCGAGCCAUAAUGUGUACGGGUCUUCAUCCAUAAGAUACUCUAAUUUGAGAUCAGAAUGGAUGUGGUUCCUUAUAAUGUAUAAAGCAUUAUAUUUGUAUAGAUCUGCAAUGGGCGCUUGUCCCUCCGGAGGGGGUUAGAUGCCGCUGAAAGAUUGCAGGUCGCAAGGCUCACUUUUACGUCCAUGCCCAGGUUGGGUAGUUAUGGCCGUCGAGGGCGAGUACAUCGAACUCUUUGCCGGUCAUUUCGUCCUACAUGGGGUUGAAAAAAUAUGGAUUUUUUCAAUUACUGGUGGGUAAAGCAAAACCGUUGUGGUAAUUGUUGUAAAUAAAAUCGCAAAAAUGUGUGAAAUUUAAGUGAGGUUAAAUUCAUAUAGUGUAGACCUCAAAUAACACUUUGAAGAUAAUCACCAAUUAGUGGUGUAGAUAUGUCAGCUCUACGCGAAAAAUUCACUGCUUUCAAUAAGGUGUAUGUUCACACGGAACAUUCAACGCCAUUUAGCACUUUACCGUUAUUGAAAGGCUGUAGCACCUUGUGUUAUUUUUUAAUUUAAUAUUAGAAGAGCACGUUGAAGGUAGCCAUUGUGUACAUCCGACACAAUGUAGACCUCUCAGCACUACGCGAAAUAAUUCGUCACUUUCAAUAAGGUGUAUGUUCCCACAAAACAUUCAACGUCAUUUAGCAUUUUACCGUUAUUAAAAGUCUAUAGUACCUUGUGUUUCGCAUAUAUUAAAUUGAGAUAGUCACGUAAUGAUAAUUUUUGCUUAUUACGAAUGGAGCCUUUUCUUGAAUCAAGUCAAAAUGUGCAUAUUAAUGCCAUUUGGGACUUAAUCGAUGAAACAAACUCUCAAAAUUGCAAGAAAUAAGGAUCUCAAUUGCAGAGGCAUAAAUAUCACAUGUAAUAGAAAAUGUAUAUCAUACAAACAUAUUAAACAUGAUAAUAUUUACAUAGACAAAUAUGUCUUUGUAUAGGAAUCCAAACAGAAAACUAUUGGAAUGCAAAUAAAUAUAAGUCCAGUGACCUAUAAAUAAUAAAUAGUGCUACUAAUAAACAAAAGUCUGGACCAAAUCGCAAAUAAUGGAGAAUUCUGGGCUUUUCUGCAAUUCGGCCUUGUGCUAGUGGAGGGGUGGCCUUCUGCUUGCGUGGGAAUUCCUAGGCUGGGCCUUGGUGGCCUUUUGGGCCGGCCUAGGUUGGGGCAAGGGGCAGACCGAGAGGGCUAAAAGAGGUCGAUCGGGGUAGGCAGGUAGGGUUUCCCCUAGCUAUCCCACGCACGACAGCGCCCACUCACGAUCCAUUUUCUCCUGUUGCAGCCGCCUCCCCCAAUCCCUUCUGCUGCUGCUUCCGUUGAUCCCCGAUGCAGCUACAGCAGCCAACCCCACCACCAUGAUGCGAUUUAGAGAGAGGAGGGGAGGCCGACCGCCUUCGCGUUGGUGGCGCGGCCCGGCGGGAUGGAGGAGGAGUCGGUCUGAGGCUCCUCCUUGACGGUGAAGCCCGGUUCCGCCGGUGUUGGCGACUGGAGCGGCGGCGUCGCGCCGUCCCUUGUCGGGCACGGGCUGUACCCGUGGACCGGGCAGAAGAUGACGUCCGGCAGUGGAGGUGCAAGGGCGGCGUCCGUGGAGGCUAUCCCGUGGCCAUGGCGAGCAAGGGGUUCACACAUGUGGUUCCAGCGGCGUCGAGGGUUCCAGCGAUGUCGAGGGAUCCAACGGAUUCGAGGGUUCCAACGGCGUCUCGGGAUCCAACGUAGUCGCCCAAGAUGAGUUCGCCGGCAACGAAGUGUUCCGUGGUGUAGGAACACGAGAGAUCAGACAAGAUUGAGGGCAAAUUGUAGAUCGUCAUCUUCUUAACUUUUUGUUUUCUCUUCCUGUUCUUGCUCUAAUGGCAGAGUCUAGCGUGCGUGAUAACGUAUUUAGAAUGAAAUGAUUGAGAAUGAAUCUGUGAUUUAUACAAGGAGAGGAGGCGUCUGUAUAUGCACAGGCACCCCAAGAUUUGGGCACAGGCGCCCGCUCGGGAGAAAACGUGAGAGAAACGUGCGAAAUUACAAUGUUAGCCGUUACUAAUUAACUGUCGUUAUUGCUAAUUGACACAUGCUUAAAUCUAAUUGAUCACAUGCUAAUUUAAUCUUAACACUACUAAUUGCCUCCAUUUGUUACUAGCAUAAGACACCAUAAAACUCACACCAACAGUUCCAGUGAAUAAUUGACCACCUAAAGUGCAACAGCAUGGCACUGGCUACAGGGCUCAAAAACAUUUAACUCGACUGUUGAAGGAACUUUAGACUUGACGUAUGUUUGGAUAGCCGACAGUGCUCUAUGCGCUUCCAUAAGUGCAUCCUUCUUCAUUGGCCAGCAUCUGACAGUUUUCAUGACCGAGCAUCUAGGCGCACCAUGAGUGGUGUCCAAUGUGAGGCGCUCGAGUGACAUUGCAGACUCGAGAAUAUGACAGGUCAACUCAAUCAAGCUCUUUGCAGAUGAGAAAUUGGUGAUUCGGACACACUUGAGCUUGUAACUAUGCUUCUCUGGCAUCUUCCUCAGAUCCGAACGAUCUUCAAAAAUUGAGCCACGCUUCACAUGUAGCGAUGCCUAAAGAUGAAAAAAGCAAACUUGAAUUAACGAUUUCUGUCAGUUACCAAUGUUUUGCAGGACGGACAAUGACUUACAUUCAACUUGAAUGUCUCCAGGAAAGGAGAAGCAUCAAAAAAGGAUGACAGAGAAAACAAAUCAUAGGUCUGUCCACGUCCAGAAAGACUAAUACUCAACCACUUGAGGUGGAGGAAUUUGCUAGGCAUUACCGGCGUAUUAACCGUCUGCAAAAAGGGGGGAAAUGUGCUUUAAUUAUAUUCCACUGCAUGCCUGCUGUAAAAUAAUUAAUUCUAAGCAUAUUGCUGACAGAAAGUUCAUACCUCAGUGUUUGAAACUAAGCUAAGAGUCUCGAGAUUUGGCAUGCUGGAUGGAAGCUCAGUACGAGCAUAAAAGGCAGCUCCAGGACAUGAUCUGUAAUAUUUUGUAAUACGCGGCGAUUCCAAAAGUGAGAGUUGUACAUGGGGGGCUUCUUGAAUGAUAACGCUAGAUAGAUUUGGAGCUUUGCUCUCUAACACUUCCAGCCCAGUGCAAGCGUUCACCUCAAGGUAGCUCAGCCGCUGCAGGCAAGGUAUUUUCAGGCAAAUAAUCCCACUGCAAACCCUGAGUACCAACUGCUCCAAAGAGAAAGAAUUAGAAAGAAGACACUCUAGCUUACUAUCGGUAAUAGACACGCUACCCAGCUGUAUUCUUCUCAAGUUUCUCAAGGAACCAAGUCCGAUUGUGGGAUCAAAGUAACAGCCGACAAGCUUAAGAUUACGGAGUGACUCUCCAAUUUCAUCAGAUAAAAGUGAGCAUGGAAAGUUGUACACUGUAUUCUCUCCAUGCAGAGAAAUGUUCAGUUCUUCAAUCCCUGGUUUAAUAGUAUUCCGAAGCCAGCGGUCGAGAUCAAGAUGAGAGAAGUCUUGAUUUUCAACAUCAAGAUGACGGAAGUCUUGAUUUUUAAUACUAUUCCAAAGCCAACUGUCAUCUAGAAACUUGACUGCCUUCACUCCAACGCCUGAGUGGUUUUGCAGAAUGUGAUCAACUAUGCUGGUGAUGUCCCUUUGUGUUUCUUUUGUUAAGCCCAAUGUUUCCCUACUGAAAUCGAGGUUAGGGCGGCAUCUCCAGGAAUGCAAAAAGGUCUGAGACACACAGGCAGCUCGGGCAGCAUCUUGAAUUGGCAUUAAGGAAUGUAUACGACACAAGAUAUCCUGCAUGCACAUGUGUGGGAGAAAAAUCAACAGCGGAAUUGUAAAGGCAAACACAGUAACAUUAUUUCUAUAAGGAAAACAAUAGAACUGUACAGAGUCACCUGAAUGCACAAAGUAAACUGAAUUAGAGACAUCUGAGAGUUGGAAUGUAAUUGUGGAGAGUUUAUUGAGCACUAUAUACAGAGUUUCCACCUGAAAAGAGUUUAUAGGUGGAUGUGGAUUUACAAGAUGCCAAUAUAUGGUUCAGUGCAGAUAAACAUGAAAUCUGUUAUUUGCAUGUCUCAGGCAGAUUCUGCAUAUUUUGUGUCAGCCAAAAUGCAGGGAAUGCCAAGAUACAUGGGGAUCUAGACCCAAGACAGUUUUUUCUUUACAAGAGUAGAAGUCCACAAAAUAGUAGCAUUAGAAGAUAAGUUCAAAAACUUCAAAUUGCUACCAUCGGUCAACCAAUUUGUGCAGGUCAAGCAAUCAUGGUUCGAAAUAGAACACUAUAGCCCAACUAUAGCUGAAGCCAUUGAUUUCAAAGACUACGAUAUUGUCAAUUUUUCGCAAUUGUAGCUAACAAUGCGAUAUCGCCCACAAAAGUCGCCAUUUGGGUUAGCCACAACUUUUUAAGCGCUUGUCUGUGGGUCGAGGCUACUUCAUUUCCCUUCACAAUGGAGGCCCAGAAAACUACAAAUGAUACCAGUAACUCGAAAGUCUUAGUCCUAAUCAAUCCCAAACCAGGCCACCAUUCAUCUCUAAAAACAGUUGCAGCAUCCUACUCCCUCCGACCCAAAUUAAAUGACUUUUAUUACAUGUAUCUAGACACUUUUUAGCCAUAGAUAAUUCAUAUUUGGACAAAUUUGAGUCACUUAAUAUAGAAUGGAGGGAGUAUGAAUGAAAGCUUACUAGAGAUGACCGUGGCCAGCGGUUUCAUGAACUAGUUGGCAUCUACUUAAGAUAACCAACAUCACACAUUACGACCCAUGGUUUCUUGCGGAGGCUGCAACAUGAAGGCCGCUAACAUAACAUGACCGAGAAAAUAUUCAUUCUUUGUUCUGGAUUAGUGCAAUCUAUGUCUCUCUGUUGUGUUGGUUUACUUCAAUAUAAACUAUGUAAUAAUGAACCAUUGAAGGAAUGCUUAGUUGUUUAUUGCUGAAUGAAUAUAAUGUUGAUUAUAACUGUGACUAUGUUGGUUGAUGGAAUGAUAUGACGUUUAUGUCCAUGAAAUUUCAUUACUCCCUCCAACCGGUAUUACUUGUCUCAAAUUUGUCCAAAUACGGAUGUAUCUAUGUGUAAAAAACGUCUAGAUACAUGUAAUAUUUCGACAAGUAAUUCCGGCCGGAGGGAGUAGUUCCAUGUUUUUGUCAUAAUUCAGUAAAAAAAAAACAUGUUUGACAAAACCGCAUAAUGACAUAGCUCUACUCUGAGACCAGCGCUAAAUGUAUUAGCCAACUAUUUAAAACCUUGAGUAGUCAUACUGAGCAAUGUAAAUCUUCCAACUAAUCAAUGUUGUACCUCAGGGAGAUCUGAUAUUGAGUAUCCCUUUAUUUGGCCAUCCAGAGAAUGUUCAUCAUCAUGUCGACCCUUGCUUUUUGCACAUGAAGCAAUAGAUCCAUCUGCGAAACACCGUCAUGGUCACGAAAGAAUGCACACAGAAAUCUAAUUUUGUUCAUAUUAAAAUUAAUCUUGUGUGUGAAAAUUAGUUAAUCCAACUAAUCUUGAGCGCAAGAAUCAGAGCGUCUAAAAGUUUAGAGACCACAAACUGUUUCCACGUAACAGUAAAAAAUGUUAACGUUAACUAGAUUUUUCGGGGUUUUUUUUUGCGAAGAGUACAAACUCCCUAAAUCAAAUAUUCCGUACUAAAAUUUACAGUAGCUGCUAAAAAUUAGCCCGUUUGGAUCCCAGCUAAUAGUCUCUUAGCUCAGCUAAUGCAUAUGUACCAUGUAUACGAAGAAGCCCUAAGGCUAUAUGGUUAAAUAAACAAUGCUCAGAUCGAACCUAUUGGAUUUAAUUAUCGCAAUAUUGAAUGCAAGAGAAAUAUGAUAUGGAGGGACGAGAUGCUGCUACUUACUACGGGUUUGGAUCUGCCGCCGACGAUUCCGCCGCCGCCGACGCUUCAUGGACAUAAGCUGAUUCAGCUUCAGCAGCCCCAUGACCUCGGAUCGGAUCGGAUCAAUCGGGAAUUCGAACACAGUCAAAUCCGUUUUUGCAGAUCGCGGCUGAGGGAUCCCGGUGUUGGGCCAACAGCGGCCUAGGAUACAAGGUUCAGGAGGGUCCUGGCGGCGCGCGUGUGGAUGUUAAUUAAUAGGAGGGGAAAGGGCAGAGAAACUUGUCCAAGGCGCUGUCAGCAUGUGCGACCGUGAGGGACACAGAAAUUGAAUCUGAGUCCGAGUCUGGUCGUACAAAGAUCGGACAGGGUGUUACAAUCAUACGUGAGGUAGUUUCGGCAGAGAAAUCCACAGGCUUGCCUUGGGUCAUGUGGCGUGACGUAUAGCUGGCCAACAGGCCGGCACGGCCCAAGGCUGCCAGGGCCACUUAUAAGUGGGCCGUGUCGUGUCGGUCCGUUUCGGCGAAUCACAGGUCUAGCCUGGCCCAGGCCCGUUAGCUGCGGCCGUUAGCCCGGCGGGCCUUACCGCCAAGUGCGUCCCAUGUGGAUUUUUUUGUUAACUAGCUGAAAUGCCCGUCGAUGCCAUGAAAUUCUCUAUAUCUAAAUAGAGCCAACCCACUACCUGAUUUUCAUAGUUUCUCAGAGAGCCAUGUCAUCGUUUUUCUUACGGCAGGUUUGUCCCAACGCACUCCAUCGUCACGUACACGUACAACUCUCUUUUCCCGUGAUAUCGUAUGUUCCGACGAUAUGGGCCCUUUUUUUCUCCCCGGCCCAUCUCCACCCGAUCCCCCGGUCCAUUCCCGCUCGGGCGCUUGCGCUUCCCAGCUUGACCUCCAUGACUCCAUCAUCUUCCUCCUCUGUUCGUUCGAGCGUUUCAGAACGCACCCACCUGCAGCCAUGAAUCGCCGCCGCAGCCUCAAAUCUCAUCUAAUUAAUUAUAUUGUAUCUUGCAAAACCGAUAAAAAGAAAUUAAUUCCCAUCGCUUCAUGAACCGAUUCAGGCCACUAAUAAUCCGUCUCUCUCUCCUCAAUUUCCAUUUGCAACCGGCACGCCCCAGAUGCCGGCCGUCGACAUCAACCUCUCGAUCUCCCUCCGCAGCCUAUAAAAUCAAUUUCUGAUCGCGUCAGCUCAAGCCCCUUUCCAUCCUCUCUCAAAGCCCUCUCCUAAUUUCACUUCAUAGCAAUAGUAGAAUCCAUUCCUGGCCAGUCCCUCUCCAUGUUCAUGUCCUCCAUAAUUCAAGUCGUGCAUGUCCUCCAUAAUUCAAGUCGUGCAGAAUAAUUUACCGGAGGAAGCAAAGCCGUCGUCUUCUCAUCUAUAAAAGCCUUUCUUCUCAAUUCGGUUCCAUCUUGCUCCGCCACAGCUGGAGCCACAACCCAGGUCGCAUUCCUUGACGCCAACAUCUGGCCGUCAGCAAAUAAAGCUAUUUCCCUAACUCAUGUUCUUAGUUUUUUCAGAAGACAAAGACCAUAAAGACAGAUGUGGAUUCGCUUGAUCGCUUCGACAUAUUCUUCGGCACUAAGAUAUUAGCAACACUACAUGCAACAAUCACGAUAUGUACAAUUAGCAUUCAGAUUUAUUCUUCUAUUUUUGCAUUUGGCCUAUCUAUAUGCUCAACUUUGUUGGAUUUACGUUGUUUCUUCAAGAGAUGAUAAUGGUUGGCCAUCAGGAAUGUAAUUGUGGGUUUAUAUAUUUGAACUUGCGAGGAAAAAAAAAUUCAAAUUCAUCAAUGAUCCAUUGGUUUCGUCACAACCAAGAUGUGUGGAUUGCCACAAGUAAAAAUUUCCUUUCGUGCGAAUUUGUUUCUUCGUUUUCUUCUUUACAGUAGUCCCAACGACAUAUUAGCAAACUAAUUUUGAAACCCACAUGUCUAAAAUUAUGUUUCAAUUGUUCCAAGCCCCAUUAUUGAGGCAUCUCUAUCAAUUUCUCAAGACACGUCUAGAAUUUAUAUGGAAACAUUAAAAUAUCGACUGAACUUGAGCAUGUGCAAAUUAGGUGUCAUUUACAUUUUAUCAUUUUACUUUACGCACUUGUUUUCAAUAAGUUAUAUCUAUAUAGAUCUCACGCAGGCCGCAGCAACGUGCGGGGUAUCAUCUAAUAACAAAAGCUAGGGUGACACGAAUCAACAUCUGAUAGGACAAGCAGGGGUGACAUGUGUCAACAUCUGAUUGGCCAACAUGUUAAAUUUGAAAUAUUAGGCAAUAUUUACAAGUUUAAACCAAUUAUAGUUAUUUAAUAUGCUCAGUUUUUUUUGAACGCAUUUACUAUGCUCAGUUUUUACUGAGUUUGGCCCAAUCAAAACCCAAACACACAGUUCCAGGGCAUAUGCCCUACGUGCAUCGUACGAUAAGCAGUUCUGGCCUGCAAAUACCGGCAUGGGGUGUGUGAUCCGGCCGAAACGCUCGGCCCAGCAGCCCCGAUAGACCCGAACCAAACCGAACUCACAAAAACCCCCGCAAAAUCCCCUAAAAAAAAAAAGACACGCCCGCAAAAAUCCCAACCAGCGACCCAGUGAGCAUAGAUCAGCCGCCACCGCCAACCAACGUGACCCGCCGCCGGCCCCCACCGCUGCUGCGGAAAACUCCGGGCCGCUGCUGACCACCACCGCCAGGUGCGAUUCCCAGCCAUGCCUCGCCUCAUCUCCCUGCUCCCCUCCCGCUCGGGCCGCCGCCGCCUGCUCGCCAUUCUGUCGAACACCUUCUUGGCGUCCACCCACGCGCCUCCCUCGCCGCUGCCGUCCCGCAGCUCCCCCAUACCGCGGAGUCCUACGCCUCCGUAUCCGCCGCCGCAGCCGACAUCGCCGUCUUCUUCCGCGACUGGUUCCUCGUGCCCCGCGCCGCCGAGCCGGUCUCCGCCCUCGACGCAAUCUACGAGGCCCUCGCCGCGGAGGACGCGGCGGCGCUCGAGGUGCUCGCGCUCACAAAGGUCCUCGUCCUGUCUGCUUCGCCACCGCCCGCGGAGGAUCCCCAAUGAAGACGCGCUGCUGCUGCUCCGCCUCAAGUUCUUCGACCGGUCCGGCCGCCGCUUGCGCUACCGCCACACCCGCACCGUUUACCAUGCCGUCUUCCGCCUGCUCUCCCGCGCGCGCCACUCCUCUGUGGUGCUCGACUGGCUCCGCCUCUUCUCCACCACGAACUCCUCCGCCUCCAGCCGGGCUUCCACGGCACGCUCGUCGUAGGCUACGUCGUCGCGGGCAACCCUCGCCGCGGGCUCAGCAUCCUCGGCCGCAUGCGCUUCCAUGACUUGCAACCGACGCCGUUUCCUUCCGAUCCUGGUCAACUCGCUCGUCGCUAGGGGAUUUGGAAAGGGAAACGUACGCUGGAAACGUCAACGAUUUGGAUACUUGCUGGGCUUUUCAACUUACAAGUACUCCCUCCGUUCAUAUUACAAGUACUCCCUCCACCUGUCAUGGUUUUAGUGUUACGGAGCAGUAUAUAUCUGUGUUGGAUACGGGCUGUGCUGGGCUGCACCAAGGUCCAGUCCGGGGCUGGGUCCACGGAAGCUUGACGAAAAAGUGUGGAGAAAAAAAAAGAUGAAACCUUGCGUAUUUGUUAGAUAGGUAUAUAUUAAAACAGACAAGAGAGCAUCCAUUGUAUCCUCUCUGACACCACUCCGGCGAGGCGACGCCCCUCUCCCAUCCAACCGAUGCAACGAGGCGCGCCAACCCUCCUAACACCCUCAUCAGGUCCCCGGCCAAGAAGAUCCAGUCAAGGACGGUGAGCUCAGUUCAUACUGACGACCCACACCUUGCCUGCCUUGUCGCCUCGACAUGCAUACACUGUUGGAGUUAGAGAGGUUUUCGAGCCCCCGCUUGGGAACGUCGCUCCGCCGCCGCGGUAGGCGAAGGGGUGGUGCACCUAUCUACUCCCUCUCCCAUAUUAUUACUUUCUAUUACAUAUAUCUAGAUUUUUUUAAUCAUAAAUACAUACAUCCUUUGGUACGGAGGGAGUUGUUCUCUGCAUGCGCUAGCUUUUUUCACUUAUCCUAUCUGGAUCUUUUCUUGCAGCAAGUGCACCUAACAACAAUAGUGUUAGUGUUAGUCUCGUAGUUGCUAUUUGCAGUACACAUGAAACUCAUCUCUGUCACUAUUACAUAUAAAGGCACAAAUUUGCACCGUUCUAUUUGCAGUUCUAUUACAUAUAAAGGCACAAACUUGACAGAAAAAUCGAAUCUGCACCGUCCAAACACUCCUACAGAAACGGUCGAAAAAUAAUCGCUAACGGGACGCCCAGGCGAACCGUCAGUGAUGACAUCAUUGGCGGGCGCAACCCUGACCGACAGUGAUGUGUGUUUUCGAGAUUAUAAAAAAGGGCAGGCCACAGGCCCGCGUGUUGAUUAAUUCAUCAAAUCACAAAUCAAAUAUCACAGCAAAUCUGUAUAUACAACAAAUCACUAAAUAUCCAGCAGUAGAUAUUUGUACAGAUCCUAUAUACAAUAAAGUUCGUAUACAAAUCUACUCGCCAAUCAACUUGCUUGCCAAAAUUGCUAGCCGAGCCAGCCACGAACAAAUCUGCGAGAGAAAGAGAUAGCUUUAGAAGAAGCCAGAGAAAAAUAGAGAAGGAGAGAAGCAAGAGAGGGAAGGGAGGGAAAAAGUAUGUACCGAGGAAGAUGGAAACGAUUCCGGGGGCAGGCGGGCUCAGGGGCGGCGGCUUCCUCGUCUCCCGACGGCGGAUCCCCGGAGGAGGCAGGGACGGGCUCCUCUCCACGGUGGCGCUCCAUGGCUGUAGAACAAUUGUUCCUCCACGACGACCUACACUGCAAAAGAGAGAAAAUCAGAGAGGGAGAGAAAGAGAGAAGAGGGAGGCCGGGAUCCGGCGGCAGCAGGGGGGUCGGGGCGGCGGAUCCGGCGACGACUGGUGGCCGGGGUCGGGGCCAGGUCGACCGGAGGAGGCAGGGGUCGGGCACGGCCGGCCGAGGGAGGUCGGGGCCGGGUCGGGGGCGCCAGAUCCGACCGCGGGCAAGGUCGGGGGCGCCGGUGAACGGCCUCCAAGCACUGCCGCCAUUGUCCUCCGCGGCCGCUGCUGCAGGAGCUCGAGGGAGGGGAACGCGCGUGGGAGGAAAAGAGAGGCAGGAGUUCGAGGGAGGGGGAGGCGCUCGGGUAGGGGCUCGGGGAGGGGAGGCCGGGAGGGGCUUGGGGGAAGAGCAGAAGAGAGGGAGAGGAGGCGUCGGGACGGAGAAGGAAGAGAGAAAGGAGAGAGGGUGGCUGCUGGGAGGGGAGAAAAUAGAGGGAUGAGUUGCGCGUAGGGUUAGUCGGAUUUUAUAGCAAAUAGGAAUGUGGUGGGUUGAGUAUCAGUGGUGGGCCCGGCCAAGAAAUAUGGACUAAAUAUAAUUCUUUUGCAUAUGAAAAAUAAAAAAAAGGAUUUUUAAGCCAAACAUUUGUAAAUAUCAUUGGCAACAUUAUUUGGCAUAACAAGACGCACCUCUGUGCAAGAAAUUGAUACAUAUGCACUGUUUUGACGGGCCUCAAUUGGGUUGGUUGGGCUCCAAAAAAGCAUCAGUGGCGGGCCUAGAGCUACAAGACUCGUCACUGACAAGGGAAGACAUGAUUUUUUUUUCAUAUUUCAUAUAAUAUAAACAGACAUGUGUAAAUCUCUUUGGCGAUAUUGUUUUUAUGACAAGACGCACACAUGUGCAAAAAAUGGACAUUAUCAUGAACUUCGACAUAGAAAUGAACAAAAAUUUGGUCAUUUGGGCUUAAAACCCGAAGUUCAACUAUCAAAAAUAACAAGAUUGUACCACAUAUGUCAUUUUUAAAAUGUUACCAUAUGAUAUUAUUGUUCGAUCAUGUUAAGCAGGAAAAAAUAAGAAUUCGACAAAAAGAAUCACAUUUUUUCUGAUUUAUUAUGAUUUAGUUAUGAUUAUUUAAAAGGCUUCGACCAUCAGUGUCGGUGGGCCCGCACGCAACCGUUACUGAUAAUAGGGACAACAUCAUUGGCAGGCGUGAUCGGGCAACCGCAAGUGAUGUGCAAAACAUCAGUGGGAGUCGCGCUACGGACAACCGCCACUGAUGAUUCUCGCCACGAAUGAUACGACAUUAGUGGCGGGCGCCACAUGCGCCCGGUAUUGAUGUUUGGCGGGUCGGAGAUGGGCAAACCCCUGUCUAUUCAUCAGUGGCGGGUGGGGAUGCGACCGACAGUGAUGCUAGUCAUCACUCACGGUCGUUUCGCACCCUCACUGAUAGGCCAUGAGAUAUACUUCGUUUUGUACUAGUAGUGAAAUCUAUUGAUCUAACGGUCCACGUUGUUUCGUUCUCCCUCCGCUAAUCACGCCCAUCCCGCACGUCUCCCUCGGCCCUCGCCAUCUAUACCUAUCUAAAAAAUACGGAUUGUUCCCUUCACCGUCGUCUGUCAAACUCCCCCAAAAAAAAUGUGGGCCCCCCAAGAUUGCAUAUAUAUUAGGCCUACUAAACCAGCUAGCACGUUACCUGCACCGAAUUGGACUGCAACCCCGCGAGGUAACCCAUCGCCAGCAGGAUGGAUCAUUACGAGAGUCGGGCAACAACUCUGAAUUUGACGAGAAAAAUAUCGCUCCACCGGAACACUAGGGGGGUUCGGAAGAUGAGACCUGAUCGGGCAUCCAUCGGGCAAGGAAUUGAAGCCACGGCCGUCCCCUCUGUGUCCCAGGCGCGGCCACACGGCUGGUCCCCUCUUCCGUUUCCUAGCCAUGACCGUCUCCUCCUAGGGCUAAAUUACACAAGGAGAUGGCGAAUUGUUAGAAGAAACUGAUGAGACAGAUUACGAGAGAUAAUGGUGGCGGCGCCUAGGACAUAGAAGAGAGAACGAGAGAUGAUGGUCGAGUGUAGAAUGGGAGAUGGGAGAAGGCGCCUCGAUGCCUUUCUUCUGUGAGCCAGACCGAGCGAGAGAUGGCCAAACAUGCCAAGUUGAUGGGUCAUCGAAUCAGGGCUACUAGGCCAAUUUUGCACUUGGUCUUUAUUUUUAUUUUUUACAGCAAGUUUCAUCCGUUAAUUCUUAUUGCAUCAAAGAGUCCACGUAUUAUAUAAUAAAAAUAAUAUUUAUUUAAUUAAAAUAUUCUGGGCGACCCCUCAGGUAUCCAUGGGUAUAAACCUAUACCCAUACCCUAUCCAUAACUAAUCGGGCGAGCCAUCGGGUAUACCCAUGGGCGUAAACGUCGACCCAUAUCCUGCCCACUUGGGUCGGAUAUCCGCGGGCGAGUUGCCACAUUUAAUACUUGCCAGUCAUAUAAGACGGACUCCAGCCGCCACGCAGAGACAAGACUAUGAGCAGUUAGAUAGCCAAGAGGCCAACGACGUCAAGUCGUCAUAACUAACCACAAGCCAGAUCCGUCAAACAACUCGAUCAAAUAAUUGGAAAAAAUUUACACGUGCGCUGCCAGUUUAUUAAUUAGGCUUGAUUUAAUCUACUAUUGAUAACCUCCUUCAGAAAAUAAGGAAAAUCAAAAUAGACAUACUCAACAAAAUAAUCAAAUGUCUAUACUCAUAAACGAAUAUCGAGUUUCCAAAACAUAAAUUUGUUGCCGCUUCUAACUGUUUGUUUUAACGGCUGAAGUGAGAUAGUGGAGAGAACUAAAAAAUUAAGUGAUUCCGUUUCAAAACUUUUUUGACCAGGUGAUGUUAUGUAAUUUUCAGAAAAAAGUGUAUUGUUUUCUUUUGAGAGACUAGAGUAUAAAGUCACAAUCUUCGGACGAAACCUAUUUGGAGAUCAUUAAAGGGGCAUUUCAGCCAGUCUCUCAAUCCAUCUCCUUCGUCGCCGCCUUCUGGCUUCCUGCCCGCAUCCGUCUGCCUCGUCGCCGCAGUCCUCCCCCCGCAUCCGCCUCCCUUGCCGCCGCCCCGCGCCGCAAUCUAACCGUCCUCCGCCACCGUGCGCGAUCUAGCCGUCAGCCGCCGCCGCGCCGCGAUCCAUCCGCCGAUCCGCGCUCCGCCACUGGCCGCGAAAAAGCUGCGCCGCAAGCCGUCUUGGCAAUACAUGCUGCAGCCCUCAGCCCGACUUCGAGGUUGGGAAUCGUCUCCGCCGAGCAGAAUCGUCCGGGCGUCCCUCUGCAUGCUGCCCACUGGAAGUCUGGAACCACGUCCGCUGCGGCCGCUGCGAUCUUCCUGGGCAUGGAUACUGCCAGCCACGGUCGCUGCGAUCUUCUUGCAGGGCUUGGAGACGACAAGAAACGUAGUCCAACGAAGGAGCUCCCGUCGAUGGCGCCACGCCGCCAGUCAUAGUCAUCAGCAGUUGGGAUCUCAGCGUGCGACCAUGGUGGCUACCUCCUGAUUCAUUCAUCUCUUUAAUUUUUUGUUUUGUCUUUGUACUCCUUAGUUCCUAAAUACUUGUUCCUAAAUACUUGUUUCUAAAUACUUGUCAUGAAUUUGCACUCAAAACACGACAAGUAUUUAAAAACGGAGGGAUUAUUAGGUAAUUUUUGUCAUGCACUCGGUAGAAAUUACUAGGUAACAUCUGUAGCCUAAAACAUAUCCAUAUUAAUUGUCUUAAAUUUGUCCAAAUAUGUAUGUAUUUAUGUCUAAAAAGCGUGUAAAAAGUAUUAGGAUAGGAUGGAGUAGUCUGUUUGCUUGGAUGGAGUUACCUUUAAAUAUUCACUUUUGUAGAAAACUUUUCAGAAUUCAAAUGACUGUUAGAGAACCGGAGUAUGUGCAUUCGAUAGCUGCUAUAUAAUUUCUGCGGGAAGGUAUUGUCUUAUUUUCAGAACAGAGCAGAGAGACAAAUACUCCAUGAAAAACAUUUCGAAAAGGGAUGUUUGGUGGUCGAUUGGUCGUUAAAUAAGAGGAGGACGUGCAUCCAAGAGCUAUAUAAUUUCAGAAGCAAUGUAUUUUGUUCUCAGAGAAAAGAGCAGAGAGACAAAUGUUCCGAGAGAAACAUUUUUUAAAAGGCUGUUUGGUCGCCGUUAAAGAGAAGUGUGAGUGGAAGAAAUGUGUGUUUUUGCAUCUCAAUCCCGCAUCUUUCAUGUAUCAUUUCAUUUUUUUUAAUCCAAAAACAUUAUUUUGCUGAAUAGCUAUUUUUAAGUAUGGCUUCAUCAAAUUUUGUUUAAAUUGUAACAACGGAUUAGCCCUUGUAAUGUAGCAUAUUUUAUAGCUGAUGAAAAAAUAUACUCAGUUUUUGGGCUGAUCCCUUCAACAUGAACAAAUAUGUGUUGUUAGAGUUAAAAGAAACAUGCAGGGGUGUUUAGAAAAAUUUCAGAAGAUCACAAUCACGUGAAAAAUCUGAUUGGGAUUGUCCUGUGCUUUGUUGUUGCAGUGCCAUUCCAUGGCAUGAGCUCGACAAAUGUAAUGAACUAUUGAUGCUUCUCUUUAGCCUAUGAUUAACUAAUGGACUUGUAGAAUUGUACUGUAGUAUCUUUUUUGUUGCAGCUUUAAAACAUAUUUGUCCAGUGGAAUGGAUUUUAAAACGACACAUGUUAAUUGGCUCCAUGGAGAAGAGGGUUCAGUCAUCAGAUAUUUCUGAAGAAGGUCAGGUACUCUCUCUUGUUGAUGCUUGAAUUAUAUUGCCCACCUUUUUGGCAGCGAGUUUUUCCGUACUUCAAGUUGAGCUAUGAAUUGUAUCUGAUCAAAUGCAUCAUUGUUCAAAGAGAACUCAAAUUUCAAAAUUGUAAUAUUUCUACAACUAAUUGUAAUAUCUUUCAGUUUGUAGGUACAUGCGUACACAUAGACAAAUUUGCGAUAAUUAUUUUGGAUUGAAGGGAGUAAUAAAAAGCAACUUACCUAAAGAGAAACGAAAAUCAAACUAUAGGUUUUAAAAUUUUAGAGACAUGCGUGCACGUGCGGACUUACUAGUUUUGUUUAAUCCAAAAACAUUAUUUUGCUGAAUAGCUAUUUUUUAAGUAUGGCUUCAUCAAAUUUUGGUUAAAUGUUCCAACGGAUUAACCCUUGUGAUGUACUCCCUCCGAUCCUAAAUUGUUGUCGAAAUAUUACAUGUAUCUAGACUCUUUUUAAGAUUAGAUACAUUCAUAUUUGGACAAAUUUGAGUCAAGAAUUUAGAAUCAGAGGGAGUAGCAUAUUUUAUAGUUGAUGAAAAAAUAUACCCAGUUUUUGGGCUGAUCCCUUCAACAUGAACAAAUAUGUGUUGUUAGAGUUAAAAGAAACAUGCAGGGGUGUUUAGAAAAAUUUCAGAAGAUCACAAUCACGUGAAAAAUCUGAUUGGGAUUGUCCUGUGGUUAGUUGCUGCACUGCCAUUCCAUGGCAUGGGCUCGACAAAUGUAAUGAACUAUUGAUGCUUCUCUUUAGCCUAUGAUUAACUAAUGGACUUGUAGAGUUGUACUGUAGUAUCUUUCUUUCUUUUUUUGCAGCUUUAAAACAUAUUUGUCCAGUGGAAUGGAUUUUAAAACGACACAGGUUUAAUGGCUCCAUGGAGAAGAGGGUUCUGUCAUCAGAUAUUUCUGAAGAAGGUCAGGUACUCUCUCUUGUUGAUGCUUGAACUAUAUUGCCCACCUUAUUGGCAGCGAGUUUUUCCGUACUUCAAGUUGAGCUAUGAAUUGUAUCUAAUCAAAUGCAUCAUUGUUCAAAGAGAACUCAAAUUUCAAAAUUGUAAUAUUUCUACAACUAAUUGUAAUAUCGUUCAGUUUGUAGGUACAUGCGUAUAUAUAGAAAAAUUUGCGACAGUUAUUUUGGAUUGAAGGGAGUAAUAAAAAGCAACUUACCUAAAGAGAAACGAAAAUCGAACUAUUGGUUUUAAAAUUUUAGAGACAUGCAUGGACUUACUAGUGUAUUAGAGACAACAAAAUGCAGCGGACACCGAGCGUUCUCAGGCCAUCUACUAUCGGAGCACGGUCUCCGGCACCGGGGAUGCCGAGCACCCCUUUUUGGUUUGGUUCGGUGGAGGGCGAGGUGAUCGCUCCGGCGAUCGCCGGCGUGGCGAUGGACACGAAGUGUAGACGCAAGAGUUUUUACCCAGGUUCGGGCCAUCCGGAGGUGUAAUACCCUACGUCCUGCUCCGAGUUAUGUUCACAAGUUUGAGUGUGUACAGAUCACUCGGGGAGUUUUCGGGUUGGCUAUGAUAUGUUCUACUCACUCAGGUUCCAACUGAGCUGGACCCAACCCUUUGACCGGUGGCAUUGGUCCUCCUUUUAUAGAUAAGGGGAUACCACAGGUGCCUAUGCAUGCAGCGUGACACGUUGCCUAGACGCGUGUCACAGCUGCAUGGAAUACAAUUUUACUCAUCCGCGCUAGACGCCAUGCAGCGCCCAGUCCACUGUACAUGGUAGAAAAAAUAGUUCGUAGGGUAGUCUCUCUAACUUUGCUCAGCAAGACUAGGCCUGCCUAUAGGACUCCUAUUGGUGCAUUAAAUGCACUGCGCCCGCCGUCCUGUCUUCAUUGUUCUGCGGGUCCCGCCUGCAUGCCCGAGCGCGGAUUGCUGGGGUGCACCCUCCCGGCUAGCGCACCUGCUGGUUGCUGGGAGGCGUUCCUUCGGCUUCCGGGACCGGGGUUCCCGGGAGCAUUUUGUACUCGGCCCUUAGCUUUAGCUUCAGUAGGGGUCGUCUCCUCAAGGCAGGCUUCCCAGGCUCGGCGCUUCCUGGGAGGCCUUCUUGAUGGGACUCCGUCACUGGCGACCCACGCGUCCCGUAUCAGUGGGACCCCAUGGGCCACUGUUAUGACAGUAGCCCCCGGGCGUGUGCCGGCAGCCUUGAAGCUUCCAGCAAGUGCUCUCCUCGGUCGGUUGCCAGGCUACGCCCUAUCCGACGCGUGUGUCCCAAGGGGGAAACCCCCUGGCACCCGUCCUCGUGGGCCGCAUUUAUAGCUCCACUUCUCCGAGCGGAACGGUCGGGCGCACGAUUUCGUGCCUUAUCUCCCUUAAUCACCAGAGAGUUAAGGCCACGUCACGCACCCCCCUCUUAAUCUCCGAUGCUUUAGUGCUCUUUAUUGCCGAUCGUGGGGGUGCCCGUUGCAGUCCGCCAGCCCCGAUAAAUACCUAAGGCCGGCGACGGGGCACUCCCCACCGUCUCUUGCUCUCGCCAUCACCUCCUCCCAAGCUCCCCGCUCCCAACUCCAACCGAACCACCUCUCCACCUCCGCCGAUGUCUUCCAAGGGCCCGAACCGUCCCAAGGGGAGUACCAGCAAAGGGGAUAAGACCGGCAAGAAGAAGCUGUCGGACAAGGCCUGGAAGGAGGAGGAAAUGUGGGCUAAAUUCGCCUUCUUCCCCCCCGGGUACAACGGCGAGGGGGUCGACAAGCUGGACUUGGCUCUGGCCACCAAGCACAAUGAGCCCGGGCCGACACGGGUCCUUCCCGCCAGAGCGGAGUGUGACGGGCACUACUUUCGGAUCUUCGGGAGGUUCAUCCUUGCCGGGUUCAUGCCGCCGCGCUCCUACUUCCUCUCAGUUGUCAUGGAGUCCUACGGGCUCCUCAUGGCGCAGCUUCACCCCACGUUUAUUGCCGGGGAAGAAGAAGAUCGAGCACGAAUGGCGCCGCGACUGGUGCUGGGUGCGCACUGACGAGCUCGAGGAGUUUCACGAGGAGCCCCUCGAGUCUCCGAAGGGCUCUGACGACUGGACGCUCCGCGACCCGAAGGACGAGGAGCUGGCCCCGAUCUGUGUGAAGAUCAAAGCGCUCCGUGAGGCCAGGCUCACGGACAUGGAUGUGGCGCGCCACUUCAUCGGGAGGCACGUGGCCCCCCUGCAGCGGCGCUCGCAUCCGGCGUGGAUGUACACCGGGGCCGGUGACCGGACCCGGCUGCAGCGCACGGACCUCCUUCUGGAGGAAGUGCAGUUCUGGGUGAAGGGUAUCACCGGGGAGGACGAGCCCUAACAGCUGCUCCCGCCUAGAGCGCACUCGCUCCACGCCAGGAUCCUGAACCCGGGAGCCAGGGAUCUCCCACUCUGCGACGAGUGGGGGAUCGUGGAGGACCCCUCGGCGCAACCCUCACCCUCGCAGCCCCGGUCCCAGAAAGGCAAGGAACCGGCGACCGACUCGGGGAAAGGGGGCCAAGGCCAGGCCUUCGCCAAGGCAGAGGGCUCGGACUCCGACGACUCCUCGUUGGGCGUCGGAGGAGACCUCAGCGAUGAUGAAAGGUGACGACGACGUUCCCCCGGCAGCCGGCGAGGUCGUUCCAGAGGAGGACGACGAGGAAGAUGACGUCCCCUUGGUGAGGUGGUCCGCGGCGGAGCGAGCGGGCAGGCGGGAGGCCAGCCCGCAGCUCCAGGAGCCUCACGACGACGCGAGGGCUGGGGCCUCUGGCGGCAGUGGCGCGGCUGCAUCAGGCGCCCCGACCACCUCGGGAACUCCAACAGCUCCCUCCGUGCAAAGUGGCCCUCCGGCGAGGAGCAUCCUGGUGGACAGGGUUCUCAAGCUCAAGCCGGCGGGGUAAGUAAAAUGUCGUUCAGAACAACUUUGAUUUUGCGAAAUUAUUUUGUGCCUGACUAAUCUACUUUUGCGUUUUCCAGUUCGUCGAGGAAGAGGGGACAGACCAGCAUGUCGCCGGCAGCCCCAACCAAGAAGCCUCGCCCGGCAUCGGGCGGCGGCAAUCAAGGCGAUGCUGACGCAGCGGUUGCGACGGCGGCAGCGGCCGUGGGGGACCCAAGGAUCCCCGACUCGAGCUUGCAGGGCACCGGCCCGGCGGCAGGUACGCGCAAGUUCGAACACUUUCUUUACUAUUAUUCGGACCAAUCCCCAUGCUUGACGUAGGAGCCGUUCGUGCAGUUGCCGGAGGGGCUCCGGCUGCGCCUGCGCCUACAGAGGUGCGGGUCAUCAACCUUACUGGCGAGGUCGACGACGAUGCUCCGGCGGAGGUUGCCUCCGCUGGAACCCUUCAGCAAUCGGCGAUGGCGGUUUGUAUCAUGACUCUUACAUAUAUACCUUUUUGAUGACAUACUGAUAGUGAGGUUGACUCACAGGAUUCAUCAUGGAUCCUGCAAAAACAAAACAUUAUGGAGCCCAAAAUGAAGAAGGAAACAUGAAUAUUAUCCCCCCCACCCCACCACCACCACAAGUUCCCAGGUAAUUGUCGGCGACUUCUUCAGUUUACUUGGAACUCUUAUCGGCGACUUCUUCAGUUUACUUGGAACUCUUAUUGUUGCUUUGUGUUAUUCAGAGAUGAAAAUAUAAUAAUUUUACUAUGAAUUUAUAAUGUGGGAAAGUAUUGUACUCAAACAAACUAAUCCACAGAACUAAAAGGACAUUGUCAUGCAGGUUUCAUUUUUAUCAGGCCAGCUUAUCUGCAACAAAGUACACAUACAGUAGCAUCCAUUUCUUUUAUUAUUCUUCACAUGCUUCCAUUUAUUUAUCAUGCCAUUGAGGACCUCCAUCCACAUAACUAAAAGGACAUUGUAAGGAGCUCAUGUGCGGUAGUUCACAGUUCAUCUCGCCAGCCUUCCGGAUGGCAAUGGGUACCCGAAACCCGAUUACCCGACGGGUCUAGACUCGAUUAGAUGCGGGUCUGAUGAAAAAUCAAUCCCGCGGGUCUGUAAAUGAGAAAAUUUCGGACCCAUCGGGUCUGGCGGGUCCGGGUCUGGUACAGCCUUACCCGAACUGGGAAACCUGCGUGCCUGGUUCAGUUUUUCACAAAUGUAGAUAUAGGCCCAUAUACUCACCACUAAGAAAAUUCUGGCCCAGCCCAUUUACUACAACAACUCACCCAGUACGUAACUCCCUGCCUCUCCCAUCCUUUCACCGCCUCUACCCACGAGGCCAACUACGAUUCAUUUUCUUCCCAUGCCCAUCGGGGCUUCUUCCUCUUCCUCGGCGCACACCACAGAUUCAGUCCUCUGCCGCGGUCAUCGAGUUGUCGGCAGCGCCCCGUCCAGCCAUCCCAUCCAAAUCCCCGCGAGUCCACGGCCCCGCCUCUGCAUACUCCUCCAGCCACCCGCCAGCCCCACCCCACCACACGCGAGAGGAGGGAGGCCGCCGCCAACCCAAGCCGGCGUCGACAUCGGACUCCAGCUCCAGCCACCUCUGUCCCUGGCAACGUCAAGCUAUGGUGGAGAAGGGCUUCGAGGACUCGAUUGCUUCUUUCUAUUUUGCUUUGGGGUCCUUUGUGUAAAACUGCAGGUCUUUGUUGUAAUUUCUUUGUUUUUUUGGACUUUUCUGGUCUCCGGGUCGGGUAGACCCGCGGGUCUACAAGACCCGACUCGGGUCCGGAUCUGGUAGAAUUUCAGACCCGACGCCAGGACCGGGUCCGGGUCCGGGUUGCUGGUCCGGGGCGGAUUGCUGGGUCCAGGUCUGGUAGUGCCGAACCCGGACCUGAACCCGGCGGGUGCCAUCCAUAGUCAGCCUAAAAUACAUUUACAAUGUGGUUUUGGAUUCUUUAUUUUUCUUUCUAUAAUUGGUACAACGAUGUAUUACACUGUAUAUAUGUCUGUACUUUUGGAGCAAUAAACUAAGGUUAUCUGCAAUUCAUUAUAGCAUUAUAAGUUUACACUCACAUCUGUCCUUCGCAACUAUAAGGUCAGGCGCAGCAACCACAAUACAUCCACAACAACCACAAUACAUCCACAAGGCGACAAAUCAAGCGUUGCAUGGUCCAAGGGUAGUGUGGAUCUCUGUUAUUUUUUGCAUUACUCUUACAUCUGCCACAUUGUCAUCUUCGUCAACCUGGUGAACCAGGUAGCAAGUUUGCGGUUCCAACAUAAAUAUGUAUACGUCGUCACGAAAAAGAAAAAAAAACGUAUACGUGCUUAAAGAUUAUGCGAUCGCGCUGGUGGUAUAUGAGUUUUUGGUCAUGGAAAUUGUCGAUCUUCUUGUUCCUAGUGUCUCUUAUUCCCAAAUCCUUUGCCCCGUCUUUCUUUUGUUUUUCUCUCUUGUCUGUCCAUAUGCGGCGUUAACAGCUUUCUGAUGUCUCCUAUUCUCAACCUAACAUUCACAUUGGAUUCUAAUCCAAUCCUCACAAGCAGCUCAUGUCCUGCAUCGCAUCGAACACCUUCCUCACCGCCUCGACCGUCCUGCACGUACGCAACGACUAGCGCGUUCUGUCGCACCAGUGGCACCCGGGGUACCACCGCUGUGCGACGCGCGGGCCCCUUUACCGGGUUCCUGGGAAGGUCUCAUCCCGGGGAGCGUCUAUGAGCUCCUCGGCCAGCUACCAGCCCAAAAGGGGCUAGCGGGGUUUCGAGGAAUAUUCCCGCCUGGGCACCUCCCGGGAAGCUCUUCCCGGGUGCGUUGGACCCGGGUGCUUUCCGGGGUCGACUUGCUGGGACUAGGGGUUCCCGGGCGCGUGCCCCCACCUCGGGCGUGGGGCCCAGUUGACAGCGCCACGCGGGCGCGUGGCGGGCGCGGGACGCGCGGUCCCACCAAGGCAAGGAGCAAGGCGUGCGGCUCAGUAAACGAGCCGACUGACGGGUAGUUACCCGUCCGAUCCAAAGAAUAGUGGUUGUCUAAUCCUACCCUAGGGUCUUAGGCCCCUAGCAGCGGAGGUGGCACCCAUGCACGCCACCAGCUCACCGGGAGGGGUUGCAUACCUCCCCAUUGGACACUUGUAGCUCAUGCACCGUGGCACAUGUGGCAUCCCCUUAUGUAUAAAAGGAGGACCCAUGCCGACGGUCAAGGGGCUGGUUGGUCAGUUGGACAGUCGUUCAGUUCCACAAGUUCUCUUCGCUGGCUCACUAGAUCGGGGAUCAUUUGGUUCCAGUAGACAGUCAACAGAGAGUAGCAGGGAGUACUUAGACAUUGAGAGGAAGCCCGGGGACCUGCCUGGCAACUUGUAAGCCUUUGAUCCGUAAUCAAUACCAGCUCAGACAGCCAGGACGUAGGGUUUUACACCUCCGGGUGGCCUGAACCUGGGUAAAAAACGUGCGUGUACCUGUUCUUGGACCAGCGUGCACCCUUAGCACUUUGUCUCACCGGCCCUGUAGGGCCUCAUCGGCCGUGCCGGCGAUCACCGGGUCUCCGCCCCAGACGCCCCUACCGAACCUAAAAGGGGGACGUGGCCGCACGCCCCCGGUGUCGGAGCACCGAGCGACGACACGUUCCAGUCGACACUGUCUCGGAUAGGCAUCCGGUCGAGCACCCUGUGCACGUCGCUCGGGCGGCGGCACUUGGCGUCAUGUACGCCAUCUAGCAACACAAACAUAAGUGUAUUAAAUCCGUCAUAAUAUAUAUCUUCACAUAGCCUCUGAUUUUCCAGAUAUUAUUGUUUUCUAUAAAUGAAUCAAGCUUUAAAUUUUUAACUUAAAUUAAGAGAGUAGAGUUUAAGUACAAAAACUAAAACAUCUUAUAGAAACAAAGAUAGUAGUAGAAUUUAAGUACAACGUAUCAACGGCAGGUAUAGGAGGAAAACCUUGAAACGAAAUGUACCAGGAAAUCAGCACAUAAGGGUAGGCCCCUUUCACCAUUCAUAACAUAUUUGCAACAAUUUUAUCCGCUUUGCUUGGUCAAUCAAACAAGGAAAAUGCUGGUGAAAUCUUAUCAUCCGUGAAAUGAAAUCGGCCAUAGCAUAUUUUUUGCACGUGGAUAGCCAUAGUUCUUCUUCCAUCGAAGCAUUUGACAUCCACGGAGGUCCGAGGAGCGCAACGAUUAAAAAGACUUGCUUGCCGAGUGAGGAGUGACACCGACUGGUGGUGACAGGAGUAGUAGCACAAACAAACACAAGCAUAAAGGAAAGGGAUCGAGGAAAGCCGGAGGCGGUGGGAAGCUCCAAAAACCACCACCCUUAUUGAGAAUGAAAUGAUUGAGAAUGAAUCUGUGAUUGUUCCAUUGAUUGAUGUUAUUUUUAUACAAGGAGAGGAGGCACCUGUACAUGCACAGGCGCCCCAAUAUUUGGCAGUGGCGUCCCAAAAUUGGGAAAAUUGGGAUGCAAGCAGUUACUAGUUAACUGCCAUGUUAACUAUUAAUUAACUAAUAAUUAAUCCUAAUUGAUUAUAUACUAAUUAAUCUUAACACUCCCCCUUGAUCAAUUUGCUCCGUUGAUAUGUAUAUGCUUGUAACAUCAAUGAAACUUGUAAUCUUGUAAUUUCCUCCAAAAACCCUGUGGGAAAAAUAUUGUGGAAAGUAAUACUGAUAUUGAUAUGUUGUAAAAACUCCUUCCUAAAAACCCAAUCGGAAAAAUUAGGAGUAAAUGGUACAACAUAUAUUGUUUAUUGUUUCUUGACAAUUCAUAUAGAAUUAUGUGAACAAUAAAUAUGCCUUGUAUAUUAUCCUUAAAGACCCCGAUGGGGAAAAUAGAAAAAUAUGACAUAUAAUCUUGUGUUGAUAUUGUCUCAUUAAAAACCCUUUAUGAGAAACUAGUGAGUAAAACUCAUAAUAGGAAAAGAGGGCAAUAUGAUGUUGUGAACCGGUUAAAUUUAGGUGGAUACUCCCCCUAAUGCUUGCAUGUUUUAUGUUGUCGCAUACUGAUAUAACCCGUUUGCAUCUGUGAAACAUAAGCAGGAUUAUCUUCAUAGAUAAUUGUAGGUGAUUCAAUCAAAUCAAUACCACAUGAUAUAUGUGGUUUGUCAUUCUGUGAAAACAUGUACACAUUUGUGCUGCAUGUAUUAAUUCCAGAAUAAUUGGUGUAUGUAGCCACUAGUGUGAAGUUUGGAAAAACUUUCUUAGGAUGGCUAUCCCACCAUGUAGGAACACGAAGCCUAUUUUGAUCUAACUUUGUGGGAUCUAAUAAGUAGUCAGAGUUAGUUUAUCCGAUGGUAUUGGAGUUUGGAUAUUUCUUGUCCAUCUUCUCAUAGUUUAAAUAGAUCUUUCUCUAUGUCUAGAGAUCGAACAACCAUGAGAGAUUUUGGUGGAUAAGAUUUGUCCAUGUUAAAAAACAAUUCCAACAUUUUCUGGAUAUAGGCAGCUCGAUGUACCAUAAUACUUGUAAACCCAAGUAAAUUUGGCUUUACAAGGAUCCUUCAUCUUGAAUUCCGUCUUUAGGUGAUUGUAUGUAUCACCAAACUUCUUGAUGUAUACACUUGGACAAUCAUCAUUGUUUGAGUAGUCCUUCAGUGAAAGAAACUCAUUUAGUCAGUUGUACCAAUUUUCCAAACUAUGUUAAUAAGCCAUAUAAUGAAUUAUUAAGGUUUUGCACUAUUCAUGUUGCGUCUUUCAUGUGCAUUUGGAAAUUGGGAUUCCUCGAGGAACCUAUAUGUCCAAAAUAAGUGAAUCAUAAAGAUAUUUUGUCACUACAUCUAUCAACUGCAUAAAUAGACGAUUUAGAACUGUCAUUGAAAUAUGUUAUCGGAAAAUGAUUCCAUGCAUAUAUGGAGAAUUGGUUUCGGGUAUCUGCGUGAACCCUAGUGCUACAAGCCUCGCUUUGAUCGAUCCGAGGUAACGGAAAACGAUCUUUGGGGCAUGCCUUGUUCAGGCUAGUGUAGUCAAUACACGCCACACCUUGGCAGCAGUUGGGUCAUCUUUCUUCUUCUCAACCAUGACCGGGUUUGCCAACCAGUCGGGAUGCAACACUUCCAUGAUAAAGCCGGCAGCUAGAAGCCGGGAUAUCUCUUCCGAUAUGAUCUUCCUUCUGUCAUCGGCGAGGCGUCAAAGGGGCUGCUUCACCGGUCUUGCGUUUGGUCUGACAUGUAAUGAGUGCUCAGCCAACUCCCUCGACACAACCGGCAGGUUUUGAUUUGACCAUGCGAAGAUGCCCCGAUUCUCACGGAGGAAGCUGGUGAGCUCGCCUUCCUAUUUCUCAUUCAGGCCGGCACCAAUGAUAGCGGUGCAGUUCGGGAACUCACUGUUGACCGGGAUCUUCUUCGUCUCCUUGGCUGCCUGGAAAGCCACACUUCCAUGGGGGUUGGUCAUAGCCGGCAUGCCAAUCUGUGCCGACUGAGCCAGUGCAACGGCUUCUUGCAGCUUCCACUUCUCGCCAGCGAUAACCAGUGACUCGGCCAAAGCAGAUCCUGCCGCCGCGCACUCCAUCGAACGCUUGUAGUUGCCAGUAAUGGUUAUGGUACCAUUUGGUCCCGGCAUCUUCAUCUUCAGAUAACCAAUGUGGGUAGUCACCAUGAAUUUGGCUAAUGCCGGUCUGCCGAGCAGCGCAUGGUAUGGACUGCCGAGAUCCACCACCUCGAACACCAAGUUCCCGGUUCGAGAGAUAACGUACACCCCAUCUGCGAUUGUCGCCUGCUACAUGCACUGCAGUGACAUAGUCUUCCAACCAAUCUUCCGGCUUUGUGCUGCGGUCAUAUGUUCUCGUACCCCUGGGAAGCUGGAAACCCUGGCCUGGUGUCUCUCUCAUGAUCCGAUGCUCGAAACAGCGUUGUCCCGGUGGGCCUUGUUCUUCCAGAAGCUCCGACAGAUAGAUUCUGUCGAGCCGAUGUUGGGCAUCUAGCGGCGACACUUGCUUGUUCCCCACUCAGGCUCCGAGCGGGCCGACAUUGUCACGCUCUCGCCUGAGAUAGCCUUCAUCUCCCAUGGACGAGUAUCCGUCAUCGUAACGGUCCUGCUGGUGAUCUUCACCUCGAUACAAGGGGUUGCGCCCGGCACCCUGCUGACCUGCAGCAGUAUUGGGUGCCGGACCCCGAGGUUGGUGUCCAUGACCAGCCGAGUGACGCUUUUGUGGGUCUCGGCGAUUGUUGUCGAGACGCAGACCACUUUGGCCGUCAUCAACUCUUCUAACCAUUUGCUUCUCAGCCAGGGCCGGAUCAUAACUAUCUAGCCUCUUGUCUCGGCCUGAGUUGACACUCUUGUCUCGCUUGCCACCAGGCGAAGACGCUUGCUUAUCAGCCCGGCCGUCAGCGCCCGCGGCCAAGUGAAUGAUUUGAGAUGCACCGGGCUUGCCGUGCAACCUCAUGUAUGCCUCAUUCUAUUCGUUAGCCAUGCGGAGCAACUCCUUCACACGCAGCAGCUGCAGUCGGAGUGCCUCUCCCGUGAGAUUCGGCAACUCUUGUGCUGCAGCCUCGGCUGCCCUAAGGUUCUUAACAAGGGUGCUGUAUUUCGGCUUAAGUGCCAAGGCAAAACUUGCCGACACAGCGGGUAUUGCCCUGCAAUCUCUAGCUAUCUCGGUGUUCAGGUUUCUGCCACGAUUACGCACCUCCCCAACUCGGCUAGGGUUAGGCAUUGCAGUCGAAUUGAGACCAUGAGCUUUGUUAUACUCACGGAGCGAAAUAUCGAGCUCUUGCCGAGCACGAGCCACGUCGACUGCUUCCUGCAGUAGUUUCUGGCGCUCCAACUCCAACUCAGCCUGUAGCUGGGCCAGGUUAGCGUUUGGUGCUACCGGCAAGGUCAACCGUUCGAUGGUGGCCUGGAGCUGAGUCGGCUUUGCCGGCACAGCGGACGUGCCAGCUUGAGCAGCGAUGUUCUCCGGCUUCUCCAUUGGGAACUUUGCCGUUCUGCCGGAUUUGCUCGGGAGCGCGCUGCUCUCUGCAGCACCCUUGCCAGCAUUGCCGCCAUGAGCCGUCACCAUGACCUCCGCACGGUCAGCGAGGCAGUCGCCAUGCCGGCCAUGAACCGUGCAGACGGCGGGGGGAUUUUCGGCCACCACCACCUGCGCGGGGUACCUGAAAGGAUUGUCAGUGGCGACAUAAACCUCAUGCAUGCCAAAGUUGAUGAAGGGGCCUGUGCAGGGAAGCGGCGCGUUGUUGAAGCAGCCCGCGUUGUUGUCGACGAAGCCCAGAGAACCGAAUCUCUGGACCAAACUGGAGACCACGCGCUCUCUGGUGACGAGAAAGCUUCCCGUAUGGAUGAAAUCUCAAGCCAGCGCCACUACUGGCCCCACGGUGGGCGCCAACUGUCGUGGUGGUGUCACGGCAGAUGCCAUAGGAUGACUUAUGUUGGGGCCGAUGGAUGAAGGAGGAACCGGAGGAGGGAGGACGUGAUUAGAACCACGCACAACACAAGAACACACACAACUUUACACAGGUUUGGUCCAGAGAUACCAAGGAUUACAAUGGAGCUCCUUGAGCUGUUUCUUGAGGAAGAAGAAGAAGAAGAAGGGAAAAACCCUAGAUGACUAAGUGAAGGACCCCUCUCCUGGGAGGGGUGGUGCUCCUUUUUGUAGGCCGCCGAUGUCACACUGACAUGUGGACCAAAAGCAAACCCUAUCUUCUACGGGGCCCGCUAGGUACGCCCCACGGUUCCCUAUGGGUUGCACGACAGGAGACAAAACAGCAUUACUUUUCGUAGCCCCAGGCGUUGCGCACUUUAGCCACGCGCAGGCCUUCGUCAUCGGUCCUUCUUCGGCGCGUCACUGUGCAGUCGCCUGGCACCACGGCGUGAGCAACGACUGCUUUCCUGUGAUAAAGGGAGCGCUGUUUUACUUUGCGCCAUGUGCUCAGGAUAAGACCGUUGACGCAUCUCGGCAGAUCAGACUGCUUGUGCUUACCCUGCAACCACAUAAGACAAGAUAAAUAUGCUGGCAUAUCCUUGUUAUGCCGGCAUAUCCUUGGUAUGCCGGCCUGUUAUCAAUUCGGCUUAAGGAUGCCGGCACAGUUGCCUGUGCCGGCUUUGGCCUCGUUAUCUCGGCUAAUAUGUGUCGUCAUGACCCUACCCGGGGUCAUCCCCUCGACAGAUUCCAUCCCAAAUUUCUUCAGCAUAUCCCUGAUGUACUUUGUUUGAGAGAUGAAGAUUCCAUUCUUCAUUUGCUUGAUUUGAAGACCGAGGAAAAACUCCAAUUCUUCCAUCAUGGACAUCUCAAACUUCUCCGUCAUCAUCUUUCCAAAUUCUUCGCUGAAAUCAGGGUUAGUGGAACGAAACACAAUAUCGUCCACAUAUAUUUGACACACAAAGAGUUCAUCAUUCAUUUUCUUUGUAAAAAGUGUUGGAUCAAUUUUACCAAUUUUGAAAUCCUUUUUGACUAAAAACUUUUUGAGGCAUUCAUACCAGGCUCAAGGUGCUUGCUUCAAGCCAUAGAGUGCCUUGUCAAGUUUAUAGACAUGAUUAGGAUGCUCUGGAUCUUCAAAACCAGGAGGUUGUUCAACAUAAACAAGUUCUUCAAUUGUUCCAUUUAAAAAUGCACUUUUCACAUCCAUUUGAUAUAAAGUUAUGUCAUGAUUAUUAGCAUAUGCAAGAAGAAUUUUAAUAGAUUCAAGACGUGCAACAGGGGCAUAGGUUUCACCAAAAUCCAAACCUUCAACCUGAGUGAAGCCCUGUGCAACAAGACGUGCUUUGUUCCUCACGACGAUUCCGUCUUCAUCUUGCUUAUUUCUGAAGACCCAUUUAGUGCCAGUGACAUUUUGCCUUGGCCUUUCAACGAGGGUCCAGACUAGAUUUCUCUUGAAGUUAUUCAGUUCUUCAUGCAUAGCCAUCACCCAAUCCGGAUUCGAUAAUGCUUCAUCCGCUGUCUUUGGCUCAACUGAAGACACAAAAGAGAAGUGCUCACAGAAACUUGAAACACGUGAGCGAGUUUGAGUACCUCUUCUGAUAUCUCCAAGGAUUUGAUCGACAGGAUGAUCCUUUUGGAUUCCUUUGCAUAUCUUCGGAUGAUGUACUUCACAACCAGUAGUACUAGGUUGUGCUUCAUUUGAACUAGCAGUUUGUUCUUCAGUUAGGGUGGAAGCUCCGAUUUGGUUAGGUUCUUCGGCUUGUGAAGCACCUUCUUCAUUAUUGAUUCCAGAUUCACUUUGUUGGACUUCUUCUAAACGAAUAUCACAAAUGGCCAUCUUUCGAAUAUUUCCUGAAAUUUCUUCACUAUCUACAGACAUCUUUCAUAUGUCAUGGCUUCGGAUUCUUCAUUAUCGGUUUCAUCAUUAUCACUAGAAUUCACUUCAACUUCACUAUGAGAUGAUACCUUAGAGGAUUUUGCCAUGAAGCAUGAUGGUGAGUUGCGAUCGUCUCCAGAGGCAUCUUCAGAUGAUGAAUCUGCAGAGUCAAAUAAUGAAGUCUUCUCUCUGGAGGAUGAAAUAGAUAUCGCCAAUCCAGCGACGCCGUCUUCAGACUCAGAAUCAGAUGAUCUUUAGACGAUGAAGAAUCUGAGUUCCAUUCACCAACAUGUGCUCUAGAGUAAUACUUCCCCUUCUUCUUGUGAGCAGAGUUCUUAUUCCAAUCCUUCUUCUUGUGACGAUCACGGCUCUUCUUGUGAGGAUGUUUCUUGAAUCCCUUCUUCUCCUUGUCUUCAUCAGCUUUCUUGGGACAUUCAGCGAUGAAGUGUCCUUUCUUGCCGCAGUUGAAGCAAGCUCUUUUGGCCAUAUCAGAUUUCUUCCGAUGAGCAGAUUUCCGAUACUUGGAGGAGCUGGAUUCACUUUGAUGCUUCAGUUUGUUUCAAAACUUUCUUCCAAACUUCUUAUUGAACCUCUUCACAAACAGAGCAAGCUCAUCACUGGAGUUGGAUUAGUCUUCAGAUUCUUCACUGGAGCUGACGAUCUUCUUGGAUGAUUUCUUGGCCUUGAGUGCAAUGUUCUUCUUCGAACUGGAUCCAGGACCAUGGAUCAUCUUCUUUUCUUCCAGAUCAAGCUCAUAGGACACAAUUCUUCCAAGUACCUAGGUAGAGGUUAACUUCUUGAAGUCUGGCCAAUGCUUGAUCAAUUCAUAGACAGUGGUGUACUCCAUGGGAAGAGCUCGAAGAAACCUUCUGUUUUGCAUCAAGUCAGUGAUAUUGUGAUCAUCAAGAGUAUUCAGCUCAUUCACAAUGGUGCUCAUACAAUCAUAAAGUGAAGAAACAGUCUCAUUGGGCUCAAGCACAAGUCUGUCAAACUGACUGAUGAGGCGAGUAACUCUAGAAUCUUUGACAGUGGUAGUCCCUUCAUGGACUUCAGUGAGAAGAUUCCAAAUCUUCUUUGCAUCAACAAGGUUACUGAUCUUGUUAAACUCAGGAUCACUGACAGUCGAGAAGAUGAUAUCACGAGAACACGAUAUCACUGACAGUCGAGAAGAUCAUAUGACCUUCACAGACUGAUUGAUGACGAAUCACAGACUUCGAUUGCUCUUCAACAUUGACUCCUAGCCGUCUAGGUGAUGCCAAUCACCAAGAGAGUAACAAGCUUCAAGUGUUCGGCUAUAGAGGGGAUCCCAUUCUUCACGCUCAGUUCAGCUCUAAUGGUUUUCUCAGGUGUACUUCAAAACAUCUCCUUGGGGAUUAACACCAAACCCGUUCGAGUUGGGUCGUUUAUAUAGCCUUGGGCAUGGCCGAUCUAGCAGUUGUGACCCGUUGGAUAAAGUGAUCCCUGAGACUCCAGCUCACACUUUAUCUCUUUAUCUCACAACGGUUAGAUUACGUGGUCAAAACGUAAAGCGACAAAGUUUUUCAAACACAUUUGGAAUCAGAGUGAAGACUCCACGCGGAAGUUUCUGUGAAGCCUGAAAUGCUUCAUUCUUCACUCCGACGAGAAACACUCACCCAGAAAAUGGUUUUCGCCUAAGCUGAACAUGAAGAAUAAGGUUUCACCUAAACCAGCUCCACACUUCAAUCCCCCCUUAAUAUUACGACGUUCCUAUACUCAACUGAAGAAAAAGCUACGGAAAGACCUAUGAAGAAAGCUACGGUUCACAUUCUUCUCCGUUUUUCACUGAGUUCUUCAUACUUCAAGCCAGUACCUAUACUUCAAUUUUUAGGGGUCGUCGAUGCUGGCUAAACCAACUCUUCUGAGUAACUAAAACCUAAAACACUCCGUGUAACUCAUUAGUUCCUCAACCAUGUUGUCAUCAUUCAUCAAAACCCAUACAGGGGCAAGGUUUUCCUUUCAACGGUUGGUGAGGGCCCGUUCCAGGCAAAACCCGAACACCACCGUGAUGUUGUAUGCCUAGAAGUAGUGGCGCAGCUUCCGUGAAGCGAGCAGGAUCCCAAGCAAGAGCUUCCGGACCUGCGGGUACCGUACCCGGCCAUCGCUCAAUACCGUGCUGACGAAGUACACGGGGUGCUGCACUAGUCGCGGGAGAGGUGCCCGAUAUCCCCGCAGUUGAAGCAGGCUCCGGCAGCACAGCGUUCCUCGUAGCGCUGCUCGCGCUUCUCCUUGAUGGUUUGGAGAGUGCGGAAGUCCUACCCGUGGUGCGUGGCGUUCGCGUGGAUGGAGCUGCGACCGGUUGUCGCUGGCUUGCUACCCGAUGCGCCUGUCGAUGCAGCCUUCUUGGUGGGCCUCUAAGGAGCCCCCGGUUCCGCGGCAAGCACUUGCUUCCCGCCGCGCUCCGGGAGCCCUUCUUCCCGGGGCCCUCGGGUGGGUUUGCCGCCGCUUUUGUUUGGCGGCAAGCUCAGGCCCUAGGCGCCCUUCCUCGGCCACCGCGCACUUGUGUUCGAGGGCGUACAGAUUCCUGGUGGUCCUGAUCCGGUUCGUGUUCAGCUUCUCACGCAUCUUCGGGUCACGAAGGGAGUACUAAGAUCUACUCCGUCGACUUGUCAUUUAUGUGGUACAAAUCAUAACCAUAACAAAAUUACUUUUGAAUAAGACUAAAAAUAUAAUGAUAUCAAUUUUAUGGACAUCAAAAUCAGAAAGAAAGAAAAAGGCCACACAAGCCAUCCAAGGCCCAGUUAUAGGAUGGGAUUUGGCUAAGAGCUAGAAAACACACACGAUAUACCCAACAGACCGUGCGCUCGGCGCUCGGGACAUCGUGGGAUCGAUCGAUGAAUCGACUGAGAAACAACGCCUGAGUGAUAGGCGGGUCCUUAAAACAGAGAGAAAUAGAUCUGGAUGGCGACAUCACCACCGCCCAACGCAACAACUGUGCCUCAGGAUCACACACCACCACCUACACCACCACCUCCCUUGACGCCACCGUACCUCAAGAAACACAAGCACAUCUCUUUGUCCGAUACACUCAGCUCAACGCCUCACAAACGGGUCUUAUAGUUCACUGGCUAAAUGUCCAUGCUUUGCUACAAGAUUAAAAAUAUGUGACUCAUAUUUUUUAAAUUUCUGAUAAAUAAUAAUUAUCUCAAAAAUAUUAUUUUUGAUUUUUUUUUACCUUGAAAGUCAUAAAAACCAAUGAAAAAUAGUCAAAUGUGGCCAAAAGAUCGUGAUAUGUAUAAAAUGAGUCGCAAUUAGAUGAGUCGAUAGCCGUUAUGGGGGUAGUCCUGUUGGAGUAAACUCACGACCACCAACUCAGAUCUUUAUAUUUGUAAAGAAAAUCACAUGAACUAAACACACCCUUAGUUCAAUCAAAUGGUGACAUCACUUUUUAGAAAACUAUUUCAUUUGUCUGACUAAAAAAGGUUGGACUUCACGAAGCCCUAGAUUUUACGGUCCGUCUCCAUUAACCGCUCAUACAUCUACCAGAGUAGCAGAGUAAGAACUGUCUAUAUAUUAUAUUAUAGUUGAGAGAGACUAAUCCAAACCAAUAACACAAAGCUCGCUGUACAAAUAAAAUAUCCUAUAAUUUGAACUUGCUAAAAUACUUACAAAUUACAAUGAUACAGCUACCUGAUAUCGAAACAAAAUACAAUUAAUUUCGCUAACCAGGUUCAAAAUUGGGGAACUGGAUUAUACAACGGGGCUACAUGUAGAUCAUUGCUUGGUAUCCUCUCUUCGCAACCUUUCGUCUUCUUUUGACAACGCGUUGAUUUGCUUCUCCAGCUGUCAUGUAGAUAACACAAUGAGUGGUGCACUCAUGAUUUAAAAAUCUAAACAAAACUUUUAAACACAUUUAACACAAGUAUCUUUGUUCAAAUUAUGUAAACUUCAAAUUACAGAUACAUUUGCUGAUAGUGUCUACCUGAUUGUUUCUCAGCUUUAAUCUCUGCACUUCUUCAGCGAGUUCUGUAACGCUGAGAAUUUUCAAAAAUUCAGUCAAGUGUCCAUAAAUACGGAGAAUCAUCCAAGAAAGGUAUACCUUCGCUGCAGAUUGACAACAUAUGACUCCAAUUCCUUCUCUUUAGAAUGCGUUCCAGAUGACUGCACGUUUACCAGCAAUGUUAAAAUAAAUGCGACCAAUAUAAUUGAUAUUUAAAGUUCACUUGGUUUAAGGUAUAAUAUGAAAACGAAAGCACAUACGAAACACACACCUGCGACGGACCAACUAUACUUGCAUCAGAAGCAUCUGCCGCCAAAAAAAAGGUCCCAUGCAAAACAAUAAUAUCAGCAUGCUGGUCAAAUUAUCUCAGUGAACAUAUAUAAUUUCCAUGACACAUACCAGAUGUUUCCUCAAUUGAAGAUAUCAGUCUACUUAGUAUUUCCUGUCAGUUCAAAGAAUUGUAAGAGUGCUGACAAAGUUUGUCUGCUGGAAUAAUAAAUGCAAUAAUACCUUCUGCAUAGUAUUUUGCUGCAUCAAGAAUUGUAAUGUUGGAAGAACUGUGGAUGAGUUGGAAAUUGGACGUGUAACUCCACUGGCUAGAUUUACCCUGCUGCUGCUCGCUAAAGGAGCUACCUAAGGAAUUUACAAGGCCAAGUAGAGUAAAAUUUAUUUGCGUCAUGGAAAUUAAAAUCUGAAAAAAAAACAAUUUAAUAGGACAUUUGCACAAAAUAAACAACUGGGUUUUCCUGAAAUGUCAAAAAAAUUGUAGUUUUUCUCUUGCACCAACCCCUGCCUAUCAAACCUUUUGAGGAGACGAUGGUUGAACAAUAUUUGAAUGAAUGAUAAUAAUCUGUAAAGGUCACUCUCAUGGUCCAGAAGUAGAAAUCAACUCCCCAAACGAUUUUUCUCUCAUGAAAAAGCACUUUGGCUUUAGCUUUCUAUUUCUAGAGGCUUAAGCAUUGUAAACUAGUUACAUGAUAUACUCAAAACAUGUUUGACCUCACUGUGAGUGGUCGCAGUCCAAAUAAUGGUAACCUCUACCGAGACCCAAGGUUUUCAUCUUGAGUCACAAUUAAGAAUAGAACAAAAUAACUAUUAACUAUGCUUGUUCCCGUAACUUUUCUGUUAAACAACUUCGUACCUUUUGAGCAGGAUUAUCUGAUGUGACCUGGAAACGACCCCUUCGGUGGACAACAUUUCCUUCCGAUGGCUCAUCAGGUGCAACUGCUCAGACACAAGCACAACAAGCUACGUUAAAUACCAAGGGCAGUUGCAUCAAGCUAUUUCUAACAUAUUAAAAAUAACAUUAAACUGGUUGGUUGCCAGAUAAUGCAUAUUAGACUCCCAUUUUACGUGAAUCUAUUAGGAGACAGACAGAGGUAGGUGUAGGGCUCAUGAUCAUCUUACCAGACGGAUGAGGGCGUGAAUCCUUCAUUUGGCGGAACAACAAAGGGCCACUACGGUUCCUGGUGCUUUGACUUCUCUGAUGGAACUCACUCCUUCAUAAAAAAAAAUUAUAAGCGUUACAACAGCCUAGAAUAGGCACAUGAGCCAACAACAGAAAAGUGUACAGAGAAGAGUAAAAACACGUACAAGACUAGGAAUCUAUCAUGAAUUGAAUAAAAGGUACCAAUAUUGUUAGUACUAAUCUUGCCAUAUAAGUUAAGUUGUGGUGUCUAGAAGAAUCUAGUUGGCUGUUUAGUCUAGAAGUAUCCAGGGUAUGUAGGAGUCUUACUAGAAGAAUAGUAGUGUCAGUUUUGAAUAGGUCAAGGAGCAGGUUGUAGGAGUUUCUAGAAGUUACUGUUCUGUGAACAGUAACCGUCUUAGAAAGCCUAUAUAAGGAUGUAUCCCCCUUGUAAGAAAGCUAAGCUUGUACUGCCUAGAGAAAUAUAUGUAGCUUCAUAUCUUGUGUGUGCGUGCGUGUGUGAGACACUAACAUACCAAAGAGAAAGAGAGAGAGAAGUGAGUGUGAAGCUCAUCUAUUAGAAGGUGAGAGUCCCCCCUAGCUACAAUCGGUAUCAGAGCUUUGCUCUUACAAAUAUUACCACUACUAUAACAAUGUUGCCGAAAAAUGUAGAGUUCAUUCAUGCUUUGUUAUUGUACUAUGCGCAUUUUCUAGACCAGAUGGAAUUCCAGAAUGAAGGAUGUUCUACCGAAUGAGUCCGCCAAGCCAAAUACUAGAAUUGUUUAUUUGCAAGAUUAAAGCGGGCCCCAAAGGCUUUCAAAUUAGGAUGACAGUUAUUGGUAAUGAAAGUGUGCAUAAAGACCCGAGCAGAGGAUAUCAACAACUUGAAUAGAAAUACCCACAUAACUAUAUAUAAAUCCGAACUGAAAGGAGGGAGCACACAUCUCUCAGUCUGAUGCUGUGACAUCCUGGUGCCUUGCUGUUGGGGCACAGCCGGCUGGCACUAAGUCAUGCCCAAAUGGCAGGCAUACAUAUAUUUUUGCAGAGCUGAAGCUAUUUUCAAGUGAAAUGUAAGAGGAAACUAUGAGUCCAUGCAACAUGAGACUUAUUGUUUUACACCAACAAAGCAAAUGCAGAUGCCAGCCAAGCAAGCAAUGUGAGGGAUGUUAGUGGCAGCAGUAGCAGAGCAUGCUGUCAGCAGGCUGGUUGACUUGCAGAAGAGUUUACGACUUUGCGUUGUUAAGGCAGACAGCAGUACUAGGACUGCCCUUGCAGCCAGAGAUAGUAGGUUGACAUAAAAAAAUGAAUAAAAUUAGCCAUUGUAGAUCAUACAUGAUAUUUCACAUUUGAUGGUGACAUGAUACAAAACUACAUCUUUCAGGGGUAAACAAAUAGAGUACAAGUAUUUGAACCCAAAAUUCUGUAUUUUCAGAUGAAGAAAUAAUGAUUAAACCCACAAUUAUGUGAAGAUGAAAAAAAUUAUGGCCCAGGAAGAAGUGCCAGCAUGCAGAAUGGGAAAAAAAGAAUACUGUUUACCUUUGUGAAUCACUGCCAACAUUCCUAUAUGGAGAAAGAACAUGCUCAGGAAUUAGAGAACCACUUGAGAACUUUUGAUAUACAGAAUUUCCCAAAUUCGAGGGUACGGAAACACUUCUUUCCAGACUUUCACCAUUACAGUUGGAACUUCUAUCAUGCUCAAUUUGUGAGGACUGCUGAACCGGUGAUAUAGGUUCCGCGCUUGGUUGCACACGCAAAUUCGUAGCAGUAGGGUCCAGAAUGCCAUCCCCACAAACAUCAAAGCAAGACCUGUCAAAAUCUUUCACAGUCAACCAAUAUUUUAAUAACAGGGCUCAACAGAGCAAAAUCAUCAUCGUGGUGAUAAGCAAAACAUAACAGUUUUCUCUAUUAGUUCCAGAAGGAUGGUGUAGCAAGACAAUUGCUCAAGGUUGGAAAAUGUAGAUGACUCCUAUAUAGAACCAUGAACUCCACCAUUAUUAGAUGCAUUUCAUCCAAUACAAGAAACUACCCCUUUGAUGACACCACAUUGUUGGUAAAUCGAAUUUAGCUGAGUUUUAUUCUGAGUUCUGAGAACACAAACAUGACAUUUAACUGAGUUUUAUUCUGAGUUCUGAGAACACAAACAUGACAUUUCAUCAAAAUAAGUAUUGAACAUAAAACUAGCAUCAUUCACAACAUCAGAAGAUUGUCCAGUUUUAAGGAAUAUGUUGCAGAGUGAUGAAAUCCCAAACUUACUUUAGUGCCUCAAGAGGACGGGUAGGAAAAGAAGAGGCAAGCUCUCCAUUCAAAUCUUCGACUUCUUGUAUUUCAUCCUGGUAAGUCAGAAGAGUUAGCCAAUAAUAUUUUGAGGCUACUUUAUUAAGUCACGAUAAUUUAGUACCUCCACAUGCCUUGCAGAAGCACCAUGGUUGACCCUUUCCUGGUAAACAUUUUCUGCUUCAUUAUAAGCUUCUCGUAAGCCAUUCACAUCCCUUUUGUUGGUACCAUUAAAACUAUAUGUGCCAUUUGAACUGUCUAACUGCCAAGGAGCACAUUACCAGAUUAGUAAACACAGAUUUCUUGCAAGCACUCAAGCUGCUGGUUAUCGCCCAACCCGCAUUAGCUAGUACAAUAAGGCAAAAUGAUUCUUACAAGGGCAGCUGCAGUUUUCAAGUCCUCAAGAUUAAAGUUCCAACCACUGAUGCCCCUUAUGUAUUCUUUCUGAAAGGCAAAUAUUUGCAUUAGUCAGAAUGAGUCGAGAAAAAUAUAUAUAUAAUGAUACUUCAAAUCAAAGAGUUCUUAUAGCAGUUUAAAAUGGAAACACGAGAAAUACAAGGUACUUGCUACCAUCACCCUUCCAUGUUCUAAACAACUGUAAUAAAAUAUUUCUGUUCGCAGAAAGAGAUGGUCGUUAGUCAAUAGAUGUAAAAGAAAAACAGAAACUCUCUUUAAAAGCCAAGCAACACCAAGCUAACCCUUGCACCAAUGGCUUGCCACGUGUAUAAAGGAAAUUGAAGGGAAAGUGCAGAUUUCUUUUGUUAUUUAAAGAUAUGAUGGAGGAUACCAGCAACAACAAACUAAGAUAUUUCAUUUCCUUCCUUUCAAGGUUGCAAACCUUAAGUCAACCCCAUACAAAUUCUUUAAGUCAACCCUUUUCUAUGAUAAUACAUUGGGAGAAGAUUGGCAGUGACUUCCAGCAUUCUGAAGAACUCACAUAACCAAAGAGCAAGCCCAAACCUGUGAUAGCUGCUCCUUGCUCUCUGGACCAAGCUUGUUAUUAAGAAGUAAGUCAGCUUCUUUUGCCUACAUGGGGGUAAAAUAUAGGUCAGACUUGUUACAGCAAUGCCAUGGCACCCCAUAAAACACUGAUUUUACACCUUCAACGCCCUAAAGCGGUCACCCAGUGGGGGGAGGCCCUCCAGAAUACUCCGUGCUAAAAACUCAGCUGAUCGUGCUUGCUUAAAAAAAGAAUGUUUCAACAGCUUUUCUGAAGAGGGACGCUUUUGUGGAUCCUUGACUAGGCAUGCAGCAACCAAAUCCCUGAAAGACUGCAAUAACAUGCACAUGAUUAAUAUAAAAUCUAAAAUACCUACAAAGUUACUUCAUAAAUAGAACAAACCUUUGAAAAUCGCUUGUCCCUCUCGUAGUCUAGACCUGGCGGUGCAUUUUGCAAGGUCAUAAGCAACACCUACAAUGGGGUAAACAUAAGAUUCAACGCUAUCAUUCAGUAACAGAGUAACUUGCACAAAGUUGAUUUACAGAGAGCCGAUAUGCUUCACUGCUGACCUUCAUUGGAGGGUACUUUGAAAAUGGAGCAUGACCAUGCGCUAAUUCUAAUGCCGUUAUUCCAAAGGACCAAAUGUCAGCUCUGUUUAUAAAUUGUAAUAGCAAAAAAAUCUUAUAUCAGUUAGGGCAGCUUAAUUAAUCAGAUUUCUAAUUACUAGUUGAGGACUCACUUGUAAUCAUAACCAUGCAGUUGUUGCAUGACUUCAGGAGCCAUCCUACAAGACGCAGGGGUUAUGUGUGCUUUAGCAAGUAUGUUCAUGUAAGCAGACAACAACGAGAAUGAUACACAUUACAUACUAAAGUUAAGUGCACUUACCAGCAAGGGGUCCCAACAAAUGUAUUUCUUGCCCGUUGCCUAUUCCCUGUGUCAAACAUGCAGGCUGACACUCCAAAAUCUCCUAGCUUAACAGCUCCAUUUGUAUCUAUUAGGAUAUUUCCAGCCUGAAAUGGAUUAGUAAUUUGGAACAUAAUUUAGAACAUGCAGACAACGAGCGCUUAAGUAAAUAUGGAAAGUAGAACAUAUUGCUUAUCAUAAAACGGAUUAGUAAUUUUCAUAUAUAUAUUUAGCGUUUAUCUUUACUCAAUUUUAGAGUAUACAAUUAUUGUAAUUAACAUGCAUGUGUUGGCCCUAACCAAACAUUCAAAAUGAGGAGAAAGAGCCAAAUAAGGCAUAAAAUGCAAUGUGGCACAAACAGAUGAUGUGGAAGUGGCAUGUGCAAACGACAACCAAAACUGGUCUCAGUUGUUGAGUAACUCACUAUCGCAAGUUUAUAGGCUACGUUGCAUGGAUACGUCCAGGACCUGCCGUAUCCGUGCAGGAUACGGCAUAAAACGGGGAUACGCGGAGAUACGCAUGGGAUACUCGUAUUUUCUGAUUAGCCCACUUUUCCGAAUUAAAAAAAAAUAAAAAACGGCUGGGCUACGCACGGGACAUCAGCAGGCCUGCUACUGCUGGUUCCACAGCCCGUUAGGAAGCCUAAUUGAGUCUCACGCACCACUGCACGAGUGCACGAUCGACUCUCACGCAUUAGGGUGUUGCAGAUCGCGAACGCAAAGCUCUCUGCGGCUCGGCGCAUCACAGAGUUCUCCUCGCCGGCCAGCUUGCCUUCACAUCUGCAUGCAAGCGAUCAAGUCCAGUGUCAUCUCAAUUUUGUUACCCUAUAUAAUAUAGUAUACUUGUGUAUUUUUUUUAACUUAUUUUAUAUAUAGUCGCCGUAUCCCCGUAAGUGAAUUUUUAGAAAAUGCCGUUUUCACGUAUUCCCGUAUCCGUAUCCCCAUACUGUGUAACAUAGGUUAUAGGGAAUAAAGAUGAAAAAGAUACUUUGUACUUAGGGGUUAACUAGGCUGCCGCCCAGGGGUGAGGAGUGCGAGGAAGAGGAGUAGCAGUGAUGGACAGAGAAUUGUGCCUCCUUUGAAGUUUCCACAGCCAAACCAUGGAAACAAUUGGGGGCUGCUUGGUUGGAUGAACAUUUGUUCUCACCAAAUGGUGGCAGAGCAACAAACUUUGCCCUCUAUUACGAUCUGUCAGAAUAACUGGCAAGCUCAUAUUUUCCAUGGCCAAUACGGCAACGCAAAUAGAAGGCAGGGAAUGUGACAAUAGCCAACUAUUGACUACGCACAGUAAGGAACUAAGGAUUUAGUCACAUUGGGCAAUGCUUGAGAAUCUCAGCUGGGCGACUAAUCAUCACUGCGCUAGUUGAAAACACCGUACACAGCUAGUCGUUCCCUGGCCAAACUGACGACACUGUAGGGGUCUAGGGGUGUUCAUAAAUAGGUUGGCACAAACCCAUCAAAACAGGCAGUCAUAAAUUAUAGCAGCGCCAGUGUCAUGUCAAAUUGAGGAGGCUGGUUAGUUCAAAAAAUUGACUAGCAGAAUAGUAGCUGGUUUAGAAUGGUUUUGAGGAAACAGCUUAUGGACACCCCGGUGACACUGGUCAACUAUCUCCUCUAUCCUCAAUUUUGAGCAGUAGAAUUAUGGCGUCCUCACCAUUCUUCUGAGUCCUCAUCAUACUGCUCUACUAGAAAUCCAUGACAAAGAUGCUUUUGUCUUCCUAUCAGUCUCAGAAGAAAAAUAUUAAGUCGCAGGCCAGUAGGAGCAGUUGUAACCAUGAAUGCACCACCGUCACUGGAGAUGAGCAUGAGGACCAGAGUGGAUGAAAUGCGGUCUGACUGAGCCCCACACAAAACAUACCUUCACGCAUGGUUCAAGCCAGCCAAUGGAACAAAACAUCUAAAGAUUCAAUAUCAAGCUACAGGAACUAAUACACUUUUUUGCAACAGAAGAGAAGGGAAAUGGCAUUUCAUUAGUGAAACAGUUCGAUGACAUAAGAGUUCAAUGAAAUUUCUCGAGUAGCAUUUCCCUAAAAUAGGUGGAGUGUAAUUGAAUUUCUUAUUGAACACAAUAAAGACAAAUCAACUUAAUUUGUUAUGGCAGAUCUAUGCUUCUGCUACAAAAGAUAAUUAUGCAUUAAAUGAACUCUUAAGUAUAUACCUUCACAUCUCUAUGGAUAUGCCCCUGAGAAUGUAGGUAGACAAGGGCUUUGAGAACUUCCCACAGUAGAGUAGCAAUGACUGACUCCUCAAACCCAUCUGGAAAAUUUGUUUUUAUAAUGUGCAGGGCAGAUCCAGCAGCCAUGAAAGGCAUGACAACCCAAAGUUGAUGCCCAUUUGCAAAUGAACAGCAUGCACGAAGAAGAUUUGGAUGAUUAAUUAAGCUCAUGGUUUGUACUUCCCGCCUUAUUCCAUCCUAAAGAAUGAUAUCAUCAAAAGGUAAGAAAUACAGGGUCACACACAAAAAAAAAUACAUACAAUUGGAUUGAAAUUAGCAUGUUCACAAGGACGAUAAGCAGGAAGCCUGUAACUGUGUAAAGGAAGAUGAAUUGUGGAUAAGUUACUGAUUAGACACAAAAAGAACCAAUCCACAAACAAAAUGCAACUUAUAGCAUCCGCAGAAACAAUACCUCUGAACUGAAUUGUAUUUCCAGCAAUAUUUCGUGCGGUGGGCAUUUUCUUUAUCCUAACAUAGAAAGUCUCCAGACUUCCAAGAAUGUAUUUUGCAGUCCUAUAGUAUUAUAUCUCACUUAAAGACCAACAAAAUUACAGAGUUAUUUGAAAGGUAACAUUUGCUGGAAGAAUGACACUCAUAUCAUAUCACACAAUGUAGAGAAAAUUAUAGUCUUCCCAGAAAAGAUGACCCAAUGUUAGUUUCCUAUGCGAACUAUUUUGCGUUUAGGCAUUAAACAAUUUUCAGAUAGUUAUAACAUAUGUACACUUCCAUUCUAAUUCAGGUUCCAGAAUCUAUCUCUUUCGAAAACCUAUACCCACAGGAAAUGAGGUAUAUCCACAUGGCCACACCAUGUCACCAAUACUUUGAGAGAACAACUUGAGACUUCUAAUUGUUGACAUUUUCUCCUUGGUACUCGGACUGCAGUUAUUUAUUUUUCUAGGCAUAACUGUUUCAUGCUUACAUGAAUAACAUGCAAUUAGUAAUUAAAGCGACUAUAUUGGGAAGUAGGGAGUAAUUAGGAAAGAAAGAGGACCCAUAUAAAAAAAACACGAGAAUAGUAAGCAAACUAACACUAAAAAAAUAAUACUGCUGAAGAGCAGAACAACAAGAUUAUGUGUGGUAUCAUAUGCUACAAGCAAAAGAAUUGUUAUUAAAAAAACAAUAAUAAUAUAUUUGUGAGGGGGAAAAAAGAAGAAGGACAAGGCAAUAUCGUGAAGAAAAAUUGAAGUAAGUUUGCGUGUAUCACAAUAAAGUGCAAACCACUUACCAGGUCAUUACUGCAUUUCUCAAGGUCAAGAACUUUGAUGGCAACUAAGACAUUAAGCGGGACACAAAGAGCCCUGUAAACUGUGGCACUAACUCCUUCUCCAACUUCCUCAUAUAACUUAUAUUCCUUGGGAUCAGUUGGAUAUCCCCUGCUACGUGGUGCAUGCUCCAUGGUUGAAACUUACAGAACAUCAUAAGUAACAGCCACAAUUUUACAAUUUCUACAGCACUGGAGCAUAAAAGGCAAUGUCAAUAACACCUUAUAGGUGUUGACAAGAAUAACCUUCAGCAUGGCUAUGUUUGUGGAUGAAUGCAUGAACUGUUAUAGGAUCCUUUAUUGCAUAGUGUAAAUAACAAAGAUCCUUUGGUCCAAAGGCUUAUAUUGGCGAAGACAAUAACAAAGCAGAUGCUACAAAGCUACCCAAGCUGGCUUGCAUCAACCGUAUUGUCGCUGUCUCGCAGAAUAUUGUAAGCUGCAAAACAAAGAAUAGGAAGCCUUUAACGCAGUGCAUGUCGCUGCAGAGGAAAAAGCAACAUAACGCAAACAUAACAUGACCGUAUCGGGAGAUGCCCAAACCCAAUGUGUGUACAGACGCUCUGCUGGAAUCAGAAAAGAACCAAUAAAACACACAAAAACUGAAACUGAGACCUUGGAAGCAAAGCCCACUCACAGCUCCAUAGCCAUAGAGUAAGCUCCAGUAAUCACAAGAGUCACGAAAGAUUACGCAGCCCUUAGUCAAACAGAAGUUCAGUUCAGCAUUCCCAACCUGGAGUAAGCAUGACAGAAUAUCCUAGCCUCCAGAUUCUAACCCAGCACAAGUGGUUAGUGGGCGAAGCUUGAAGCAAAGGUGAUCAAGCUCAGGCCCCUUCCUUUGUGGCAGAAUCGCUAGAGCACGCUCAGUUCAUAGCACCCAUACUACUUAGCUGAGCCAGAGGGGCCACAUGACGCAAUCUGGUGAACCACUUGGGUACCAGCAGAAACCAAAUCGCUACGCCGUAAGAUACCAUGAUUUCCAUCCCGUUGGAAACCAGCUAUCCUAAAUGCCUAAAUGUCCACUAUUCCCGCAUAACACCAUAAGAUCGAGCUACCGGGAAGCUUGACACACUGCUGCUAGCCUGCUACGAAGCCAAACAGAGCAAUCCGACGGCGGCAGCGUUACCUCUGAAGGCACGCCGGAGGGGCGUAGGGAGGGGGAUCACCUCCGACGGAGGAGCUGCGAUGCCGAGACGACGGUGGCGGAUCUCGCAGGGCAGCGGGGGUAUGAGCGCACGCGAAUCUGGGAGCUGGGCUGGUGGCAGACCGUGCGACAGAGCAGAUCUGGACAGCGGAGGAGGAGACGAUUGCUGCGGCGGCGGAGGAGGAAGGCGGCGGCGAUUGGGAAGACGGCGAGGAGCGGGUAGGGAGAGUAACGGGCUGGGGCUGGGGAAGACGAAGAGGAGGAGAAGGUGGAGUAGUGGUCUUCCUCGAGAUUUUCUGUGGCUGCUACGGGGCCAAUUCUUUUGAUCUUUUUCGUGUUAAAUAAAAAGUUUGUAAAUAUAUGGAUUCGUUUUCGCUGCAUCAUGUGGCAUGCGGUCGGUAGCCAAGAUCCUGAUUCCCAUUCUCUUUCUUGGUCCACGGUGCCCGGCGGCCUGUCGAGGGAUCGAGGGAAUCAUUAUGACACCAUGGUCACAACAAGAAGCAUGGUGAAGAAAGCUAUAAAGGUUCUUUUCCAAAUAAAGAUUUAGUACUGAAAGUAGUUUUUAUGUGUUAAACUUAUUAUUUGUUGAAGCGCAAGAUGAAAGUUACCAAUUGUGGAAAAGACAAGCUGAUAAUCAUCGUCUCUUUUCUUUCUAUGUCUUAUCCAUGUUCUCCUCGCACACAGUUAUAUAUAGAUUAUCGUAUCAUAUAAAAAAGAACUUCACUUGGUGCUCUUCUCUACUAAAUUGUCAUGACACCGUUUUUACAUAUUCUAAUGAUUACGUGGACAUAUUAUUACACAUUGCAUCUGUAUUAAUGGCAAAGAGUAGAGUAGUGUAUGACGAUGAUGUUGCACAUUGGUAGCUCUAUGUAUGGAAGUUUGCAUUCAAUGUGGAAUAACGUCCAAUCCAAUUAUAAUUAAGUCUAAUUGCUUGAAAAUUGAGGCAAGUCAAAGCAAAAGGUCAAACAAUUCGGAAACUCAUCUAAAAUAAUGCUUUCGCUUCACUAUUCCUUUCUCUUUUUUUGCGGCGAAAUAUUUCUCUAAGUCUCUUUGUUGUUCUACAUUUUGUAUUGGUACCUUCUAGACUAAAAUGUUUUCCUCUUGAUUCUUUACCCCAAAAAAACAUAGAUCAAGUUUUAUAAUAUUGCUCACUUUAGACAAUUUGUGAAAUAUUAAUUAAAAAGACUAUUAGUAGGCAAGGGCUUGUGAUUGAACAAAUUACUAUACCAUGAAUUAUCCUAAGUUAAUUGUGUGGUUGUCCAAUUAAGAGCAAAGGCAUAUUUUAAAAUAAGUAUUCUAAGACCGAUAUAUACUCGCAUAUUUUUCUAUGAUCAAAACGCAUAUCUAGUUUUAUACCACAUCACAAACAUACAUCAUAUUGCAAGUCCAAAUGCUUACAUAAUUAUGUUGGGAUAUAAUAAUUCCUCGUAUGAGUCAUGCAAUAAAUCUCACAUGGCAAAAACUAGGUCAACUAAAGUUUUCAUCCGGUGAAGAUGAUGUCACGGAAUCAAGCGCUAGAUUAUCCUAACUUAAAUUGUAUGGUUGUCCAAUAAGGAUAAAGGCACACAUUACUAUAGAAUCUGUUAUUCUUGGAAGCUACCCACUAACGCAAAACUAAAAAGCGUCAGCGCACAUACUUAUCUUUGACGCACCACAUACGGACUGUCACAGGUAGCAUCCGGAGGCCGCGGCGAUAAGAUAUUUCUGACACUUACCAAGAAGAAGCGUAAGAGAACUUCCACACUUCUGACGCUUCGUUUCUACUAACGCUUGCUUGUUUCGUACGCGUCAGAGUAGACUCUAACUGUUGUGACUCUUUCCUUUGCGAAAGCAUCAACUUUUUUCAUGAGGAAUUCGGUGACUUGUCGUUGUUCUUCACGUUAUUAUACUUUUGAUGCUCACUGACUUCUUGUUCUAGCGCAUGUCAAAGAUUUGUUGGAACUCACUUUUUUUACAUGCACGACGUAGUUGCUAAUUAAAGCGAUGCUACAACUAAGAAAAAACACAAAUCAAAACAACAGUUAAUACCACUGCAAUGCUAACACAUGCCACACAGAAGCUGGUCUGCUCUUGUAGCUGAACUUUGAGAUCUUCAAUCAGUUUCUUCGUUUCUUGUAUCUCCGUUUCGAGAUCUUCUAUCACCCCGUCCUGGGUAGCAAGAUCAAACUCUAGUUUUAGCUUCUCAACGGACAACCUGUUAUUCCCCUUCUUUUCUUCCUCUAUCAUGGCUUGCAGCUUCGACACCUGGGUUACCUCCCCCAUCAUACCUUCCUCAAUGCACAAGAGGUACUCAGGAUCAUCUUCAAAGAGAUGAUCUAUGUCCAGGACGGAAGCGGUGCAGGAAAUGGAGUUCCUAAGCCACGACAUCAUUGAUUCAACACCAUCGUCGGUGUAUCCACUACAACCCAUGAAGGAGGAUUCAAGAAAGAAAUUUGGCAGGACGUUUUUAUCCUUCUCAGUCGCUCUGAUAAUUUUAUUUUCCAUAAGUAGAGGACCGAGGAUAUAUAUAGGUUGCUAGACCGCUGACGCAUUUUCAUCCGACAAGAGUCAGCGGUGUAAGCUUUUGAUGCUCAAUAACCUUCUGACGCUUGCGGUAUAGCAAUAAGUGUCAAAGAAAGGAUAAGAUUCACGGGAUAACGUCUUCUGACACUUGUUAUAUAUGUUCACAACAGGUCUGUGACACGUCCUACAUCCGCGGCGUCAGAGAUCAGUUUGGAAUCUAUAUAAGCUCACGGGCGCAGGUCAAAAAGGUAGUGUGUUCAGGCUUCAGAGCGAGCUCAGUAUAGGUGCAUGCAUAGCCAUGGCGAUGCAUCGGGAAGACGCAGGUGUUCCUCUUUAUCCGUUCCGUCGCCUCCCCCUUCCGGUCCAUGGACUGCCUCGCCUCGGCUAUAAAAGCGGCCGGAUGCAGUGAAAGUCGGCCAGGAACUCCACCAUGGUUCGCAAGAUAAGAGCUGCGCGCCUACUGUUGUCUCAAUGGGUGAGAGAUCGAAGAACGACCACGUUCCCCCAUUCCGCUGGCGUUGGCUGAGUCGGCGCCUCCGAGGGGUCUUAAUGCAGGGCUCUUGUCGAUCUGCAACGUAACGUGGUCUAUCUUGUUUGAAAUGUAGCAGAUCUUGCAUGCAAUGAAUGAAAUUCAGAUUGGCUCAAUGUUUCCAUGCGAUUUAAAUUAAAAUUAUAAUGAUUGAAUGUGACGUUGACAGAAAAAAGACGUCAGCUGUAACUUUUUUUCGUCACAUAAGAAACAUCACUGACGUGUUCUUGUUCAGCGAAGUGUCAAAGAUAACCAUUUCUGACACUUCUUUAGACCCAAAAGAGUCAGCAAAAAUACCUCGAUAUGACCAAUGAGACUCGGAGAAGACCAUUCCUGACAUGUUCCCUAGAAGAAGCGUCAGGAGGUAUUCACUACUUCUGACGCGUCUCCACGCGUUAGAGGUUUCCAAGUUAUCUCUGACACUUGAUUAGAGAUGCGUCCAUUUUGCGUCAGCAUAGAGGUUUUCCGACGCGUCAGAAAUAAGUGAUUCUGUAGUAGUGACAAUACAUCCUAAGGUAAUGUGGACUAAGUAGGCUUGGGCCGGAACAUGCUAACCGUACUUUUCCAAUAAGCAGCAUCCGUCUGUAUCGAGUCGCAUAUCACAUCAAAAACAUAAAUAGAAUGAGUACUAUAGAAUAGUUAGCUAUUGCAACAUUGAUGUGACAUGCACAAAAUACGGUACAAAUUAACCAUAGAAUCUAUUACAAUAUAUUAAAUUGGAAUUGGUGGUGAUGGGUGGGUGCCGUUGGUCGGUAUUGGUCGGUCAACUUCGUUAAAAUUACAAUCAAUAUGCCACUAUCCCUUAUUUUCUUUCCCUCCCACCUUAUUCACGAUUUCAGUAGCAGAAAUUCUACGGUUUAGAGUCCUAAAAUAAAUCGAUCUCCUUAGCAUGAAAUCCAAAAUUCUUCGUAUCCAUCUCAGUAUGGAAAUCAAUCCGAACCCAAACAAAAAAUCUCGGUAUCAAUCUCAGUAUGGAAAUCAAUCCAAUCGAAAAAUCAAUGUCCAGACUUCGCCUCCACCGGCUCGUGCUUGAUACACUUUCCGUUGUUCCGUAGCAUCGCAUGGGUUCUUUUGCUAGUACUAAUAAGAUUGCAACACAAAAGUAAAUAGAGUAUGACAAAAAAGAUACAACACUGACAGAAGAUGGCCCACGAUAAGAAGUGGUGUCCAUCUAUAACAGGGCUAAAGUCAACGAUUGUAGAAUCCUACUAAUCCUCGGCCCCUAUCUCCUGAGUCGGAUCACCCAACUAUAAAUAUUCCAUCUCUGCAUUUUCAUAGAAAGGGUAACAUGUGUACUUAAGAACUCAACAGUACUUAUUUUACAAGUUUUAUUAGGUUUCGUAGAUAUAAGACAUCAUCAUUAAUAACUACAAGGGACAUUUGACUAAGGUCAGUGAUAGUGAACCAAUAGAUACAAUUCCAUUUGAAGUAUAUACAUGUUUAAGUGAAAACUGAAGUGGUACACUGGUCAUGUUUUAAACUAUCACGUGGUAAGUCCAACGGUCUCCACUCAACAACUAAAUCUGCGUGGCGAACUGAGAAAGUCUCAGAUUUGGCAUGAGUUCUUGCAUUUCUCUGGAUUAAUUUUAGGGCUUAACGGCUUGUGCUUUUAAUGGGAGUGACUUAUCCGUCAACUAUGAGGCGGUUGUGGUGACUUCGUCAAUCUCAAGAUGAUGUGCUGGACCGGCCUCUUGGAGGUACUCAUAGGAUAGGAUGUGCGUGCGUUUCAUAGGGAUGAGUGUACGUGCGUUGUGAACGGCUGCGUCUGUACCGUGUUUCCUAAAAAACCAAAUCUGCGUAUGCAGACAGACAGUUUGUCUUCACUAUGACAACUCCACAAUUCCAUAUCUAUGUUGUUGGGCAGCCGUAUGCUGCUGUUAUUGGAAUAAGAUGAGGCUAUUUUGACUUCCUCACCCCACUUCAUACAUAGCCUUUGGAGAUAUUUCAAAAUUUAGUUAAGAGUUUGGGUUUAGAUCUUAGCCCACAAGUCACUUCGUCAGCUUAUAAUCAUUUCAUAUGUAAUUUGCCAAACGACCAACCUUCGUGACAGCCGUUUCUACAGCAUGGCAAAACACCACAACCAGUCCACAGCCGUUUACACGAGAGCCACGGCCCAACAAACAGAACCAAAAUCUUUUGGACCGUUCUGUUCUUCCCGGUGGCGAGCAAAAGAGGAGUUGGUUGCGUAGCAGCGGUAUGGUUUCCAGAAUGUGCAGGCAUGCAUGACUCACACAACAUUCUUCCUGGAAGCAGCAAGAAAUUUGCGUGCUUAGCAGUGCUUCGGUUUCCUCAUCAUUCAUUAAUCACGGAAUCUUCUCGCCUAAUAAUCCUCGACUACAGUGGGCAGCUUCCCUUUGUUUAAGUCAUUUUCUUAUCGGAACAAAAGGCAAAAGAAAAACACUACGCACGCAGCGCUCCGCACCAAUUUUACACGCGCACGGAGAGACGGACAAGUGGAGCACCGAACGCCACCACGGAGCGGGGGCUCCACAAGUCAUCGGUCCGUUCACGUCUCAUCCGGGACGUCACAGCCGCGCGGCGCAGUCCACGUGCGAAUGAAGCGGCGCUGGCGAGUGGAGCCCACCUGUCGGCCUGACGCCACGGAGCUUUAUAUCCAUCUACCAGGCGGUCCCGUCUUCAUCUCUCUCUCUGCACUGGCUGACUCAUCACUCUCAUCGUCGCUUUCCUCCCUCGCCGCCCCCCCGUGAAGCUUAGCGAUUGUAGGUUUCUCCGCCGGGAUAUCCGUCCGUCCGUCCAUGGCGAUGUGGAGAGCCGCCGCGAGGCAGCUCGUCGACCGGGCGCUUGUUGGAUCCAGGGCCGCGCACGUAUGCCAUCCUCUCCUUACUUGCUUUUGCUUCCCUUUCCUUUUCCUUCGUUGUUGUUAUUCGUGUUUGUUUCGCUCGGUUUGCUUCGGUUGCUGCUGUGGAUUUCUGCUCUGCUCUUCGUAUUUGGUGUUUAUUUGACUGAAAACGGGAUAAGGCAUUGUUCUCUAUUUAUCUUCUAUUUUGCGUGUGAUGGGGAAUAAUUUGCAGCAGACUGGGGGUUUAUGCGGAUUUCAUAUGUUUCCGUAAAUAACUACUCCGUAUUUUUUUUCCUUUGAAUUAUGAUGAAUAAUCGGAUCCGAAUUUCGGAUUUUGCUACAAAAUUCGCUUUUCUCAAGUAAUACUGUUGGUUGAUAUAACUCUGAAGAAUGCCGGGUUUUGAUUUAUUUUUGUAGACAUCUGCGGGCAGCAAGAAGAUUGUGGGCGUGUUCUACAAGGCCGGCGAGUACGCCGACAAGAACCCCAACUUCGUCGGCUGCGUUGAGGGCGCCCUCGGCAUACGCAACUGGCUGGAAUCCAAGGGCCAUCAAUACAUUGUCACGGACGACAAAGAGGGACUGGACAGCGGUCGGUAUCUAACACCAUACCCACUUCUUUUCCUCUAAUUUAUUUCCCUAUGUCUCUCUAAAGCAAUUCUUGUGUGUGUGUAGCUAUUGUACUGUACAUCAGAUAGAAAUCUCAAAAGGCUAAAUAUGGUGAACUUGACCCGACUUGUGAACUUGUGUAGAACUUGGCUUCUAGUGUUUUACUGAGCAGUGGCUGAACUUCAAGUUAUCUGGGUUACUGCGUAGUGUAUAAUAUGCAGAAACAUUUGGGAAGUGCCAUCGGGUAUUCGGGUACACAUCAUAUAGCCGUAUGUGCCAAUAGUUUUAAAAUCGGAUAACUGGUAGUACAAUACACUUACAAAUGUUCGUCUACAAAAAUCAAAAUGAGGCACAACAAUCCUAAAACUCAUGAGAACAUUAUACAUAUUAACUUCUGAAUCAUUUGUGUACUUGUACAACUUCGUUGAAAAAGAUUAAUUUAAUUUCCUGUGUAAAAUGGCAAGUUUAAUGCUUAAAUUUUGCUUUUCAAAAGCACCGAUUUGUUUUUAUAUUUUGCUGAUGUGGGUGCAAAAAUUUCUUUUUCAAAAGGAAAUUUUACAAGUACAUUGACAGAAGACAUGGAAAUUUUGUGUGUAAUUGUUUUCCUUGUUUGAACUUCUCUAUGUAUUUUUAUGAAAUACUGUCCUGCUCGCUCGUAUUGAUCACACAUGUGUAUGAAUACCAGCCCUAUGGCUAUCAAUCAAUCAUCAACUCAGAACUUUCAGAGAGCAGCUGAGUGGCCGAAUUGGGCUGUUGUGUUGUGGGCUGUGAGUUAGCUAGUUGGGCUGUGUGAACAGUUGCAGAGCGUUUUUGUGGUUUUUGCCUGAGCGCCUUUGGCGAUGACGUUUGCACCCAGAUAGAAGAAGGGCACGACGCUGAUUCCCAGGCAAACCACUCUCCAUGCCAUGGUUGUACACGUGCUAACUUCAUCUCUGCUUCAACAUCCACAUGAGCCCGGAUGCUGCCCAGGGUUGCCAGGCCCUAUGACUAUGAGUAUAGGACCACUCUGUUUAUUUUUUUAUUUUUUGCUAGAGGGAGGUUUCAUCUGUUCCGUGAGAUAUGGGACAAUUUGGCUCUUUAUUUGGCUAAGCAGCUGUUGUUUUGAUAAAAUAAUUUUCAUAUUGAUGGUUUUCUUCCAGUUUAACCCAAUCUCCCAAGCUAACUGAAAUUACACUCAAAUUCAUGUGAUGUUCUGGCAUGUUUGCUUGCUGCUGCUGCAGGUCGAUUCAAAUGCUUCUAUAUUACAAUUUGGCAUGUAUGCUUCAAUCAAUUAUUUUGUGCUUUUGUUCUUGCAAAGAUGAAAAAAAAUAUCAAAUAUGAUAUAUUAAAUUUCUAAGAUUGUUGUAAAGCUCAUAUUAAACUUCUAAGAUUGGUGUAUAGCUCGUUAUUAGAUUCUGGCUACAUGCAUAAAUGAUGGCUGUUCUUAUUCUCAGAACUGGAGAAGCACAUUGAAGACAUGCACGUCCUGAUAACCACCCCAUUCCAUCCAGCCUAUGUUUCCGCAGAGAGGAUCAAGAAAGCAAAGAACCUUGAGCUGCUUCUCACUGCUGGGAUUGGCUCUGAUCAUAUUGAUUUGCCAGCUGCUGCUGCUGCUGGCUUAACUGUGGCAGAGGUUACUGGAAGUAACACUGUUUCAGUGGCGGAAGACGAGCUCAUGCGCAUCUUGAUUCUGCUCAGGAACUUCUUGCCUGGCUAUCAACAGGUUGUUCAAGGUGAUUGGAAUGUUGCAGGCAUUGCACAUAGAGCUUAUGAUCUGGAAGGAAAGACAGUCGGCACUGUCGGGGCUGGUCGUAUCGGCAGGCUCUUACUUCAGCGUCUUAAGCCCUUCAACUGUAACUUGCUCUACCAUGACAGACUUCAGAUUAACCCAGAGCUUGAGAAAGAAAUCGGGGCCAAAUUUGAAGAGGAUCUGGAUGCUAUGCUCCCAAAGUGUGAUGUCAUUGUGAUCAACACACCUCUUACAGAGAAAACAAGGUUUCCAUCCAUCAUAUUCUUUUUCUUUACAUUAUCUUUAUAUUCAACUUCUCUUAAGUUUUGUUUGGUCCUUUCUUCAGAGGCAUGUUUAAUAAAGAAAAGAUCGCAAAAAUGAAGAAAGGUGUGAUCGUAGUGAAUAAUGCCCGAGGAGCAAUCAUGGACACCCAGGCAGUCGCGGACGCUUGUUCCAGCGGUCACAUUGCUGGUACCAUUCUUUAUCAAACACCACUAAACCAGCAUGCAUGCUGCAGAAUACUUAUUCUUAGUAUUGUGAUUUAUCAAAUACUCCCUCUGAUCCUAAAUUCUUGACUCAAAUUUGUCCAAAUAUGAAUGUAUCUAUUCUUAAAAUGCGUCUAGAUACAUGUAAUAUUUCGACAACAAUUUAGGUCGGAGGGAGUACAUCAUUUGAUUGAGUUUGUCAUGCUUCGCACUUACCAGUUGUGGGAAAAGCUUAAAAUCAGUAUAACAUAAUGCAAUGAUGCCAAAUACUCAAGUAUGACAAUUUGUUAUUUGUAGUGAAUAUUUCAUUACUGUUUAAAAAAACAAAAGGUGAACUAUACCUCUAUAAUUUUUUCUCCCCGUAGCACUGUUUUUAAUUGGCUGGGGAACUACAAAUUAUGCUUUCAAUAAAGAAAUACUUAUUAUUGUGCCCCACUGAAAGAAGAGGAGAAUGAUCCCGUAUCUUAUAUUUCUAGCUUGACCAGUAUUCCAUUUGACAUGCUCUUUCCUAUAUUUUAGGAUAUGGAGGUGACGUCUGGUUCCCUCAACCAGCACCGAAAGAUCACCCGUGGCGCUACAUGCCUAAUCACGCAAUGACCCCUCACAUCUCUGGGACUACAAUUGAUGCACAGGUUAUCUUCUGUUUCUUCUUCUGCUUUUAUCACGGGCCUUAGGAUUUAGCAUAUCGUCGAUUAUAGCUCUGACACCCUAUUCUAUGCUUUAGUAACACACAAAACCACGGACCAUUCUGUCACUUGUCAGCUACGCUGUAUUAGGGAGGAACUCGGUAGAUGGCAACUCAUGUUUCCUGUGAAAGUGGAGCAUUAAGGGCAAUGUUAGCUAGAACAGAGGCAUUAGGCCAGUCUAUCAUGAUCCUACGAUAAUCUCGUUUCGAAUCACACUCGUGUUCCGGGAUCAGGAUAUUACUUUAAACUCAAGUUUAUAUAUAUUACUGUGUGCAGCUGAGGUACGCGGCGGGAGUGAAAGACAUGCUGGACAGGCACUUCAAGGGGGAGGACUUCCCUGCGGAGAAUUACAUCGUCAAGGAAGGGGAGCUCGCGAGCCAGUACCGGUAGUAGAAGAAACCAAGACCAGCCUAGCUAGCUAAGCUGCAUGAUGCCAUUUCUGAAGCGAGAUGCAAAGAGAAGAAACCAAACCGUUUGUUGUCGUAAGAGUGUGGUGUGAGGACCUGUCGGACACCGGAAAUAAUUGGCUCCCUGCUUGGGGCUGCAACCAUAGUCCAUAUACAUGGCGGUGAAUAAAAGCUUUGAGAUCGGACUAUCAGGCUGUGCUGUGCGUGGAACAAUUGCUUUGUUACGAUGUGCAAACGCUGGAUCUCGUAGCUUCACGAUUCAGCUUCACUGCCGUGAUCUUUUUGGUUACGACCAACCUCAUUGCUCGUUGCACACGACAUCUGAUCAGGGAGGUGAUCUCGUAGGCGCCCAGAUUAAUCACCGGAUCACCCCUGUGAUUAUCUAGACUCAAUUCUCCUGACCAAUAGAUAAUGUCACAAUCGAAUCAACACGAAUAUCAUCAUAAUCAUACUUGAAUAAACAUCACAAUUUCUUAUAUACAGAUAAACUUCGGAGGUUGGAUACUGACGUACAAAGCCAUAUAACAUCUCCAAUGGCAGGAGCUACUGAGCAGCUUAACGUGAUAGCUAGCUAUAUAUAAAACAUAAUAACUCCACUCGUUUGGUAUCAACCAAUUGGUUCUCUGGCCAGCAGCGCUGUCUUGUGCUGGAUUCACGAGUUUGUGAGUUCAAGUCAUGUGUCUGCCAUCAUUUGUUUUUUCUUUCCUCUUUGUUAUUUCCUUUUCUUAUUUAUACUUUGUUUCCUUUUUUGUCUCUUGAUUUUUCUCGUUUUUAUUAUCCUUUUAGAAUCGUGCAUAAAAUUUCAUGUGCACUUUUUAGAACGGCACAUAAAUUUCACGUGCAACUUUUAGAAUCGCGCACAAAUUUCACGUCCAAUUAGAAUCGCGGAUAAAAUUUGCCCACAAAUUUUGAUGUCCAAUUAGAUCGCGGAUAAAAUUUCACGUGCAAUUUUUAGAAUCGCGCACAAAAUUUCACGUGCAGUUAGAAUCGCGGAUAAAAGUGCAAUGUUUAGACAUGCACAAAAUUUCGCGUGCCACUUUUUGAAUCGCCCACAAAUUAUGACAUACAAUUAGAAUCGCGGAUAAAAUUUCAUGUGCAAUCUUUAGAAUCGCCCACAAAAUUUCACGUGCAAUUUUUUAAAUCAGGCAUAAAGUUUCAGGUGCAAUUUUUAAAUCGCGCAAAAGUUUCAGGUGUAAUGUUUAAAAUUUGGUAAUCUGAAACCUGUUGUUAUUAAUGAAUUCAACAAAAAAACAAAAAAAAGACUAGGCUACCUAUCAGCAAAGCCAGCACGCAUGGGCACCCACACUCACAGAUGCACAAACACGGGAAUCCACGCACACCCACACACAUGCACACACGGCGCACGCACACACCCACAUACAUGCACAUGCACAUGCACACAGGCACACACACCGGCAGACACCCACAUCGCGCGGCACUAUGCCAGGGAGAUCCAGUCGACUCAGAAAUUGAAUUUCUCAGUCAACUGAGCCCUAGACAUUCCCAAAAAUAAAUGUCAGGAAUUCAGGUAAGCAGUUUCUCUUCCGGCGUUGGGCGCUAGUUUCAAGCGCUAACUUCCUCGCAAUCUAAAAACUCAUACAAUGGUGGACGGUUACUUGGCCUAGAAUUGCAACAACAUUCAUCACCCAAUUAAUGCUCUCUCGUGACCAUAGUUAGCAUUUCAGCAAUAAUAUAUCAUGUUUGUCUCCUUCAUGCUCUAACACAAAAUCUCGAGACACCAAAUGAAUUCUUCACUCAGUUGCUUUCUUCAUGACUUGGUUAACCAUGUCUCAACUCAUGAGCCCAUCAUAACCUUUUCUUGAAGCCAUAUGUUGAAUCCUUCUCUUAUAAUCAUUCUCUCAUGAUCUUGAUCCUCCACGGCUUAACUCAUGAGCCCAAACAUGGUCAUCUUUGAGUUUCACCCUUGAAACAUGUUCAACACUCAAUCUUCAUAUGAACUUCAUCUUCAGAAUAUUGGGUCGAAAACAUCGAACCAAAACUUUAUGCCUUGAAAUUCUCUUUACGAUCUUCUUUAUCAUAUUUGAUUCACUCACUGAACUCCAUUUUGAUGCAUUCAAAAUCAUAUCAUUUGGUUAUUAUUGAUCAUAACGUAUUCAUCACUUCUACUCAAUAAUCUUCUUAACUAUCUUGUUUUGAUUUCUUUCAUCAUCUAAUCAAUUCACUGGUCUUCAACAUGAUAUAGGACAAACCUUCAUAUAUAGCUCAAUGCAACCACUUGUCCAUAUGGUUUGUCAUCGGUUACCAAGACCACAUAUUCAAUUGUCAACAGCUCAAUGUAUAUUUUUAUUUUCAUGAUGACAUUUAUCAUUGAAUCAACCAAGUGCUCUUCAUGUAUUGCCUAUAUAUGGAACAUUCUUUCAAAUACAUCUCAAAUAAAACACUAGUCCAUAGGGAUUGUUAUUAAUAACCAAAACCACACAUGAGGACAGCAUGCACUUUUAGCAUGGCUUCAAGGUAGAGGGAUCGCGUUAGAGUCAUAAGGGUAUCCUAACCUCGCUACUUGGAAAGACUCAUUCGGUCCAAAUCCGAGGCAACCCCGAAUGAUCUCUCGCUAACGGUGACUCGAGAACACCCGUUCGGUCGAGCGCUUAGCUAACAACCUCCUCCACGCCUUUCAUAACAUAGGACUAAGUUGCACCCGCAGGGUUGAUCGAACCUAUUAAAGAAACAUCGAUGUGUCAGCAUUGUCCAAGUAUAUGACGACCUUCGCCAUAAAGUCGUCGUAUAUGUCCUACUUUACACAUCAUACAAUCAACACAUCGGUACCCGUAUAAUAAGUGUUGUUCGACAAUGACAAAAACCUGUGUGUCCAAUUGACAAUUCAUUUUCACCAUCACCUUCAUUGCAACAAAAUUUUCAAAAUGAGAUCCUAUAUAUAUUUAUCUUCAGAAUAGAUUUCGUAUGGUAAGUUUUGGUAAAAAAAUCGUCUGUGGUCACCAAGUUAUAUAGUCACUUGCUUACCAAGUUAUAGCUAGAUUGAUCCUCAGCUAAUAGUCACUUGGUUGCUAAUUUACUGAACAUCACUCUACACCCAUGAUCUCCAGACUGGCGCGGGAGGGGGAGAAGAUCUCCGAGGUAGAUCUCAAAGGUUUCGCUACUGGCCUACACCAAGCUUUUUGAGUGGCCGUUGUCCCUGGAACAUAUCUUGGCCAUUCUCUCUUUGUUUGGGUGGGAGCCUGAUGUGUUGGCUCUCAUGGCUGACGAUGCGCCGAUGGUGGUCGUUGCCUGAGUUGCUUCUGUUUUUGGUCGUAUUUUGUGGAAUUUUCUCAUGUCUUCGGCCAAUUCAAAAAAAUUGGUGUGGAAUGCGUGUGGGCUAAAUUCUUUAGCGAAGCGUAGUGCGGUUUUCCAGGUGGUUUCAUAAUCAGGGGCUUCGAUUGUUUGCUUACAGGAAUCUAAGCUCCAAGUGGUUACGGCCGGCAUUGUGGCUCAGUGUAUUGGGCAGGAGUUCGCUAAUAAUUUCUUUUUCUUGCCGGCGGCGGGUACUCGUGGGGGGAUAAUCCUUGCCUGGAGAGCUUGUGAUGUGGUGUUGACUAACCCCCACUACACUGAACAUACUCUGACUGCCCAAAUUAACUCGCCAGAUGGAUGUUGGUGGCUGACUGGUGUAUAUGGGCCGCACAGAGAAGUGGAUAAUCCCAAUUUCUUGCUUGAGCCAAGGGAUGUAAGAGACCUCCAUGCUGGGCCUUGGGUUGUAGCAGGCGAUUUCAACCUGAUCGUUAACUUCGAGGAUAAGAGUAAUUCUCGGUUGCAUCGUGGAAUGAUGGGUCGUUUCUGACGGCUACUUGCCUAUCUGGAGUUAAAGGAGUUCUACCUAGCGGGCCAACAAUUCACAUGGUCGAAUGAACGUGGCGAUCCUACCCUUGAGACAAUUUACCGGGUUUUUUCUAUAGUGGAGUGGGAGGCGAUGAUGCCAAAUGCCUAUCUCAGUGCGAUGAGUACUGCUACCUCUGAUCAUUGUCCUCUUCUUUUGGACUUGGCAACUGAUCUUAGGAUUGGUAGGAGAUUUCAUUUUGAAUCCUUUUGGUCGAAAAGUUCCUGGUUUCUUACAAGUGGUGGAGCCUGCAUGGAAGGAGAAUGAUCUUCAAAUCCUCAAUCCUUUCUUGCGGGUGGCAGCUCGUUUACGACACACGGCUAAACGCCUAAAGAGCUGGAGUGAUAAAUUUGUGGGGAAUACUAAGUUGCCAAUUUUGGUGGCCACGGAGGUUAUACUUCGUUUGGACGUGGCGAUGGAGACGCGUCGGCUCUUGGCUGAGGAGCGUGGUUUGCAUUUGACUCUUAAGCGCAAGCUAAAGGGUCUCUCAUCUCUUGAGCAAACUAUUGCACGGCAGAGAUCCCACUUGCUGUGGCUCAAAGAAGGUGACACAAAUACUCGUUUUUUCCAUCUAAGUGUGGGGUCCUCUAAUCACGACGCAAAAACUUCAUUGGUGCUCUGGAGGUGGACGGAGUGAGGUCCUCUAAUCACGACGCAAUGGCAAAUGUGGCUGACGCUUUCUUCUCAAACCUGCUGGGUUCAGGCGUGGAUAGGACUUUAGGUCUUGACCUGAAUUUUCUGGGUGGGGAGGGUCUUGGCCCGUUGGGCCUUGACGAUGAUUUUUCUGAGGACGAGAUUUGGCGAGUGGUCAAGGAGUUGCUGCCGGAUAAGUGUCCCGGCCCGGAUGGAUUCACCGGGCGUUUCUUCAAGGAAUGUUGGGCUAUCAUUAAGUCUGACACUUUGGAGUCCUUUCGCAGCUUCUGCAAGCUUGAUUGUCGUGGAUUGGAGGCUGUUAAUCAAGCUUUUAUCUUCCUCCUCCCAAAAAGGCCGGGUGCAGCGGCAAUAGGGGAAUUUAGACCCAUAAGCUUGAUCCGCGCGGUGGGCAAAUUGUUCUCCAAAGUUCUAGCAAAUAGAUUGGGCCCGAGUUGCCGAGGCUGGUUGGUCCUCAUCAAGGAGCGUUUGUCAAGGGCCGCUAUCUUCACGAUAAUUUCAUGCUUGUCCAAGGCACGGCACAACGGCUGAACAACCUUCGACGGCCGGCUGUCUUGCUCAAGUUGGAUAUCGCCAAGGCCUUUGAUUUGCUCCACUGGUCAUUCCUCUUUGACUCACUUCGUUGUCUCGGUUUUGGGCAUAAGUGGUUGGGAUGGAUUGGCGCUUUGUUGGGCUCCGCUUCUACGCGAGUUUUGGUCAAUGGUAUCCCUGGGGAGACAAUUUCGAACCAACGUGGUUUACGGCAAGGUGAUCCACUUUCUCCGAUGAUCUUCAUCCUCGUCAUGGAUGUUCUGAACUUGCUUCUUCGGAAGGCAGAGGAGGCUGGCUUGUUUCAACGCUUGGCCUCGCGAGCGGGCGUCGUUUUUCGUGGAUGAGUGGUCGUGCUGCAGCCAGUUGAAAGUGGACUCCGGUCUUGUCUUGCUUUGCUGGAUGAUUUCACGGUGGCCUCCGAACUGAGAGUUAACUUCUUGAAGACCUCAGCCCAUCCUAUCCGGUGUUCUAGUGAAUGAGAACUUUUGGUUCGUGAGGUGCUUGGUUGUGAGGUUAAGGCUUUUCCAUGCUCCUAUCUCGGCUUGCCGCUUGGUCUGAGGAAGGCAUCGACUGGGCAGCUUAUUCCCCAUUGUGGAAAAGAUAGAGAAAAAACUUCAAACGUGGUCUGUUCUGUUGUUCUCCUCCGGUGGAGAAAAUUACGCAAAAACACCACAUUUGCGGCACAUAUCUAGGAAAAUCACAUUUUUUUUAAUUUUUUUCAAAUCACCAUUUUUUUAGGACCGGAGAUACUGCCGCGCACUGAUUUCACAGUUGAAUGCGUUUUGAUGGUAAAACUGACAGGAGGACCCACCUGUCCAUGCCACCGUGGUGGCCACGCCGUGACUGCCGCUGUCGCAACUCCUCAAAUCCAGGGCCGCCAAAGAUUGCCGGCUCGGAGCACCUCCUCCACGUGCUCUUGGAGCCGUCAUGCCUCCUCCGUGCACCAGCACCUCCUCAGCCCAGUUCCAAUCCGGCUCAACUCCUCAAAUCCUCCAAGCAAAUAAAGAAAACUCCUCAAGAUCCAGCACGCUUGCGGAGUCCAUCCCAGUUCCAAUCCGGCGACUUGCCAAAAUCCUGCCGGCCGCGGGCUCAAGCAGAGGCAGAAAGAGGCGCUAGGCAGCAGAUGACUACGAAGUACGGGGAGGCAGUGAAUCCGGCUCGUCGGAAUCUUGCGGGAGCAGGCUCCAAGCGGCAGCGACGGAAGGCAAUGGCUACAGGGCACGACGAAUCUCGGGACCAGGGGAAAAAAAUCUGGGGACUUACGUACACCGUGAGUUCACAGAGGAGGUCAGGGAAGGAAGAGAAGCUCGGCGAUGCGGAGCUCUACGGUGGCCGGCGGCGGUCAAAGCUGAGCGCCGACGCGGGGACGGCUCGGGGCUAGCGGGCACGUGAGGAGCUCACCGGCGUGUUCCUCUCGGUGGCUCGGGCCUCCCGAGCUCGACAAGGAAGACCGUAGCUCGCCAGUGGAGGAGAUCGGUUUGGCGGAGCGGUCCCGCCGGACUCGGAGAAGACGAGCGCAGCGCCGGUGAAACACAGCGUCGCGGAUUAAUUCUUUUUUCUGAGCGGGGGGCUGCAGCUUCUAGGGCACGGUCCUGCUGGUCGUCGUUGGAGCUCACAUGCUCUCUGUACUGCGCGGGCUGCGACGACGGCGGGAAUCAGAGUCGCCAUGGUUGAGCAUGACGGCCGGACGGCGACCGCCUCAGCUUCCACAUAGACGCAGCUAUGCAAACACCAAGGUCAGAGACCUGCAAGGCGGCGGCCGCAGGCGGACGGAGGGGCGCGCGAGGAGCUUGAGCGGCAGCGGACGGACGGAGGCCUGCGCGACUACGGAGCAGAGGAUUUUAGGAAGAAGGUGGUUGUCCAGCGUGGUGCCAAGGUGCACCGACGGAUGGGCCCUCCUGUCAGUUUUAUCGUCAAAACGUACUCAACUACGAAAUCAAGGCGCGGAGUACAUCCGGCCCCAAACAUGGUGAUGAUUUGAAAAAAAUUAAAAAAAAGGUGAUUUUCCUAUAUAUGUGUCUCAAAUGUGGUGGUUUUGCGUAAUUUUCUCCCUCCGGUGGUAACUUGGUAGGCUUACCUUGGUCAAACACACUUUUUGCGCCAUGCCUAUUUAUGCCAUGUUGCUUGAUCUCCCGGCCAAAACUAUUGCGGCGAUUGAGAAGCUAUGUCGGGGUUUCUUGUGGAAGAGAAAGAAGACGGCCCGAGGGGGUCAUUGCCUUGUUUCGUGGCAAACUGUUUCUUCGCCUAAGGAGUUCGGCGGCCUAGGAAUUCUCAAUCUCAGGCUUUUUAAUCUGGCUUUGCAAGCGAGCUGGGGCUGGUUGAUGCAAUCGGACCCCAACAGACCUUGGGCGGAGUUUAAUUUGCAAAUUCCAGCGCCUGCCCGAGAGAUUUGUCUAGCGGCUGUUUCAGUGACAGUGGGAAAUGGCAGACGGGUGAAUUUUUGGAAUGACCGCUGGCUUCACGGUGCAGCUCCGUGUGAUAUAGCGCCAAAUCUCUUCUUGAAUGUGUCUGGGAGAGGAAGAAAAUUAUGUGUGGCUGAUGCUUUGGGUGACAAGCAGUGGGUGAGAGGGAUCACACCAGACCUGAAUGCGUUGGCCAUUGAUGAAUUCCUGAACAUUUGAGAUCUUCUUACAAACUGAAGGGGCUGGACUCCAUUAUAAGUAUCCACGACGGUAUGUGCGUACCGUUGGCGAUUAUACUAAUUGACAGGAAACGUACCGUCGACGUUACCGAUGCCUGACAGUGCAAAACCUCUUGAGUAUAUGAUAGGCCGACUGGAACUUUGGACCGUCGGCUAUCUUACAAACUGAAGGGGCUGGACUCCACUCAACUAUCCGCGACGGCGUGUGCGUACCCUGUGCGAUUAUACUAAUUGACGGGACACAUACCGUCGACUAUUAAACAUGUUGACGGUGAGAAAUAACCGUUGGCCAAAACAUAUUCGACGGGACACGGUCGGCUAUCAGAGUCACAUGACCGAGCGGCCAACCGUCGGAUAAUUACCGUAGGUAAAUACAAUACCCGACUGUACCAUCGGCUAUUACAAUAAUGGCUGACGCCGCAUAGCCGACGGGGGAUAGCCGACGGUUCACCGUCGGUUAAACUGUUGGCCGACGGUGAUUUCCCCCUCGGCUAAAAUGUGAUAUCUAGUAUGGUCCUCUCGGAUAUUGAUGAUGUUUUCCGGUGGAAGUGGGAAAGCAACGACUCUUACUCGGCGUCAUCAUCCUAUGCGGCCUUUUUUGGUGGGCGAACUGACAUGCCGGGUGCGGCAGAGGUCUGGUUCUCGCGGGUGCCAAGUCGAUGUACAUUCUUCCUGUGGCUGGCUUUGAGAGGACGUUGCUGGAUGGCAGAUCGACUGCAGAAGCGUGGACUGCCUCACCCUCAACAAUGUCCUUUGUGUGAUCAAGCCGAUGAGGACAUCAACGUACCAUAUUCUCCUUGGGUGUGUGGUUGCCCGUCAGGUAUGGGCUGUUGUGUUUGGUCGAUGGCAGAAGCAAACUUGGGUGCUGAGUGCUCACGAUCGCUUGGAGUCUUGGUGGCCGAAUUUGGUGGUUGUUGGGAGACAUGACAGGAAAAAUCUAAAUACUACGAUUAGUUUGGUGUGUUGGAGUAUCUAGAAGCAUAGGAAUGAGGUGGUGUUCGACAGGGCAACGCCGAGUGCACAUCACAUCCUCCAGGCAAUUGGGCAGGAAGGAGAAGCUUGGCAGCGCGCGGGUCUGUUUGUGGAUUCGAGUCUUUUUUGUGAUUUUGGUGUUGUGGAUGUAAUGGCGAUUUUGCAUGAGUAAUUCCUGUAAUUCGACUUUUACCACGUCGCGGUUCUCUUCUUUAAUGCAUGAUAUACCCGCUAAGGUAUAUUCUAGAAAAAGAAAGAAAGAAAGAAAACUCAACACCCAUGUAAGACUUACAUGAUUGUACUUUUGUGGAUAGAUAUCAUCUCUUGUUGGUAAACUUCAACGAUCACUUUCUAUAAUCGCAUAACAUUAUAAAAAAGGGAGCACCUGUUUGGCGGCGUCCGCCCAAAGCAAAUUCAGCGGACGAAUUCCAACAUCCCAUUUCUUUUGCAUUUCUGGAAACUUUUUAUAUUUUUAUUUCUGGCUUUUAAUUUUUUUGAGCUGCAAAUUCAGCGGACGAAUUCCAACAUCCCAUUUCUUUUGCCAUUUCUGGAAACUUUUUAUAUUUUUAGUUCUGGCUUUUAAUUUUUUUGAGCUUUUAAUUUUGUUUUUGAACUUUUAAUGUUUCAACUUUUAAUUUUUAUUCUAAGUUUUUAAGGUUUUAAUUUCAAACUUUUAACUUUUAUCUUUCUAUUAUGAAAUUUUAAUUUCCAAAAAAAGAGCCGGGGAGGGUCGUUGCCGGGGGGAGCCAUGGUCGCCGGGGCGGGAGGCACGGCGCGAGGGAAGUGCGAGGCGGUGGCGCAGUUGGGUCGCAGUGGUGGUGCAGGCGAGGUGCCUCUCGGUUGGGCGCAGGAGGGAGAGAGAAGGAGGCAUGAAGAGGAGGAGCUCCUCGCUCUUAGAGGAGGAAGUCGACUGAACGAAUCGGGCGAACGAGCGCCCAAGAGGGAAUCCGUGUAAAACAUGAUCAUGUGAGAUGAUGGGACCCAUCAAGUAGGUGUUUUUAGUAAGAAAUGAUGUCUCCAACAUGUAUUUGGUUAUCACUUGUGUCAUGGUACAUGAUCCCAAGCAGUUUCCUGUCAGGGUUAUUGUUACGUCACUAAGUCACUUCAUUUCAUCUCUCCCACCGCAACAUAAAAAACCUUAGGGCAUGUACAAUGUGUUCGACGUCCCUUAGAUAAGACAACAAAAUAAGUUGUACAAUAGGUCAUAUCUUAGUGCCAUAUCUUACAAUUAAUGCCUACAUGAAUAAAAUUAAAUAAAUAAAUGUUACGAAAACUAAGCUACUUCUUUGUCUUGUACAACGGGGGAUUUGCCUUUUCUUUGUCUUAUCCGUCUUGUGAAGAGAUCAUCUCUUAGUUAAGGGAACGUUAAUGUCUUUUUUAUUCCUUUCUCUUUCACAUCAGCAAUUAUCCUACGUGACAUCUUUAAGAAAAAGCUAACAUCACCCCUUCUUGCCCACCUUAUAUAGCAUUGCUUUUAAUAAGGCAUGUUUAUUGUUGGAGAUGCCACACUCAUCCAAUAGCAAUAGUAACACAUGGUAGCUACUAUUAUAAUCCGGUAACUGGUUGCGUAGAAAAAUAUAUCAUUAGAACGCAGUGAACUGUUUUGGAAUCAUCAUCUAGACCGACAACGGUGAAGACAGAUCUCAAAAAUCAGAAUAGUGGUCCGUGAGAUAAAUCAUUUUCAAUUUUGAGAUUAAGCAAUUAAUGCGGUUGAUGCCUAGUACUAUUAGAUUGUCCGAAUAAUCAGCCAAUCUUGCGGUGGCAACCAAUGCAGAACAUGAGCUGAUGAGCGCAGAGGUCCGACGAAAGAAACAUCGUUCAAGUCAGCAGUCAUAAAUUAGGAGCACCAUCCGGUCAAGCCUAAAGAACAAAUGAAAUCUGCCUUGCGCGAACCCGUUGCUCACGCACCACCAGGUUCCUAAUUAACUGAUCUAUACAAGACAGAAAUACAUUAACAUCAGUGUUCAAAGUUGUGCAACGCCACCUCAAAUCACCCUACCAUGUACCAUAACCCCCAGAACACCUGCCCUCUAUAACACAACUGGACCCGGAAAACCCCACGCCAAAAUAAAAAAAACGAAAAAAAAAGCCUGGAGCGUGACCAGGAAGCGAAGAAUGUUCCCCUUUGGGAUAGAGGAUUAUUCCGAGCUACUUUCUAUGGCAAACUAAGCUGCUUCAAAGCUAGUUACAUCAACUGCAUUCCAAAGGAUGCUCAAAACUUGUUGGCUGAGUUGAAGUGCCUUCCAAGGGGUAUGGCGAUGUCAUCUCAGCUGAACUGCCUUCCAAAGGUCGUUCUGACAUUGUCGCUUCCACAACGUUGUUCUCAGGUUUAGCUUCCACAGCAGACUGCGGCGCUGCAUGCUCCAGCGUAUUGCUGUUAGGUUUAGCUUCCUCAAACAACUGAAGAAGCAGAGUCUGCAUUUUCUUUCGCAGUGCAGAAGCCUCUUUGGGUUGAAACCAUGUUUUGCCAAACUAACAGAAAAAAAUACAGAGAAAAAUGAGCUACAGGCAUGAAGCAUCUGCGCACAGGCCAGAGAAGCACACAGAACAUAGAACGGCAAAGACAUUAAUGAAUAGUGGCCAAACCAUAGAGAGUUCUUUCUUGUGAAGCCUUUCAGGUGCCUCCUCAAUGAAUCGCUGCAUAUAGUACAGAACAAAGAGGCCACAAUCGUAUUCAUUGUCCUGCUGCGGGACCUGAAAAGAGGUAAGAGUGUAAGGAGAUAACAGCUGGAAGGACAAAUGACAAAAUACACCAUCUAUGCUAUCAACAGCAUAUAUAAAUAACAAAAAAAGUAUUUUCGGCCUCUAAGCUAUAUGUAGAGAGUAGAUAUGGUCCCACAACUAUCCAAACAGGUAUUUCUGCUCUUCAACUCUUGAAACCGUGUAGUUUUGGUCCGUCAUCACAAUUGAAAUGUGGUUUUGGCUGAUGUGAUGUUUACAUGUAAGCCAGUACGCCACAUAACCACCACAUGUUCAGUGGCGCUGCCAGGAUUCUAAUCCUGUCAUGUCAAAUCCAGUAUUAUGUGAAAAAAUUACCCUGUUUAUAUGAUCCUACUUGAACGUGACUUUGCCACUGCAUGUGUUGGCCACAUCACAUUUUUGCCCAUAAAUUCCAUAUGUCUAUUGUAGAAGCAGAGAAAAGGGAAAAAUAUAAGAAAAGGUAAACAAAACAGAUAAAGGGAAUGUAACUUCACCAAAUCUGUUUGGGCGAUACUAAGGCGUUGGAAUGUCAUUCCAGCUUCUGCUAUUGAUAAAUUUGAUUCUGUUGAGGAUUGGUGGAAUGCGGACAGGGCAAAGAUCUCUCGUGAUCUUAAGAGACAUUUCGACGGGCUGCUCAUCUAUUGUCUUUGGAAUGUGUGGAAGGAGCGUAACCGCAGAGUUUUCAACAAUGUGUCCAUGGAAGAGGAGGAUGUCGCUUCCAAAGCUCAGGAGGAUUUCAAGUCCUUUUUGUGGGCUAACGAGGUUAACCCGGUGUUUAACGGUGUUAGAGUGUAAUCGUCUGUUGUGUUCGUGGGGGUUAUGCGCCUUUAUUCUAGGCGCUUCUUGUAAAUAUACUUUCUAUCUCUUUUAAUGAAUGGCAGUGCUCCUGCCUUUUCCGUCAAAUAAAUAAAUAAAUAAAAGAUAAAAAUGAGAAAAAUCAAAAAAACAAACCUUGGGAUAGCAAUGUUUCUGAUUUAGGAUAAAUCCCCAAAAAUUCAAAAAUCAAGAAAAAAGUACGUAAUUCAGACAAAAUAGAAAUAAGAUUGUUUUGAAAAAAUUAAGAUCAGUCCGAAUUUGCUGUUUUUAAUUAUAUUGAUUAACUAAAAAAUUAUUGAUUUACUCGGUUUGUAUGCUUUUGAAUUUUCAUUCAAAUAUUCUAAAAAUAUCACAUUUUUCCGAUUGUCUAGCAUGUCCUGCUUUAAAAAUAAAUAGGUGAAAUUUCACAUCAAGUCAGAUCAUGGGAACAUCACGUUAUUGCAUCAAGUCAGAUGCAUCCCUUCCGGCAACUGAUAAAGGUAUCAGAGCUCAGAUUCUUCCUUGAUUUUGAUUGUAUUUGAUUCCGAUUUGAAGAGGUUAGGGUUCAUGUCCAACUGUCCGUGCACCGUAUAAUCCCCACAAACCAAAAUCCAGAUCAAGUCUGGCAGCAGAUUGUGAGGAGACUCGUGGUGAAUAAGACAAAUCCCUUCCUCCCUAAGGCAUAUAUGGGAUAUGUUCCUGCUCCAGUCAGGGUUAUGAGAAACUCAAUGGUCAUUGUAAGCAAAAUCAGUGCUGCCUUGCACUCAUGGUGAGUUGACCACUGCCACGUAGGCUGAGGGUCUGCCUAUGCUAACUAAUAUUUGGAGAAUUUUUCAAAAGGCCACCAAAAUUACUGGAUUCAGGAAGCAACCCAGCCAAGCACUGGGCCCACUAUUGUUGUGGACAUCACUUCAAGAAUGAGACCACGACAACGUCGGUGCUCAUACAAGGGGGGGGGGGGGGGGAAAGAUGGAGGUAAAAAUGGAGGUAGUCGAUUUGGGACAUCCGUGACUCACUCAUGUACUUUUUGAGAUCCAAAUAUGCAUUUCCAUACUAUCAGGACUAACUUGACAGCCCUGACAUACUUCUAUGACCUCCGAUUUCACUCAUUUCCUAAUAGCUAUCAUUCUGGACCUAAGUUAAACUUUAGAACUUCAACUGCAAAUAUCUUUCACAAGAGUGUUUCAAAAUCAUGUGUAAAUAUGUUCCAUAAAGUACUUUCACAACAAUGUUGUGCGAUUAUAAAUAUUUCCAAUAGAAAUUAGUGGCCAAGGUUAUAUUUCGGAGAGAGUGUCAAUGUCUAAACAUCCUUCCGUUGCUAACACAGAAUUUUGUCAAUAAUAUAGGUAGAACAUAAAACCAGAUUUCAGCAACAUGGAAAUUAACAUCACAGGUGGGCCCAUGUUAUUUUCUCAAGAGAAGUCCAAAUAACAGUUUUGUUAUUAAAAUCUGAAAUGAACAUAUCAAUGCAAAAACUGUUGACUGCAGCAACCAUAUAAGCACCACGUAUCAGCUAAAGCUAGCAUGAAAAGCACACAUUUCAGCACAUGCAAUUCAAGGAAAGAAAGCACUUGAGUUACCUCAAUUGGCUUCUUCUCAAUUUUACGAGGAAGGCUCUUCCAAACUUUUUCUUGUAUAGGACAUUCUGCUAAAGAGCAAUUUUCAUUCAGGUAUUUCCAUUCUUCUUUUAAGAAUCUGCAAACAGAUAUAGACUGUUUUAAAAAUAGAAUAAAAAUAAUACAGUACAAACGGGACAAUAACAUGGAAGACCUCACACCUAGACAAGCAAAAAUAAUAAUACGCACCAAAUAAUAGUCCUACAUUCUAGAAGCUGGCCUUACUUGAAUGCAAACAUGUGUGAAACAAAUGCGAUUUUGAUAAUGAAAAGUAACUAAAACAAAUUUUUAGGCUUCACGUUCAUGCAUUUAUGUUAUGCCAGAAAAGCCUACACCAAAAUAAACCAGUGUUUUUGUUUUCUUUUUGUACUACUCCGUACUUACCUCUCGACAACACUGAAAAUCAAUCUGCUUCUGUGAAACUUCAGUGAAUCCAAAUGAAGUAUGAUGGGACCUGAUUGAUCUUCCUUUGCUGGCAUACAUAUAAUGACCAGGCUCCAGUGUGUACUGACCAUUUGGAAACAAAAAAGGAACCAUGUUGAGGAACAGAACAUUGUAACAGAUACUCUAGCAUAGGUAGGUAAGGUUAUGCAUCAAUUAUCAUGUCAUGUCCCAAUAAAAUUUUGAAUUCACUAACGCCACAUAGGCAGAGACAGUAGAUUUUCUCAUAUCAGGUGAUCAAUGACAAGACGACCAAGGGAAAGUUCUACAUAAAAAACGGUGGACAUGAUCAAAGGUGCACGAUUCUUCACUAAGCUCUACUUCUCCUUGGGUUAUAACGAAGUCUGCAUGCACUAGCCAAACAUAAGGAAGAUGGUCUUUCAAACCACGAGGGCUUGUCUGUAUUUUUGGUAAUGUCAUUUGGCUUUGCAAAUGCACAGCAACAUUCUUGGCUCUUAAGAGCGAUAUCUUUCGUUCAUUCCUUUGUUGCUCUGCGCUUUUUUUAUGAUGUUUUCAUAUACACCAAUUCAUAGGUUGAUCACCCUAACACGGGCAUGCAUGUUCCGUCUCCUUCGCCUGUACCAGCUCUUCCUCAAGCGACCCAACUGCUGUUUCGAGGAAACUUCUGUCGCUACCUUGGCCAAGGUGGAUCGCAUCAUGGACCGGCUGACCCACAGUCGGUUCAUGCGCUCCAUGCCUUCUUAGGUCUUGAGGGCCCCAACUACCACUUCAUUUAGGCAUCUAGGAUAAUGACAUGGUUGCAGCACCAGUGACCCAUUUGGAGCCGUCUUCCAUGUCAGCCUCAUCAAGACUUGUGACAUUCGUCAUCCAGAAGCUCCUCCACCACUGCCACCCCUCCUACAUGGCAAGGUGACCCUCUCGCCAGUUAAAAAGCCAUCCACGCCCACCGAGCUUAUGAUACCUAUUAAGAGCUCAUUUCAUUUGAAGGCGUGUCUGCAGCCUAUGCUUCCUGGAAGGACCUCACAACUUUCGGGGAUAAAAUCCUUCAUUUGAGCUAGACGAUAAGUUAUUUGUCAAUGGAGGGAGAGAUGUUACGCAGAGGCAACAAUAUAAGCAGCGGGGCCGCCCCUAGGUGCGCCCAAAUGGGCCAGGCCGCACCAAGCUAUGGGCACCCUGGCCUUCGGUGCCCCCCUAAGAUUAGAUUUUCUUGGUUUCCAAGUUAGAAGUUUCCUUAAUUUCUCCCGGUCUUUCCCCUCUCUCUAAACCCUAUCCGCACCACUUCCCCCUCCAGGUCCCCAACAUGGACCAACUAACCACCAAACAUGUGAACCGGUUGCAUGACCGGUGGUGCUGUAUCGACCCAGCUAUUUUAAUCAUAAAGUCAUUCCAAAGUUAAUUCAAGAAAUAAAUAAAUAUUUUAUAUUUGAACUACACUCAGGCCUGCCAAACAACAGGUCACCACAGCAUCAAACCGGUGAACCGGAUGCAUGGCCAGUACACUAACCUGUUCGGUUUUAAAAAAAAUGUUUUUAGUUCAUGUUAUCUGCAAGGGUAAAUGAAUUCGACAUAUUCCAACUAAGUUUAAUAUUACUAUCAUUUGUAAACAGUUGUUUGCACUUCAUACCGUUCCAAAACAAGGUUUGAUGUAUCUGUAUUACAGGGUUCUGCUGAACGUCAGUCAAAAUAACGGACUACUCAUGAUUGCUCUCGAUCAAUAGUAUGAUUUUCCAUUCAAGACCAGCCAAAAAAACUGACAGUGAUCAACAAGAAACUAGUAAUCCAGUACGAGACGCCUAUUGGUAAGUGGUAACUGAUCUAGUAUAUUUUCAAUUAGCGGCACAUUAGCCCUAUAUCCCACCAUUGUUCACACUUUGGCACCUUCGUUUGCUUUUAAAAACUUCUCAACUCCUACAGCACCAAUAAUUAUAAUAGCUAUAUGAUAGCUACAUUUCUUCUCCAAACAAUUUACAUUUGCUCAAGUAUGUGUUGUGUUUUACCAUAAAGAUCAAAUCAUCAGGAAUGUAUCUCAAACUUCUAACCAGCAGUGGUCAUUGCCAUUAUACAAGUAAAUCAAAAUAUCUAUCUGAAGAAAUGUAUAUUACCAAAGAAGAGGCAACAAAAUUGCUUACUCUGCAUGCACAGGCAAUAAUAUAUAUGACUUUUGAAAUAUGUCUACGCCUUUCCACCAUCUUCUCAGCUUUAAGAAAUAAGAGGCCUUGUCGUCCUUCAGAAUACAGAAACCAAAAGGAGUUUAGUGUAUAAGACAGGAAAUAUGUUGAUACAGAUCAGUGACAGACAUCAAAUGCUCAUUUCAAUAUAAAAAAGGUAUUAUAUUCCCAAUCUCCUUCAAGCCAUCACCAUUCGGCCAUUCAUCAGCCGAUUUACUAGACAAACAAAGGUUCAUAAUAAAACCAAACUGUAGUAGUGUCCUUGACUUUUUUCGUACUUGCACAACCUUUCUUUCUUUUCUUCUUUUAUCUAAAUUGUAUUGCACACCAUUUCUGAUUGCAUGUAAAGUUAAUUACUUACAGCUCCCCACUACACCAACACCAGCCCCAACCACAUUAGUCUCCUUGAUCUAUCCAGUCACUACCCAUGCUAGUCUUGCAUACUACUUAUGCUAUGCUAGGCGGAUAGGCCUGCACAACCAUCCAGUUAGAUAAAACUGCACUGUUGCCUUUCAGUUUCAUUAGUUUUAGACAAGACCACAUCAGUUAUCUAAUUAAAUUAACUUAUUUGGGGAUAAGAUCUGGUAAGAGAUAUAAGCUUUAGUUAGUCAGGAUAGUUACAUGUGUUUACAUUUAAGGACACUCAAGCAGUACUUAUCAAGCAAGGAAUAAACAAGGUUCUAACUUCUAUGGUCUCACAUCUUAUUCAGCCCACGUGAGAUCAGAGCAAAGAGAAAAAGAUAUGCUGGCUUAAAAUCCUGUAUUGAUUCCUUUAGAUAUCUCUUUAUGUACAUUCCCUCCGUGUGCUUGUAAAUAUUUAACUCUUUUUAAUAAUUUUUUUGCUGUAGAUUUUCACCAACUGUCUUUCCUAUUAAAAAGAAACCCGGAAUGGAUUAUGUAUUAGUAGCAUACUUCAUAGCAAGUGCGCCAAUCACAGCAUGGAAUAUUGAAUUUGAAUAAGAAAGUAAAGACAAUGCAUUUAGGAAUUCAGUACCGAAAGUUACCUUUGAUGUCAGGGCUUCAAGUUUGCUAAAGAAGUAUGUGUUGAAAAUGUGAAACUUGCCUCUUAGUGUACUAAUUGAUGACAUUGGUCCCUGCAAGUACCUAUAAGAUGUGCAGUGAUGACUUAUUACAGUUAUGAAAAAGGUGGCAUAUGAAGAAUUAAGAAAAUAACAAGAGCAAUACUUACAUAAUGUAGAAGUUCAUUAUAGGUGAGGAAAGUAACGACUCAGGCUCGAGGCAUUUUAUGUCAUCAUCGGAAAGCUCAACAGAACCAGGGUGUUUGCUACCGGCAAGGGAAAAAGGAAAUAAUCAUCAACUAUAUACAAUAAAAUAUUAAGGUCGGCUGAAUUUUUUUUAGUUCACAUGCCAAACCUUGAAGGAUAGUAUAUCUUCAUUGCAUCCCUAAAGAAGUAACAGAAUUAGUUAAAUCAGCCACCAAAACGUGCAGGCGAUACAAUAUAAAAACAAAAAGAUUAUUAUUAUGUUGUAUGCAUCGAGUCAUGGGCCAACCCCCAUAAUGUCUACACAGUACGCAGUAGUACACACUUAUAAGAGCACCAACAUAGAAAAAUGGCAAGUUCUGACAACUUAUUUACCAUUUAAUGGAUGCAUUUUUGGAAGAUUCUGAAUGGUGUGCAUCUCCAUCGAGUAGAACAACCUCUGGAACCUGAACCAUGAUGCAGAUAUCAGACAAACUUGUGAGUAACAUCGUCACAGUUGAAAGCAAACCAUAACCAGCUUAGCUUACUAUUUCCCAACAGUUAGCCAGUUACGGUGAUUCAUUACAAGAAUAAUCAAGAAACACCAAAAGAGAAGUAAAAACAUUUAUAUUUGAACGGUUAGGUCACCAAGUUGCAUGUAGUACAGUCCAACGUCUAACUGAAAACUUGUCACGAUCCUUUGCAAGCAUCCAAAACUGUCAGUGGCUGUUUAUUUUCUGGUACUUUCCCAAAAAAAAAGUUCCUCGUUUCCCAUAUAAAUUAUUUCCAGACAUACACAAUAUGGUUUAAAGUUUACAGGUUCCCAGCUACUACUCAUACCUAGAUACUACCAUCAGUACUUAGGGAAAGUUGUUUUGACUAGCCAUGGUACCACAACAUACAUUUAUCACUGCUACAUUUAUUCUUAAAUGUCAACAAGAUAUUGCAGAUUUAUCAUCGAGGAUUGUUUUCUAGACGUAUAAUAGAGGAUAUUGCAACCAUACAAGGAGUGCAACAGUUCAUAAAUGUAUAACAGCCCUGUAAGUAGUGCGCAUGUGGUAUUCUGGUGUUGGCAUCCUAUUUAGCGUCUUGCAGACCCUAAAAAAAUUAGUGUCUUGUCAGCAACAUGGUUCCGCAGUAUGGCAAGAAAGUAUCCCUAUCUUUACUAUGUUAACAAACGACACCGUUUGCAUUGAUCGUCACAUUAUAUGUACCAUCAGACUUUGAUUACAGGCUUCAUCUUCCUUUCACCUUCCUCAAUAAUGUAUGUCAGUGUCACCCCCCAAUCCCACUGGCACAACCUUUCUGCUUGACAUACCAGUUUAUGAUUUUACUAUUUCAUGUUGCAAUUCAAGGAUAAUAUGGCUAUUUGUUAAGUAUAAAUGUGCUGCUAAUCCUGCUCUCUUGCAAUUUGAUCUAUGUUGCACUGUCAUAAUUUGGAGUGGCUCCAGUUACGGGAGUUAGUCAAUGUCUUUUCCACGACACCCCUGAUGGGGAAUGGCUUUACAGCUUUACCCUAUAAUAUACUAUAUGUGAACUCAAGGGGUAUAAACUAAUGGUCAAACGCCAAAAAGUUUGACCAUUGUACACUCAGGAAUGAAAUUCCAUUUGGACCAGAGGAUAAUAUGCGGCAGAACAUCAAUAGCUCAGCUGUCAGUCUUGAUUCUUAAUAAUACAAGCCUUCCGUCUUGCUUCCGUAAAAUAAUAAAAUGCUCUGACCGUGUCCCAAUAAGGGAAAGUUGACAUUCUGCCCAUAGGUUACAAUCAUAAAGAUUUGUACAUGGCCACAAAGUUGACGGAUCUUGGACCAUGAGCAAAAAUUUGACACCAUCAUUACACAUCAAGGUCUUUUAUCUUAGCUUGAAGUUCUGCUAAUCUUUCCAUAUUACUCCGUAUUAACCAGUAUGAGACGGUAAACAAAUAAACCAAUAAUCACAUCUACUGCCAAAAACUUGACUGGUGAGGAGCUUUGCCAAUGCUACUACUUCAAUACUACCUACGUCUCAAAAUUUAGGGCGUAUUUUCACUGUCCAAUUUUGAACUUUGAAUGCAAAUUUAUUGCACAUUAUUUAUUAAAAUUAAAAAAAUUACAAUGACAAGAAACUGCUUUUGAAUAUUAAUCAUGGUAACAAUUUGGUCAAGGCAUAGAUUUUUGCAAAUCAAAAUACGCCCACAUUUUGAAAUGGAGGGAGUGUAUUCAACAUAAAAUGCGACACAAAAGGAGCAUUCUAAGCAGCCAUGGUGGUAGGAGAUGUAUAAAGUAUGUACGAACCUUUCUUGAUCUCAAUCGCAUUGAGAAAUCCACUUCAAGAUCUCGUUUCCUAGCAAAGGUAGAUUACAUGAUUCAAUACUUACAAAGUCCACAUGACACAUAAAUGAUGACAAAAGUUCAUAUAAAUCUGACAUGCAUGCAUAAGAUGUGGCCACAUAUACAAUGUUUUACCUUGAUACAACUGCGUACGAGGUCAUUACUGAGGCAUGCAUAGGAGCAUGGAAGACGAAUACAGACAAUUUCCUUGUCAAAUUAGAUUAGAUUAUUUGAAGAAUGGUAUGCCUUGAUAAAUGAGCACACGACCUAACUUUCCUUAGAUAGAUGCUACGCAAGUCAAACGUAAAAAAUAUGUUAUGUAAGCAGGACUCCACUUUACUCCUAAAAACUACUCCCUCCGUCCCAUAUUAAGUGGCAUUGGUCCUUCCAAGGGAUAUGGAUACCAUUUUACGAUUUGGUUAUAAUGAUUCUUAGUUAGUUUGCCUCCCAUGUUGGUUUAGUUUAUCCCCAAACUGAUCACCUAAAGCAUGUAAUGCAGGCUAUACAAUGUAUCGCCCUCAAUCAAGAAAAGAAGUAAGAAUUAUCUCCCUCCCUCCCCACCUCCUUAUCUAGCUUUCUUGGAUAGACAUAUUAAGAAAUUAAAUUCUAAAAACUAAGUUAUUAUAAGCAGGAAGGACUCCAUUGGACUCCUGCAAUGUUAUGUAAGUUAAGGUACGUUGAGUAGAUAUCUAUUACUCCCUCCAUACAAAGUUGUAGUAAAUUAAAGAGACUUAUUAUGGAUCGGAGGGAGUAUAUGGUAGCACGGCGACGCGUCAGUGCCCUACGCUCACGGCAGGAAGGCUGUCCUGGACCUUGCUCUCCUGUUGAGCAAUCAUAUAACCUAAGAUCUAAUCCAGGCCCCCUUAGUUCCCUUGUACGUGACAUCUCGCCCCUGUCAGCUCUGUGCUUGCUAGUAUAUAUGAACACAUAGAAACAACAUAGCAUGAAUAGCAUGGGACCAUCUUACCUGAGCCCUCCUAGUUUAGUUCAUCAACUUGCCUUUGUAUUCCCAAAUCAUAUGUUUUUGGUAUUUACUAAACAUAAUAAAAGUAUAUCUAACGAAUCUUUUACAACUACUGUAAAAUACAUCAUUAUCAUGGAUGAAGGAUAAGAAUUCUGAUAGAUUUAUGCACCAAGUGCAACACCAUGACUAUUUAGAGAUAGUUAACAGAACGUCAUUGCAAUAAAAAAAUGGAGGUCCAGCUUGACACGGUGUAACAAAAGAGUAUACAUACUAACCUUUUUCGAGAACGUGUGGAAAGUUCACACAUCCUACUGCGGCCAUUAUCCUUGCAACCAUCAUCCGGAGACAUAGUUUCGAUGUCGGUUGAGUUAUCGACGCAUAAUACUUUGGGAGAUAAAUAUGUCGGUUGCUCAUCAGUUUUGCAAUACUCAUCCAAUUUAUACAAAUUCCGCUCAUUUUCUACUGAAUGUUUAGGCUUGCUAGGGCCUGUACUUGUCUCCAGACCAGAUACAUCAAUGCCUGCCUAAUGUACAUGAAAUAUAACACUUGUGCAGAAUACAUAGAUUUAAGUACCACACAAUAUUAUAAUUACCUCAUCAUCCGCCUCAAAUGCAGCAAUGAAAUCAGAUUUGGUUACUCCAUGAUUUUCAUUGGAACCAGUAGGCAAACCUAUAAGUCGUAAAGAAAUUGAAAAGCAAAUUAAUUAAUACUCCCUCCGACCCAUAAUAAGUGUCUCGGAUUUAGACAAUUAGUACAAAGUUAGUACAACUUUGUACUAAAUCCAAGACACUUAUUAUGGAUCGGAGGGAGUACUAGAGAACGGUAUAAUAAAAAUCCAUGCUUGAACAUAAUCAAAGUGUUAUGGAAAAAGGAAAUGUGAUCUGACAACUCUUCAGGCGUUCUUUUUCGAGAUAGGUGGAAGAGUAUUUGCAGGCCUAGAGAAGCCCAGCACAAACACACGCAAGACACGCGUCUCGUUGUAUUGACAACUAUUCAGGCCUUCUGGCUGUUUAACUCUUGUAGUGGCAGAGGCUUGAAGCCAUUAGCCCUAAUGAGACCGUCAUAAAGUCUGGGAGUAUAUUAAAAACCUUCCGUUCUGUUUUUCACAUAGCUGUGAGCAAGACACAGUUGAAAAGCAUAUAGUAGCUCCUUGGAAAUGGCAUCCUAAGCCAUGGUUUGGGCACAUUUACUAUAACCACCCUACUUCAAUUAUCUCUGGAUUGCAUCAAUAUUUCGAUUAGCAACAUGCAAAAGCGCAUGACACUCCAAUGACCGAGUUAGAUCAAAACUCAGGAAAAAUAUCAAACAAGAAGCGAGUGUUCUCAUAUCAGGAACUUUAGUACACUCUUCCAUAAGAUGUGUUAUUUAUUUCCAUCCGAACAACACAAACUUGCACUGCAUUAUUCAUGCGUUUUUUAUCUACAGAGAAGAUAUUUUAUGUUGUAUAAACGGUUAAAGGACAGCAGGGAACUUGCCCAUUCCUUAAGGACAAAAGGCAUGCAUCCAACAGCAGUUAUACCAACAAGGUAAAAUAACAUGUAAAGGAAGAUAAUUUAUUACACAGAGCAGGGACUAUAUAACCAGUCAACACUGGCACUACAGUAAGCAAAAAUAACCAGUGUUGAAUUUUACAAAGAUGAGCAAGCACGGAUUUAGGACCGCAAUAUCUAGAUAACCCUAAUUAUUACCCAAUCAAUACAAUUGAUGUAAUCAUGGUAAGAACAAUUAGUUUCCAUAAGAUGGUAGAGUGCGGAAACUGUCAAUUAUGACAAGUUGUCAAGAUGGUAAGUCAAUCACAUACCAGAUGAUCCUGCACAGCUUGACUCAUUUAUUCUUCCGCGUCUGUUUUUAUCCUGCAAGAGAACAUUCCAGGCUGAGGCUUAUUAGCGCACUGUAUAAUCCCAUAAACACCGAAUAAAAUUAACCGGCGGCAACCAUCUUGGUACGAACUCCCCGUCACCAAAACCUAAAUAGUUCAUCGGCUGGGCUGGGAAGCCUAAUUAACGUUACAUGAUCUUCUUUCUUUCUUUUUCUUUUUUUUGUUUUUCUAUAAUUUCUGCUAUGAGGCUGGGAUUUUCUUGGCUGUUUUCCAGUAUUUGAAAAUAAAGAUUAGCAAACCACAUCCACAAUUUGAGAAACAGAGAUAUAUACUCCCCAUCGAACUCAAUUCCUGGAAAGCGAAAAUAGCGAAUGUCUCACGAACCGAGCAAACUGCAAAUCUGACAACUACAAACCGGCUGUCAUGUUUUCCACAGCAUCUUCCCUGUCGUUGAUGUAAAUUUCUCCAUUCCCGAGAACUCCUUUCAUUCCCCUAUGAUCCGUCCUACCUUUGGAUUGUCUGUUGCAUUCUGUUUAGUAAUUCUUUUUGUUUUCAGUAUUUUCUUUUUCUCCCUGUGAAAGAGGUUCCUAGCCUGACAGCUACUUCUGUCCAUGUUCGUAUUCUUCCAAUCCCACGGGAAAAUCCUUCACUACGUUUGGAGAUGACUGAGCAUCAACCUAUUUCUCUUUCGGUGGAAAUUGAAUUCGAUGAGUUGGCUGCCAGCCAUAAUAUUGCUGUCUUCCUCUUUCCCAUCUUAACCUUCUCUUAGCCUUAGGCGCCUCUCAGAAACAUCAUAAUCUGAAUCACUUUCCUCUUCGGGUAGUAACCACAACUUGAACUAGCAACUCAGAAUUAUAAGACCGAGUAUUCUUUACUUACUGAGUUUUUCCGCUUUCUCCGACCUUUUAGCUGCCGCCACUUCAUCAGUUGUGGGCCCCCAUGUCAUAGCUUUCAGGGCUCGGUUCUGACAGAACUCUAUCCAUAGAGACCUCCUCCCUUCGCUCGUAUAUAGCACUUAGAAGAGUGACUUCUCCCCAGUAAGGGUUUAGAGUAUAGAGAGGAUGCCUUUCCCUAACGAAUAGUACUAUAGUAAAAGUCAGAAAGCCUAGAAAAGAUUAGAUAUUCAUUCUGCCUGCAUUUCUUUUUUCUCGACUUUUUCAGAGAUUGAUUGUAACUGGCACAUUUCCCUGGGGAGCUGAUCAUAGUCUUUUUAGUUUGAUCAUAGUCAAAUACAUCAACGACAACAAACUGGACUAACCCCAAGAAAGGAUGCCAACCGCUAGGUAUGUGUAACGCUAAGGUUAUCUUGAUAAGUUUCUAUGUAACUCUCCCUAAUCAGAUACAACAAACAGUUUAGUAUUGACGCUAGGAAGAUUAACAAAUUUGAAAAAAUAAGGAGAUGAUAUUUUAUCACUGAAGGAAAAGUAAUAGGAUUACAGUGGUUUGAGUAACCACCGCCGUACACAUGGAAUUCUCCUACUGCUGAACCAAACAAUUGUACUCGACUUGCUGACAUUUCAUCGAAAGGCUUGAGAGACCCACAACGUUUUGCCGACCUGCCCCAGUAUCUUUUACUCAGAGGCUUGAAACUCACAAUGUUUUUGCCCACCUCCUCCCAGUAUCUUUACUCUUACAAAGAUUUCAACCAGCAGCAGCAGUCCGUACAUUAUGUUUUCUCUCUAUUCCACCACAUUAGAAUUAUGGAACCAUUUGCAAAGACAUAGCACGAAACAGAUGGAGUACCGAUUUAAUGUACUUACCCCUAGUAUCGCACAGUAUCCCCACCAUGCCCAAAUUCGAGGAAGCCAUGCAAAUAACGAAUUUGAUCCCACGCUGCCCCGCAGCAAGAAAAUGAAUAUUAGAACAGGAAAAUUGUCUCACCCGGUCGCUUUGGCAGCCAUGCGGGCGCGGUGGCGGCGGCGCCGGCGGCGGCUUGGGAGAGGUCAUGACCGAGCGAGCAGCCUGGCGACGAGCGAGCUCGCGGCAGAUGGCGCGGAGCAAGAGGUCGAACUUCUUUCCACCGUCGGGGAGGCGGCUUGUAAAGACUUUGCGCCCUUCCAUGCGCUCGAACCUCUCCUUGAGCACCUGGUCCGAGAGGUUGCGCAGCUCGUUGCUGAUCCCCACCUCCGAAUCGUCGUCCGGCUGCGGCGAAUCCGCGCCCAUCGCAUUCACCGCGGCGCGGAUUCUCGAGUCGGCGGAGAAGCGGGGAGCCGGGGAGGGGAACGGAACGGAGGGGGAAGUUGGGGGAGAACAAAGGAGACGGCGGCGUACGGGAAAGAAGACGGGGCGUAAGUAACUAGGCCGAUGGAUGGACUGAACGGCUGAGACGUGGGGCCUUUCGUUUGUUGAGCUGGCACGUAGGAGACCCGGUUGGCUGUCAUGAAAUUUGCCGACACAGAGAAAUAAUAAUGGGUAAAUGCAGUAUUAUCUGUCACCUAAACGCUAAGACGUGCAGCUGCACUAUUUGCGUCGUCCUGGCGCACGCGCUCGCCGAUAGUUCGAUGCGUUGGUUCAACAUAUCGUUUCUCUGAAUUUCUGUCCUAAUCUUCCUUCUCUUUCUCCACUGACCCGUACAUAACCCCAUAUCUUCCUAGUUUCUUCUCUCUCCCUGCACCAAUUCACUUGCCCCGAUUGCGGUUAGCCAUGGCUGAUGCGUCACGCCUGCGCAUGCCUUGACCAGCCGCGGCGGGCCCUGAGCCCAUCGUCCUUCGCCGCCUCCCACGCAGACCCGCCUAUCCUCCUCCUCAUCGGGAAACGGCGACGCCCCAGCCGCCCCGAUCUGGCUCCGAAUCCGCCGCGCCCGCGCUGCCUCCUCCUCUCAUCCUCCGCCUCCUCCCUGUAGACCAGCCUACCCCUCUUCCUUCUCCUCGCCAGACGGUGAUGCCGGCCGCGGCGCUCGUCCAAGAAAGCCCGCGUCUACCGCCUGCUGUCAGCCACCUCUAUGGAGGCGCCAACAUGUUCUGGCGUAUGACCAGCCUCUUGGCGGUCUCUCCCGUGAGCCCCUGUGCUCGUAGCUGCUCCCUCCCAUCUCCCUCGCAUGCGCUCUCUCAGGCUGGUUCCUUCCGUUCGUGCGUGAGCGAGAGUUGGGAACUGCAGUUGGGCUUGGUCGUGGAAGCCGCGCCUGGGUUGUAAUCGUUUGUUCUUAUUUGCUUUCUUGGAUCGGAGAUUAGUAUCCAUGUGCCGCUGCUGCUAGCUGUGUCAGUGUGAUUUUGCACUGGUGAGGUCGUGCGUCUGAUGCUCUUAUUUGGGGCCUUGGCUCAGAUUUUGGUCAGGUUUGGGAAGGGCCGUAUCAUUGCGUAAUAGGUACUGCACUUGAUAUUCCAGGCAAGGUUGUUGUGCUGUUAAUGCUGAAUCAUCUUCUUGUGUGUAGUACUAUUUGUUGUUGAGCACUAUCAUCAACUGAAAAUCAUAUUCUUUGCCCUCUAGCAUUGUUUCUCUAAGAAUUUGCAUGUGCCUGUGUGGUAGGUACAACAAUGCCACAUUAUACUGGGUCUUCCUUUUUUUUUGCCACUCUUUUGAAUUUGAUGUGGGAGAAAUUUGAUGUUGAUCCAAAUUUAUUGUACCGCACCUAAAGGUGGUAUUAUCUUUGAAUACAACGUUGCUAAAAUCUGUAGUUAGUUGCAAAAAUAAGCCAAAUAGUUGCUUAAUACUGAUCCAAAGUUGCUGCACCCAACAAAAAAAGAUGAUCGUGCCUGAAGAAAAAGGUGCUAAAAUUUGUAGUUUCAAAAAUAGGCUAAAUAGUUGCUUAAUAUUGAUACCAAUGUUGACACACCCCACACCAAGGUAGUAUCAUGCCUGGAUUAAAACAUGUAGUUGGUUGCAAAAAUAGGUUAAAUAGGUCCUUAAUAUUGAUCCCGAGUUGCUGCACCCCCACAAACGGUAUGGUCGUACCUGAAUAAAAAGUUGCUAAAAUUUAUAGUUCGUUGUAGAAAUAGGUUAAAACAAUUCUUCAAUAUUGAUCCAAGGUUACUGCAUCACCACACAACAGUCUGAUCGUACCUGAAUAAAAAGUUGCUAAAAUUUGUAGUUAGUUGUAGAAAUAGGUCAAAUAGUUGCUUAACGUUGAUCUAAAGUUACUAGCACACCCAAAGGUAUGAUCGUGCCUUAAUACAAUGUUGCUUUAAUUAGUCGCAAAAAUAUGUCCAAUAGUUGUUUAAUGUUGAUCUAAAGUUACCGCACCACACCCAAAUGUAUGAUUGUGCUUUAAUACAAAGUUGCUAAAUUUUGUAAUUAGUCGCAAAAAUAUGCCAAAUAGUUGCUUAAUUUUGAUCUAAAGUUACUGCACCCCACCCAAGGGUAUGAUCGUGCCUUAAUAGAAAGUUGCUAAAAUUUGUAAUGAGUUACAAAAAUAUGCCCAAUACUUGCUUAAUGUACUGUACCACACCCAAAGGUAUGAUCGCGCCUUAAGACAAAGUUGCUAUAUUUUGUAAUUAGUCGCAAAAAUAUGCCCAAUACUUGAUUAAUGUUGAUGUAAAGUUACUGCACCCCACCGAAAGGUAUGAUCGUGUCUUAAUACAAAGUUGCUAAAAUUUGUAUUUAGUCACAAAAAUAUGACCAAGAGUUGCUUAAUGUUGAUCUAGAGUUACUGCAUCCCACCCAAAGGUAUGAUCGUGUCUUAAUACAAAGUUGCUAAAAUUUGUAAUUAGUCGCAAAAAUAUGCCAAAUAGUUGCUUAUUGUUGAUCUCAAGUUACUCCACCCCACCCAAAGGUACGAUCGUGCCUUAAUAGAAAGUUGCUAAAAUUCGUAAUUAGUGGCAAAAAUAUGUCAAAUAGUUGCUUAAUGCUGAUCUAAAGUUACUGCACCCCACCCAAUGGUAUGAUCGUGCCUUAAUAGAAAGUUUCUAAAAUUUGUAAUUAGUCGCAAAAAUAUGACCAACGGUUGCUUAAUGUUGAUCUAAAGUUACUGCAUCCCACCCAAAUGUAUGAUCGUGUCUUAAUACGAAGUUGCUAAAUUUUGUAAUGAGUCACAAAAAUAUGCCAAACAGUUGAUUAUUGUUGAUCUCAAGUUACUACACCCCACCCAAAGGUACGAUCGUGCCUUAAUAGAAAGUUGCUAAAAUUCGUAAUUAGUGGCAAAAAUAUGUCAAAUAGUUGCUUAAUGCUGAUCUAAAGUUAUGGCACCCCCACCCAAAGUAUGAUUAUGUCUUACUACAAAGUUGCUAAUAUUUGUAAUUAGUUGCAAAAAUAUGCCAAAUUGGUGCUUAAUGCUGACCAAAGUUGUUGCACCUCACACAAAGUAGGAUCGUGCUAAAAUACAAAUUUGCUAAAAAAAAUGUAGUUAGUUGCUAAAAUAUGACAAAUAGUUGCUUAAUGUUGAUCCAAAGCUGCUGCACCUCACACGGGUAGGAUUAUGACAGGAUGAAAAGCUGUUAAAAUUUGUAGUUAGUUGCAAAAAUAGGAUAUUAGUUGCUUAAUGUUGAUCCAAAAUUAUUGCACCCCACACUAGCUAGGUAUGAUCGUGCCUGAAUGAAAAGUUGUUAAAAUAUGUAGAUAAUUGGAAAAAUAGGCCUAAUAGUUGCUUAAUGUUGAUCCAAGUUGCUGCAACCCCUCAAAGAUAUGAUCACACCCGAAUACAAAGUUGUUAAAUUUUGUAUUUAUUUGCAAAAUGUGUCAAAUAGUUUGCUUAAUGUUGAUCCAAAGUUGUUGCACCCACACGAAGUAGGAUCGUGCUUGAAUACAAAUUUGCUAAAACUUUGCAGCUAGUUACUAAAAUGUGCCAAAUAGUUGACAUAUAUGCUCAUAUAUGAUCCAAAAAUUAAUUAUCAGCACAAAAGUCAAAGUUCCUAGUAUGAGAAUCGAAGUUGCCAGUAUAUGAACCAAAAUUGGUACUAUGGGAGUGAAAGUUGAGAGUAUAUGAGCAAAGUUGCUAAUAUGAGAGUCAAAGUUGUUGUAUAAAAUACAAAGUUGUAACUAAAUAGUGAAAGUUGCGACCGAACACACUAAAGGUAUCUGCAAUGGAGUAAAACGUGCUAACAGUAUGAGAGCCAAAUUUGCUAGCAUGUACCAAACUUGUCAGUAUGAGAGUCAAAUGUUUCAGUAUAGGGUACAAGAAAGUUGCGAAAAAGUAGAAAAAGUUGUAUUUUAUAACAUAAAAGUUGCUUUUCAAAAAAUAUUUGUCAAAAUAUACCAAAGUGGGAUCUAGUUUUGAAGAUCUCACUGCGAUAGAGCCAAUGGUGAAAACAGAUCAUAAUUUCGACACUCGGUUUGAAAGUUACAGCGUUUUGAAAAUAAAAAAAUGCAUUUAGCUAAACAAUCCGAACAUAUCUCAGUUUGCAUGCACGUGGCUUUGCGCCAAUACGAACUCGUGACAGCCUAGCAGCGUGGGAUCGUGGAGGUUUGGUAUUCGUCCGUUUAGAAUAUUUCCAUACUGAGAUACAAAGCAAUUAUGGCAAUACGCAAAUUUUCUAAUCCGGCCGUUGGCUGGCUGGGCUUAACCAGCCAACGGCCGCCCACUAGCAGCCUCCUAUCUGUCAUUGCAAAAUGUGAAAAAGCAUGGCGCUACAAUUACAUCUGCCUUUAGUAUUGCUUUUAAGACGUCAAUUUUAAUGCACCAUACCUUAAAUAAAUUUUGUCAUAUGCAUUAAACAUAGAAAUAUAAGUUUACUUUACCCAAUAAACUUGUACAAAAAUAUAAACUACAGCCUCCAAAUUCUAUUUGGUUUGGCCUCCUUUUUGUUUAGUUGUGGUUUGGCCUCUUUGGUUCUCAGUAUUGUUAGUUAGAACACAAAAAUACGAGACAAAAAAUAAGUCUACUUUUAGUUUGAAUAUAUAUGAUUCAAAUAAUGUUUGAUUGUGCAUAAAAAACGUAGGAUUCUUUCCACCAUGUCUGAAUCGAUGAAAAAUUUCAUACAAAGUCUAAUGCAAAUGAAUUUAUAAAAGUUCCUACGUCUGCCUCCGGUGGAUGUACAACAUCUCUUUACGGCUCGGGAUGAAGUGGAAGUACAUACACUUUUUUUUUGUCAUUCAAGGCCUGAAGCAACCGGGAGCAGUGCGAACGUGUAUCAAAAACUAGUGCUCGAGUAGCUAGAUAAACAAUGGAAGAACCAGAGGUUCGGAUUUGGGACACACUUACGAAGGAUACUACUUUGAUAUGAAAGUUAUGCUUCUCACAACGGUCCAAGACAAUCUAGUUUUCAGAUAUCAAUCCGGCCAGUGCGUCCACAAAUACAAAGAAUCUGCUCUCAAGGAUGAUACGACAAGUCGUCGCCUACCAGUUUCUUCGAAAAUCAUGUACAUGGGACACGGAAGAUGGCUUCUAUAUAAUGGCCCAUGGAGACAGGAUUAGCAAAGUUUAAGAAUAGUGUCGAGAACCACAUACUGCCUUGUAAGAGGAGCGAGGACAAAUUUUAUGAAUUGCUAAACUCUUGGGGCCAAUGGCCUGAGGCCGGAAAUAAUCAAAAUGUGGUAAAGCCGUUGGAAGGCGUGUUGAAGAAUAAAUAUGUAUUCUAGGACUUGCCUACUGUUGUCUACUGGAGAUAUCUCGACAAACAUCACUGCAAAUAUAGAUGUGAUGCUCACUGGGGAAAAAAAAGAUUGAGAGCUUGCUUGAUCUAUUCCUCUAGAUGGUACUGUAGACAAGAUAAAAGAUGGGCUGAAGACAUGAGAGGACUUGCAAAAUCUCGGGAUAAGAAAAGAAUUGCGGACAACAGAGAAGACCACCAAGUUGUGGACUAUCCUCAUGCAUAUAUAGACUUUUUUUGCGAACAAACAUGCAUAUAUAUAGAUACUUAGCAAAGCAUUAGCCCGCUAAGCACAUUGUCAAAAAUAAAUCCAAAAUUAACUCCGAUGUUAGAUGUAUUUUCGGUGAUGCAGUUCAAAGGCACGAGUGGCACUCAUCCGUCCUAACGACACACCUGUAUAGAACAAGAUGCAUGAUCUACACUGACUUCUUAGGCACGAGACGACACAACGCAAAGAAACGCCUUUGAGGGACACACCAUGGUUGACAUGUCCACUGGUUCACCAUCACCAAUGGUCUUCAUCAAUGAUCUUCGCCAGCACGCCACUUCCAUUAUGUCCACGAGGAUGGACAUCUCCAAUGCGUCAUCUACAUAUUGCAUCGACCGAGCGUGUCUAGAGGCAACCGCUGCAUCAAACACGAUAUCACUAUUGUGAUAACCCCCACGCGGCGGACAGAGUUCUGUCAAAACCGACGUAUGCUCGAUGGGCUCAUUCAAACUCUAACAAAAGCGGCGGUCUCAUCGAAGACUCUUCUGACGGCAUCCUCUAACAUUUUUAUACACAAUCGUAACCGCAUUUUUAUACACAAAGUGCAAAAAAAUAAUUGCAAUCAGUCAUGGGAGAUCGACUGGGAUGCCAACCUCUCUUGAUGCAAUCAGUCAAGCGGCAAUUAUCGAUCUGCGUUUGUGGUGCAGCUUGCUCUUGCAUCUCAUUAUUGCUAGCUUGAUUCCUGCAGAAUCUAAUUUGUUUUUUUCAUACCGAUGGCAUUGGCCAGGAGGAAUUGAAGUUUUGUGCAAUGGUUCCUAAUGCGUGUUUAACUUAGGGAAUUUAUAUGGGAUAUGUUCUCAAUUGUACCACAAACAUUAAUUUCAGGCAUAUAUUAGCUUAAUUUCAUUUGUUUGGUUUCCAACAUAAAUACUUAUGAGCCAAACGCUCACGAGUUUCAAAAAAAGGUGUUCAUGUAUUUCAAAGGGCAGUUCUACAGUACUUUUUUUUGAGCCGUCCAUUGUGUAAGAUCUAACGGUCAAAGAUGGAUGGUACCUCUGGCUACCAUCACGUGAAUGGCAACUGGCCAUGGAGAGGUACCGAGUAACUGCCGACGACUGCCAUCUUCUCUCCUCAAUUCUCCUCUUGUGCAGCCGCGGCAAUGGCCCAAUGCGCCCAGCCACCUGCGAAUCCCUGCUAAUCCCCAAUUAUUCUUCUUGUUCUUGAGCCGGGCGGGUCUUACACUCCGGCUUGCGGUAGAAAGAGAGCACGAGUAGGCGUGGAGGUAUUAUGUUGGACAAGAUGGCGAUGAACCUCUCCUCACGAGUCCCAAGGAGGAGGCACUGCCGUUGCGGCUGGAUCUCCUGAUGGGGUCCCGGUUCGACCCGACGGACGAGUAUACCUGACAAUCAAGGUUCUCGACCGCUGCUUCUCCUGCCCUACACAAAUCAACAAUGGAUUAGGAGGGAGCUACCGGUACAUGGUGGUACCUCCCAAGCAGGGUAGAAUUGCUCUAUUUCAAAACCGACGUUCAUGAUUUUAAAAAUUGUCGUCUGCAGCAAAACAAAAAGCUCUUAAACAUGUUGUUUACAAUUAUAACAGUACUAUUAACACUUAAACCCAACCUACAAAACUGCAGGAAUAUUCGGGUCACUUUAUUACAUUUCAAUUUCAGCCAGCCGCCGAAAAAAAGAGAGUAAAUAUCACAAAACUCCUAAUUUCUGACGAACUGUAUCAUUUUUGUUUUCUUUUCACUUAACCCGUAUUUUUGGACUAAUCCGUAUUGUCAAACCCGUAAUUUUUCUGUCAACGUUGCUAAUAGGGAAACUGCCAUGGUGGGUCCACCUGUCGUCCUCUGAAACCAAAUCUUACUUACCUUAGUAACACCUGCCCUGCCCCCGUCACCAUUAUCCAAGCACCGCCGCGCUGCCAUUUUCACCGCUGAGCGCUCCCGCCUCCUCCUGCUGCUCUCCGGCCCCGCACGCGCCACCCCGACCCCUCUGAGAUGACCCGUUCCCGCGCCCGCACGGCAUGGAAGCCGUGCGAGCCCCAAGCCCCCUCCCGCAGGUCUUCUUCCCCAAGACCGGCGGAGCGCCGCCCGCACCAAUUCCCCUGCUUGCAACCUCCCGCGCCAAGACAAUGCCAGCAAAAACAACGUGACGUCUCCAAGAUCCCUCUGGCGCACUUGCCCUCAUCCUCGGCUGCCCCCGAGCGCCCCCGCACCGAGCUCCUCCUCCACCGGCCGCGCCUCACCAUCGACUCGCCUCAACCGGUUUCCUCUUCCCCGACCGACCCCGCCUACGAGUUCGUGGUGAGCUUCUCCUUCUUUCCCCCUAUUUUCCCCAUCGGAUCCACCCCCGUAGAGCUCUGCCGGAUUGGACGCCGCCGGCGAGUUUCUCCCAUGAGCGUUCUGCUCUCCUGUGCCGUCCAUGGUGGGAACAUUCCAGCCCAAACCAGACCCGCAGCCCAGCCGCACCUGCAGCCCCCUGCCCCGCUCAGCCGCCCUGCUGCCCAACCGCGCCGCCCGCUCGUCGUCCCGGUCGGAGGCGAGGCUGCCACCGCCCGUCAGUUUUCCUGAUAGCGUCGUUGACAGCGAGAUGUGUAAGCGCGUGUUGUUAACAUCUGUGUUUGUACUGUGUUCUAGAAAAAAAAAUGUAGGUAAUAGUACUAUUAUUUGGUAAGCAGCAACUAGUCGACAAUGGCAGGGCUGCCACUACUAACCAGGCCUCCCGUCGACCUUCCUCUCGUCCGGCCGGUGCAUACUUUAUUAAUAUAUGCAUGGAAGAUAUAUAAACUUUGAUCACCGACGUGCUCCAGCACAGCUAUUCCGGAGAGUCGUCGCUGCCACGUUCUUCGACCGAGUCCCAACAGCAAAAAGAGAUGAUCAAGAGAGACGGCAGCAAUGCCCUGCCUGCCAUUUCUUCUACACCUCCUCCUAUCAUCUCUGCGUCUUCCAACUCCUCUUCUUCUUCCGCACCCCGCCUCUGUUCUUGCCCCAAAUGCAGCAUGAGCGUUGAGAUUGAGUUGUUCCGUCCAUCAGUUUCAUCGGCCCCGGGCGCAGGCAUUGCGUGGUUUGGUUCGAUUCUUCGUCUGAUCUUCCUGUGAUCUUAAGGUACGGUUUACCGAUUCUUCUUCUUCCAUUCUUGUGAUCCAUGUCCCGAACGGUUGUUUGUUCUCUUGGUUUGGGGAAAUCUUGAACAUGCUCUAUCAUGUUUACAUGGAAUGAUUUGUUUUUGGUCGGGAUUACCUUGUUCCUUUGUUUUCUUAUUAUACUCCGUAGAUGCUAACAUGCUCGGUACGUAGUCUAUGGAUGUUUCCACGCGGUUAGUUCUCUUAACGAGCUGGAAGAAUCUUGUGCUUGCCGGUUGGUUGUCUAAAGCAAGUGUGUUGUGAGUUGUGAUCCGCGGGAAGUGGAAGAAGAUCCGUUGGAAGGUCUUAUGUUGGGGAGGUCCAGUACGUAGGCGUUGUUAUGUUUCUAUCAUCAGAUUUUACUCACCGUCAUUUUCGUUAACCUUUACUUUAAACAAUGUGGCUUGAUCAGAAGAGAAUGACAAUGCCUUGGUAACUUCAGAAAUUUUUUCCAACAAAAGUGCAAGUCCUGAAUGUUUGUUUUUUCUUCAUUGGUUCUGACAGCAGUCACACAAUGAGAACUCUGCUCCAAGCUCGAGGCGGCGGCCCCGGCGCCGGCGCCGGUGGCGCCAUCGCAGCGGCGGCGGGCGGCGCAGCAAACACGCUGCCAACCUCGGGCGCCACCCCUCCCCCCUCCUCGUCCACCGGCUCUUCGUCGCCGCCGCCUCCCGACUCCAACUCUAACUCCGACCCUCCUCCUCCUUCCCCCUCGUCGUCCUCUGCUCCUCCGCCGCCUUCCCCAUCAUCCCCACCACCUUCCCCGUCUUCUCCCCCACCGUCCCCGCCUAUUGCGCCGCCUCCUUCACCGGCGGCGUCCCCUCCGCCUCCACCAGAGGCAUCGCCGCCCCCGCCGCCGGUGGCGUCCCCUCCCCCUCCACCACAGGCAUCGCCGCCUCCGCCACCCUCUCCCGUGCCCCCGCCUCCCGCAGCCACCGCGCCGCCCCCAACGGAAAACGCCGCGCCCCCACCUUCCCCCACUCCACCGCCAUCGUCCGCUCCAUCGCCGCGGUCACACGCCAAACCGCCAUCUCCAUUAAGAUCUUCUCCCCCUCCUCCUCCUCCUCCUCCAUCCGCAGAGCCAACAGCGUCCCCAGCGGACGACACGCCGCCGCCGCCGCAAUCGGACGUGCCCUACCCCCCGCCUCCGUCCGCGCGGACGAGCUCGCCCGCCGCCGCACGCUCGCCUCCUGCCGCCGCGUCCGCAGUGGACACGACAAGAAACACGAGCGUGCCGCCCAGCAGCAGCAGCGGGCUGAGCUCCGGCGCGACGGCGGGCGUGGCGGUGGUGGCCGUGAUCGCCUUCCUCUGCUUCGCGGGCGUGUUCGUGUGCCUCUCCAAGCGCCGCAAGCGCAAGUACAAUGAUCUCUACUACCACGGCUACGCGCCGCCGCCAUCGUCGUCCUACGGCACGCCGCGGCACAUGUCGGGCGAGGCGCCGUUCCUGCGCGUGCCGUCGGGCCCGGGGUCGUCCAACUUCAGCAGCAACCAGCAUCAGCAGAGCAUGUCGCCGAUGACGAUGCCCGCGAGCCAGUCCCAGUCCUACGGGAACCAUCAACAGCAGCAGCAACAGAGGUUCGUCUCCGCAAACUACAGCAGCACGAUGGGGAGCCAAGGCCCGGGGCGGAGCGUGGCGGCGGCGUCGGGGGAGCUGAGCGUGGGGAACAGCAAGGCCUUCACGUUCGACGAGCUGUACGAGAUCACCGGCGGGUUCUCGCGCGACAAGCUGCUCGGGGAAGGCGGGUUCGGGUGCGUGUACAAGGGCACGCUGGGCGACGGCAGGGUCGUGGCCGUGAAGCAGCUCAAGGGCGGUGGCGGGCAAGGGGAGCGCGAGUUCCAGGCGGAGGUGGAGAUCAUCAGCCGCGUGCACCACCGCCACCUCGUCUCGUUGGUCGGGUACUGCAUCUCCGAGGACCACCGCCUGCUCGUCUACGACUUCGUCGCCAACGACACCAUGCACCACAACCUCCAUGGCAGGGGACGGCCCGUCAUGGACUGGCCCACCCGGGUCAAGAUCGCCGCUGGGUCGGCGCGCGGACUGGCCUACCUGCACGAGGAUUGUAAGAUUGAAUUAUGUUGUUAUAUCUUGAUUCAUGGGAUUAUAUAUAUUCAGCUGCUGAAUUGUUCUCUGUUGUUGUAUUUGCAGGUCAUCCGAGGAUCAUCCAUAGGGAUAUCAAGUCAUCGAACAUCCUGCUCGAUGAUAACUUUGAAGCUCAGGUUCGGUUCCCAUCUUUUUCUCAAACUCAACGGGCACAAUUUGGCUAUACGUAUGUCAGUUCCAGAUGUACUAAAACUGAAAAUGUCGUGUUGAUAAUCCAGGUCGCGGAUUUCGGGCUGGCCAGGCUGGCAGAGAACGACGUCACCCACGUCUCCACGCGUGUCAUGGGCACUUUCGGGUAAUUAAUCCAUCCAGUAGAACACUCAUUCAUCUCAGCAGGUGAAAAGAAAAAGAGGAUUCAAUCAAACGAGUAUCUGGCUGUGAACUCUGCAUUUUUUUUAAUACAUACAGGUACUUGGCUCCAGAGUAUGCGUCGACAGGGAAGCUGACGGAGAAAUCGGACGUUUUCUCCUUCGGCGUCGUGCUCCUGGAGCUCAUCACCGGCAGGAAGCCCGUCGACUCGUCCCGUCCCCUCGGCGACGAGAGCCUCGUGGAGUGGGUAAUAAGCCGCUUCUGACUCUCAACACAGCAGACCAGCAGUAGUAGCACCAUGGCUCCUACUAUAUCUGCAUGUAGUAUAUCAGUUAAUUUGACUCGAUUAUUCCUCAUUGUGGCAGGCGAGGCCGCUGCUGAACCGCGCCAUCGACGAGCAGGAGUUCGAGGAGCUGGUGGACCCGCGGCUCGGCGGCGACUACGACGACGUGGAGAUGUUCCGCGUGAUCGAGGCGGCGGCGGCGUGCAUCCGGCACUCGGCGGCGAGGAGGCCCAAGAUGGGGCAGGUGGUCAGGAUCCUCGACAGCCUCACCCUCAACGACGUGGACCUCACCAACGGCGUGCAGCCCGGGAAGAGCCAGAUGUUCAACGUCGCCAACACGGCCGACAUCAGGCAGUUCCAGAGGAUGGCGUUCGGCAGUCAGGAUUUCAGCUCCGAGUAUACCCAGUCCAGGGCCAGCAUGAGCGGCAGGAGGGAUUUGUAGCACGCACAAAAGAAAUACCCAGGGGCUCUGCACGAUUUUGUUUCCGGUGAUUUGUUCAUUCUUUAUGAUUAUUUUUCUUUUUACAGUGAAUCUUUAAUGUAUGUUCGUUUCUUUGAUGCGUUCAUUGACAGGGUACAUCCUCAUUGUUAUGUAAUUUUAGGGGGGGUUUUGUGAAGAGAGAUGUCAUGUUUCGUCACAAUUUGUCAUCUGAAAAUAUGAACUCUUACCACUCUUUUGGACGGAGAUAUCUAUUCUAUUAUAUAAUAAAAAUACAUGACGAAUCUAUUAUAUACUAAAUGUACAUGACGAAGUAAUAAAAAAAAAAGAUAGAGAAGCUCCAAAAUCUCACAAAAAAAAAAACAUCUGGCCUUUGAUUUGGUGGCCACUGUUUUAGCUACGAAAACAUCACCGUCCAAUAUAAGGUCGUCUUCCUAUUUGUUUAUUCCAUAUACCAACUCAAUUGCCUUUUCCAUAUACAACACUUACGGCCAACUCAAACAUACCCAAAUCAAUCCCGUGUGAUCACAAAAAAUCUGCAGGAGAGUACACCUUCCUAUUUAAUUUGUUUAUUCCAUAUACCAACUCAAUUACCUUUUCCAUACACAUCACUUACGGCCAACUCAAACAUACCAAAUGAAUCACGUGUGAUCAGUACGUUCAGAAAAGAGAAAAAGCCUCUCUUGCCUCUUCCUCCGGCGAUCAAGCCUGACUUGCGAGCGCCCCGCCGGCUCGCCUCUUUCUACGAUGAACACUUUGCAGAGAUCUCCACUCUUCGUUCAACGACCACGAACUCAUCUCUCUGUCCCAUUGUCUCGCCUACUUCCGGUAAGUACGGAAGUACCACUUAUAUUAAAUCAAAUCGACGUAAUUCCUUUAAGAGAAUAUUGUUUCCCCACAAAUCUCUCUAAAUUUAAGAUAGAGAUUCUUCAUAGCCUGUAGCAUAACUAUUGUUUUCCCAUGCAGUCCAAGAGAUUAUAAGAUAAUUUUUGAUGCGCCGCACUGUAGCAAAGCAUCAAGCAGUGCAUGCAAUGUUGUUUUUCGUCUCUCCCAUGAACUCUAUUUUGCUUUGUACUUGCCAACUAAUCCAUCUACCAAUAAACAUAUGAGCACUGAUAUGAUUUUAUCGGACAAGAAGGUACGAUUUUCACUUAAAUAUUAAUGUCCUUUCUAUAUUGAAAUUUGAAGGUACGAUUUUCACUUAAAUAUUAAUUUCCUUUCUAUAUUGAAAUUUGACCUAAUAUAUUUAUAUUCUUACUAUAUAGGGCAAUGCAAAUACACACUUCUGUAAGAAACGAACUGGUGAAGAAAAUUUAUUCCAAAGAUUAAAGAGGACUCCAUCCAUAUAUUUAAGACCUUCAAAGUCUGGGAGUAUGGAAAAUAUCGAACACUGAAGAACAAUAUGAAAAUCAGUUUCCUCUUUAAUACUCCCUCCGACCAUAAUAAGUUAGAUUUGAUACAAACUUAGUACAACUUUGUAUUAAAUCUCCGAUACUAAUUGUGGAUCGGAGGGAGUACAACAGUGAGGGCAGUUGAUGAAGAAAGAAAAAAAAAAUCCAAAUUCCCGAACUACUAUUUUGAAUUUGCCAAUAGCAUCACCUAGCAUAGUAGAGUACAAAUUGAUAGCAGUGCUCAGGUAUGCAGACAAUCCAAGUACAUGAAGAAUAAUUAUUUUACUAGAUUUAUUAGCAUGUUUUACUGUAGAGGCAAGUCGCGGGACUCAGACUUGAUCACGAGAGGAAGAUGAAAGAUAGAGUGAGAUAGAGAAGCCAAUGACACGGGCUAUAGAAAGACUUGUAAAGAGUACCCCGGUCCCCAGAAUAGAUCUUCCAAAUAAUUCAGAGAUAAAGGAAAGGAUCUUCCCUAAUCUGAACUUUGAACAGCGGUAUGCAUCUGAUUCAAUAAUGGAAUCGGUUGAUAUUUAUUUGGGGAAACAAAGAUAGUGAGAUGCCCUCGGGGGGUAAGAUAGUACUAGGGGUCACGUGGUAUUGUAGCCCUGCUUCUACAGGGAGGAAGGACAUCACACUCAAGGUUCCAUGUUCCACUAAUUUUUACGGACAAGUCAACAUGUGGCAGCAAACAAAUUCAGACUUGGCCGAACUAUUAGAAAAAAACAUCGCUAAUACAAAUGCUUUGAGAUACCAAUGGCAAACAAUAUAUGUUUGGAGGCCCUAGGCAUAAGUCUAAGAGAUAUACCAAGACACAAAAAGAACAGCAGCAGCGAGAGGCCAUUUGGUGGCAUGACAGUGGUCCUAGGAGGAGAUUGAUUUCAUCCAGAUUCUACCAGAUCUACCGAAGGGAAGAAGACAAAACAUAGUCAACAUAGUGUGAGAGAGGAACAUAGGUGAUGGGAAAAGGGGAUUCAGAUUUCUGCUUACAUUUAGGAAAUGAGGGAGUAGAUUACAUUUAGAGACAGAGAGAAAGGGGCUGGGGGAAGGACUUUAGAACAAAGAUAAAACAUCUUACGUUUAGGAACAGAGGAAGUAGAAUUGAAUAAAAUGGUAAGAAAUAUAUUUAUUCAAAGAAAAGGUAGAAAGUUAUGAAUAAAAUAUGGUAUAGCUGAAUAUUAGGGAAUUGAAUUUGGAGAAUCUGAGGUGAGGUAUUUGGCAAGAGAAUCGUUUAUAGCCGUGGCGGAGCCAGAAACUGAAAAAGAAUGGUGUUAAGAUGUGACUAAUGGUGCUAUACUUAUGUAUUUUUCUAAUGAACUUUUUUUUGCAGAUUCUACUAAUGAACUUAAUACUCAGUAUAUCCUCUUCUGACGAUCCUUGCCAGGCCGGUGCUACAACACAGGUAGCACCGGGCCGGGCUCCGCCCCUGUUUAUAGGGAGCCUUGUAUAAAAGUUUCGGGGAAACAAAUAUGAGGAAGCUGUCGGCGUUAUUUAAAGAGUAGGGAAACACAGAGGCAAACAAAAAUGAUAUGUGAUUGUGAUGCAAAGAACAUGACAGAGAGAAAUGCAAUGGGAUACAAUGAGUAUGGCAUAUUAAUUCUCAUUUGUACUGAAAAUUUUCAAAUGAGAUCUUCUUAAAUUAAUAUUAAAAAAUUGUAGAAGGCAACGUUGAUUGCCCGCGCUUUUGUGCGGGCCACUCCCCUAGUUGAAGCUUAAAAUUCACAAAUUAGAAUUGAGUUUUGCGAAUGUUGUUGUUUGGAUGUCUAUAGAAUUGAGAACUGGAAUUGGACACUCAAUUCCUUGGCAGUGGCCUCGAACUAAAUUUAAGCCUUACCCAUCUAAAUUGAAUGAAAUUGGACAACGGUGCCCCACCACCAUCUACUCUAGUGAAAUACGAGAACGAACUCUCCUGAACUCAGGUGAACUAUGGAGACCACUCCGACGAACUUCGGCGAGCUCCGGUGAACUUCAACAACUCCAGCAACCUUUCGACGAUUACUCUGGCGAGCUCCAAUCGUAUUCACAUAUUGAAGCUUGGAAUUCUUUCGUCACAAUUUGUCACCGCAAAAUAUAUAGUUCCAAAGCAAGUUCAAUUUGAAGGAAUUUCUCAAAGGGGCCAUCAUCUCUGGAUUUACUAGACUUAUUAGGAUAAGGUAAAAACUUAUUCAUCCAAGUCCUCUUUCCUUACAAUGAUUUUUUAACAACCUUCUUUCUUACCCUUGUCUUUAUAUGGAUUAGAGGCUUUAUUGUCCUUAUCAUUUAAUUCAAGUUUAUCUUCGUUAUCAUCCUCAACCUGCAAGUGUUCUUCCACUUCUUCAUCUUGUGCUUCCCGACAGAGAAUUUCAAUACUACAUGGAUAUUCAGUUUGAACAUCAGAGGUGUGGUUGUUGUAAAAAUACACUAGUUUCAGGGAGUUUUGAUGGUCUAGCGUGUAGUUGUUAGUAUGGGGUGUAUGCCGACACUAUUAGUUAGGGUUGUUGUACACUCGACAAGUUGACACAUCAUUGUUGUUUAAUAGGUUAAGUUGUCUUGCGCACCGUAACUUACUGCUAUUAGGAGAGGGAUGGAGUGAAUAGUCACUCAGACCGUAGCGAGACUUCCCGAUUCGGUACCUGUUGAUGAUUCCCAACACUUCUUCCACCGAUGCCAACGCUAGGAGCUCCCUGCCAAAGUGAACCUUGGAGCUCCCUAGCGCACCCUCGCUCCUGAGAGCUUCUCGUCGAGGCAGAAUUUGGAGCUCUCUAACCCCGCCUCCCUCUUUGAGUUCAUUCAAGUGAAGAUGAAACGAUUCCACCGAUCCGGGGAGGUGGUUAGACCCCUCGAACCUUCUCGACGCUAGGAGCUCGCUCCCUGCCAAAGUGAAUCUUGGAGCUCUCUAGCCCUCGCUCCUGGGAGCUCCUCGUCGAGGCAGAACUUGGAGCUCUCUAGGCCUACCGCCCUCCUUGAGUUUAUUCAAGUGAAGAUGAAAUAAAUUACACAAAAAGUACCGAUGGCAUGUUUUGUCCUAGGUGCAAUGGGUUACACAGAGACAUGUGUGCUCUUCGUUUUAGUAUGGGCAUCUGCUUCAUUUGUUAUAUAAUUGUCUAUUAUCCCAUGCAGGACGGUAUUUUUUGCCAUAGUUAAGUCCUAUAAACACUGCACAUUUCGUGUACACGCAGACAUUGGUUACAAUCUUCAUUGACAUCACAGUCCCAACAUGCGUGCUCUUGUUUUGGUAGGGUCAUUUGUUUCUUUUGUUUCAACAGGACUCUGAAAUCUUCUAAAUCUAAAUGAAGAGCAGAUUUUCAUCAAUCGUACAUGUUAUUUUUUCCUCCUUUAAUUCAUAUCCAUCCAUCCAAAGAGUUUCUUCAUGGCACUUUCCAUCAUUACAAGAGAUGAGACGAGUUCAUCUCUCUUCUUGCCUAUAUACAUACAACAUCUAACACAACAUGGCCCCCAUCGUUCUUGCUUUGGCCAUUUUCCAUGCAUGUUGGCGUCCACUUCAACCUUCCACACAAAAUAAAGCUGGCCAUGCAAUGCAAGUCUUUUCCUGCUUUUUCCAGGCGUCUAUUAAUUUUCUAAUUUAUUAUUCAAAUCUUCUCUACUGCUACUAGUCCUGCUGCUAUUACUAAAUUUCAAAAGCGAGUGAAACUUUUGCCCACUCCUUCCAAUUCCAUUCCUUCCACCCAGACUCUCCAUCCUGACCCUCCCUGUUCAACGGGCGCCUACAGCUGCCCCGUCAACAAUGGCGACCGCCACGCCGGCGGUGCCAUUGCCGGACUACCAGGUGUCCGGCGCUGCGGCCCACCAGCGGAACGGGCCGGGGUCGUCGUCGUCGGUGGGCCUCGGCCCAUUCUUCGGGAUGCUCGCGGCCGUGCUGCUGCUCACCGCCCUGUCCUGCUUCUUCGGCCGGGUCUGCGCGGCGCACGCGGAGGGGCCCGAUGAGUGGUAUGACUGCACCAGGCUGACCGCCGGCCGCCGGAGAUGCUGGUGGCGGCGGCGCUGGCGGGCGCCUCGUCGGCCCGCUGAGGAGGCGAAACAGCCGCCUGCUGCACCCCCGCCGCCUGCCUUAGGUUGGGUGGCGCUCUGAACUUUGCAGGUUAGUACAAUAAGGAAUUGAGGAGAGAGUAAUAAAAGGAUACCGAUCUGUACUAUCGUCUUGUUUUGCAUCCUUCAGUUUUCCUCGUUGAAUCUCAUGCCAUCAAAGCAAAAUGGUUCGCCUGGAUGGUUGCUUUGAACACAGAAAUAAUUUGUUUCUGCAAAAUGCAAUUUUCCAUUCGUCGCCAUUCUAACCCGAAACUUUGAAGCAACUGUCUUGGCAAGUUUCUAAAUGAUCUUUAUAUGGAAAUGAAGGAAUCCGGAGUAAUUAACGCAAAAAACAUGGAGUUGAGGAAUCAAAGGUAAAACGCAAGAAGGUGCUGCCCUGCCCUGUAUGAAUGAAUUAUGAAUAAAGAAGGGAACGCCGACCUAGUGCAAUUCUCUCAAUGCAAACCAUACCAGGGUUAGUUUACAGUACAGUUGAGGGAGAACAGUUAUGGCAUGAAACAAAGAAAAAUAAAAUCAACCAUCAGAUUGCAGACAUAAACAAAAAAAAGGAAAAUAAUACACAUCUCUAAAUUGCUAAAUGAACUUGCACCUGUACUCUCUUGUCUUCUUUUGACCUAUCUAAGAAAAGCUAUGAUCUAGCUCUAUCCUCUGGACUAGAACUCCAUGGAACCACAGAAGUAUCAGCCCAAGAAUAUUCACAAGUUUUGCCCAGUCCAUUUUUGUCAUCUUUCAGGAGACAACGUUCUAUAAUCUGUACAAAACACAAAAUCUACUAAAAACACGCUAUCCCUCAACUUCUAGAUCGGCUCCCUUCGUUACUUGCAUAGCCUUGCCAUCACGACGAGCAGAGAUCCCAACCAUCCUUGGGUGUGAUGAUGUCCGGUGUCGUGAAGACAAUUGCCUUGCCACCUCUGGAUCUUCAGCCUUCCCCAAGUAUCUUUUCCACUGAAUCUUGUUAUGGAACAUUGGGAAGAAGCGGAUCUGAACUGCUGCAUAGCAGAAGUAAGGAAUGAGUGUUGCCAUCACCACGAAAAGAGUCACCAACCAGUAUGACAGGGCCGGCGCCAACUGUUCAAUGAAGACCAUGUAUGCUGUUGUUGAGUACUUUGGGUCUACAGCACCAUAAGCCAAGAGGAAGAGGUACCAUACAGCAAUGCUACCCCAUAUGAAUAUGUGCUGGAUUAUGGUGAAGUAGUUUACUGAGAGCGCCAUUUGGCAGUUCACAACCCAUACGACGCAAGUGUACAUGACAGCGCCUAGCGCAUCCAAGCCUGCAACUUGGCCAUCCUGGCGGAAUGCUUGGUCAUUCAGGGCGGUAGUGCAGAAGAAAAAUAUCAAGAUGGCAUUUAUGACACCAUUAAGCAUCCAGCCAAGUAUUCGACGCCAGCUGAAUAAUACAUUCUGCACUCCUUCUUGGUAUAGUUCCGGAUACUGUUAAGCAACAUGCAAACAGGCACUUCAUUAAAAACAGGUUGAUCAAGAGUACGGAAAAUGAAUUUGCAUUGCUUCUGCAUUUUAGUGUGAGAUCUCUUUUAGCGUAGCAUGAAAGAUAAAUUUUAAUCUUUUGUUUGUUGAAAACAAUGAUAAGGUACUACAAGAAACUUGAGGCAUCUUUGGGGUAAGAGGUCUGCUUGGAUUAAGUAGGAAAUCGGUAAAUCUAUAAAAAGCACAUACAAGGUGAAGUCGCCUAACUAUUUUAGCUUCUCUGCAAUCAUAGAGUACAGUGAUAGUAGAUUGAGUAAGUUCCUUCAGGAACGAUGUAGUGAAACAUGCUUCCGAGUAUUUAGAUUUGAGAAGGUACUAUUGUGAACGAUAGUAUCUUUUCGAAGCGGUUCGGUGUUGACGUACCCGUAGACACAGCCGGGAAGACACAUCUUGAUCAAAUACUCCCAAUGCAAUUACAGGUAGUGAGGUGAAAAAAACAUUAUACAGUGACAAGAACCAGUCAUUAUAAGCUGGCUUCCCUGAAAAGGAUGCAAAUGCUUCAUACAGAAAGAUAGUGACUCCAAAGGUCACAUUCUUGUAGAAGAAAUAGCAUAUCUGCGCCAAAAAUAUAUAUUAACAUCAUGAUUGAAUUUUAAAAGUUGAAUAUUAGGUCAAACAAACCAAAAGUAUACCAUCACUGAAAUACGUCGGUAACACCAAUGCCCAUGCACCAAAAGUAACCGUUCCAGGAAGCGGAACUGAGCGAUGGCAAUAUCACUUGCCAUGACAGCCUGAAACAUUGUUAAGAGAAACAACUAACAUUAGAAAAUUACAUUAAAAAGAGAGCACAAACACCUUCACAAAAUUUACCAAGCAUUAAAAUUAGCAACCUGCAUCCCUUCCACACCACUAAUGCCAACUCCUAUGUCAGCUUCCUGUAGCAUGCCGACAUCAUUUGCCCCAUCACCAAUUGCUAAGGUAACUUUAUGCGAAUGUUUAACAAGUCUUGUAACCUGCAAUUGGUGAAACAUAUUAAUAUCUUUGCACAUAUGCUUUUAGAAACAAUACUAGGAGAAUUAUACAUAGAAAACAGAAAUAUGAGUUUUCAAAAAGCAAGAAGCUGACCAAUGCCUUCUGCUUCGGUGAAGAUCGACAACAUAUGACUGAUGCACACUUGACAGCAAGAUCCAAGAAUUUAAACUUGGUAUCAUCUUCCAAAGCAUAAGUCAAUGAUUUACCAUCAAUUAUCAGUGCAAAAGAUUCUGUGCUGGACUGACUUAAAGUUGGAAUCUGUUUUGUUCCAUCCUCUAUCUGAUCCAUAACACUUUGCUUUGAUGCCUGAAGAGUCAAUAAAGAGAAAGUAGCUAUUACGAUUUCAAUUGUUUAGGCCUCUAGGAUUAGAAUUGUGAAUGCGAAUGCAUGUUCAGUCAAACUUGUUUUUAUGUAAACAUUUCCGAGUGAUUGAUGUGAAUAAAGUCAUCUGAAAAUUACAAUUACAUAGGCAAUAAUUCAGUGACAAAAGCAAUUUAAUCAUUUUAUCACCUUUGCAAUGGAAUGUUUGUCUCCACUUUUCUCCAAUGCAAGGAUGUCAGGUGCUUCCAGGGUGAUGAUUAUCUGUGUCAUCCCUUGUCUGAGUAGGCUACAUGCAAAGCUGAAGAAUAACAAGAAUUAGAAAAGGAAAUAGCCAGCUUAUACUUCUUUAGAACAAUAGCCAGUUGUACUAAAACGAUCCUUGAUAAUCGAAAUAAACUAUGUACCCAAUAUUGAUAGCUGUCUCCAUUUUGUCACCAGUUAGCACCCAUAUCUUAAUUCCUGCUUGUGCAAGCUUGUCAAUGCAUUCUGGUACCUGAAUAUAAAUGCGCACAAAUGAGCAAGGGCUAUUUACAUUUAUUAGAAUGGAUUUCAGUAAAAUGAAAGGACUGGAAAACAUAGCUGUUCAAAAUAGCAUACCCCUUUCUGGAGCUUGUCUUCAACAGCAGUAGCACCAAGAAGAAGCAAGUCCCGCUCGAUGCUGUCAGCAGCCUCCUCAAUUUUUUCAUCUCUAUCGGCACCUCCAGAUAUUUUGGCAGUGCGGAAUUUUUCAGCGAAUUUCUGAUAUUCUUUCUCAUCCAAGACACGGUAUGCAAGAACCAAGGUUCUUAGACCAGAAUCAGAAUACUCAUUUAUGUGCCUUUUAGUCUCUUCCUCAAAUUUUCUUCCAGUUGGUGCAAGCCUACUGAACAUCACACUGUUGACAUGGAGAAGACAGAUAAGAAAACAUUGGCAGUAACAUAAGCUCGACAGUUAUCUGUGAGAAGAUACAGAAAUUUAGAACAGAUGUAGUACUUACCUAUCAGCACCCUUGCUAAAAAGUAAUAUCCUUCCCUCUGGUUCUUUUACUAUAACAGACAUUCGCUUCCGUGAACUACUGAAUUCCAAGACAUUUAGGAGCUCAUACUUUCUGUAUUAGAUUGUCAAAAGGUCAAAUUUACAUAAUAAACAGUAUCAUUUAAGGAAAUAAAGAAAACUGACUUGCCUAUAUUGAUGAUGUAGAACAUUCUGGUUAGGAUCCUGUUCACGUACAACUAUACUUGUCUGUGCCCUCUUGUAAAACUCAAACCCUAAUUCUCUUGCUGCAAUAACAAAUGCAGCUUCAUCAGGAGACUCGGCUUCAUAUGAAACCUUAUCUGUUUCAUCUACUUCAGGUAUGCAUGUAUGGCAGAUGGCUAGGAGACGGAAAAAAUCUCUUAUCACAUCUCUAUUAGGCUCAUGAAUCCAAUUCCCAUCCAUAAUACGUGGAUCCUUCAAGUUAAAACCUUUAACAUGAGAACUCUCAUCAAUUUGUUUCUCCUUCUGCCCUCCACCUUCUACCUCAUCAUCUAACAGCACCCCUUUCCUCAGAGCCAUAGCUUUCUCAACUUCUGUGACACCCUGACCAUAGGCAGUGCCAGCAAUCGAACACUUGAUAAACUCCAUCAUGUUGCAGGUCAAUGUACCAGUCUUAUCAGAGAGAAUAGUGUCAACUUGACCUAGUUCCUCAUUUAGAUUUGAGGUUCGAGCAUGAGUUGGCUUAUCUGAUUCUUCAUCAUACAUUUCAAUGUCCUGAUUAAUGAAUAGAGCCUGCAAGAUCUUGACCAUCUCGAUGGAUAUGUACAAAGAAAUUGGGAUGAAGUAGUUGUACAGCAUCAAGGCUGUUAACAAAUGAAAGAAAGAUGCCAGAGCUGCUCGUUUCGGAUCAUAGAAGACGGUUGAAUCAUCUGGCCGAAGAUACCAUCGUUUUGGCUCACCAUUCCUUAAAUCAUCUUUCGUCCAUAUACCGAAAAAGACUGAACCAAGCAAUGCAAUUACGAGUAAAGAACACAACAGCAGGUAAAUGAUUUUAUCCAUUUUCUUCUCAAUCUUGCUUCUUUUGGAUGGUGGAUCAGUUGCAUUUUGCAUCACUUUUGUGUCAUGGCCUGUGAAGAUGACAGCCCCAUAUAUGUAAUCAGUGUUCCGCAACUUUGAGUCCCGAAGAAGAAGUUGUUGCGGAGAUAGAGGAUGCUGCAUGUUGUUCCAUUCCAUAGUACCAAUAAAAGAGUAAAGAUUCGCAUUCGGAUCUUCGCAUUUGAUUAUCUGUCUGAAGUUUCUGAAACUAGUAUCGUCUUGUAAAUCCAAUGUCACCUCAAGAGCUUGUUUAAUUUUCAAAUUUGUUUCACCAUCCAGGUUCAUGGUCUCUACAUAGCAUAUUCCAUCCGGAUAGUUAGAUGAAAGCAGAAUCAAGUCAGCAGGAAAGAAAUUAUCCUUCUCCACCUUUAUCACAUCUCCAAUUUUGAUAUACUUCCAUUUGGUCUCUUCAAAAAUGCCAUUCCCUCUAUGCACUUUUACUAUCCGAUUGUUGAGCUCAUGAUCCUGAGUGAAGAUUUGCAUAUCAACUUAUGAAAUUCAUAUCAACAACAUGAGAAUGUACAUAAAUUUACAAACCAAUUAAAUCUUAGAGAUAAUGCAGUGAAAUUUCAAGGUGAAGAUAUGUCAAAAAGAUCAUCACAAAGAUGUGUAUUGCACCAAUGCAUUUCAAAUUUCAUAACAAAUUUAGCUUUGAUCUACUUUAUUGUGUAUCGUGUUAACGAAUUGAGACCAUGGGGCUACAACUGAGAUUACAAAUUCUUGCUAAAUCAGUUUAUGAGCUGCCUAUUCGGAUCCGGCAUAAUUCCUGAUGAUAUUUCUUGACCACAUCUCUAGGAUGCAAAAUGAAAUAACUGAAAAUUUAAUGCUGAAACAUAAGUAAUUUGCAAUGUGGUUCAGGUGUACAGAAGGAAGGUUGUGACUUGGUUGUAACUACUGAGAUUACAAAUUCUUGUUAAACCAGCUUACCAGUUGCCUAUUCGGAUUCGGCAUAAUUUAUGAUGAUAUUUCUUGACCACAUCUCUAGGAUGCAAAAUGAAAUAACUGUGAUGCUGAAACAUAAGUAACUUGCAAUGUAGUUCAGGCGGUUGUUCAGAAGGAAGGUUGCGGCUUGGUUGUAACUAAGCGGUGCAUAUUACUUCCCUCAAAAAUACAAAGUAACACAUACUAUGUUUAGAUUCAUAGUCUCCAAAAUUCAUUUUCAUCUUUUGUGAUUGUUAUCUGACCUUAGGUUACUUGUGGUUUCUUAAAAACUUCAGCUUUUAUAUUUUACGAGGAAAAAAACUAACUUUUUUACUUCCCUAAUGAUUUAUGACCCUGUAUGGUUGAUCCAAUAAAAAAGCUCCUUUAGAUUUAAAUUCCUUCCUACUUUGGCUCUUCAAAACAGAUAUGUGGCAAGAAAAAAGCACCUGACCAUUAUGAAAGGAAAAGCAUAUACAAAAAAGAUGCCAAAUCUGUUUCAACUCAUGAAACAAUUAUUGGAUAGGUCAGAUUAUGCUUAAGCCUGUUAAGUUCUUGUGGAUCACAACAACGUACUACUCACAUCAAUCAAAGCAAGUUCACUAAAUAUCGCUUGUGCUAGGAUUUGAGCGAUACCUGUUGUUUCCUCCUCCAAUCCUCAACCCCUUCUUUAACCAUGGUCGCAAUAAUCACCACACACAGUGGCAGUAGCGCACUGACUGCCGAGUAGGGUGCAAGGCGUGUCAACGUGAGUACACCCGUGACAAGGAAGUAGAAGUUGGCCACCCUCCGGAACUGCUCGAAGAGAGACUUGGGCAGGAAGGUGACCAACGUAUACUUUGUCGUCGCGACCUCAUUCAGCGGAUAUCUGAAGCCCUCUUCUUCAUGCCUGUUUGGAUCAUUGACGUAAACAACUCGGGAGAACCCCGUGGUACCAAUCUUGGAGUGAUCUUCGCUGGAGCUCUUGCCGCACAGCGCAAAGCUGUACAAUGCACUCAGCUUGAGCUUCUCGAUCCUCUUCCUUCCUCGUGCCAUUUUCCGUAAAAACAAUCAGAUCACAACACCAGGCAGGCUACUCACCAAGGCAACAGGCUCAGGGCUCUUGGCUACUGCUGAGCUUACUGGACUUGAGGUCUGAAACUUAUUGAGCUGAAUCUGGAAUUCAGCCCUCAAUAAACACAGAAUCAGGUACAGAUUACUGGACUCCCCCUCUGAGGAAGAACAACUCAGGCUUCAAGUAAAAGAAAAAAUCGAAGUGGAAAGACCUAUUCGGGCUCCCCUCCCACCCAACAAGACUCCACCUAAAAAAGCAGGCACAGGAAACUGGAGUGUACUGGGACCAAGCCUGGCCAAAUCACCUGACAAGAACUCCUCAACAGAGCUCCAAGAUCCCACCCAGGCAGGGCGCGACGACGGCGUCAGACCGAGAACCCCGCCUUUGGCCACCGCAGCGAACGGCCGGCUCCCGGAAUCCCAGCUGGAGGCGGCUAUUACUGCGCGGGGGGCCCUGAUCCAUGCGCGCGGCUGCAGCUGGAGGUUUUCUCCAAGAAACGUCCCCAAGAAAGAGACUCGAAAAAAGAGUUAUUACGCGCCCCGCAUGCGCGGGCGCGCGCGGGGGAAGGGAGGAAUCUUCGGGGGUGGCAGGCAAUGCGCGCGAAGCAGCUGCGGCGAGGGCAAGAAAGGAACAGAACUCCCCCCCACACACGGUUUCUUCUCGCGCGGCGAACGAAUCAAAGACGGCGGACGCGAAAGCGGAAGGUUUUUGGGAUAAGGGGAAAUUCGAAGCCUUUCCUUGGGGAGGAGGAGACGGGGGGAGGGUGGGUCAAUGGAAGAAGAAUUCAGACUGGCGUAGGCGACGGGAGAUGCAAUGCAAGAGACGGGGGAGAGAGUCGUGGGCGUGUGCGACGGGGUUGUUCUUCUUGUUUUGGCCGGUUCGGUUGUUGGCGUGGCCCUCUGCUGCUGCUCCUGCGCCUCUCCUCCGACUGUCUGUCUGCCUGUCUGUUCUGGCUCGCGCUUUCAGGGUUGGUAAAACGUGUGCUGUUUCCUGAUGGUACGCUAGAUGCUGUGACACUUGGUAUCUUUCUCUGUCGUUUUACUCUUUUCAACCAUGUACUGCUGCUACUCUUUCCAUGUAUGUACUCCACUUUGCAGGAGUACUCUCUGGAGACGACCAAAAAUUAUGUAUCGAUGCCUGAUAAUUUGUCCCAAUUGGUUUGUCUCAAACGUAGAAACAGUUUUUUUUUAUUGUGGUUUCGUGGUAACUGAAAUUUACUUCGACUGAACAUAAUUUUGUUUUGUACGAGAUAUUUUGUUUCCAGAACAUCAUGUUGUUGUCUCCGUCAAAUAGAGAAUUUCUUACAAGGAAAUAAACGUUUUGUUUCCAUCAAACCGGAGAAUGUUUCCAUUUUCAUGAUUGUACAAAACAAAAUGUGGAUGUCUUGCAAAAGAAAGAAAGAGGAAAAUUUGCUUCUUUAGAAUGGGAAUUUUCUUACAUGCAAUUGUGAGGUACUACACCAUGUAUGGCUGUGAAAACAUUGUGGAGAAUGUAUCAAUUAAUUAUGCUUCUAGAAGUAACUUCGGAUGCGAUCAUAUCAGCACCAAAGCAUCGAAUCCCAUCUGAACUCCGAAGUUUAGCGUGCUUGGGCGAGAGUAGUAUUAGGAUGGAUGACCUUCUAGAAAGUCCUUGUGUUGCAUUCAUCUUUUUUUUACUUCAAAAAAAGAAGUAUGACUUCUUUUCCACAAAAGACAACGACGACAACGAUGGCAAGCGGUGAUGAUGCCACGACUGAAGAGGACGGAGACACGUAGUACGUAGUCAAAGAUAACAGGGUGCCGUCACUGCUGGCUGGAAUGAGAAUUUGGAGGAAGACACACCGGGAAGUGGAGAUGCCGAUGGAGUAGGGCAUGUUGGUUGGAGAAGACGUUGAUGGAGGAGGCCACGUCGAUGCGGUUGUGAUAGAGGAGGGUGUCGAAUAGUGCGGUGGAUGAUAGCAUUGGGUCGUCAACACGUGUGAUUAGACUUCCAAAUAAAUUGUUCACUUGUUUCGCGUGAUCCAUGGUGUUGCUAUCGGGAGGUUUAGAAGUGAGGAAAGAUAAAGAAUAGCAGUUGUAGGAUGAGAGACAGAUCAAGGAACUAUAUCCGACACGACGAGUUCAUUGGAAUACCUGCUCAAAAAGUUACACAAAAGUUAAAGAGAUCUUAAAGGGAUGGUGAAAUUAAUUUGUAUUUACUCGCUAGUUUUGUUUAAGUGGAAAGCAUGUCAAAGUUGACAUGAAGAUGCUAUUGAGUCAGGAUCACUCUCAAUUUGGGUAAAUGGGAGCAGGUUCAAAGAUUUUGAAAACUAAGAGAACUAUUUAGCUGUGGAACUGAGGGUUCAAACUUUAAUUGAUGCUAUAGUUCUCCUAUUUGUAAACAUAUGUUGGGUUGUUUUGGUAUGUCAUUUAACAGGGUCGAUACGACCAAAUUCCAUUUAAUAACAUUUGGCAUGUUGGGAUGCACUAAUUUAACAAGACAUGGUUCAUGUUUGGAUGCACUAAUUUAACAAGGCUAAAUUUAUUGUUGUGUGCAUCAAUUGAUGAAGAGGCCUGAGGUUAUCCAUCUUUUUUUUUAAGAAAAAACUUAGUUUGCUUUUGGCUUUAGGGUUGAUCAUAGGAAUCCAGUUUUUCCAACAACUUUUUACCAUUUGUCUAACCAAUUUUACAACUUUUGAGUUUAUUUUUACAGCGGGUCAUAAAAUAUCUAGCACAACACAUUUGGGCAAGCAAAGACUAAACCUUAACUUUUCAACCAAGAGAUAUAUGAAUUUUCUGACAUGGAUCACAUUCGCCACGUUGCUGAAGUCAAGUCAUCUACGCUUAAAAUGAACAUUGUACUUAUCUAUCAUUUUCUACAUGCAGCGAAAGAAGUCUUACAAGAAUUGAAUCUUUUUCUUUGCCUCCAUCGGUCUGUCCCGUUUUUGUCUGUGCACAAAAUUUGAUGAGAAGAGGUUGCAUCCUCGGUUGGUUAGGUAGCAAAGGUUAUCCAAAACUCCAAAUAACAAUGCAACUUUUUGUGUGAAUUAGGCAGGCUUGUGCUUUCAGGUUUAGACGUCUCAGCCUUAUAGAUUAUUUUUCUAGAGCUUCUUAGUUUGUUUUUCUAGAUAAGAAAAAGGAAAAAUAAUUACUACUACAUACCAUUUUAGGCGCUGUUAACUAAGUGUAUAUAAGGUACUCCUUCCGUUAUUAAAUAUAAAUUUUCUAAUUUUUCCUAAGUCAAUUUUUUUAAAUAUAACCAAGUUUUCAGAAAAAGUUGCCAAUAUGUAUAACUUCAGUUUAGUUUAAUUAAAUAUGUCAUGAUAUAUCUUCAUAGUAUACUCAUUUCAUAUUGUAGAUACUAGUAUAUUUCUCUAUAAACUUGGUCAUUGUCAGACACAUCUAAAAGAUCUUACAUUUUGGAACAAACGUAAUUGUGUUUAUUCUUGACACAAAAUUGGCUGUGAAUCUUUGCCCUACGAGGAACCAUAAAGGAGGAAGACAACCUAGUUGUUUGAGGAUAGGUUUUCACUUCUUCUUUUUGAACCUCAACGAUGAGCUUUUUAACCCAUUUCUCCAAUUCACGGGAUAGAAGAGAACAAACGAUCAUGUUUAUGAUUAAAAAAAAAAGAAGAAGCCAAAAACCCUUACAAACCUAGGUGAAAGCCCUAUCAGCAGGCCAGCUACUUACAAAAAUGUUCCAAUUUUAUUUAUGGACUAUAUAUUGGGUUAUAAUCUUUUUCUAGUGUCCAGUCAUGUUUCAGAAGACAAAAAAAAUGUGAAUGUCCUCGCUCUCUCAAACCGGGAGGUACUUACUGCAUGCAACCUUUCAUUAGAGUAAAAUGCAUUAGAUGUCCUAAUUCUUUUGCAAAAGUCCUAAGUUAGUUCUAAUUCUUUGAAACUGCAUGUUUUGAGUCCCAAUUGUUUCAUAAGUAGUUCAGAACAGGUUCUAAUGUGGCUCAGGCGCGUGUCUCCUGCCAACAUGGCUCUUCGGGCCCACUUGUCAGGUGCCAACAUGGAUGUCUCUUUUGCAAAUAAACCCCUGCCCCUUCGUUUCUUCUCCCCCGUGACCCCUCUCCCCUUUCUCUGAUUCUCCACCUUCUCCGGUCCUCCUCAGCUAUGACAGGUAAGCCAUGGAGAGGAAGCCGGCAGCCAUUGCAGCAAGGACUCUUAAUCAACUACCGAUUACUUUCAUGUUAAUUAGAAAGAGAGAGGAGAAGAAGAUCUCAGCCAAGUCCCUCUUCCCUACUCCCUUUUGUGACACAAGACCAGAGGCACCCGAGCUUUGCAGAACGAGACACGAUGGCCUACUGAUGCUUGUGUGCUCUGGCCUCGGCUCGGUGUGUAGCUUCCAUUGACGCGUGGGUUGGAGGAGCCCACCUGGAUGGGCGGUCGCGCCUUACCCGGUGACGGCGUGGCCCGGUGGUGGAUCGGCGAGCCGCUCCCGUGGUGCACCAGCGCCGGAGCCUGCUACUGCCUCCUCGGCGUGGAGUAGGAGAAGGGUCGCGCGGUAUCCAUCUCCAGCGGCAUCACGUGCUGAUGGUGCUCGCGGUGGUCCGUCGAUGCGCGGCCCGGUGCCUCUGUCGCCGCGCCCGCCAUGCUGCUCCGGUUGGUGUCGAACGACGCGCGCGAGGCCAUCCACCUCUCCGCCCACCGCGGCUGCUCCCGGUCCAUCUCCUCCUCCACCGCCGGCGCCGGGUUCCUCCAGAUCUUGGAAAACACAACAUAGGAAUAAGAUCGAACACUUGGAACGCAAUGAAUCGCGCAAAUAGAACAAAACAGAGUGUUAACAAGUUCCAAUCUUACUUGGUGGGAGAAGGCGUAGGACAGUGCCUCGGCAAGCAACCUCAGAUCGAUUAGCUACUUAGCUUAACAAUAGCGGCCGGCCGGGGGUUACCAUGGAGCGACGCGACGUACUCGUUUGUGUACUUGGAGUCCCAUAAGGCGGAGGUGUCGACGCGGUAGGAGGAAUUGUUGCUGCCAGCUUGUUGCGUUCUGACAGAGGUUGAGCGGAGAAUCAGAGAAAGGGGAGAGGGGUCACGGGGGAGAAGAAAUGAAAGGGCAGGGGGUUAUUUGCAAAAAAUCUUCCACGUGGCACCUGACAAGUGGGCCCGAAGAGCCACGUCGGCAUGAGACACGCGCCCAAGUCACAUUAGGACAUGUGUUGAACCACUUAUUAAACAAUUGGGACUCAAACGUGCAGUUUCAAAGAAUUGAGACUGACUUGGGACUUUUGUGAAAGAAUUAGGACCUCCGAUGCAUUUUACUCCUUUCAUUAUUUAGUCGAUGAACAGCUAACCCACACAUCUGUUUAUUUUCUUAGACACGUCAUUAUAAGACCAUCUCCGAUAUAGCAAGACCGUUACUUCAUGCAUCAGGUCAACUCUUUUGCUUAGAUGGAAGAGAGAAGUGGAAUUGAUGUGAUACGUUGUAUGUUGAUGAAGGAAUGAUACCUGCACUGGUACCAAGAAACAUGGAGGAGCAAAUAAAGAAUGAUAAGCAUCUCCUCCGUCCGGAAAUACACUAAAACGCGUCUAGAUACAUAUGAAUCUAGAAAAAUUCGAGUUAUUUAUUUCUGGAUGGAGGGAGUAUGACUGUAGACUCAAGGAAAAACAAGCACGGUUUAGGAAUAUUAAAUUGGGAGAGAAAUGAAAUAAAGACGAGAUGAGGUGAAAAGGAUAUUGUGGAAUAUAGGAUUUAAAUUCAGUGGAGUUCCCAGCAACAUGUUUUGAUGCUCCGGAGUCUAAUAUCCAUUCAGAAAGAAUUUUGUGUGUUGCUAUUGAUGCAUGUUCAGCAUACCUUCACUUGUAUCGACAAAGUUGGCAUAAUUGCCAAAACUGGAGCUGGUAGUAGCUUGCUGUCCUUCUGCACUUUGCUUACCCUUGCCUGAAGCAGCCAUGUUUGCGCUAUGAGUCCCUCCUCCAUGUUGAGGGCCACCACUCCUAGUUCGCCCCCCUCUAUUGCUGCCUCCUCUAUUGCUGCUACCAUCACCAUAACCUCUUCCCCUACCUCUUCUAGGAGCAGUACAAUAUCGGCUCAGAUGCCCUAUGUGACCACAGUUGUAGCAAUCCCUAGUCUCUUUCCAAGUUGGCUCCCAUUGCCUCUGGUCAGUGACCUUGAAAGCUGAUUCAUUUCCACCACCCUUCUUAAACUGUAGGUGCACUUCUUCCUGUGACAUUGCUGCAAUGGCUUCAUCAAGAGAUGUGAGCUCUGGUUGAUGUAACAUAGUUGCACGCCUGCCUUCAUAACCUUGGUCCAAACCCUUCAAGAACUUCAUCACACGGCGGCGCUCGACCCAAGCCCUAGCAAUCUCCAUUGACUUUGGAUCUGAUAGCUCCAAAGGAUCACACUGUUUUAAAUCUGCCCGGAGAUGCUGCAGCUCAUUUACAUAAUCCAUCACAGUCUUGUCACCUUGACGGACAUCAUGCACCUUGUCUUCAAUUUGAGACAUUAACAUUAAAUUCCCCUUGCCAGAGUACCUUUUGGAUAGUUGGUUCCAUACAACCGAGGCACUAGGCAGCGCUUCAACAGAAGCUGCAAUGGCUGGAACUAAGGAAUUCAGCAUCCAAGCAAAAAUCAGGGAAUCAAUGACACUCCAUUUCUUCCAGUCGGAACUCUCUUGUUCAGCUGGUUCCUCAACACUUCCAAGGACGUGUCCUGUCAACCCCUUUGUAUUUAAUAUCAGCAAUGCCUGCCUCGACCAGCUCAAGUAGUUCCCCACACCUUCCAGCUUGACAUCAUUAGGCAUGAGCUCAAGUUUUUGAACUUGAUAUGAUGGAGGCACAACCAUCGCACCACCUGCAGAAGCUGAGGUGUUUGCACUCUUGGCGGUCAGAAGUUGUGCCAACAUCUCUAUAGCAGCAGUCAAUUCAGUCUCCAUGAUUCUGACCACUUCAGCACUCCGUCUCAACCUUCUCUGCUUCCUCCUUCUUCCUCACAUGCAGCACUAUCAACAGCAGCAGCACCACCAGCCCUGUCACCUGUCCAGGCAACAACCACAGCCGCCGUCGACUCCUCCAGAUCCCUGUUGGCCGAAGCAGCCCUGCCUCGUCCAGCCCACAGCUCCACCACACACAGGCCAGCGAGCAGCGCACCGCCUCGCCGUCGCGCACCCAGCACGCGCUGCCACCUCUGCCAACUACGCCCUCACCACCACCGCCGGAGCCAUCGCCACCUCCAUCGAACCUGGCUCUGAUACCAUGCAGUUUGAGGGGAGGAGCUCACCUCCAGGCUCCAGCAGCAGCAGCAGCCCCUCUCUUCUCUGUUCACUCUCUCUGGCGGCUCCCUUCCACAGGGAGGGCACUCCACUACCUCUUCUAGGGCAGGACAGGUACAAGACCUGCUGGGCCAUAUGGGCCAAUAGAAGAUGGUCUUCAGCCCAAUUACCAUUCAACAGGAAACUAUUCACACAGCAGAUGGUACAGCUCAACCCAUAAAAGGAAUUGGGACAAUUGCAUGUGCCUGCUUUUCCAAUGAACUUAGUGUCUCUAAGUGCUUUGAUUGAUCAAAUAGAUUGUUUUGUGAUUCUUAACAAAAGGAUGUGUUUGAUUCAGGAGGGUGUGACGGGCAGGAAGCUUGGGACUGGAACAAGGUGUAGGGGGUUGUGGUACAUGGAUCGCAACAUGUCGAGCCAGGAGGAAAAUCAAGUGUUUGCUGCGGUCUCUGGAGAUAGGGAGACUAAAGCUCUAAUCCAUAAUUAUCGAAUGGGUCAUGUGUCAUUUGACAAAAUGUAUCAAAUAUUUCCUGAUGCUAUGUGUGGUGUUGAUAGAGGCAAGCUGAAGUGUGAUGCUUGUGAGUAUGCCAAACACACCAGAACCUCGUAUGUGAGUAAGGGGAUUAGAAGUAUAUCCCCAUUUGUGUUAAUCCAUUCUGAUGUAUGGACAUGUCCAGUGGUAUCUAUUAGUGGCAUGAAGUACUUUGUGACAUUUAUUGACUGUUAUUCUCGGAUGACUUGGGUCUAUCUCAUGCGACAUAAGGAUGAGGUGUCUAAGUGUUUUAAAAACUUCUAUGCUCUCAUGAAGAAUCAAUUUAAUGUGCAAAUACAAGCUGUUCGCUCUGACAAUGGCACUGAGUAUGUUAACCAGAUAUUUGGUGCUUUCAUGUUUGAACAGGGAAUCUUACAUCAAACCUCAUGUCCAGAUACGCCUCCUCAAAAUGGCGUGGCUGAGAGGAAGAAUCGACAUAUUUUGGAGGUGGCCCGGGAUCUAAUGUUCACCAUGAAUGUGCCGAAGUUCUUGUGGAGUGAGGCUGUUAUGGCUGCCACAUACUUGAUCAAUCGCAUGCCCUCUCGGAUAAUAGGUAUGAAAUCUCCUUGUGAAUUAAUUCUCAAAGAGAACACCUUUAUAGUUCCACCAAAGCUGUUUGGUUGCACCUGUUUUGUGAGAGAUCAUAGACCUUCAGUGAACCAGCUGGACCCUCGGGCUGUAAAAUGUAUCUUCAUUGGGUAUUCGUCUGGACAGCGGGGCUACAAGUGCUAGAGUCCUUCAAAGCGAAGGACAUUUGUGAGCAUGGAUGUCACGUUUCGGGAGUCAGAAUCUUUCUAUGGAACUAAAACAGAUCUCACUAUCCUGUUUCAAGACCUUGACCAUCUUCCGUUUAAUGAAGUUGGUCAAGAGGGGGAGAGUGGAGUUAGUGGAGUUCAGGCGCAAAGUGGAGAUGCCCAAGUUCAGUCGGCACCGAUUGUGGGUCUUAUUCCGGUUGGCCAAGGACAGAUGGUCUAGUUCGUGAGAAUCCAAAAGAUAGGUGGUGCAGGAAUCCCUAUGUUUAUACUAGAAGAAAGGUGGGUAGACAACAUGUUCAGGGGGAGCAGCCCCAGGGAGAACGACAAGAUAGCAAUGACACAAUUGUUCAGGGAGGAGGUCAUGUAGAGGGUGAGUCCGCAACUACUGGGGAGUCAAUUGAUUUUCCGAUAGCCUUGAGAAAAGAGACUCGUGUGGGUGCAGGGAUUCCACCAGAAAGGUAUGGCUUUGAUGACCAUGACAUUGGCAACUGUGUUUCAUAUGAAGCCUUAUCUCCAUCCUACAAAGCAUUUGUUGCUUCUCUCCGGUCUGUAACAAUUCCAACUGAUUGGAAGAAAGCAAAAGAAGACUCCAAGUGGCGCAUGGCCAUGGUGGAAAAGGCUAGAGGCUUUGAGUAAGAACAAAACUUGGGUGCUAACAACUCUUCCUACAGGAAAGAAGGCAGUCAGUUGUAAGUCGAUUUAUACAGUGAAGUAAAAUGCAGAAGGAAAGAUUGAAAGGUACAAGGCAAGGCUUGUGGCUAGAGGAUAUAGCCAGACCUAUGGCAUUGAUUAUGAUGAGACCUUUGCACCAGUAGCAAAGAUGAACACAAUGAGGAUAUUGAUCUCAUGUGCAGCCAAUUUUGGGUGGCCUCUACAUCAACUUGAUGUAAAAAAUGCAUUCUUGCAUGGAGAUCUACCAGAAUAAGUCUACAUGGAAAUCCCACCUGGGUUUUCUACAUCUGAAACUGCUGGCAAUGUGUGUAGUCUAAAGAAAUCCCUUUAUGGUCUAAAACAGUCCCCAAGAGCUUGGUUUGACAGAUUUAGGCGUGUUGUUUGUGAUAUGGGGUAUAGUCAGUGCAAUUGUGACCAUACACUUUUCUAUAGACACUUGAAGGGAAAGAUCACUAUUCUUGCAGUAUAUGAGGAUGAUAUCAUUAUUACUGGGAUUGAUAAGGUGGAGAUAUCGAGACUGAAAGAUUGCUUGGGAAAGGCCUUUGAAGUUAAGGAUCUUGGCCGAGUCAAAUACUUCCUUGGUAUUGAAGUGGCCAGAUCUCCAAAUGGAAUAGCUCUAGCUCAGCGGAAGUAUACACUGGAUCUUCUCAAUGAUGUUGGGAUGCUAGGUUGUCGGCCAGCCUCAACUCCAAUUGAUCAAAACCACAAAGUAACAGCUCAAUCAGGUGACCUUGUGGAUAAAGAACGAUAUCAAAGGCUAGUUGGAAGAUUGUUGUAUUUGUGUCAUACACGUCCUGAUAUUGUCUUUGCAGUAAGUGUAGUAAGUAGAUACAUGCACGAGCCUAGAAGUGAGCAUCUUGAGGCAGUCUACAGAAUUCUGAGGUAUUUGAAAGGAACUCCAGGAAAGGGACUAUUAUUCGAGAGUAAUAGACAUCUUGACGUAGAUGGUUAUUGUGAUGCUGAUUGGGCAAGUUGUCUAGACGACCGAAGGUCAACUUCAGGGUAUUGUGUCUUUGUUGGUGGGAACUUAGUAUCAUGGAGAAGCAAAAAGCAAGCAGUUGUGUCCAGAUCAAAAGCAGAAACUGAAUAUAGAGCAGUGAGAUGUUGUGGGUAAGGAAUCUGUUGAGUGAGUUGAAGGUAUUAAAGAAUGGUUGUCUAAAUGUGUGGUGUGACAAUAAGUCGGCAAUCAGUAUAGCAAACAAUCCUGUUCAACAUGACAGAACGAAACAUAUGGAAAUUGAUAGAUUUUUCAUCAAAGAAAAGUUAGAUGCUGGGAUUAUCAAGAUAGAACAUGUGAGCACAGGACAACAGAUUGCAGAUUGCUUAACAAAAGGAUUGGGGACUAGAGAGUGCAAUCUAGCGUGUGACAAGAUGGGAAUGAUAGAUAUCUAUCACCCCUCUUGAGGGGGAGUGUUGAAUGGUAAUUGGGCUGAAGCCCAUCUUCUAUUGGCCCAUAUGGCCCAGCAAGUCUUGUACCUGUCCUGCCCUAGAAGAGGCAGUGGAGUGCCCCCCUGUGGAAGGGAGCCGCCGGAGAGAGUGAACAGAGAAGAGAGGGGUUGUUGCUGCUGCUAGAGCCUGGAGGUGAGGCCCUCCCCUCAAACUACAGAUAUUAGCGGCUUUAGAAACGAACAGUUGUGAUGUUAUCAGAAAGCUACCAAAGAGUACAGUUGUUAAUGUAAUAAACUAACGGGAUUAAAAAUCCAUAAAAACCAACGGCAAUAAAAUGCUGGAGUGCCAGUCACACCUUCCGACUAAGGGGUAUACAAAAAGAUCAAAGAAAAUACCAAUAAAAUACAAAAUGGAUACUUGGGUCACCUGAAGAGCCUUGCAGAGCUUUUGGGCCUCAGCGGUGAAAAAUGUGGGGCGUCGUGGUGCCCAUCUUGAUCUCAUAGGAAGUGGCCACUGUUGCCGGCGGUGGGGUCGAGCACGGGGAGAGGGCAAGGCUGCCCUGGACGCCGUGGACGAGCGUGUGGCUUACACGGGCAUACUCGCCGGUGACAUGCACCCGGCAGCUCUCUCCUCCCACAGCAUGCAGUCAUCAUGGACGGACAAUACACCCACCAGCAAGACGGCCCUGUAUUGGAGCAGCCUGCACGGCAGCACCGCGACGCUGGCGGCGGACGAGGACUACUUGUACAACAGCAACAACCCUCGUGAUCCGCUCCUUCACGAGGCCGUGCAACCGUAGAUUGCUGUCGUCACUAUCGUGCCAUUGUCGCCUCCCCGAAGUCGAUUUGCCGCCGUCGACGACAAUAGUUGUAGUCCCGAUGUUGUUGAGAGAGAUAGAGAGUCGAGGGGGAGAUAGAGACAUAGCAAAGAGAAAGAACCGUUCGACUCACGACGCUUUUGCAGAAAACCCCCUGAGAAAUUGCAGCAACACUUAUGCAGGUGUGGCAGCCACAUGGCUAUUUUAACCCCUUCUAAACCGAUUUUGACUGAACUGAGAUAGUAAUCCUAGUUUGGGGCGUUUGAUUAAAAUGCUAUGCACAACCUGUCUUUGAUUAAAAUGUUUUACAUAGUGUGUGAAAAAUGUUCAUUAUGAGUUUAUGACAUAUAAAAUGUUCACAAUUUAGAAAAAAAACAUAUUCACUUUUCUUUGCAAAGAAGUUUCUGCUGUUGGACCGGUCCAUAUUAUAUCUGAACUUGCACGGAUCACAGAACUGGAUCCAAUGGUCAUCAAUUGCGUUUGGUACCAUUUUGAUCGAAAACACAAUCUUACAAAUAACUAGACUAUAUAGGUAGUACAGGUGUUGGUAUUUAUGUUGACGGGACCAUGUAGUAGCAAAAUGGUUAGUACAGGUCGGUGGUAGCCUUUAGGCCUUGAAUAAUUGAGAAAAGGACCACUCACUCACCCACAACCACGUGAGAACAAAAGAGAUAGAAUAGCAUUGACUGACUUUGCACUAACCUGUGAUACCCGACGCACCAAACACUCAAGUUGUAUUGCCCUUUCCCUCUAAUGAUUUUGAAGUUGCAACCCAAUUUCACUUGACUUGGGAAGAAUGAUUGAUCGAGCCACAUAUCAGUUGAUUGGGACAUGGAUUUCCGUAGGGUAAGAGCUUUAUUUUGCUUUGAGAAAUUUACAUCUGAAAAUAAAUCUUAGAAACAAGCAAAGGAGGAGGAAACAAGCAUGUCCAAGUUUUUUUUAAAUAAGCUUUUCUUGUACAACAACGUGUAAAUUGGAAGUCCUAAAGAAAAAAAAGGUAAUAUGCUUCAACAGUACUACUAUUAUUACUGGGUGCCAAUUUAGUCCCAAUAUUAUGAUACUGCAUAUUUACGUUUCAAUUUUGUUCAAAUUAUUCAUGCAAGGUUUUAAACUAUCUCAAGAGUCACCGACUCUCCAGCGUGGAUCUUUGACCACAGAUUCAUUGGCGGGUGAGUGUUAGCGUGGGAUUUCCCACCGUGAGUAGCUGGGCAAUUGUUUUUUAGAUACACCCCUACAAAAGGCCGAUCUCACUCAUUGUUCUCGACUCCACCACAUUCUUCUUCUUCCAUCCUUUUGCGCUUCCUUUCCUCUUGCCCCUUUUUUUUGCGGGUAAAACACAAGCUUUAUUAAUCAGGUUGCAAAUUACAAUCAGCGCUCAAGGCGCUUUGAACCCACUCAGAUUUUUCUCCUAGCCAAACUACAUACCUCUUUCCUCUUGCCCCUGCCAACACGGCUUCCGUUGGUGAAGUGCCCUUGUAUAGAGGACCCUUGAUGUGUCUUAUCUCCAACAUGUCGCCAAAUCCUGGCCAAGUGCUAUACAAAUGUCCAAAUCAUUAGGAAAAUUUUGGUCAAUUUCAAUCCGAUGUAACAUUUCGCACUCUUUUCUUUUGCCCGUUUUGUGAUCUUGGUUUCAGACAGAGGAGUGUCGAGCCUUUCAAUUUCUACCAACAAGAUGGAGAGGACAAUAUAUAUGUGCAGUACUUAGAGGCGAUUGGCACCCAAGUUCUAGGUUUUUUGGUGUUAUCUCGGGUGGAGUAACCAGAGUAGACGAAGCAGAAAAGGAGGAGGAUGUCAAUAGAAUUGAGAUCCUAGACAGGCUAAACAAGGAUCUGGCACACUUGGUGGGUAGAUAAAUGGCAUGUAGGAGAGGUGAUAUGACAAAGGCAAUGAAAUAGACGACAGAGCCCGUUCAAGUAUGUAGAAAGAGCUAUUGUUGUGUUUGCAUGAAACCAUUAUAUUUGUACAUCAAAUUUGACAAAAAAUGACGGCAAUUCAAAUAGGCAUGAAACUGGUAAGAAUUCAAAUAUGUCUAAAUUAAAACAUAAAUAAAUAAAACUUCAAGCUAAUCCAACAUAUGCAUGUCCAAUGUUAAGUCAAAUCAACGAUUUCAAGAAAGAACCGUAUUCAAAGCUUGGAUUGAGGUGAUUACUAUAAGCGGAGGAGGAUUGCUAGGGGGUCAUCAUGCACGGGCCAUCUCAACGGAGCACCCUGGCAACAGGUCGAUAGCACCUGUUGCCAUCAAGGUCGGCUCGCCGAGUAAAAGAGUGAGAAAAAAAUAACGGAUUUGCUAACUCUCAGUCAUCUGAGAAAUCUUAUUUCUCAGUCGACGUGGGAAACAACAGAGUCUAAGUAAAGAGAUAACUGAACAUACACAUGAACUGCUAGUUGGUCCGGUGGUUGGUGGACCUAACGCCUGUAGUUGAGCUCUUGUGUUUGACCAUUGGGUCACUUAUUUUACUGUUUUAUUUUCUUAUUUCUAUUUUUUGUUUCGUAUUUAUAGUUUAUGUAGGUUUUGUUUUUAACUCUUAUUUCUCUUGAUUUCACGUUUUAUUUUCUUUUUUCAUGUGCAACUCUAAUGUUAAGUGAGAAUAUGCGUGUUUGUCUUUAUGUUACAUCUAUUUAGUUUAUUCGACCGUGUUAAUCACAAACAGUUGGUGUGUGUACCUAUGUUUUUAUUUCUUUUUUUUCUACGAAUUGCAUACUCAGAUUUUUUUUGGGUUGACAAAUUAUAUAUGUGCGGUAAUAUAAAAUAGCAAUAUUGCACAUUUAUUUUAUUUUCUUGUGUUCCAAGUUUAUUUUGAACCACUUACUAUUCCGAAAACCAUAAUUUUAUUGUGCAGCUUUAGAAUUAGGUGUUGGUCAUUUUUUUCGUCUUAGAGCGUGUGUUGGGCUGACGAUGUUUUAAUUAUUUGUUGGUUUUAGGCCAAUAAUUAAAUUUUUCGAUUUUAACUGCAAUUUUUUGAGUUGGAUGGACGUUGCAACUGCUAUUUCUCGAGUUGGAUGUUGCAACUGCAAAUUCUUGAGUUGGAUGGACGUUUCAACCGUAAUUUUUCGAGUUGGACGUUGCAACUCUAAUUUUUCGAGUCGAGGUCUAUUUUUCGAACAAGUUGCAACUAUAAUUUUAUGGUACCAUGGAUUGCAUACAACCAUAAGGAACACGCGCGCGCCAGGGAGAGACCUGCAUGCAUGCAUGACUCCCUCACCUGCAUGCGUCAAUCCCUGCACGCGUGAAUCUCUCGCCUGCAUGCAUGCUUGAAUCGCUGAUUGAUCUCGUCUUGAUCUCGUCGAAAUUUAAUUUCUAGUCGACUGAGCGUUAGACAUUCCCAAAAAAUAAAGAGCUAAAAUAAAAAUAAGACAACAUAUACAAGGUAAUUUAAAACCAACUUGACACCACAAGAAUAAUAGGACGGCAAUGCAUUUUACUCACAAGUCACAACGAAGCUGGAUCAACAAUCUAAAAAUGGCUAUUCGAGAAUAAUCUAGUUUUGUUUUUGAAAAGCUUAAGCCGAUAGAAAAUGACGUAACAAAACAUUUUUGUUUACUUGGGCCGUAGGGACAAAGCUAAAGAAUAUGCUUGUCCAAAGAAAAAGCGUGAAAGGCAAUCCACGACAGGGUAGCACACGAGACGAGACGAGAGGCAAGGUAGCAGCCAGGAGGCAUGAGAACAAAUGAGAUGUACGGUAACCAAGACGAAGAAUAUCCUUUGCCUGCCUGCCCUGCACUGCCAGCUCCUGCAGCCAAAACUAGCACCAAAGCCGCUCGAGAAAUCAAAAACAAAACAUAUACGACCUGCAGCCUUUUUGUUUAUUAGCUGAUGGACAUAGAUUGAUAGAUAUGAGAGCCACGCGUGCAUGCCGACAAGACGAGCAGACAAGGUUGGUUGGGCUCAGCAGGUGUGAGAGAUACAGUAUGUCGUAAUCAGAUACAGUAGAUAUAUAGCUCCAUUACUCCAUACAUAAAUAAAUACUCCCGUGAGUAUAAUUGCUCAUGUGUUGGAAACAUGUUGUGGCAGGUAUGCUUCGUUUUGCAGCUGGCCGAGGCCGACCAGUUCUUGUGAAUCUGCAGUGACUUGGAUCGUGUAGGUUAUAUACUGUGUACUACUGGAGCUGCUCACAUCGAGGAAUUGACAAGAGGGCAUUCGCAUGACGAUAUUUCCCUUGUAAGUCUGAAAUGUCAAGGAUAGCAAGUUGGCCGAUCUUGAAGUACUUUCUCCGUUUCUAAAUACUUGUCGUUGUUUUAUACAAGUUUGCACUAAGCCAGCGACAAGUAUUUAAAACGGAGGAAGUACGUUUCUGUCUCCAAUAGUUGAUACAAUUACCUAACCAAUCAACUGCUACCAGUACUUAUAUCAUUGUGGAUUGUGGGAUAGGUCACACGUAACAACCACCUGGAGUCCCUUUCAGCUCUGUUUCGUCUCUAUUAUAUCCUAUAUUCUCCCUCAGAUGUGUUUGUCGCAUGUGAUGAAUUGAUUAAAGACUGUGCCAAAUCUCUUUCUUCCACUACUCUGAAAGAGCUACUCUCUCCGACCGGUAUUACUAGUCUCAAACUUGUUCAAAUACGGAUGUAUCUGAAAGAGCUACUCCCUCCGACCGGUAUUACUAGUCUCAAACUUGUCCAAAUACGGAUGUAUCUAGAUACAUGUAAUAUUUCGACAAAUAAUUCCGGUCGGAGAGCUAGACGGUUCUCUUCAGAGAACUUUUCCAAAUUUCACAGCUCAAGACCUGAGAGCUAGGUGCAUGCACAUCACACCAUUCAAUUACCUGACUCUGAAGUCUGAACCACGUUGAUUAGCAGCCGGGCUGCUACCUCACAUGACAUGAAAGUUUGUUCUUAGGGCGUUGAUGUGGAAUUAUUAUAUACAGUAUAUGACCAAGACUUUCAAAGUAUGUUGGCAUUUGCCUUACGAUCUAAAUUUUGCAAACAACCGGGUGUCUGGUUCCAAUAAUUGCAUGCCAGCAUUGGAGAUUUCCCGAGCUAACUAAGUCAGACUAUACGGUAUAAUUUAAUCGACUCUGGACAUUGGAGCCUAUCUAUCAUCAUCGUGAUAUUUAUUGGAGAACCCUGUUGCCAUCACCAAUAAUGUUUCAGAUUGAAUACACUUGUGCAUGCACGUAUGCAGAUCUCCAAUUUGAUUGAGCCCGGAGUCAAACAACUUUGCUUUAUUUGUUGUGGCCUUGUGGGCACAGAGAGGAGUUGUUGCCAUUCAUCGAACGGGUUAAGUACUGUAGUACUAUUUGAGUACUAUAUGCCGUAGCUAGAGCCUAGUGAUCUUGCUCGCGUAUGCAGUCUUAUGUGUUUGUCUUGUUGCAGUGCAUAUUGUUAAGCCGUUGAGAAAUGUCAAUUUGUAUAAAGUCCAUUUGGUACCUUGCCAUUAAGAACGUUGUCGCUCGAUCUGGUGGAGUUGAUGUCUCGUGUUUACACAUUAUGUUUCGUACUCCCUCCGUUCAGGAGUACAUUGGGAGGGAAUGGUCCCGGACACAUUCAUCUUUAUUUAAAUCUUCAAAGACCAUGUCAACAAAACAUCACCUUUUGUGAACUAAAAGAGUAAAAGGAGUAAUAACUCAAAAUUUCCUUUUCUUUGCGUUAUCUUCAUUGUAUGCUUUGGAACCUGAAGAGAAGAUACAAAUACAAUCGCUAUGGUUGUGUCCAUCCGUUCAUGCAACGGUCAGGGGAUUGAUCCUCAUUUUCGAUAAAAAGUAAAUGAAACAAUUACAUUCAUUAAUUUUGUCUUCCCUACAAAUGUCAUUGGUUGACUAUUUCAAAACCCUGUUCUCAUGCAGGUCUAGGAGCCAGCAACAAAAAGGAAGGAUGAACUGAGGUUAAAAGUUGUUGAGAAAUGUCAAUUUGAAAAAAGUUCAUCUGGUACGUUGUCAUUUUAUGAAUCUUGUGAUUCCAUCUAAUGGAGUUACUGGCUCAUGUUUACAAAUUAUAUUCAGUACUCCCUCCGAUUCAAAAUAAGUGUCUCAGCUUUAAACUAGGUCUAGUUGAAAAAUGCGUCGCUUUAUUUUGGAUCGGAUGUACUACAAAUUUAGUUAAUUUGUUGAAUUUGUCUCGGUCUUCGUAAAUUGAGUAAAUUGCAGACAAAUUCAUACGUGGCGGCUCUUGUAACAGAAACCCACAAAUCCAAGUUAUUUUAACUGAUACCCACAACAUGAAAAAUAAUGAAUAACAGAAAAUUCGAAAAUUAGCGUUUAAGGCCAGUUAACCGUCAUGCACAGGAACCGGUUCUUUGGCUCCCAGCUCAUUCCCGGCCGGCUCCCAUAGGGCGUUGUCUCUUCGUUUAGACGUGGAGUUGCUGGCUUGUUCCUCUCUCCCUGUAUUCUCUCACUCGCUCGCUCCCGGUGCCGAGGAAGACGACAUAGGAGGAGACAGCCGACCGUGCUGCUGUUUCUCCUGCUCGCGGUGGUUAUUGGAUCUGCGCGGGUGGGAUGGGACGCCGGAGAACCUGAGCCUCCCGUCUCUGCGAACGAACGCUCUCUGGGCGAGCCGGCGCUGCCGCUGCAGGGGUCUCGGGCUCCGGCUCGUCGUUCAGGUCGAUGGCGCAGGCGGCUGCGGCGUGCCGUUCUCGACGACGCCGACGCGCUCCUCGAAGGGCAUCGGCGGAGACGCCGCCGCUGGGGAUGAAGUCGGAGGCGGCGGGAAGUCCUCCCAGGAGAAGCUGGGGCACCAGGCCCGGGGAGUAGAAGCGGCGCGACGCACCUCGUCUAAGGCGGCCGCGGAGGCAGAGGGCGCGCUAUCGGCGGCUACGGCCAGGCCCAGAUCUGCUUCCAUGGCAGCACUCGAUCCCAAGCAAAGCUGCGUUCAGAGGUUAGGUGGGGCGUGCGUUCUGGACUCGUGCAGUGAGCCGCGGCCAGCUGCAGGCCAUCAGGGGGAACCUGCGGCCAUCUCUUGCCCGGACUGCCCGACGGAGACGAAGAUUUUGUUCGGCUCAGCUCUCACCCCGGCUCAAGGCCGAUGGCUCAAACAAACUUGACAUACAGACCAGGCUCCUGAGUACGACACGUGGGUCCGAAUCAUUAAAUGGGCUAAACCUGUGAUUUAUGGGGUUUUUUUUAGUCAUUAGUCUUGUAUUUGUGGGUAUCAGUUGAAAACUUUUGGGUCCGUGGUUUUUUGUUACAAGAGCCGCUAUAUAUGUGUUUUUGUACAAUUUACUCCCAUAAAUUCUAGCGUGUGAUUAGGAAAAAAUGGUCCUGUGCAUGUUCAUAUUUAUUUCAACAAAAUGAUGCAUUCGUUUUGAGAAUGCUGCCCAAUUCACAGAAAAGGGACGUUUUGGAAUUGUUUUCUGCCAAAGCUUGGAAACUUUUAGCAAGUGGUCAAACUUAAGUCAAUUCAAUGUCUAGAUCCUCACCUUUUAUUUUUGAACUGAAGAGAGUAGAUGCAACUCAAAUUUCUUUUUGAUUGCCUCGUAUUCACUGUAUGCUUUUUCAACAUGAAGGGGAAGAUACAAAGGGAUACAAAUACAUUGUCUCUUCAUUCUCUAGUUAUGUUCUUGCCCUAUUUGCCUUGGAGUGUCCUAAAGGAUAUUUAUUCCUUGUCUGAGCACGGACGCAAAAGUACAUCAGAUGUAUGUACCAUGGGAAAGGUACAAUUCAUCUCCUGGAUCACGCACAAGGAAUAUACUGAAAAAAGGCACAUGGUGAGGGUAUAUUUCCAAGCGCUUCCCUCGGUUUCAUUCUCCCACAGUAUUGCCAACUUCACACGACGAGCUUAUCCAUAGCGUUCUACUAGGUCACCGCUGGUUGAUGGACUGAUGGCACAUUACAACCGCCAGGAUUACUUAAUUGAGCUUGCUUGAAGGACGCAGUGACUCACGCUACCACCCCGUUUGUUUCAUUUCACAGUUGUCCGUCGACUGCCUCCUCCUGAUGCAUGAAUGAAACGCAGCCUACCUUGAAAGCCAUCGCCCCCAUUUUGAUAAGUUGCUCCGUCCAUUCGUGUCCGGGUUUAUCUAAUCCGAGAUGCCGUGAGCCCGUGACGUGCUCUCCCUGGACGCGAUCGAUCUCCUGCCUUUUCUAUUUCCCUUUGUUUCUUUCUUGGUCGGAAGAGUAGGUGGCCAGGUUGGUUAACCACCUCACCUCCUUUGUGUGAUUGCCCAACACCCCCAAACACCUCUCACUCUCUUUCUCCAACAGCCGUCUCACCACGUCACUACACACACCCGAGAAACAAAAAUUAUCCCUUUUUAUAGGCCAUGUCAUGUACUUAGUCCAACAGAAUAGAACCAGCUCAGCUCUCGAAAGGCGUCAGAUGCUGCUGGAAAGAUGCCACAGAUCGCUCUCUACAUCCUCGCGCUGCUGACACAGUAUCUCGCCACGAUGUCGACAUCCGUCGCACUUUCACAACCAGGAAGUGGAGACAACCAUGGACCAGGCUAAAGCCACAUGUGCUUUGCCGUUCAUGCAUCGCUCCAAUAGUCCCAACCCAAAAACCUUAUUCCCCAUGAAAAUGGGCCCAAGAAUCAUCCGGUUUCAGUUUUUUCCCCCUAAAAUACACCCAAGCAGGUGCAUUCAUUAAAGAAGAAGAGCAGAGCAGUUAUAGCCCUUGCAGGCAGAGUUUUUUACAAGUUUUAUCAUGGAUAAGGAAAAAUGCUAAAACUAUCGCCAAGCAAGCCUGCACUUCUCCAGUUCGCGCCUUCCUCUUGCAAACCCCUCAAAUUUUUUUCCCACAAAGAAGGCCACUCUUUAUCGAAGAAAACCCAUAGUUGCCAAGAAUCUGGUUCGUUCGGGUUGAGGAACGGGAUCGCGUGACGCAGGUCGGCACCUUUGGGGAAAAUUAAGGAGGAUCUACCUUGGGGAAUCGACCCCGAUCCCAAAUUGGGUCGACCAACCUCGGUUCUAGGGACGCGGCGGCGACACGUGAUCCCGGCUUCUACGACAACCCUAUUUUUGUGCUUCCAGAUUGACCAACAAAUCAAGGCCACACGUGUCGCAAAAUCACGCCUAGCCUUGUCGCGCACUUGAAUCAUGGACCACCACUUUGCAAUUUUUGAAUCCUUGUCCGGGAACCAGUGGAUAGCCCCCCAUCCACGCAGGAUCUUCCACCAAACCUCCCUCGUCGUAACACAGUCCAGCAUAAUAUGCGUGAUCGAUUCGGGCUCUUGAUCACAAAGGGGGCAGCGCGGGGGAUGGUCCAGCCCUCUUCUCUCCAAUCUAUCCGCCGUCCAACAGCGAUUAUGACAAGCCAGCCACAUGAAUAAAAGGCACCUCUCCGGCGCCCCGGCUUCCUGACCAACUUAGCGCCAGCCCAUGACUCCCGUCUCUCAAGCAAGCUACCAUAGGCCAAACGGACAGAGGAUUUUCUAUUACUAGCCCAAGCGCAACGGACGGUGUCGUUGCUAGAGCCCAACACCACAUUCCCAAUCCCGACCCCAAACAUAUAGGAACUCCUGUAGCCCCCUCGAGUCAAGAUUAGGGCUCACCUGUCGUGCCUAGUUCCCGUUUUCCAUGCCAGCCACCACCGAAAGAGGAUCAAUCUCCCGCAAGUAGCAAAGGCCCUAGGCGCAAUCUCACAAAGGAGGGAUCCAUCUAGCCAAGGAUUUGUCCAGAAGAACACAUCCUCGCCAUUCCGAGGCUCCACACAACAAGCCGCUUCGAAUCCGCAGCACAAAUAGGACUUAAAACCAUCCUGAAUCCCUGAUGCAAGUGCACGAAUGCUUCCAACUUUUAUCGGUCUGGAUUUUGAACAGAAAACCAAAGGGAGUAACAUGGAUUGUUGUUGUAUUUGGCCAUCUGUAUGAAGAGCCCAAGUCCAACAACACUGGAAGUACCUUACCUCGAAGAUGGGACUCUGUCCUAGCCCAACAAUGUGGAUUGAUGAACCAAUACCGGUACAAAGAGCAAACAAUUAGGGUGGGCGUUCGGUUCAUCAGUUUUUCAAAAAGUCGAUUUCCAGAAGAUGCUCACUGAUUGGCUCUUCUAGAAAUUGCUAACCGAAAAUGGAGUUCUCCAAACAUUCGGUUCGGUUCGCGGUUCUAACCAAACAAAAUCAAUACUACCUUGCACAAUACAAUGCAAACAAAUUGGAAAAAAAAUCGAUUGUGGCGAGUUGGAGGCUAGGACGGUUGUCAACCCAAGGAGGAGGCGGGGGGGGCGGGCGGGGGUGGGAUGGGCUGGGGGGGGUACGAUUCACGUACAACACCAAGUAACAACCGUCGAUACAAGCAGCUUUGAGAUGCCACAGCCACUGAUCACAGUGUCAUACACAAAUCUGAUGUAAAAGAUCAUACACCAAUCGAGUUUUUGAAAAAAUUCGGUUUCAGUCCGGUUCUCGAUUAAAAUGCCCACCCAACAAACGAGUAGUUUUCAAAACCUCUAAUACAUGCUAGACUUCUGACAAACUAAUUUCAUAUUUUACAUCUCACAAGCUGAGUUCUACAGAGUCUUCAACAGCAGUCAUCCAUAAAGAUUUAUGACAAGACAAACAAGAUAGAGAGGGAAUCUGCAGAACAAAAAACAAGAGAUAGGGGGGCGAUGACAACAUAAACUCCACAUACAAAAACGGAACAUCAGGUAUCAGUUCAUGCUGUGCAAGAAAGCUUCAACUAACUUCAGCAGUUUGGGCCGACUCCAUGGUCCAUAGUAUCAACAUGUAACUGCAACAAGACAAAAGGGGGUCUCUGGUUAAUUAGUUCUGCUUACUCGAGGGACAAUGCUACAAAGUUAUCAGACAAUCCAAGGAACCAUGCAACCUCAGAAUGCAAGAAACCAUAAUAGCAGUGGCAGGUAAUUCUAGUCAUUUUAAGUUGUGCUUUUGCAGAAGACACUCUGUUUAUCACAACAUGUUAAUAAAAGUUCAGGUUGCCAUCUGGUUUCUGACCAAGCUCAACAUGUUUUAGAGGAAACCAGUCUGCUAGCCCUUUGGUACUUGGACUUUAUAUAAGUAACAUCAAAACAAAUUAGACUGUGAUGACAUAAAUUACGAACAACAAUUGCACAUCAGGCUAAACUCGAUUUCUUUUAUGAGCCUCCACCUACAGAUUACUGCUCACCGAUGACUAGUUCCAAUAUGUGUAAAACAGUAUGCCACACUUGCGCUUGUGGAUAGAGAGAAUCUGUGGCGCGCAGUACCCAUGUAUGUACUGGAUACUAGUUGGGCCCGGUAGAAGCACCUACUUUGGAAGCCCAAACCAAUAAUGUCUCAUGUUAGCCCUAGCACACACUUAAGCCUCUCUUCGGCACCACCCUCUGCUGAUGAAUGCACCUAAAGCAGUGAGGCUUCGGACUCAGGUCAAUUGGUGAGGCUCUUCACCAGGUCCUUCUUGUUUGCUUUGGCCUUUUGCUUACCCCGCUACAAAGCCAAUAGAACGCAUCCCCUUUCAGCCCUGGCAUGAAUUGUGCCAUUCUCCCAUUUUCUUUGUGUUUAUGUUUCAAUUAUUGAAAGUGCAGAAAAUGAAGGGCUAUGAGAUGAAAGGCAGACAAGGGAACAACAGCAAAAGCUAUAAAUAGAAUAAAAAACAUUUUUCGAAGAAAAAUAAAAAUAACAUAUUGGUAAACAACAAUUCGAAACAUCAGGUACACUGCAUAGAAAAGGGGCUCCCACCAAAGGAUUAGAAACAGGAAAAGAAAAUAUAGCACCAGUUUGGAUCACUUACCCAACAUUCACUUUGGUAUCUUGCGCAACAUUUCACCAAACUUAGAUGAUCAGGAGAAGCUGUCUGGUGAAUUCUCCCUCCUUUCCAGCCAUAUAUUCCUGUAGAAGAAUUCAUGAACAUUAUGCCGGAUCUUUUCUUCUGUGGCUGCGGUGUCUGGAGCGCUUUCUACUCCUGUCCUUGUCAGAUGACCUUCGACUACUAGAUGUAUAUCUUUCCUUGUAUUCAUGAUCACUAGAAUCAGUGUCACGGGUCCGAUGACUCCUUUUCUCCUGGCGUUUUCUCUUAUUCUUUUGACUGUCACAGGAAGAAUCGGCAUCAGGAGUUCUAAUCCUGCCUGUUCUAUGCCUUGAACGUGACUUCCUUUUCUUACUCCUACGACGUUCACUUGAAGAAUCAGAAUCAGACAUUUCACUCUGAAUUCGAUGAUGGGAUCUUCUUUUCCUACUUCUAUGUCGUUCAACAGAAGUAUCAGAAUCUGGACUGCAAUUCUGGAUUUGAUGAUGUGAAGAGUGUGACCGGCCUUCCUCAGCUCUAUGCUCCUGCUUCUCGCAUUUCAAAUCAAGUGUUUCGACAUUGGAUGAAGGACCAUCUUCUUGAGCAUUGGCAGCUUCCACCAAACCAAGAUUACUCUCAUUCUCCUUUAAUUCCCUGCAAAUAGUUGUCUUUCCAUUCCUAGAUGAAACAGUUCUAUCAGCCAUUGGAAGGAUUUCUGAUCUAAAUAAGGCAUUCGCUGGCAGGGCAGGUUUUUCUGGAGGAACAUCCAAUCCCAGUUCUUUACCCAAGGAUUCCAGGAAAUCCUCCGCAACAAGACGAUUAAGGGCCAUGUUGGCACCUUCACUUGUCUUCACUGGAUCCACCGGUUGAUUGUUCAGAGGUUCAUCCAUAUCAUCAUCUGAAUCAUCAGAAAAGAUAGCCUGCCAGACACAACAAAUAACUUGUCAACAUAGAAGUAUAGAACCCUCAAGUCUACUGCAAUCAGUUUCUAAUAAGGGGACUAUAUGUGUGACCAAACUCUGCAGCAAGCUGUGCCCAGACCACCUAUUGUAAAAAUGCAAUUUUACAAUUAAAAAAAGUGAUAAUUCGCAGAUACACAACAUUCUAUAACAUAUGCGGUUGAAAGAAAUCCUGCCAAAACAGGAUGUUAUGUAGGGCAUUCCCUAUCAUCAUAGGGUUCGACCUGACACCAGCUAUAGCCGUGAGGUCUGCCAUCUAAGUCGAUCAACCAGGGUAAUACCUGAUGGAUCAAAGUCCUAGUUCAUUAAGCAAGAGCAAUUAUGAGUCAUGUUAGGAAAGAUUCAAUUGUAUAUCUGCCAGACAAAGCCUCCUUUUACAGGGGCAGCCAUGUUAUGUUUGUCUGAAGCAAUAAUCAAUCAGAUUCAGUCCCCCCACCCCCCCCUCUUUCAAACCACGCUGCAUUCUGCUGCCACAGGCAGAUCGCCGGUCCUACCGCUCCUCCAUGCCCUAUGCAGCAAGGGCUCUUCCACAUGACCCUUUGUGAACACAGAAGUAAUUUGCACACAUAUAGUUGCUAGACUAGUUAUUCUCCUCGUCAUUGUGUACAGUACACAAGUGGUCAAGUUUUUGCACCAUUUUUUGUUAAUGCAUAAAUUAUAGCAUGCUGUCAUGCAUGAUGUUUUUUCCACAUUUUGUGGGAACUUGGCAUGUGCCCAAGAUGGGGUGCUGGCUCAAGUAGUUGUAGAAAAUCUACAUUUGGAUUAUGUCCAUAUCUUCAAGUUCUAGACAGCUUAAGCUCCUCUGAACAUGAAAUAUUUUGGAGGUUUAAUGGGGAAGCAUAAAUAAUUGCCCGACUUUUCUGACCAGACCCACAUUUAUGAUAUCCAAAAUUCUAAAUCCGCACAAGAAAUCAGAGUGUAAAAACUAUUAUAACUAAAAGCAUCAGUCACAGAUCAGUAGUUCAAUAAAGAUAGGAAUGGAAAGACAACUAUUUGCAGGGAAUUUAUUAAAUGGGAAAGCAGACCACACAAAUUAAUGUUAACACACAAGAACGCAUGAUACCUGGAUUGUAUACCCAUUUUGACUUGAAUAAUUAAUUUCCAUACCUUUCCUUUUCUAACCAAAAUUAAUUUACUCUGCAAUUUUCAAAUUCCUGGUGUUUCUAUAUUUUGGACUUCCACAAAAAUGCAUCAAAACCGGGAACAUAUUAAUGUCCCAUCCCACAGAAAGAGGUCAUUCGUCAGCAAAAUCUGGGAUCAAACUCCCCACUUUCUCCAUCAAUAUACAAAUGUGAAUAAUGAUUGAUGUACCCGCUGUUUCCAAUAAAGAGCAUGUAUACAUACUUUAAGCUAUUGUAAUGUAUGUGGCAAUAAUUUGGGAUGGCAUCUGGCAAUGCAACAUUUUCUCCACAACUAUACACUAAAAUUCUCAAGAACAUGGCCACCUUACAUUAUUGCCAUAUUGGUAUAUUAAUACAUAAUACUUGGGAAUUUAAUCAUUCAAAAAUUGUGCCGUUCAUACAUAACUAGGUAUCUAAGCAUUGCAAGAGUCAACAUAUAUAGGGUACCUACACCAAAGCAGCAUCGCUACAUUAAUAGCCCAAUAAUCAUGAAUUCUAUAUAAAAUCCGUUUCAUAUAUGUUCGUAUUUUUGGACUUUUGGUGUGUUUUGGAAGAACAAAACGGUGCACUGUUUUAUAUAGUGCGAAUUUUGAUGCUGCAAGAGGUCAUUUUCAGUGCGAGCAGAAAGCAAAGGGAGCAGACAUCAAACAUGCCUUACUGUAACAAGACUUAGUUCCUUCAGAUACAGUUUAAUUCCACUUGACUUUCUGCCCAAUCUUUCCAAUAAGAUAAUAUAUAGGGGAUACACGUUACCUUGUAAAGAUCAACAGGUCUUUGCAUAGAGCUCGACACAAUAUCAGGAUUAUCUGCAGUUCCCUGUGCCUCGGUUUCUUCUGUUCCUGACACAGAUGCGUGCUGCAGGGUCCUGCUUGAGCUAUCCACGUCAUCAUUCGUCUUUUUAGUGGAUUCUGUCAUAAACAUAAGUGUGUCCAUCUUGCUUAUUGGUCUUCUAAGAGGCAUUGGCUGCACAUAUAACAUACAUAAUCAGAUAUCUAUGUGAGUGCCAUUUUGAAAAUAUGUUCAAAACAAUAACGAAGUAAAGUAAGAACACUAUAAAGUAAUAUAAACUAAUAAAUUUAUCAGCUAGCGUAUCAGUAAGAAUUAGUGCCUUCGAACUAGACAGGAAAACCGUCCUCCACUAACACGUAAGAAGAAGUGAUUUUUUAAAGAUGGUUAUAUUUGUCAUGUAUUGCAAGGGGAAUCUCCUAAGCAUUAAUCAACAAAUGUAUGUUGACCCUCUGUAGUUGUCUAACUAGCACAUACAAAAACCAUAUAGAAUGAUUCAAAUUUACCUUUCCCAUGAAAGGAUCAACAAUAUCAAAACGCUUGCACAGUAUUGGUGAAGGCCGCCAUUCAAACUCUUCCCUCUGUGGAUAUGCGGGCUUCUCAUCUCGGGGUACUACAGAGCUCUGCAUUUAUUUUUUAAAGAUCAAUAUGUGAAGAGAAGACAUGACAUUACUUACUGAUCGGCCCCAACAAAUUAACCUACCUCCAGUUGAGUAGAUGAUACAAAGCGUUGCUCGUUUAAUCCAGGUAAACCCAAUAUUGAGAAAGGAUCUAUAGCCUUAUAUUCUUUGCCUUUUUCAAUUGCAUCUGCAGCAGCCUCAAAAUCUAGUCUUUCACGAGCACGAUCAGCCUCCGACAUAGUACUCGUAGGUACAAGAUUUGCGAGACGAAGACCUCCCUGAUAUUUUUCCUUUAGAAAUUGCUCAAACCUUGCCUGCUUUGCAGGUUCAUUUCUAAAAGGCUUCUUUGACUCUGGCACGGCAUCCUAUUGCAAAGGAAGAAUAGUCCAUUUGCAUAACAAGAACAGGUUUAGCUAAUUAAUAUAAAAGAAUGUUGCGCUGAUGAGGACUGCAAAAUAAUUGGUAAAAACAAUGUGAUACAAAAACUUACAAGAGAUAUUGGCUUGACAAAGGUGUCACCAAGAUUUGAUUGUAGUUGAACAGCGUCCUUAGCAGAAAAGGAGGAGCUGGAUGAUUUUGAGCUUCUAUCAAGGGGCCUUUCACCAAGAAUCUUUCCACGAUUCUCAGCUGUCAACUUUUCAGAAGAUGGUUUCGACUUCACAAUAUCAGGCUUUUGCUGGUCAAUAAACUUCUGCUGAUGCUCCCAUAACUUCCUCGUAUAGUAGCCACAUCCAUCUCCUCCAUCAAGGAAAAGAAACUGAGGGCUUGCUUUGCUUUUCUCCUUGUAGAAAUCCUCGAUACGUUUCCCGCAACGAGCAACCAUAGCAGCACAACCCUCAACUAAUAAUCUCAAGGUAGCGUCUUCUGGAGGAGGAACCUCGGGAGGAGCCAGAUCAGAAAACUUAUCAGCUGCCUGAAUUGGACUUGAGAACUUGUGAUGGCCAUCAAAGUCAGCUGGGAUCUCGGGAGGAUGAAAUCUGAAAAGUCAACAAUGUCACUAAAUCCCCAAAGGGAUACAGAAUAUAAAAUAUAGAUGAUAAAAUAUGGAGUAGUAAACCAAUUCACCUCAGAUGAGCUGUACUAUUAACAUAGUAUAUACAUAUAGAUGUGCUAACAGGUGGGACUGUAAAAGUUUUAAUUUAUUAGCUGAUGCACUAAACCAAAAUACAACGAUGUGGCCUUCGACAUGGCAAGACCCAUUGAUGAACUGAUGAAACCACUCAAAAUAGACUCAGCCCUCAGAAUGGUAAGAAUCCAUUUUGACAGUUAGCGCAUGUGUACCAAUUGGAAAAUUCCAUUUUAAACCCUGAUUUCUGGUGUGUGGUCCGAAUAAAACUAGAGCCUCUAAAUCCCUGAUCUUUCUACCCUGUACUUCAUAAUCCCGGCAAAUCCAGACAUUGGGUUUGUUUGGCGCACAGGACAGAGUAGAUCUGCCAUGACUCACUAACAUUCUGGCCACAUGUCAUAUUCAUCUUCUCCUUUCCUUUUCCCCGUCAAAUCUUACUUCCGCCUAUUUAUGCAUUAAAAGUUUGGUAUAAAACUCGAUAAAAAAAAACCAAUUCAUGUGCACAGGAAAGAGUAGAUCCACCAUGACUCUCACUGACUUCUGAAUUAGUCGUGUCAUAUAAAUCUCUGGAACUUCCACAAGAGAAGUUUGGCACCAAUAGAUGGAACUUGACCAUUAUGCAACAGGUUUCCAAAGCACAAUACAAUUAGCAAAAUAAAAAGUAACAUCAUGACAACAUGUGGAAAGACAAAGAGUCAAACAAGUUAUACUUCCAAACGUGAAUCAAGUAAUGGAUACAAAAACAAAGUAUUGCAUGAACAUUAAUCAAUUAUGAACUGAAGAGAAAUGUUACCUUUCAAGUUUGUACUCGGAAUUCAGGGCCAUUUUGAAGGUCAGGAAGACACCUCUCCUCCUGUCUUCAAGUUUAAACUUACUAUCACCAAUUGUUUUUGAAGGCUCGAUAUCCACUUCCGUUUGUUCAUAAGAAAAACCUGAAAAAACUAAUGUUAGGAUUAUAAAAAUUUAGAGGGUAAAUCUGUUUUAAAAAAAGAUAGAAUCUUCAAACAGUGAAACAACAAGCCUAUUAAAUCUCGUGAAGUUGAAUAUGCAGUUGCACAACUGCAAAGGCUUCCAUUCGAGAAAACAAAUCUUCGCAGAAAAAUAGAUUUCCUCAUGAGAGGAAUAACCAAUGUAUGUUCAGAAUCUGCCAUAACCCACUGCUGCACUUCAAGACUGACGCACCCAACAUAUGCUUCCAUCAAGCCCCCCACAUUAAUACUGUUUAAACUGACCAGAAUAUUAUUCAUUUACCUGAUGCAUAAAUAUCCUCAUCUUCAACAUCAAGCUCUUCGAGUGCUCCAAUUCCAAAGCCAGGAGCAUAUUGUCCUGCUGAUGAUCGAACCACUAGUUAAGACUUUUGUCGCAAGUAUGUUUAAGAAAUAUCGACAAAACAAACAGUAUGAAAGGACCAUGACUAUCAUACAGUUCGAAAGCAGGAGAUUUCCCCUCAUUGAAAUAUCACUUCUGUUGCCGUCCCUGUUAAGUGACUUCUGCAAUCUUUUCCUAUCUGCAAAAGUAAUAAAUGUGGUUUAAGCAGUGAAAAAAAAUCAAAUGAUUAUCUUUGUCGAAAUAUGGUACCUUUAAACUCAGGAGCAUGCUUGAAUGGGUCAAAACCUAAACCAUGUAAAUCUUCUUUUGGAUGAAGUACAUAUACCUAAUGUUAAUGGAAAAUCAGGCGAUCAGCUGAUGUUUUCUUCAUGUGUAUUGCAAAUGUACCAUGCAACCACAAAUAUGAAACUUGUUAGUAUUUGCAUGCACAAUUUUGAGCAACAACAAACAACUACUGACAGCAUGACUCAUGGGAUGCAAGGCAUAGUUUUGAAUACGGCAUGGCAAGUUGCGGCGACCCACCCCCUGCACAGCUUUAUAACGCUUGCGGCGUGCGGCGUUGCGACUUCACAGAAAUAUACUAGCCUAUAAUGGCACCGUAUAAAUCACCAAUUUAGUACAUAUGUAUAUCUUGAUUAAUUUUCACAGAAAUAUAAUAGCCUAUAAUGUCACCAUAUAAAAUUAUAGCACAAAGUCACCAUUAAUUUCUAACGAUACCUAACAAAUUAUAGCAGAACUAUAAUCUAUAAGCAGAACCGAGCAGGGAGGAACAAAGUAGACGGAGCAAGAGAGAGAUGAACAGAACAGAGUAGCGAGAGGGAGAGAGAGGGGCCGAACAAAGCGGCGAUGGGUGUUGGAGCUGCUGGCGAGGGGAUGGAGCCACUGGCGAUGAGGGUUGGACUUGGACCGCUGGCGAUCGUGGAUGGAGCCGCUGGUGAUGGGAGAUGGAUCCGCCGGCGAUGGGGGAUGCAGGUCAUUCGAUCGAUUCCCUCUCCUCUCUCUUUCUCCCUCCGCGCGGACUGGUUUCCCCCCCCCCCAAAUUUCUCAGUCCAUUCCCUAUUUCCCUCUCCUCUCUCUUCCUCCUUCCCGCGCGCGCCUGCAAUUUCUCCUUCCCGCCUGCUUUUUCUUCCGCACGCCUGACAUUUUCUUCCGCCCGCGCCUGACAGUUCUCCUGCCUGCGCCUGCUCUGCCUAUUCGGUUGUGUAGCGUCGUAUUUCAACCGCUACUGCAUCUGUACCGUCCACGGACGCCAUCUCGACGCCACAGGACGCGACCGAGACGCCACAGGCCAUUUUUAUCGCGUGGGUCGACGCGACCGAGGCCAGGGGCGCCACGACGUUGUAGCGUCGUUAUGGUGACGAGAUGGCGACGUAUUAAAAACUAUGAUGCAAAGUUCUCUCCCCAGCCAAGUGAAGCAGAAAAACUAAAAACUGAGAACCCCUCCAGAGCUAGACCCAACCAAUGGCAUAAUUAGAGAGCGAUUGUGGUUCAUGGCAAUGCAUGUCCUACCGAUUUUUGCCAAAAAAUUGGCUAGCCAAAAAAUUUGCUAGGGAUGCCAUGGCCCUUGGUUCGCCAAAAUUUUGGCUAGAAAUUUGUAGGGAGAACCAAAAUAGCGUACAUUUCGAGUGGCAAAAAAAAAAACUGUUCUCUUAACUAAAAUGUUUGAGAACAUUCACUGCCUGCACUAUAUGCACCUUGCACAUAAUCCAGCCAACCAAACAACGUUUCACAUAUGCAAGCUGACCCAAAAGCAGGAAACCAACCAAAAUCAGUCUUAGACACUAAUCCAUAUGUCUUCUAUAGUUCUCCUUAGAAGAGCAGUGUUCAUAAACAAUUAAACAAGCAAACAUAUCGGCUUGAACAUAUAAUGCAGAAAGUUACACUUGUCCUACUUACGGGGGUAUUUCCAGAAGCACGUAUUUUGUCAAAUGACUCUGCAACAUUUUCAUCCAUCCUAGAUGUAUGAGAAGCAAUUUGAUCUUGGUCCUCAACAUUACUAAUACCAGAGAGUGCAAGAAAGGCUUUCCUAGCUUCCCUGCGUGAUUCUGCAUGCAUAUAUCAACAAUCAAUAAUUAGAGAACAGGACACCAGCAAUUUCAAACAAUCAGACCACUAUUUGAGAAGCAAAACAAAAUUUAAACAAAUAAUACUUCUGGACUAAGAUAAUUUAUGACUCAAAUAUUCCGCAGCAGACACAACAGGUCAUUCAUGGCUGUAGUAACUAGUAACCACACGUUCUAACUAAACGAUAUGUUACAAUGGUUGAAUUUAUGAAAAACUUGGUCCAUAUAUCAAUCGCGUGUUCUGACUAAAUGAUAGCCUGCACUUUGAAUAAGGAUGGUUGAAUUUAUGAAAAACUAUUGAAGGCGACAUGGGACAGUUGUCCCGUAUAUCAGCUAUGAAAUGCUUUAGAUUCAUAAUGCAUACCAUACAAGGAGUCAGCAUGUGCAUCCUUGAUGGUACGACCUUGGCGCCAGCCCAUUUUCAUCAGUAAUUUCACACCUGCUCAAAUUAUGUCAAGAUAUUACUUUUAUCUGAAAAUACAUAUAAUGAUGCACAUCUGGAAGAGAUAAGGAACAGAGAAACAAACCAAUCGAGGUUGUGCCAGGGACCACUAAUUCAUCCGGAACAGGUCCAGGAAUAGCUGAUGGUCUGCAUACAGGUAUGUGACAAUCUAACAAUUAGUACUUCUGCAUCAAUGAGAAAGCCAAUUCAAAUUGAGUAGCGAGCACACUAAGCUUAGCUUUUUAUUUGAUUAAAUAUCAUGAAACCCCAACAAUUGGGGGGUAUCAAAUAACCAUAACUUUAAAAAAAAUAAAUCAAAUAACCACAACUAUUUGGCUCACUAGUACUAUGAACCCAAAUUGUGAGAUUUCGGGCCUUCAACAGCAAAAACUAACCGUUUGGGCCCACUGGUCAGUCACUAUGUGGCCAAAAACCCGGAGACAGUUGCUUUCCACCCAAACUGUGCUGAACCAGCCUGAACCUAGAGUAAAUAUCAAGGAACCACAACACCGGGAGUUCCAGUUCCAGAAAACCAUAACAUAGUUUCCACUGGUUGAAUAUUUUGCCUUACUGUAGGGCUUUUUAAGCUCGACUCUCUUUUCUGGUCGAUCAUAUGCGAUUUAAUAUUCCCUCCGAUCCAUAAUAAGUGUCUCAGAUUUUGUACUAACUUAGUACAAAGUUGUACUAAAUCUGAGACACUUAUCAUGGAUAGGAGGGAGUAGAAAACAAUUAUGGUGUAUGAUGAAUACAUAUGGGGAUGGGAAUGGGCAUAUUUACAAAAGGAGAACAUAACUGUCAAAAACACAUGAUAAUAUAUAAUAUAAGUGUUUGCUCGGUACUCGAUGAACCACUUGAACUUUAAAUAAUCUUUUCAAUAGAGCAAAAUAAAUUUGUUAAAAAGAUGAAUAGAAAUUAAUUUUAUAUGACAACAAAACAUUUUUCAUAUUGUGUUUAUUUAAAACUAAAAGCCCGUUGUUGUGGUUCCUUGAUAUUUACUCCGAGUUCAGGCCGGUUCAGACAUUUCGGGGUGGAGCAACUGUCUCCAGGUUUUUUGUCCACAUGGCGACUGAUCGGUGGGCCCAACCGGUCAGUUUUGUUGACAAAGGCCCCAAACCUCAAAAUUUGGGAUCUCCGUUCAUAAUUAGCGAAAUAGUUGUUUUCAUCUGAGAUAAAUUGUAAGUUGUGGUUAUCUGAUACCAAAUCCAACUGUUGGGGUUUAAUGAUAUUUACUCGUAUAUUUUAAAAGGCAAGCUUACGGACAAAAUAGAUAGAUAAAGACAAGUAAUACUACAAGUUGAAGUUUAUAUAGCUAGAUAGGCACAUCAGGCCUCGUACAAUGGCCUGACAGCAUACUUCCCGUAGCAAUGCCACGCAGGAUAAUUGCUGACAUGGAAGAGAGUGAUGAAAAAAGAGGCAUGCCUUUCUCUUAACCAAGAGAUGAUCGAUCUCUCAUCGCUCAUCGGAAGUCAUUUUUCUUCAUUUGUACUAUGUCAUUUCUUAGUCACAGACUUCCUAAUUAAAUUUAAAUCACGACAUACUUUUUAGAGGCGUGCAAACAUUAAUUGCUAGAAAUCAUACUAAGAGGUAACUUAUUAUAUACUCCGUAUUUGCAUAGAAUGUUUUGUUGUCAUCUCUAGAUGGCAUGUAGGAUAAGAGAAGACUGCCUUCUCAACAACUGUACAUGCCCUUAAUGCUUCGGUGCAAAUAAAAGUAGAGAUGGCGGUUAGAAGAAAAGUUGAUUAACAGUGAGUUAGGCUAACUUCCACCCAUUAACACAACAAGUUCAGGCAUGUUUGUCUUUCAUGAUAAUUGUAUGGUUCGCUACUUUAGCUUGGGCACACCGAAGUUACUUACUAUCUGACUGACCCCUCAUAGACACAAUCGUUGGACAAGAAACAUUCCUAAUAUGUGACAACAAUUUGGUUGCCACAGCAAAGAAGCAUGGGUUGCCACAGUUUACCAAAUCUACAUCGAUGAAGUGUGGUAGCCAAUGAAACAUCAGCCAAGCUCUACAGCAUGAUGGUUAUAGAAUAAUAGCACAUAAUGUAAAGAUGCUAACCUCUCGCUCUGUUCCUUCGAUGCUUGUUUUCGAGCGUGUUCUGCAGCAGUAAAACCAAAUGUAUCAUACUGUUGAGAUGUUUCCAAGGCGUUACCUCCCAUAUCCUGUGAUUAGAGCUUGGAACUGUCAACAGAUUAAUUCAUAUUUUCAUGGAACAGAUUCAUUCCGAUAAAAAACUUGAAUACCAUCAAAGCCUUGGAGGUCAAGGUGAGUCAAAUACGUAAACAUUGAGAGUGGAUCAAGAAGCAGCAAUACAUGCUGGUCAAGCUUUAGAGUUUACACUUUUUUUACAUUCAAGAAACAAUGAAGACAGUUUAUGAGGACAAUUAUUGUUUGCUUCUCUGAUAGGCAUCAUCUAGACUACAUAUGCUUUUACUGCAAGCAUUUCCAGACAGAUGCACGGUGUUACAAGUUAAUUAAUUGGUGUCUACUCAAAGCUGAGUAACAUGCUUGCCCAUGCUCAUAGUUAUCUUUAUCUUUACACUUAUAAAGAUUCGAGUUGGUGGUUGUCAAUUCACCCUAUCGAGACUACUCCCUAGCCUGUUAGAUAAUCACUUGAUUGCCACCCAUUCAAUGUGAUAUAGAUAUAUAUAUCAAAAUCUUUUGAUUGUAGUUGAUGUGGUUUGAUGUAUACUUUUGAGAUAAUUGUUUUCUCAAAUAAAUAUUUUGAGAGAAUUCCUAUUUAGCAUGAAGUUGGAAAAUAUGCAUAAGAGCAUCUCCACCAGCUUCCCUAUAAUUGGUUACCUAAAACCAGUUAUAGGGAUACGUGAGAGAAGAAGUUGGUCAAGUUUUUUGCCUCUUCUCCUUCUCCACCAGCUUACCUAUCCCCAUUCCCUAUUUUCUUCUAUACCUCUCUAUGACACAUGGGACCCACCCGUCAUUGAGACAACAUAAAUCCCCAAUGCCUUCUUCCUCCAAGCCCUAUACUUGCGCCCGCUGCUGCCUCCGCGAUGCGCCGCCUCUGCCUCCUUGCUGCGCAGCUCCCUCCGCACCUGGCCACGAGAGCCCGCCGCCGCGCCCCGCCACGGGAUCCCACGGCCGCGCCCCGCCGCACGAGCUCUCCGCCCCACCGCACCUGUGCCCCACCACGGGAGCCCGCCGCCACGCCCCGCCUGUUGCUCGAAGCUCACGCCCGCAGCUCGCCCGAGGAAGAUUUGGAGGCGCAGCCGAUGCCUGAGUCUGGAGGCGGCGAUGCGCGAGGGGAGCUCGAAUCCGGCCGUCUUGGGCACGAUUCCGCCCGCCACGAGCACGAUUCCGCCCGCCGCGGGAUUAUUCCGGCCGCCGCGGGCUUGAAUUUGGAGAACCUCGUAGCCGGGGAAAGUUCCGCCCAAGCAGUUGGCUCUCCCACCAGCGUGUCCCAGUUUUAGGUAAUGGACUUUUGGUUACCUAUAUUUGAGUAUAGGAGACAGAAAAUAUGGGUAACUACCUAAAAAUAUAGGGAUAGGUCAUAGGUAAGCAUAUAGCUAAGCUGGUGGAGGUGUUUUUUGAGUCCCAUUUGGUAUAAAAGCAGUUUUUAGUUAUAGGUAACCAAUUUGAGUAAGCUGGUGGAGAUGCUCUAAGUAUUUAAAAUAACUCAUGCAUGUAAUAUAUAAUUUUAAUUCCGUAGCAACGCAAGUGCAUUUAUCCUAUACUGACAAAGUUUUGCACAUCACGAAUAUUGAGAUCCUGUCCUUUAUCAUUGAAUUAUACUCCAAGCCAUGGAGCAAUUUUGUGCACAAGCAAAAAAAUUAUCUUAGCACUGAAAAAAAAACUGAAAACCAAAGCGUUUUCAUUUUAACUGUUUCUUCCUCACUAGAAAACUAGAACAUGAUGUGUUUGUCAUAGCACUGAAAAAAUAAAACGUUAAGCAGUCUAAGUUGAAGUACCUUAAUUCGAAAUAUAACAUAACAGUAUGUAAUCACUGCAAAUCAUGAACCAGAUUUAACUUUCCAUACAACAAUGUGACCAACAGAAAGAAAGAAGACAAAGACAUACCUUGAUAUCUUCCUCAUCAAGAAAAUUAUAUAUGCUUUGCUUUUUAUGCUCGGCUCUACUUUUUCGUGACGAUGUAAAUGUCUGCGGCGUCCAUCCUGAAGUAAACCAUAGUAUUUACAACACCAUCCAUUUCUUCAGUGGCAAAGUCACAAAUUAGAAUCACAAGCUUCAGAAAUUAUACCCUCUUUUGAGCCAGCAGUAUUGUAAAAGCCAGCAGAGAAGCCUCCAGUGAAUGCACCAUGAAAUCUUCUCCGCCCUUCCUCAUCCCUCACCUACAAUCCGAUUACCAUUUCAUUUUUAGUAAACAAAGAAGAGUAUUAUUACUUCAAGGAAACCAUAUGCUACAAAACUUAACAGUAACGGCAAUAGAAGAGAAAGUCCAAAUGCCCAAUACAUUGGUAACAAAAGAAGGAAAACUAAAAAGAAAUAGCUCGCUCCACACAGUUCCGCCACGAACCCUAAAUUAAAGAACAUUUUUGCAGCAUCCCUGAAUGCAACAAACGCCAUUAAAGAAGUUAAAUGGCUUCUAAAACCCUAAAUUGGAACAAACUCAACAGCUCACUUUCCCUGAUAGAGCAACAUGUAUACACUAACUUAGAUAGUGACCAUAGCUCAGCUUAUCAACAUCCAACACGCCAUGAGUCACCCUCGUAUGAGGUAAGCAUAUCUCUCUUUAUUCUAAUAUAUCGACUCCUAGAGUAGCAUCGAUAUUAAGCCACGUCAUCUCUGAAACAAUAGCCAUCAGAUAAAACCUAACAAUAAAUCUUAGACCUUGGAUCAUAAAUUGCCAAAAGGUGUCUACAAGAAGAGACAACUUUCGGAUUGGAUGGAAGUUGGUUUAACCAUACAGUGAUGGAAAAAGAUGCUAGCAUACAACUGCCUGGCACUUCAGCUUGGAGGACAGAGUCGUGUUUGAGAUGUAAACAACAGCAUGUCGGACGAGAUCGUGGUGGCAGUGGUGCAGGUGCAUGAGAUCUCCAGCCACUCGGGCAAGAGGAGCUUCCCUGAGUUCUUUAGCUCUAUAACAUGCAAGGCAUCAUUGUGGAGCGCAAAUCAUUGGUGCAUUCCCUGAGUGCUCUUGUUCUAUAAUGUGCAAGGCAUCACUGUGGAGCGUAAAUCGUGGGUGUGUUCUUCCAGGUGGCAAGUCGGUAAGUUUGACUUUGAUCAGAGAAGAGUAGUUAUUUUUUCUUGUAGCAAUGCUACACAAGGCACCGACAAUGUGGGUCAAACACCUUUACUAUGAAUCUUGGCUGAGGAACAGUUGCGAUCAAUUUCCCUAUGAUCUUGCGGAAAUGAGAUUUACUUCAUGUUUUAAGAGGCUUUGAUUGCACGUACUAAUCAAGCUCUAUGACAACAGAGAGCAAUUGUCAAAUUUCGUGGGAAUAAAAUACAUUCAACACAUAAAUUGCCGUUACCACGGUGAACUUGAAUAGAAACACAAUUACAGAAUGAACAAUUAUGUUUGCAUAUUACUGUAUAGUGGCAAGAAGUAAUUAGUAGAUACUCCAACUUUUGCACCCUACAUCUAUAUUACUAUACCUCAGUGUGUACUGCAGGAGCAGAUUCCAUAACCUUAAGCAAGUGGAUUAAAACUAAAGCUAAAACUAAUUUUGAAUAAAUAUCCUACAUCUUGAAUUAUAUACUCCGUAGAAUGAUAUCGUAACUCAAUGGCUUAGCAGGCAUGGGCAUGACACUACUAUGUUGAUAAUAGUGGCAGAGAGAACGAGAGGGAGGGACCUCCUGCUUCCAGGCGGGGAGAGCACGGAGCUGGCCCGCAUCGGCGACGGCCCGGCGCUUGCGGGCCGAGAUGUCCUCCUCCCGCUCGAUCGGCGUCCCGUAGACCACAAGAUCUUGGUCGUCGUCGUCGAAAGCCAUGGCAGAGGGAGACGCGGCGCCGGAGCCCUAGCGCCGAAGCUGGGUAGACGAUUGGCGAAAGCGAGACGUUGGUAGAAAGGCAAGUGGACCAGGGAUACGGCGGGGAAACCCUAGCAGAGGAGACGUUGAUAGAGAGACAAGUGGGCCAGGGGAUUCAGAGGCAGAGGGGAUGGAGCGAGAGGAGCGGAGGGCGGCGGAGGUAAGACUGGGGACGGCGGCGGGCGCCGGUAGAGGAGGAGGAGCGCGCGGCGGCGAGCGGCUGCGGGGGACCGGCGGCAGAGGCUGCGGGAGGAGAGAUUGCGACGCUGCGCCCAAAAAUAAAAGGACUCUGCUACAGUACCCCGAAAUUAAUAUAACCCGUCCAUUUGUUUUGAUCGGUCCAGAUUAACUGCUACUACUCGAUACUCCGAUCGGGAUGCCUGGAGUAUUAUCAAGAUGGAGUGUCAAGAAGUCCAAUAGCCUCCCUACUUCACCCCCUAUCCUCAAAUUUAGGUUUUCUCGACACAAAACAGUCUCCAGCAGAGCCUCCUUCUCCCUCCCGAAACUGAGACGGCCCCGAUACUUCCCUCCCGACGACCCAAACUGAGCGCCCCGGUAGGGGAUCCCGAAAGCAACCGUCGGACGCGGAAUCCGCCUCUUCGCGUGCAGGUUCUUCUUCCUUUCCCUUCCCUCCCUUCCCUGUUGUACAUUGCAUGCGGCGGUCGGCGAUUUGGUUGGGCGGCGGAUGGGGAUUCCGGCGGCUGUGGCCGAGGCAGGGGAGGCCGGGGGCGCUGCGGGGCGGGAUGGGGUGGCCGGCGGCGCGGGGUGGGGAGGCCGGCGGCGCUUGGGGUCGGGAACUUGGGAUGGGGAGGGAUGGGACGGCGGCGGUGGUGGGCGGGAUGGGGAGGAGCGGCGCUGCGGGGCGGGAUGGGGAGGCCGGCAGCGGUGGGUGGGAUGGGGAGGGAUGGGGCGGCGGCGGCGGUGGGCGGGAUAGGGAGGGCGGCGGCGGUGGGCGGGAUGGGGAGGGAUGGGCCGGCUAGGUCAAAGGAGGGGAGGGCGUCCGGUGCUGCUUUCGGCCGGUGCUGCUCCCGGCCGCAUGGGCACUCGCCAGAAGAGGAGGAGGGGAGGGCGCUGGUUCCAUGGUUUGGACUGCAGAGAGAAGAGUAGAAUUUCUAUACAUAUAAUGUAGAUGCAAAUUGGUAGAUCAAUUUAGUUGUUUUUUCAUGAAAUCAGAUCAUACAAUUGUGACUAAAUUGCUUAUAAUUUUUUAGUGUGUUUCAAUGGAAAGCUAGAGACCUUUGUUGUUGUUUCAUGAGAGCAGUUCAUACACUUGUGAUAGAAGGAAGACAGAGAGGUGAGAAUCUUGUGCAGAUUGAUGGGUGUUAGAAAUAUUUGUACAUCAAUUUUAUAGAAAUGUAGAUGUAGAUUAGUAGAUCAAUUUUGUUGUUUCAUGAGAGCAGAUCAUACAGUUCUGAUUAAAUUUCCUAAAAUAUUUUUAGGGUGUUUCGAUGGAUAGCCAAGAUAGUUCCAUGGGUUUGUACACAAAUUUGUUGAGUGAAGGAUAUAUUGAGGAAGCUUGGGGCGAAAAUUUGAGCAAUCAAUUUGGAGCACAGCCAAUGCAAGCUGAAGUUCCUACUCCUCCAGUAAAAGUAAAUAACAAGAGGAAAGGAAAUUUCAGUGACAAAGAAGAUGAAGUGUUGGUGGCUGCAUGGUUGCAUGCUAGUAUGGAUCCAAUAGUAGGUGCUAAGCAAAAGAGUGCGACUUAUUGGAAUAGGAUCCAUGAGGAGUAUGAAUUGCACAAGCCAGAAGGAAGUGACCGCAGUGUCAAUUCCUUAUCACAUCGUUGGUCCGUUCUGAAAGAACAAGUGGGUAGGUUUUGUGGAUGCUACGAUCAAAUUAUGCAUAGGCACGAAAGCGGGAAGACAGAACAAGAUAAGGUAGUUCACCUAGUCGUUUAAUUUCAUUGUAUAUUCAUAUGUUUUUUGCCAAUAUACUAAGACCUAUUCACUUGUGCAGAUUGUUGAUGCUCUCAAAUUGUUCAAGUCACUAGAUAAGACCCAUAAAGGGUUUGUGCUACUGCAUUGUUGGAACAUGAUGCGUUUCGAACAAAAGUGGUUGGCUCAAACUGAUAGGUCAUCUCAAAGUAAUAAAAAACAGAAGUCAAGCUCAAAUGCAAGUCCGAGUAUGUCUACUCAUGAAACCAACACGGUCCAUAUUGAUGACUUUGAAGCUACAUCUCCGGCCAAAGCGGAUCACAUGAAGAGACCUAUUGGGAAGAAGGCGGAGAAAGUGUGGCAACGUCGAGGUAAAAAUGUUACCUCUUCAGAUGAUAGUAAUGUUGUCAUGGCAUUGGAUCUUGUGUUUUCAAAGGGGGAGGCAAGGGAGAUGGCAAGAGAAACAGCAAGACAAGCAAGAGAGAAUGCAAGAGAGGCAUCAAAGAAAGAGCGUUAUGAAGGAGCACUUGCAAUGGAGCAAAAGAAGAUUGAAAUUGAGGAAAGGAAGAUGGAAAUGGAAAUCAUGAACAAGGACCUUAGUUCUUUGGAUGAUGAUCAAAAAGAAUACUACAGGAUGUUACGGCGUGAUAUCAUUGACCGACGAUCUAAAAGAUCGAUUUGAGGUCUAUGGAUUAUGUUGUUGUACGAACUAUUUGAGGUUUAUGUUAUAUGAACUAUUUGAGGUCUAUAGAUUAUGUUGUUGUAUGAACUAUUUGAGGUUUAUGUUGUUGUAUGAACUAUUUGAGGUCUGUGGAUUAUGUUGUUGUAUGAACUAUUUGAGGUUUAUGUUGUUGUAUGAACUAUUCGAGGUCUAUGGAUUAUGUUGUUGUAUUUACUAUUGAGGUCCAUGGACUAAUUCAUUAAAGUAGUUGCAUACAUUACCAUACAUAAUAUUACAUCCCUCCAUAAUGUAAAAACAGUACAUGCUAAAUAGAUCAGGUCGGCAGGGUAACCUUCUUCGGGACAAAACCUUUCCGAUUUAGAUCCUAACUCUAACUAGGUAAGUUGCGCACUACAUUGCCCCAUAAAUUUGCCAUAGGUGCUCAACCAGGUCAUCUUUCAGUUGAGAGUGGACUUGUGCGUUGCGGAUGUCAAGAUGAUUCUGAAUGAAGUUCGAGAAUUCAGCCGUCUAUGUAUGAGAGGGAAUAACCUUUUCUCCCAUGUUGUCGUAAUUGUAGUCUUGUGGACCUUCGUCUCGCUCGUCUUCAACUAUCAUGUUAUGCAUGAUAACACAAGCUGUGAUGAUAUCAUGGAGUACUUCUUCAUCCCGCAGUCUUGCUGGUCCACGAACAAUUGCAAAACGAGCUUGAAGAACUCCAAAUGCUCAUUCCACAUCCUUCCUAUGUGCUUCUUGACAUUUUGCAAAAUAUUUAUUCUUUUGCCCUAGUGGAGAGGGUAUUGUCUUAACCAAUGUUGCCCACUGUGGGUAUAUGCCAUCGGCAAGGUAGUACCCCAUUGUAUAAUUGUUACCAUUUACUGUAUAAUUUACCUGUGGAGCUUGCCCUUCUGCUAGCCUCGUGAAGAUAGGGGAACGGUGAAGAACAUUGAUGUCAUUAAGAGAGCCUGGUAAACCAAAGAAGGCAUGCCAAAUCCAAAGAUCCUGUGAAGCAACAGCUUCCAGAAUGAUUGUGGGCUCGCGCACAUGGCCAGUAUACAUACCUUGCCAUGAAGAAGGGCAAUUUUUCCACCCCCAAUGUAUGCAGUCGAUGCUCCCUAGCAUUCCAGGGAACCCUCUGCUCUCUCCAAUUGCAAGCAAUCUAGCAGUAUCGGCAUCAUUUGGAGAUCUAAGAUACUCAUCUCCGAAAACUUCAAUAACAGCUCUAACAAAUGCUUUCAUACUAUCUAAAGCAGUACUUUUUUCAAUCCAAACGUACUCAUCUGUAGCAUCCGCUGCUACACCAUAAGUCAACAUUCGAAACACUGCAGUAGCCUUCUGAAGAGAUGAUAACCCAAGUUUUCCAGCAGCAUUUCUUUUCUGCACAAAAUAGCUAUCGUGUUCCUGCACAGCUUUCACUAUGCGAAAAAACAACGGCCGAGCCAUUCGAAACAUGUGAGAACAAAGGUAAUUAGUUGUACACUAGAUGAACAAUAAAAAUGCAAAUAAAAACCAUAUAUAAGCAUUGCAUACCUUCGGCGAAAAUACGAGGGGCCAUAGACAGGAUGCUGCGCGAAGUAGUCUUCAAAUAAUCUACCAUGCCCAGCUACCCUAUCGCGGUUAAUUACCUGACGACCCGACACAGAACCGCCACGGCGUCGAGCAUUGAAUCGCAUGUUUCCGUUCAGAACUAUGGCCGCUGUAGCAACCAUUAGUUCAUGGCCGUCAUCUUCAUACUCCUCCUCCUCCGACGACGAUGAACUCACGUAUUGCAAAAGUGUGCUACGACGCAUUUUGUGAGAGGAGGCUGAGAGAUGUGGCAGAGAGUGAAUGAACAAUGCUUCAGAGCUCCACAUAUAUAUAGACCAAGAAAUAUAGCCGUUGGAAAUAUAACCGUUCAAAAUAUAGCCGUUUGGAAAAGAGCCGUUGAGAAAAUAGACAUUGUAAAAAAUCCGUUGCAACAUAUUCAUUUAAUUAAAAAAUUCACAUAAUUAAAUUAUAAUAUUAUAGUUUAUUUAAUAAUUGGAUAUAAAUAAAAUACAACUAUUAAAUUUAAAUUAUAAGCGUUUCAAAUGCAAAAUUUCAAUUCAAGUCGUUUGAAAUAUAGAUGUUUGCAAAAACGGUUGAUGGAUAUGAAUAAAAUAUGGAAGAAUGAAUUAUAGGGGCUGAGAUUUGAGUAGUCUGAGGAGAUGAGAAAUUUGAGGAGAGAAUCUUGUUUAGGGAAUCCCCGUAUAGAGAUUUGAGGGUUCAAAUUUGAGUAGUCUGCUGGACUUGCUCUAAAGGGUAAAAACGUUAACUUGACCUGACCGUGGAGAGGCUCACCGGGCGACUCAGCCGUCAGCACGCGAGCCGGCAACCACACAACACCCUCCGCCGACUCUCUCUCUCUCUCUCUCUCUCUCUCCUGCGCGGCCCAGGCGUCCAGCCCACGGUGGCGGAGAGCCUCCUGUUCGUCCUCCCCCCUGCUCUCUCCUCUCCUCCCCAUCGACCUCCCGCGGAUUCCUACCGAUCUGGUGCAACGGAUCGAUCGCUUGGCAUGGCGCCUGCGCGUGCGGCAACACGACCUCACGUGCGAGGGCAGGGAGGAGCUCGUGCGGUCCACCAUGAAGAACGGCGCCAUGGUGAAAAUUGCGUCGGAUGCUGCGGCCAUGGGGCAGACCAUGGAGCAGACCGGAUGGAACAUCAGGAAAAACAUCCAUCGCCCCCCUGCGGAGCUGAAUUUUCUGCACCAAAUCUGCGCCAUGUCUCUCCCCAAAAGAGCCUAAUUGGCUAAAAACAGGACGGCGGGGCGGACACCUGGGAGGAGGACGGCGGCGGCGCGGACUGGGGACGCCUCGGCGUGGACGCCUAAGAGGAAGACGCCGGCGCGGGUUGGGAGGAGGACGGCGGCGGCGCGGACUGGGGACGCCUCGGCGUGGAUGCCUAAGAGGAAGACGUCGGCGCGGGCUGGGAGGAAGACGCCGGCACAGACGCCUGGGAGGACGGCAGUGGCUCGUUGCGAUGGGAAGGGCUCGGUCGCGAUGGGGCGGACAGCGGCGGCUCGGUUGGUUGAUGCCUGGGAAGAGGCCGGCGGCGUAGCGACAGACGGGAAAGCUUGGGGAAAAUAUAUUUUUAAUUUUAUUAUUAAUGUGAAAAGUCCAAAAUAUCCUUUCCUAAUACUCCACUUACACUAAUAGAGUAUUAGGUACUAUAGAAUCUGCAAAAAAAGGAUGAUGAGGGAUGUCAAUGGGUACCUGUUACCCGCUUACCCAGCGGGUAAAUACCCACUAGGGCACGGGUUUGGACUAAAAACUUACCCACGGGUACGUAAAUGGGAAAAUUUCCGUACCCAUCCGGUAGAGCAGGUACCCAUACCCAUGUACCUGUUUACCCAUAUACUAACUAGUGUGUGUGUGAUCUUCACGGAGAAUACAGGCUCACAAUGUGCUGCAGUUUUUGUCAUGAUGUGUUGUUAUUUUUAAUGAUACAUUGUCUUUCUAUGUGUUGUUGUUGUUUAUAUUGUGGUGGUGUAGUGUUGUUUAUGACAAGAUUAUUGCUUUUUUCAGAAAAAUAUAUUGAUUCUAAGCAAUAUAUUGUUGUUUACGGCUAUGCGAUUAAAUUUUAACAUAUCUUUACCGCGGAUGCCAGUCUACCCUAACGGGUAACGGGUAUGGGAAAAAGUUGUACCCGUUGGCUGGUAUGGGUACGAGUAACGGCCAAGAUCCAAAGGAGCGGGUAAGAUCAAAAAGUGCGGGUGCCAUCCCUAGUGAUGCAUGCGUUUUCUUCAGAGGAUCAGAGGAUCAGAGCAUCUCCAUCAACUCCAGAAGAUCUUAAGGCCCCAAUAGCUAAAUUUAGGGGAUUUUGGCCUAAAAUCGGCCUCAAGCAGAACCCUCCCAUCCCCCAUAUCGACGAGCGCCCCAAAUCCAGGUCAGGAUCCCCCAUAUGGAGGAUCGAGCUUGGGAUCCCCUAUCCCUCAACCGCCGACGCUAAAGCAUCCCUCCCGCCGAAUCCUCCUCUCCGCCCAGUACGCGUCGUCACCAUCUUCUCCUUCUUUCUCCGCCUCUCUUCUCUGUUUGCUUCGCCGGAGUGGAGAUGCGGCCGGAUCUUGCAGAAGUUGGAGGGGCUUCGGUAGAGGAGGGGAGGGGUAGCUGGCGGGGAGGCGUUAGGCUGUGGGGUGAGGGGUCGUUGGCGGCCUAAGCAUGGGGGGGGGGGGGUGGCUGGCCAGCAGGGAGGAGGGAAGGGGCGCAGGGUGGCCAGAGGUGCUGCAGAUUGGGGAUUGGCCGGCGACGCUGCGGAUUGGGGAUUGGGACAGGUGCUGACUACUUGGGCAGGAGAUCGAUUGAGAAAAAUAGUUGUAGUAGUAUUGUACUAACUAAUGUCAUUUCUAAAUUGAAUUUUAUCUUUCGAAUGGUUUAGUGAAAUGCCAUGAAAUUUUAACAGUCAACUUAGAUUAGUGUUUAUGAUUUUGUGGCAAAGUUCUAAUUUUUUCUUAGAAGUUUGAAUUUUCGGGUUUAAAUUUGGCCGAAUUAACCAUUUAAAUUAAGUUGUUUGAAAUAUGUUUAUUCAGUAAAAAGAUCGAAAGAUAUGAAUAAAUUCGGGUAAGUUAUGUAUAGCCGUUAAAAAUAUAGCUGGUAUAGAACAGUUCGUAAUUUAUAAAGACUUUGUUAAUUUAAAUAUAAUAUUAGAGUUUAGUUAAAUAAUUAAUUAUGAAUAAAAUAAAGCAUUUUUAUUUCAAUUAUAUGCAUUUCAAAUAUCCGAUUUCAAAUCAACUCAUUUGAGAUAUUGAAGUUUAGAAAAUUGGUUGGAAAAUAUGAAUAUAAUAUACACAAGUUAAUUGUAGGGGGUGGAUUUUGGGGAAUCUGCCGAAGAGAAUUGAGAUUUGGGGGGGACAAAUGGGAUAGGGGAUACCCAUAUAUGAGAUUUGGGGAUGAGAUUUAGGGGAUCUCUUGAAGUUGCUUUAAAGCUAUCACAAAUGUCCUAUUUGGGGAUAUGGACAUUUUGCCCCCAAAAUCACCCCAAUGGCAUCCCCUAAACGGACAAAAUAUCAUGUUUGUUCGGACACAUCCCCCAUACUUGCCCCAAAUUUAGAGCAACUCCAAUGGGAUCCCCAAAUUUUGUCCCAAAAUGUCUUUUUUUUGGUUAUUUGGGGGAGCAAGUGGACAUGUGUCCUCAUGUCCGCCAUCAUCACCCAACCACACCCCCCCUCCCCAAAUUCCUCUCCAAAUUAGUUUUUCCUUCUCUUUAUCUUUUCUCCUCUCCUUUUCACCUUUUCUUAUCCUUUUCCCAUCUCAUGUUGUGGGGCUGGGGCAGACAAAAGGGAGCACAAGACAAUGUCCGGACACCCCAAGCCUCCCCCAAAUUUGGGCAAGUUUGGGGGAUUGUCCGGACAAACAUGACAUUUUGUCCGUUUAGGUUUAGCGGGUGCCAUUGGGAGAUGAUUUUAGGGGCAAAAUGUCCAUAUCCCCCAAAUAGGACAUUUGGGAUAGCUUUGGGGAUGCCAUUGGAGAUGGUCAGGGAGGUUUGGGGUGUCCGGACAUUGUCCGGUGCUCUCUUUUGUCCGCCUCGGCCCCACAACAAGAGAUGGGAAAAAGAGAAAAAAAAGUAAAAAGGAGAAGAGAAGGAUGAAGAGAAGGAUUUGGGAGAGGAAUUUGGGGGGUGUGGUUGGGUGAUGAGGGCUGACAUGGGGUGGACACAUGUCCACUUGCUCCAAAAAUUACCAAAAAAAGGACAGUUGGGGGCAAAAUUUGGUUUAUCCCAUUGGAGUGGCUCUUACUUGCGUUUUGGGACGCAGGAUCCAAGGGGUCUUUUGCAUCUCGGGUCGCGUUGGAUGCGGCAGGGCAACCAAGCAGAGCCAUUUUUUCGUCCCGGAUGCAGGCCAAAGCCCCAGUGGACAAUGCCCUUACAUUAUUGUCAGAAUUUUUUUAGUUAACGUAUAUGAGUGAAAUUGAGUAGUAAAAAAGAUCCAAAAUUCAAAUUAAGUAUAUAAUGAUAUUGUAUGAUAGAUUUUUAUUUUUAGACAUCAAAAAAGUUAAAAUGAUAUUUAAGAAUGGUACCAAAUGUUUAUCGGUUCACAAGUGAAUUUUUAGUUAAUAUUUAUCAUGUAGAGUAUAAUUUUAAACCUUAUAUACAAGGGAGCAAUCUAAAUGUUCUGAUGUUGACGAUUCUCUUUCUUAACGAAUGCCUUGGUGCUUCUAAAAUUUCACAAUUUUGUAAACAAAACUUACAAAAAUAGAGUGAUUAACUAUGUGUUAUAGGUUGAUUAGACAUAAAAAAAGUUUAUGGGAUAAACGAGUAUGCUUUUCAACAUUCUCAUAAUAGACACGAAGAUUCCAUGCGAGCCAUGGGUGUAUCUGGCACAAAAGUGUGAAUGGUCGGGUGACAGUCAUGCAUGAGUGCUACCAGGCGGGUAACUAAGCUAUAAAUAUUCUAAGAAAGGUGAGAAAUGAAUCAUGCGUCUCCAAAGGCACAAUGACACAAUCAAAACAUCCGAGAUGAGAAAGGGCUUGCAAAUAGAGCGGCUCAACAUUAGGCAAUGUACCUAUUGACUAGAGAAAAUUUGCCGGUAUAUAUAGGUCUGUGCUGCUUACAACUAACUAAAGUGGUGUGGUGGUAUCCUGUUCUUAUAUAACAUAUUUGUGUACAAAAGUUGCACGAAUGAAUAGCACCAUCUGCUCCUCCUUACUGAAUCAAUAAAGUGCUAUGCACAUUUGACAUGUUGAAUUUGACUUGCCCAUUUAGCAACUAUCACUCGUGCUAAAUAUUUUUUCAUAUCAAUUUUUUUGUGAGCACCACUUUUGUGGGCAUGCCACCGGCAUGCUUUUGGUGAGUUUUGCUGUGAAUUAUUUGGUUGUUCCCUUUUUUGUGCUUACUAUAUGAGAAGACAUGAACAAAGAAAAAGAGAUGUGUUUGUCCCACUAAACUAGAUGGGGUGAAAACUAACAUGUCUAUAUGGAGAUGUUAAGGUUUAAGCGAAAAGUGACUCAACCUAGUGAAGAAGUGUGUGAUGACAAUAAUGUUCGAUAAAAGAAAGUUCAAGCUUCUCCUAGAAAUGGCUUUCAUUUAUUGAACCAGGGGCAAUGAGAGGUGGAAGAGGAGUUCGCAUGGGUGAGGAUUGGGAGGAUGGGAGAAAAUGCAUGACCUUGAUGAUAAGGUAGUUACAGUUAAUGCAUGAGCUAUCAUGUAGCUAUGCUUAGCGAUCAUGGGAGGUAUGUGUUAAUUAGUCUGUAACGCAUCUGUAUUAAAAUACAUACGCGCUAACCCAUCCGCGCAUUCUCAUGUGGCUUCACAUUGCACAAUCAUUCUCUUAUACCUCCCCAUCCCCCCGUUCCUGCCCACAAGGACAAGAGAGAAACCAAGUUUCACAGAUUGAAAGAAUAGAAAAUAAGGGAGAUAGUGAUGGAGAAGAAGGUAGUAGUGGUGUGUCUGUUGGUCAGCAUCCUUAACCUCCUUUCUGUUGGACUUGCCUUUGCUGCUGAGAUGACUAAAAUAAAGGUAAAUAGUGAAAUUAUUUAUGCCUCCUAGUACGUGUUGUUUUAGUCAUCUUCUAAUCCACCAUAAAUGAUUUUAUCUUUCCAAGCAAGUUCAUUACACACUUUGUUUCUAGAAAACUAAUCUUGGCCAAUGGUAUACACUAAAAACAAUAAUUAAAUUUUGCCUAACCAGCUCAAAGAUAGCAAAUGUAUCAAGUAACGACAAGCUAUCUAUGGAGAACAAGAACCAAUAUUAUAGUAGUGGCUGGGAGGAUUAGGUGAUGCACAAUGACGCUGUGAUAAGGGGUGAGGUUGGAGAAGGCCACUUGCCUGGUGGAAUGAUGGUAGAAAGGGAAAAUGCUAUAUGAAAAUAGGCCGCAGAGCAAUUGCCAAAAGGUGAUGCAAUGUUGGACUAUUGGAACCCUAGGCGAUUAUGGAGUUGUGCUAUCCUAGUGGGCCGGGCCAGCUAGAACGGUAUAGUGCACCCAUGUCCAAUGUGGGUUGGGCCAAUAGCUAUCCUAAAAGCUAGGUUAGGAUAUCAAUCUUACCAAGCCUUGCGAGCUAGCCCUGACUUAGCUUGUUUGACCAUUGAGACAAGAGGGAGCCGGUGUGAGUAUAGCGCCAUCCUUCGGGAGAUUGGACUUCGUAGUAGAGAGUUCGUAGAUGUUAUUUGUGUUCAUGAAGCGAGAGCCUUUAAUUUAGAUGCUCAUAGUUUAGUGAAGAGUGUCCUUUCUCUUCAACACAGCCGCCAUAUUUGGCUCUCGAAGCCUUGGAACGAUGCAGUUGUACCCAUUUUGAUCGAUGAAUAAAGGCCGUGUUUUCCGCUGAAAAAAAGACCAUUGAGCCAAGAGGCACGGUACACAUGGAAAAGGUGGUGAACUCAUCCGUAGCUCAUCGUCGGAGCUCGUCAUUAAUUAUGCAUAAGACAAGGAGAGAUAGAGAGAUAUAGGGACAUUGAGGGAGAGAGGUAGAGAUAGAGGAUAAAAGGAAGGGAAGGGGUGUGGGUACGUGGAUUAGAGAAAAAAAAGAACUGGGAUGAGGGUGUUGACCACGGCACUAAUUAAGUCUUGAAUGCUCGAUACUUGACACCCUCAUCCCCAAACUUACAAAAGUAGGUUGUUUUACAUUGUGACGAUUCAUGAUGGGAAGAGCUUUUAUUCACCUUGUAUGAAGGUGGUUGCCCAUUUUGGAGGUAACAUCACCAAAAAAAAAAUUAUCUGUAAGUAUACGUAGCCAGUGUCUAAAAAUGUAUCACCAAAGAGAAAAUAUUGCUAUUAUCUUGGAAUGUGUAUCCACAUGGAUCUCACUAGGGAAACCUCAAUUUGUCUAUCAAGAUGCUAAGGCACCUUAAAUUAGAUCCCUAUCAUCAUGGCCACCCCCAAAUUGAUUGGAUAUGUAAAUUUACUUGGUUUUCUAGAUGCAAGAGUGGAUUGCUUUUCCAACUUUGUGAAGGUGGGUAAGCGUUGAUGCGCUAAGGGGACAAUUGGUCCAGCCCUCUCUUCAGUAUCAGCAUUCACACAAUCGGCUGACUCCAUCAAUGGUACAUGGUAUUCAGAGGUGAUGAAGUCAAUUACCAUGUCUCAUACACUGCACUUACACAUCUCUCCGUGCGUGUGUCAUUUGCUAGGAAACACACCGCUAAUCAUGAAUUUUUGGUAUGUACGAGCUAGAAAACCCCGUUGAUGUGUGUAUGCUGGCACGUCUGUGCCAUCUGCUAGCAAACAGUGCUAAUCAUGAUUUUUGUGUGUAUACGCCGGUGGGUGUGUACCAUUUGCUAGGAAAAACUGCUAAUCAUGAUUAAGCUCAUAAACAACAUAAUUAUCAUUUUCUAAUGAAAACUAGAACAGUUGAAAUGUAUUGAUUUAAAAUUAGGAGAUAGCGGACCUAUUUGCAUUUCGUUUCAUUCCUCACUCUCUCCCACAUAUCAAGUUGAGCCCACAUUUCCAUAAUCAAUGUGAGUCUGAUAUGUCUAGGCCUACCCCCUCACGGAUACAAAACAAUUCUGCUUAUGAUAUAACCGUCUGUGAAUCUUAUCUCCAUCGGUUACCGAUCUACGCAUCUGUUGUGAUAUUUUAGUUAUCAUUCUCUUGCAUGCAGACCUCUGGGAUAAUAAGAACGGAGAAUAAUCAAUGCUUGUACCCACACACUCCAGCUUCACUUUUGGGGAUGCUUUCAACUCUAUUUCUCCUAUCCAGUCAUCUCGGAAUCCAUACAGCAGCUGGAUACAUAUGUUCCAAGAGGCAGGGUAAUCGCUCCGACUCCGAAUGGACAGUAGGGUUAAUCUGCCAUGCCAUUUCCUGGUAAUCUUCUACUAUCUGCUUGGGAUACAUAUGAUGGUUCUUAGAAGGGUGGGCAAACUAAUGCAUGCCAUUCACGCGCACACGCAUAUAGGGUGGUGUUUGUACUUGCCGUCCUGUUGCUGCUCCAAGCCACGUCACUGAAUGACCAGAGGUGGAACGGCGCCGCGUCCACCAACAUCAUCUCCUUCUGCAAUGUCGCUGGCGAUGGGAUCUUCUCCAGUGGAGCGGUGCUGGGUCUUGUUAGCAACUUCUUCGGCAUGGUCUACUACCUCGUGACACGGCCCAUAAAUGGAAUUGUGCCUGUUGAGGAGGAACAAAUGCAUGGCAGCUUCUUCGAACCAGGCGACAUUGCGAUGGUCCAGUUGGAACCCCCACAGCCGGCAGCACUUGCCGCCGGCACAGGUGCCGUCGAGCAGCCCGCUGGUCUCCGUGCAUGAGGACACAUAAAACAUUGUCCAGUAAUCCAGUUCGCUUGAGUUGUGCAAUCGAGCCCUAUACCUGAAGCAGCUAAAUAUAACUUUCCCGGAAAAAAUGUAUGCAUUGUUCUCUGUGACAAUACUACAAUUGGAUAUGCCAUUAAAUCUCAAUAAUAUGUUUUUCUAGUACUGCAAUUUUUAGGAUCCCACUUUGCAAGGAGACUACGUGUGACAAACUUUUUGUGUGUGUAGGAUUACAAUUAAAAAUAAUUGUUUGUCUCCUUUGAGGCCCCACAUGAAUUUGCGUUGCCUCAGGGACGGCCCUGGCUAGCUCUAAGGAGCAACCGUUAUUAAUAGAGAUUAACUUUAGGCUUCAUUGGUGUUAGUAUUUGGGAAAAUGAAUUGAACUGGGAUGAAAUACCAAGUCAUCGAGGAAACUUAAUUGGCCCCUAAUUCUAAUUCUGCACGGGAGAUGGGGUGACAAGGAGGUUAGGGACGGCAGCGAGAUCCGACCGAGGUCUCUAAGGUGGUGGCAAACAAGCGGUGGGAUCCAGCCAAGAGGCUUGGUCGGCAGCAGAGCAUGGCAAGAGGACGGUGAUGUACUGAAUUAUCGCUCCUGCGUACGACAAAGGAUGUCUCAAGUUUUUUAAAAUUUAAAUAUAAUAUAUCUAGACAUGACUUAGUGUAUAAAUGCAUUCAAAUUUAUCAAAAUUGAGAUAUCCUUUGUUGGACGGAAAAAAUACAUUAACUGAAUAUGCUCUCUGUCAUAUAUGUCCUAUACUAAAUUAUCCAGAUAACUUGCUAACAAAAUCCUGAAUGUUCAUUCAGGUAGUGUAAAGACAUAUCCCGAAAUACCUAUGUCACGACAGGCCGAGUGGUGCGGUUGAUUUGACGUGUUGCACGCAUGGGGCUCACCUUCUCUUAUCUCUUCUCAUUCUUCUCCCUACCUUAGAAAACCUACGUUUACAUAGCUUCAAAACUCGUAGGGUGCCCAGUAAUUCCAUCUAUGUAUUCAGCCCCAUAAUAUAAACUUAGCAGGAAGUAGGGCUGUUACUCAAUCCAUGUGGACCUGAACCUGACUAAAUCCUGUUGUUCGUCUGUUUAGCACCCUAAGAUCCGUACUACAUAUAAACAAAUCAAAUCAUGUACUAGCAUAGUAUCCAAUCUAGGCGGUAGAGUUUCAUUCCUCCACAAAAGGUUUUUCACUUUUUCUAAAACUUCUUCGAGAUAUUUGAAAGUAGAAAACGGAAAAAUGCGGAAAAAACCAAAACUUGAAAACAAUGGCGAGGACAAAAAAAAUAAGCUGCUUCCAUCAGCCCAUUCUUAGACCGGCCGAAAUCAAUCAAUCGUGGUGUUCUAAACACACGGAGUACCGCCAAUUAGCGCCCAUGUAUCCAACUUGUUGAUUUAGAUCGAACAUGCAUAUAAUGCUUAUUGCACUAAAUCAUCCAUACUGAAGCUUUUAGCGGAAUGGAUCACCAUAGAUUAUCCUCUCUGAUUUCAGAUAUGUCCGUUGUUUCUUCUGAUUUUUUAGGCCUCUGUAGUACAGUCCACACGCACACAAACCACCUACUAUGUAAGCUAGAUCUACAAAUUAUACCUAACAGGCAUGCUCUAAUAGAUUCCCGAAGCCACUAGGCCCGUCACAUACACACACGCACGCAAACCACCUACUGCGUAACCUAGACCUACAAACUAACCUAACGUGCACGCUUUAAUAGAUUCCCAAAGCCACUGGAUCGGAUCUGUUUGUGACGGGUAACACGUCACACUAGUGGAAGCAUAGUUCAUAGCCGGUGGGACGAGCAAAUCCGGAGCCCCCAGGCUUCGAACUCGCGAGUGCUGGCUGCCCCACUGCAAGCCCUGCCAUCUACGCUAGGCGCAGCCCUCACUCUGCCACUGCUUCUGAAAACACCUUAGAGGGCUGGAAUCCGGAUGGCACCCGUCGGGUUCGGGUACAGCUCAACCAUACCCGUACCCGCGACCCGACCCUCAACCGCUACCCGUGGUCGGGUAUGAAAUUUUUACCAUACCCGUGAUAUUUCUACCCGACCCGCCAUCACCAGUAAAUCACAGAAAAAAGAAUCACAAAAACAAAAGCACAUGAGGAAAUCACAGAAAAAAAAUCCUCGGGCGUGCAGGAUCCACGGCGUCGAGACCCAAUCCAACAGCAGCAGGGGCAAGGUCGGUCGGAUCCCAUGGCGUCGGUCCCAAUCCGGCGGCGGCGGCGGCGGCGGGUCCCGAUCUGGCGGCGGCAUGGACAUGGUCGGACGAAUCCCACGGCCUCUGUCCUGAUCGAGCGGUCGCCGGCCGGCCGACCUCCUUCAUGGUGGCGGCGGGGACGGGGGGAGGAGGCGGACACAGGGGGGCGGUGGGCAGGUGGAGGAGGCAGCGCACGGGGCGGCGGCGGACUGGUUGGAGGAGAAGGGGGCACGGGGCAGCGGACCGGUGGAGGAGCCGGGGGCGCGGGGUCGGCGGGCCGGUGGAGGAGGCUGGGGACGGAGGAGUGUCAUGGAGGAGGCUGGGGAAGGAGGAGCGUCGUGGAGGAGGCGGGGAGGCGGACGGGGGGCUCGUGGUUGUGGACAGAGACGGCGGACAGGGUUAGGUUUUGGGGCCAUCCGGGUUUUUAUAUGAAUGGUAUUGGGCUGGGCCUCUUUGAUGGGCGAUUUUGUACAUGGCUGACAAAUUAGGUGCAGGCAGACGGGUCCGGGUAGGCCAAUAUCAUACCCGUACCUGCCAUACCCGUCAGGUACAAUAUUUUACCAUUUAGAUACCCGCAGGUAUUUUUUUAUUACCAUACCCGUAUCUUAAACGGUCCAUCGGGUAUGCGGGUAUCGGGUACCCAUUGUCAUCCAUAGGCUGGAAUAUGCUAGAUGCACCUAAGAUGUCAAGUCGUGAACGCACCAUGUUGGCAUGUUACCCACAGGAAAUCCACAUUUCUGGUCUUGUCGUCACGCCACCCAUUGCCUGCACAAAGAAAGUUGUCUUUUUUCCAAAUACUCCCUUCGCCCGAAAAUAAGUGACUUGGAUUUGUAUGAGCAUAUAAAUUGAAGCCAUUUAUUUUUGGACGAAAGGAGUACAAAACAUUCUUCCGAAAGAAGAAAAGGAAAAAAAGAAGAUGAUUUGCUAAGGGUAUUUUGGGUUGAGCCCAACUUUGCCCUAUCAAAACUUUGACUAGCUAAAUAAUUAGUUUGUCGUAAUUUUAGUUCAAAUUUGUACUAAAACCACGACAAGAAUUUAGGAUAGGAGGAAUUAAUUAGUAACCAUCGAAACAACUACUGUACCAAAUUUUGGUCGAUGACUAAAAAAUUGGUAGUGUGCAUUUUGGCACCAAACCAAAACACACCCUAAUACCAGUGGCAGUGGCAGGUCGAGCAGCACAAAUCUGAGUAGUCCAUUUCGAAUCGCACGGUACAGAAGCAUAUGCCGUCAAUUACUGUUGGCACCUGAAACUUAUCCCAAAUUUCGCAGCUCCGUAGCAUCCACGGCGCCACGUCACAGAUGAUCUUGGAGUAGUUCCCAACCAAAGACGACGGUUCCACGGUGUUCCACCUCAAUCAAAUCCCACAGCCUCACUCUCCGGCGGUCGGCGGACCAUCAAAACCGCCGGCGGUCGCCGCGCAUCCCCCUCGCCUCGUCAUGUACAGCUCCUACUCCGCCGCUGCUCUCGCCCUGCGGACUGCGAAGCCGUCCUACAAUUCCCAUUCCUCUUACCUCCCUUCGCACCACUGCCAGCGUUACGACGGUGACGGCGGUCAGCGCGAGCUCCUCCCGCUGAACGCUCACCUUUCCCCCCGCUUUCUGCUCGAUGGGUGCCUUCUCCGCCACUCCACUCACCUCAUGCUCCUCUCCUCCCGGAUCCGACCUCCGCCCCCACCGCAUCCGCCCCACUGCUUCCGCCAGCGUGCGGCUGCCCGCUGCUGCUGCAGCGGCGGAUGCCGCAAUGGAAGAUCGGGCUUUGAGAAUGUUUAUUGGCGACCGGAGGCGCGCGGGCAUCGAUGUUGCGGGCAGGGCACUGGAAGCUCGGAUCUUGGAAUGGUUCGCGGGCAACUGAAGGCGCGGGGAUGCGGUUGCGGCAGCUCUGGAAUUGGCAGGCUGGGUCUGGGAACUAGUUGUGGACAUCGAGAUACACCGAGGUUGCUUGGCAGGGCGGUUCGGCAGGAGGUGUGGGAGUACGACGGUGGCGAAUGGCCGCGCAGAGGGUGUUCGAUGGAAUGCCGCUGUGAUUGGGAAGAGGAGGAAGAAGGGGAUGAAUGUGGUAUUGCUCAGAGGGAGGUACCAGGUAGGUCACUCUUAAGGAGGAGGUGGAAAGAAGAAGAAGAAGGCGGUGAUAGAUGUAGAGAUUGCAGCAGGAGGAAGGGUGUAGAAAUUGAUUACUGUGAUGAAGGUGAAUACAAUGGCCACAGGAGGGAAAGGAGGGACGUGAAUGGUGUACAUGGUAGGUUUCUGGAUUCUGAUUGGAGGAGGUUGGAGCAGAGGGGCUACUGUGACGAGGAGGAUGAUCUUCAUAUGAGACGAAGAAGGGAGAUGAUAGGGAGAGAAAGGAGAGAUUUUGAACUUGAUGAUGCAUUUGACAUGAAGAGAGUUGGCGCUAGAAGAUACAGUGAGAAUGACAGGAAAUAUGAUUGGCGAAGAGAAAGGAGGGACUCUGAAUGUGAGGAUGUGUUUGAUGCCGGAAGAGUCAGAGCUGGCAGGUACACUGAUGAUGGCCGGAGAUUUGAUCGGAGAAGAGAGAGGAGGGAUUUUGAAAUUGACAGUGACGAUGAUGUGAGGAUAGAAAGGAGGCACCAUAGAAACAACGAUGUAAGAUAUGUUAUGCAAAACCCAAGGAGGAAGGAGGAUAGGGCGGAGGUUGUUUCACUCUCGGAGUCACACCGUUGGCAUGAUAACGAGUGUGAUAAUGAUGAUCAAGGCAUUGCUGGACAUAAGCACUAUUCGGGUAGAUUUCUGAGGUCUUCAUCUGCAUUGCAUAAGGAUGAUUCACAGAGGGCUUCAAGUUCAAGGAACACUGUUGGUACAAGACUUGCAAGGGAGGAUUCAGCCUCGAGGGUGCGUUGGCAUGAUAAUGUAGACAGACGAGCUGUGCAGACAUUGCAAGAGAGAGACCGACACUAUUCUUCCUCGGUUGGUCCGUCAAAUGAUGAGUAUGAUUGUGAUGAUGCACAGCUUAUCAGGGUUAGAGAUUCCAGGACGGGAACACAAGAUGUGAAGGUUAUAACUGAGGAUGAUACACGCUUGAUUUCCAGUUCAAAGAAUACUUCAACUUUGAUGCAUGGUAGCAAUUUAGAUCAGCAAAUAGCAGCUCGGAAGGAUGAAUCAAAGAAAAUCUCACAGAGAAUAAUGGAGACAUCAGAAGUCAGAGGUCACAACACUGAACAAGAUUCCGCAACACGGAGCUAUAACCAGGAAGAUAGAAGAAACUGCAUUGGUAAUAAGUCAUCUUCUCUUCAAAGUUCUGUAAAGAUGACUAGUGACAGUAGAAGACAAAGUAACCAGCAUGAUGAGGUUGAUCAGUCGGUGGUUGCACUCACUGAAUUGAGGAGAAACUCAGAAAAGCUCACAGAUAUAAAGAUGGAUAGUGGUCACAAUGUUAGCAGGGCCUCUCACUCACAGAGAAAUUAUGAGGAAGUUAACCAGAUGGAUCUCGAUGACAGAUCUACUUCCAUAGAGAAUGUAACUCAUAUUACAAGAGACAGGAAGAGGUAUGUUAACCAGCAAGUGAUACAUGAAACAGACAUAGAUGUGCAGAAUGUUUCACAUCUUGAUGUUUCCAAGGUUCGUGCUAGUGAUAUUCAUGUGUCUAGGACUUCACAAAAUCAAUCUGAAACUAGAUCAGAUGUAAACUCUAUUUCCAACGUGAGUAUCAUUGACCGGGCAAGGGGCCAGCAAGAACAAAUACAUCAAAACAAGAUCAUCAUUAGUGAUUGCCCAACUGUCCGGGGUUCACAGAGUUAUCUUGGCAGUGGAGUAUAUGGUCAAGUUCACUUGACUUCGGUUGUUGACAGCACAAAAGAAAUUCAAGAACAAGUGGAAAAUACUAAUGCCCGUACUAACAAUGCUGCUAUGCCAAGUACUUCAGAAAGCCAUAUACUAACAAGAGCAGAUGGUCAAUUUCAGCCAUCCUCAUCUGUAAAUACUGUUGGUAGUGUGGAGCAACAAAUUGAUCUUACUAAGAUCCACGAUAGUGACACUGUAUUUGUUAGCAACUCAUAUAACAGAAGCGACCAUGAAGCUUGUAGGACAAAACCUGUCAAUCUUGUUGAUAAGGCAAGGGAUAGCCAUGACAAAAAUGAUCGGCAAAUUAGAGGAGGUUCUAGUACAGAAAGAAGUGAUCAAUCAAGAACCAUUUCUGAAUCCUUUCAGGACUCUAACGAAAGACUUACAAUAGUAGAAGAGACCGGGAGAUUAAUGCAGCAUAACAUUGCUUUGAACUCACAGCAGGCAGGCACCAGCAGAAUUUCUGAUGAUAAAGAUACUACUAGUUUGGAGAUGGAGAGUAGUGAAGAGGCAUCUAUCUUCAAUCCAGAUAUCAAACAACAAGCGAUAAUACAUGGAGGGAGUGAAACUACUGCAGGACAAAGUAUGCUAGGUGUUUCAUCUGCCAGAAAGUCUGUCAAUGAAAGCUUGUUAGAAUCAGCUGCUCGAUUAGAAAAAUCAUCUACAUUUCAUGUAGGGCAAUUUGUUGGUGAGCUCCAAAGAGGCGUCUCAGAUGCAGAUACUACUUUAACAAAGAAAAAUGAGAAGUCCAUAAUGGAAGGUACAACGAGAUCUUCAUCCAGAUCCAGAAUGAAGGGACCAUCAGAUGAGAUUUGGGAUGUUCAAAGUGCUACGUCUCAAGAGACCUUUAAGACAGCCGAUAAGGAGGAAGGUUCCUCAGCUGAUGGAGGUACCAACUCAGCCUCUCAGACACCCAAAAGUGAGUCUGUUAUUGCUAAAAGAGUUCAUAGGUCACUCUGGGCUUAUGUUGCAGACAUAGUCCGUCUUGGCUGGGUUCAACGAGGUGAAUCUCAUGAUCCUAGCAACAAAUCAUUUAAUAAAAGUUCAUCCAGUAAUUCUCAAAGUACUGAGGGCUGGCUGUCAAGCCAGGGGCAUGACAAUGACAGAAUUCAGAAGAGAAAUUGGGGUACCAAACCAAAAGAUCAUCUGAUGAAGUCACAAAGCGGAGAAUCAGAAUCUAGGCUAGCAUCAGCGCUAAAGGAUGAAAACUUGCCUACAGGCACACAAGGUUUGCAAAUAUCAGAAGCUGGUCAUGUACCUGAAGUAGGUAGUUCGAAAGGAGAUUUUGUACCCAGAAUUUCCAACGAUGCUGUGCAGAUUUCAGGGGAGAGGGUAAAAGCAAAACAAUCUGAAGUGGGUGCAUCACCCAAAGGAAAUAUCAAAGGAGGCUUGGCUGAGGCUAGCACAUCAACUUCGGUAGAUGUCACAGUAGGACAUUUACCUGAACAUGAAGCUGCUACUUCAUCCAGUAUCACAACCAAGCGUUCCACCGAAAUUAAUGCGGGGAAAGGAAUAUUAGGCGGCACAUCUUCGAUCAUCAACGUGGAGGAAGUUGGUCAGAAUGAAGAUGCAGAUAACUGGAGAUACGGACCUUCAGCUGCUAUAACUCCUUACCAUCAUCCUCAAACACAAGCAAUGGUGCCGCAUGAUAAUGCGUCAUACGCUUUCCAAGAAUCAGCGGAAUUGCCUACUGGUGGUUUCACGAGGAUGGAAGAGAAGAUUGUUGUACAGCAGGCCCCUGAAGUUAUCAGAACAGAAGGAAAAGAUGCUGAAUUGAAGAGGAGGAAGAUUCAGCGAAAUAAGCAGGUAUUGAAGGAGACAUUUGAUGAAUGGGAGGAAGCAUACCAGCACGACGCUAAACAGAGAAAGACUGAUGAAUUAUUCAUGAGGGAGGCUUUACUUGAAGCUCAGAGGGCUGCAGAUAUAUGGGAGGUGCCAGUUGGAGCAGUGCUAGUACAUAACGGAGAAAUUAUUGCUCGUGGUUGUAAUCUGUAAGUAGUGAUAUAUAUUGCAUAGCCAACUGUUGCUAAAAAGGAAAAUGAAAUCUUCACUUUGCUUAUUUGUUCUGUUUCUUUCUUGUGUUCAGAGUUGAAGAUCUCAGGGAUUCAACUGCACAUGCCGAAAUUUGUUGUAUAAGAGAAGCUUCUAACAAACUUAAGACAUGGCGCCUAGCGGUAUUAUGUUACCCUCAAUAACUUUCUUCACCAACUUAAUCCUGUGGAAGCAUUGAAAAAUAAUCCCUUGCCUUCCUCCUAUUUAGCCAUUUCCUUCUUUGAUACUUAUUUAAUUAUUACUUAUCUGGUGAAAACUCAUAUCAAACUGGAUAUGAAUAAAUCAUAAUGCACCAAGAGUUACAUGUGUAGUUAUUUCAUACCUUCAGGCAUUCCCAUGGGUCUUUGCUUCAUGGUUUAUCUCUGUUUUUGUUCAAGUUAUUUUUAAAAUUCCGCAAGAUUAUUUAUUUUCAGUUUACAAAAAGCAAGUAGACACUUGUUUGAAAAGUUCCUCACAAUUUAUGAAUUCUUGGAUGCAUUUACCCAUAUGUUGGCCUUUUCCAUACACUUUCUAAUAGAAUGUAUUACAGGAAACAACACUUUAUGUGACAUUGGAACCUUGUGCCAUGUGCGCUGGUGCAAUUCUCCAAGCUAGAGUUGAUACUGUUGUAUGGGGUGCACCGAACAAGCUUCUUGGAGCCGAUGGCAGCUGGGUUAGGUAUGGAGUUUUAACAUAUAGUGAAUUUUAUAUUGAGUCCUUUUUUACUCAAUAAUAUUUCUUCCCCUUUCAAGCAACUAUCUAGUUUGUUAGGUGUUCAAAAUCUUGAGAUGAUGUAUUACAUCAGAUUCAACCACACCAUCUCUCUGUCCUGGCCGGGAAAAAUCGGAUUAUCCUGUAGUUUAUUUGUUGCAUGGUCUUCAAAAUACAGCAUCAUCACCAAGAUACACCUUAGAGGUCGAUGGCAUGGUGUAGCCACUUGCCCUGCAGUGGCUUCAUAGUUACGAAUGUCUCAGUGACCAAUAGGAGGCACAGCAUGUCACAAGCUGCAACUCAGCAUACCACCAUGCUUUGUUCCCCAUAGUGCCACCUCCUUGGUUGCCAGUUCACACCAUUUUUUCCCCACAAUUACCAAAAGAUUUGGAGAUGUAGGGUAUGGUAUGUUCUGCAUCCAUGAAACUUUUAAGAAUCACACUUGAUUGCAUUUCACAGAUAAGCUGCAAAAUUGUAUAGUGAUUAUUCACUACUUAAGUGGAGCUUGUCAUUUUCAUAUAUUCCAAAUAUGAUCGAAUUUGUUCUUGAAAUUUGACAUGGAUAUAGAAUGUAUCCUCCUAUACUUCUACAACACCUACGGGAAAUUUUGAGAUCUUCUAGAUGUGGGAAGCAGUGGAUAGGGAAGCAGCACGGUUGUGAAAGAAAUCUGAGAAAAUUGUUCUAGUGGUGGAUUUUCUGCAAAAUAUCCACUGGGUUUAAAGCACUGGCUUUCAGGCCUAGGCAUAAGCUAUCUGGGGUUAUAGUACAAGGGUUAUCUUAUCUGCACUCUGAAAGUAAAAGGAUGAUAAUAUGGACUUCCUUUUUCCACCAGAAAAAUAGCAUUUUCCACAGCAAAAGCUAGCAUUCAUGCACUUGUGCUGGUUCAAAUGGAAACCCUAGGCAAAGUACUCUCCGUUCCAUAAUUCUGAUCAAAUAUUACAUGCAUCUACACGCUUUUUAGGAAUAGAUACAUCCAUAUUUGGACAAAUUGGAGAGAAGAAUAAUGGAACGGAGGGAGUAGCUUGUAACAAUAGGAAUUGAAAUAGCUUGUAACAAUAUAAACUGAGUGUUCAAACACUUGUUUUCCACUUAUGUAAGCAAGUGAAGAAGCUACGGGAGUGGCGAAUGCCGAAAUGGCUCUCUAGAGCACAUGUUCCAGAAUAUACAGUAAAUUCAAAAAACAAAUACAGGGUGCAAAACCUCUUUUUUCAUGACAAAAGACAUGCACAUGUGUGACGUUUUUGUUUUGUACAUUUGAAAACUUACUUUCUUCAUCGAGGAGCACUGCCUACCCCUAUUAUAUACACUAGCAGAAUGCCCGUGCCUUGCUAUGGACUAAAAUGAAUACACUGCAUGUUUAAAUGUACUAUGUUUGUUGUGAUGCCAGAUCAAAUAAUUCAUACCCACUAUCAGAAUUUUAUUUUGAAGGUGACAGAAUGCUGCCACCGAUUAAAAACAUUAUAGGAGUAAAUAUCAGUUUUGGUUGACUAACACAGAAACUUACUAUGCUACGUAGUACUCCGUAUUUAUAAAAGGCUGCAGUUUGUCGAAACAUUUGUUGUGCACUCGCUUUGCAUUUCGUUGCCAGUGCCUCUUUCACAUGGAAACCAAAUUGAUGCACCCAAAAUAUUAGAUGGGAACUUAGUUAGACACUCCAGUUGAGAGACAUGAGGAUUACAGAUAGUAUUGUAGGAAUUCAUGUUCAUGGACUGAUCUGAAUAGUGGACAAGGGUUUUCAUCUUACAAUAUAUUAUUGUCAUUCCUAUAUGUUAACUUCACUGUGACUGGAAACUUCAGCAACUGUUGCACUUGUUUUAUAGGCUUUUCCCUGGUGAUGGGCAAGCAAGCACAUUGGAUCCAACAAACCAGAACCAAACGGCAGGACCUGUCCACCCUUUCCAUCCAAAGAUAAUCGUAAGGCGAGGUGUCCUCUCCGCGGAGUGCUCAGAGAUAAUGCAACAGUUCUUCCAGCUGAGGAGGAAAAAGAAGCAGAGGUCGGAGUCGCCGCCUCGUCCGCGCCACUCGGGGCACCACCACCAUCCUAUCAAGUUCUUCACCAAGAUGCAUCACAUGUUCGGCACAGUUUUCUGUUUGUAGCAGCAUCCUUCCCACUUUCCCCAAUAGUAAGUAGACUCCGCUUUCACAUUUAAUCUUGUCUUUUUGGGGGGAUUUUAUGGCGUGACAUCCUUUAUUUCCCGUUCUGGAGGUAAAAGUAAUGUGCCAUUUUGUGAAGUGUUCUUUUCCUGUAAUGUAAAGGCUUUUUAGAUGUAAUACUGAAGAUGACUUUUCCAGUGGGUUAUCGAUCUCCUAUAUCGUUUCUACAGAACCUGCAGAUAAUUGAUUUCGGAGAAAAGAAGUGAUGGAUUGAACUUGCCUAUUUCACUUGUAAAUUACGCAAAAUUGUCAAUAAUAGGCAUACGCUAGGUCUGGGUCUGUUCAUUUGCAUGAAUUUCUUAGGAGACAGGAAAAUAAGCCCUGUGACGUCCAUAUUUAUUGGCCCAUGCGAAGAGAAAAGGGGUGAGAAUGCACACUGGGCUGGCCUCUGUCGUCUUUCCUGUGCUCGUCCUGUGACUGACAAAGUGACCAGUAUGGUUGGUUGUGCUCGGAGAGGUGUUGGUUGCCUGUUGAGAGCAACGGCAGUAAUUAUUUUUUUUGAGGCCGGCAGUAUUUUGGUUUAAAAUGACUUGAGGGUGCUAGCAUCGAAAAGAUCACGCCCUUUCUCUUCAGCAUGGUUGGCCAGAGGGUGGAUUACCUAUUGCUCGCCUGCAGAAUCCUCAGUUUCAGAAUGCAGUUAUGCUCAGAAUCAGGGUCCAUUUUUGCGGAGCUAUAAUCCAGCUUGGAGAAAUCACCCAAAUAUUCCCUACAGGAGUAAUGUAGGGUUCAGAAAACCAACUACAGCAACAAUUUAGCAAUUCAUGAUAGCCUAGUACUUAUCAAGUGAAUCAAACAUCAGGAAUGGAAGACAUAAUCAAGAUAGCAACAAUUUAGCAGCUGUAACUUAUCAAUAAAUGAGCACUGAAGUUGGUACUAUGAAGAAAUCCAUGCAGAGUUUGAAAUCUAGAAUGGAUAAUCUCGUGGCAUAACAAUCGGCCAGUGGUUCUGGACCAAAACUGCCAUCACGAUAAGGGGUAAACCCAAGAAGUCUUUGUGGUUCAAUUACUACUAGAGGUAGAACUGUCAUAACUCCAUUGCUUAUCUGAAAACAGUGCUACUAGAGGUAGCACAAUGGAUCAGGGAGAGUAUUAGGUUGUAGUACGUCAGGGAAUCGUCCUCCCAUAAAUUUAGCUCCGGAAUAUUCAUAAUAAAUGUUUUAAAUUUAGUACAAAUUUGUACUACUAAUUCCGUAUUAAAUCUAACACACUUGCAUCAGAGUGAGUAAUAUAUGGGACGCACGCACACAUGACACAUCCAUUGGAUUUGACUUCGUGCACGCAAUAUUUCGCAAGACUGUCAUAGUCCACAGCUUUGGGUCACAGGCCGGGUCCGGCCGUCCGGUGCGUCAUGAAAAUAGAGAAUAGUAAUAUCCAGUAGCAUAUCUUAAACUCGAAACCACUUGCAAAGAUCCUCUUAACAGACCGAAUGGGUUAAACUCACGGGCACCACUGAAAAGAAGUAGUAACAUAUACUGCAAAUUGGUGUUCAUUAUUGCAGAAUAACUUAUCACUUCGAUAAUUUCGGAAUCGAAACAGACGUAUGCCAUGCUUUAUUGCCUCUUUCGUGGCAAGACCAUGAUUUCCCGUAUGCUAAUGCUAUCAUUGCAAAAUCUUUACUUUUGAAAUUUUAAAUGGUUGUUUAGUGUUAUCAAGAAUGGAACAAACACUGGUUUAUUCUUCAGUAUAUUUCUUCCGAGAAGGAGAAAAUAUUGUACUUUUCAGAAAUAAAAGAAUAAAUGGAAAUAUUCGAAUAUACCCGCAUGUAAGAACCACCGCCGUGUUGUCUGGUCAGGCUAUUAAAUCAAUGUUUAAUGGUUUAACCACUUUCACUCAUACUCAUAGGUAGCAUUGUUUGGCACGUGUGGAGAUUUCUAAUCACUGCUUUAUCAAGUGAACCACAAAAAUUUGGUACCACUACUAGAUAUUGUUUUAACUUUAUUGAUGUCUAGAAAAUAAAGAAUCUAUCAUAUAGUUUUAUUAUGUGCUUAUAAUUCACUUUCGUUGCUACUCAAUUUCACCCAUGUAUUAUUGACGAGGUCUUAAUAUUAUUGACGAGGUGUCAAGUUAGUCCUAAAAAUACUAAACUGCAUAUUUAGGUCCUAUUUUUUGGAAGUGUGUCAUGACAUGUCUUAAACUCGUCCAAGAACGUUUGACCAGCCUACGUGGCGCGCUGACCGAAUACAGUCAGCUAAAGGGCCGCUGGACAUGACUGAACCUAUUAAAUUAGAUUAAAUGCACCCCGUUCCUAAUAUUAUUGACAAAGUGCCAAGUUAGUUUUAAAAUUACUAAAACUGCAUAUUUAAGUCCUAUCUUUUUCUCGACCGUCUUUCUCCUCCGAAGUUAGAGCCACAAGCCAGUCCUGCGCUAGUGCCUUGUAUCGUCAGGAACGUCAACGACAUUUGCACCGUUGAGUGCGGUCCCGGGCACACUGUGCGCCAUCGCUGAACACCGCCUCGGCCAACGGCCUCCCUGAGCCAUGACUCCUUGCCUACUAGCUUCGCCUCAUCCUUGUACACCUUCGACCAUCCUCGUGUUGUGUAGCGUUCCACCGCCUAGCGCCGCCUUCCAUUGCUACAUGAGCUCAUUGCGAGCCCUCCUCCGGUUCGCCGCCAAGCACCCCCAACAACUCAGUAGCUGCCCCUAAAACCCAGAAAGCCACCCCAAUUCUCUACUAUUUGUGGCCGCAACUCCAGUCACUUGCCGGCAAGAGCCGCAGUGAUGGGUGAGACAACACACUAUUUCACAGCGCCAAUUAUGCAAAUAGCCUCCUUAGCCGACAUGUAUUCGGUCACGUAGGACAGUCAAACGCUCCUAAACGAGCUUAGGACCUCUCGUAACCUACUUAACUAAAAAUUAGGACCUAAAUAUGCAGUUUAAUAAUUUUAGGACUAACUUUGCACAUCGUCAAUAAUAUUAGGACCGUGGAUGCAUUUUUUUCCUCACGUCAGUUAUGUCCAGUGGGCUCUUUGGCUGACGUGUACUCGGUCAACGCACCAAGUAGGCCGGUCAAACGCUCCUGGACGAGCGUAGGACCUGUCGUGACACACUUAGCAAAAAAUUGGGAUCUAAAUAUGCAGUUUAGUAAUUUUAGAACUAACUUGGCACCUCGUCAAUAAUGUUAGGACCGCGGGUGUAUUUUACUCUUAAUGAAAAUUCCUACAACAAUGUGCAUGAUGUCAUCUAGUUUUUUUCUACACAUGUAACCAUUCCACAUCAUCACUUGUUCACACCUACUUAGUGGGGGCUCAUCACUAAAUGUAUUUUGUUGCAUAUGAAUGCAUGCAUGCAUGCAACAUUCCAUCAAGCCAUCCCGAAGUAUUUUCCUACACAUGCAACCAUGCCACAUCAUAAUAUCAUCUAUUUGUUCACACUAAUUACUUAGUGGGGAUCUUAAUUAUGAGUAAAUGUAAUUUUUUUCACAUGCAUGCAUGUAACUUGCCAUCAAUUUGUUUCCCUGACCAUAUAGUUCCCAGGUUAUAUCAUAGUUCGUUGUCAAUCAAGCCAUCACAUGGUUUAUUACAUAAGAUAGACCAGCUGUUUUCUUAGAUAAAUCAUCAUAUCAUUUUAUUAUUUAGUUGGACAAUAAGAUAUUUGUUUGUUUGUAUUUUCCAAGAUUCCUUAGGGUUAUGGAUGAGCGUGGCAAUUCACUUAUCAAGCGAAUGAUAAAAGUUUGGUGUCAUUCUCAGAUAUCGCUUUAACUUUCUAUAUUUACAAAGUAAAGAUUAUACAAUUUCAUUAUUUCCUUAGAUUCUGGAUACUCUUUUUUUGCUACUCAAUUUUGCUGAUGUAUGUUAACUGAAAAUUCUCACAACAUCGUGCAGGGCAUCACCUAGUAUAUUUCAGUAACUCAGUCAGAUCCCCUAAAAAAAAGAGGUAACUUAACAUUGUUCGGAUAAGCAUGUCACGGUGACUUUGGUUCUCAGUCAGAAACCCCUCUGCCUUUUUAAGGGUCGUCCUGCACAUUUCCAUUUUAGGAAGGAACUUAUGCGGGUCAAGUAUCUUUUUUGCCCUCCAGUUUGGGAAGUUGCAUAUGGAAACUAACGAACCAAUUCGCUUCUGGGAAGAUAGAUGGUAUGGAAACUUUGCGCUUUCUGAUAUUACCCACGGCUAUUUAACAUUGUUCGGAUAAGCAUGUCACGGUGACUUCGGUUCUCAGUCUCUCUGAACCACAUGUUGCGUUCCACCGAACAUUGCUCAGUCACCACCUUGAGGCGUGGAACCAAAUUGUUGAUUUUGUUUCUUCGCUCCAAUUACUGACCGAGCAAGACUCCUUUCGAUGGAGCCUACUACCAUCAUGGAUCUUUUCAGUUAUGUGACAUGUCACACUUUUGGAUGAGGUCAUGUGUUUAGGUUGUUCCAAAUAAUAUAAUACUUUGGCUAUAUGCAUUCCGAAUGUAGUGGGCGGGGUAAUAAAGCUCAAUUUUCUGGAGAAAAACAAACACAUGUCAUGGUGCUGGCCAUAAAAUAUUUUAAGUUUUAACACCCAUAUUGAACAUUUUACUAACAGUAGCUAAAUGCACGUGUGUUGCUACGGAAUUAAUAAUAUAUAUUACAUUUAUGAGUUAUUUUAAAUGUUCAUGUGAUUAUGUUUUCUAAUUUUAUGCUAAAUAAUAAUUCUCAAAAUACUUAUUUUAAAAAUAAUUAUCCCAAAAGUAUAGAUCAAACCAAUCAAAAGAUCGUCUAACAAGCUGCGGAGUAGUCUUGGUAGGGUGAACUGACGACCACCAACUAAGAUCUUUAUGUGUAAAAGAUGGUGAAACGACUGUCCACCUGACCGCAGCUUCCCCAAGUAGGUUUAGUCAACAAUCUGCUUGUGUAACGGCCCCUUUUGCCGCGCCACUAUGAGUCAAUUCGUGGUGAGAGGAUUUCAUCAGUCCCCUUGGCAACAACAAGAGAAGAAUGGGGCUACUUCAUUUGCUCGCCGUAGAGUGUUUGGAAGGAGAGGAAUAGAAAGAAAGGAUGAACACUUGGCCUUGCUCCCACUGCAAGUGGCAAUUUGGGAUCUAAUUUUGUAAGUAUUGUUUUGUUAACUUAGUUGGUAAGUAUCGUUUUGUUAACUUCAAUUUUGAAUCUUAUUACAAAAAUUGCGUGCAAAAGCCUGAAGGUAUCUGGAGAAACGGGUUUCGGUUAGCAGCUGACCAACACAUAGCUUUCCAACGGCACACCCUCAGUGUCUAAAUAUGAAAUUUCCUUGGAUUUUUUUAAUGAAAAUACUGUAGGGGAAACCCCUAAAGCAUAAAUGUGAGCACCAUGAUUUAAACCCUAAUGGGUGAAGUCAUGCACCCACGACUCCACCAUCACACCAAGAGGAGUUUCUCUUUCCUUGGAUUUAUCAGAAGCUAAGCAAUUUUCUCAGAGCCAUAAGCUAAGGCCAAAUCAUGGCAUGAUUCCUCACUUGAUAUGUGGCUCCCAAAGUCACCCACCCUGCCAUUUUUUCGCCAUCACUAGGAGGAAGAAAACCGCCUAUUCACGAUGAUAUCACCGACAGGGCUUGGCUUCAUGCUUUGAGGGGCGAGAUCUCCAAUAAUGUGGUUCAACUCAACGAGUCUGUCUCUCUUCGGCUGAGACUUCAGGGUGUGACCCUAAGCUUUGUCACCCCGGAUUGGACAAGUUGUCUUACUAUAGUAAUGAUCUGGCCUCUCGCUUGGUAGAUUCAAUCCUCCAAGACUAUUAGCAAAGAGCAAAGGCAAGACUUAAUGGGGUGGCCAUUUACAUCAUGUGGAACAUUUUAAAGGAGCGCAUCCGUCGUAUUUUUCGGGUUGUGGUCGCUUCGCUGGCAAUCAACUCUCAUAGGCUUGGCUUUCACCGUGUGCCGUGAUUUUUAUUUUUAUUUUUACUUGUCGGCCAACUGCACUUGGUCCGUCAGGACAUUUGCUUCUCUCUCUUUCGUUUUUAGUCUUUUACCAUGUUUUGACCAUGGUCGCUUGUACAUAUACCCGGUUUCUCUUCUUUCUAAUAUUGCCGGCACAGCUCCUGCCUUUCGUGGCCAAAAAACGUGAUCAAUUCAGACAAGAAUUUAAGUCGAUAAUGAACUUUUGAUGAGAAACAAAUUGCAGAAAGGACAGCAUUAAUUAUCGGUUUAUUCCUGGUAUAUCUCCAUUAGUUGCGUGUUUGUAUAAGAUCGCAGUGUCAAGUAACUAGGGCCAAUAUGCCAAAAGUGCAAGAGGAAUAGAUUCUGCAGCAUCAGAGAACUAGAUAUCCAAAUUCUUGAUUACAUAUGCCUUCCAGAAAUGCGGUAAUAUUAUGCUGUUGUUCCAUCGGCAAGGUGGAAAUAUAUAGCUUGGCACCUAUAUACAGUGCAAAGAUAAGAAAUCUCACAAUUAUUUGAUGUGAUUGUAAGAACAAAUUUGGGCCUAUUCCUUGUAUAUUUUCCUUCUGCCUGUGCAACAAGAGUGGGCAUGCCUGGCUGUUGAGAUCAGCUAGUUAGCUAGGAAGUUGAAAAGCAAAUCUCCUUUUAUGUCUUCAAAGAUUCAUGCUCAAUAUCACAAAAUCUAGAUGCAUUAUUUUUUGGAAAAGAAGAUUAAGCAUAAAUCUAAAACUUUUCCGAUCAAUUGUCUAACGCAAGUGGUCCAGCGUUAUACUCAAAUUGUCGUACGUGUUUGAAGAAACUGAACAUGACCCUUCCUACAAAUCUAGAUGCAUUUUAAGAAGGAUCUGUAUAAACUGAAUAAUCUUGGAAACUGGAACCACGCGGGCAUGCAGAGAACCAAAAAGAAUCCGUUUAUGCUCAGUAUAUGACACGUGAUCCUGUAUGUAAUCAAUCCAAUCGAUUAGCAUCUUUUCCAGAGGGAACCAAAGCGACAAGGAGAACCACCACUGAUCGACAUAAUGUGGGUAACCUGGAGCCACAGAAAUGCAUUUUCCCGAUCCCGGCCAUGAAGGUUACAAUAUAAUGCAAGAAUAGAUGCAGUACUUGAGAUAUCGAUCCGGCCACUGGUAGGUUCUUGGUCCAAUAGCAUCUCAGAAGGAAAUGCAGUCGAUGUGUAUCCAACUAGCAGCAGUCGUGGUGUGGUGUGGUAUAACCGAUCUUGCACGAAGUAUAUAUUGCUAUCUCAGAAAUGCAUGUUGCUGCGAGAAAAAAAGGGAACAGAUUCUUGCAUGCAUGUGCUUCUUUUCAGUGUUAAUCUUAUUGCUCGCUAGGUGUACCAUAUAUAAGUCUAUGAGAAUAUGAUCUUGCACUGAAGGAUAGGUUGAGUUAAAGAAAGAAAGAAAAAAAAUGAAAGUUACUUACUUUCUUGGCAGCUGCUUCAUGCAUCAAGUUCUACUAUUAAUUGCCAGCUGUGUUGUUUUAUGCGAGUGCCAUGCAGCCGAUGUUUGGAAUCCUAUACUGGAAGAUUGGAUGAUGAAUUAAUACUGUCCAUGUAUGUAUGUGGCUAUGAUGAUAUUGGGUCAUGAUGAUGAGCUACAAAAUAUAUUCAGCGUGUCGAGCGGCGAAGGAGGAACAUGAAUAUUAUUGCGGGCCGAGUUUGAUGCCCACAAAGCUGCAGGCCGGCCGGCAUGUCGAUUUGCAUUAGGUAAAGUGACAUUUCCGAUCGAGGAACAGAUGCAGAUAUGCUGCUGCCUAUUGGGACAACACUAGCUAGCCAAAGCAUGCAUGCAUAAUUUUCUGCCUAGCUACUUUUUCCCAUCUCAAUUUUAUUUUUGCAAACCUUAAUUAGCUUUUUUCGCACUCCCAGGAUAAUUAGGUGAAAGGGGGAUUUGUGAAUUCAGAAACAAAAAAGUAAAAGGGGUGAUUGGUCCCAUAACUAGUAGUAGUAUUCACGAGGUGUCAUUCAGAAAACAGUCCUUUAUUUAGUAAUCUUUAUUUUUGUUUAAAAUACUUCUUCAGUAACCUUCAUUUCAUUUGGUAUCGGAUGCCACAUCAGGUAAAAGAAAAGAAAAUCCGAUCUUAAAGUUGACAAAGGCGACGAUGCGCCGCGUCGUCUGCGUCGUUCCCAUAGAUCUCGCCAGCCAAACUGUUCAGAUCGAAUGCUUUGUGGAAAGUAAAAGAGGCUUCAUAUCAACAGGUUAGUGAUGUCAUAGCUUGCCUCCAAAAUGUUUGAAGAACAUGGACUAGCAGAGCUAGCGGCUAAUUGUCGGGAGGGCCAAAGUAUUUUAGGGCGGUAAUUCGCUAGCUCCUUUGCUCACUAACUAGAGAAACGUUUCGCUGUCAAAAAAAGAAGGUUAGAGAAACGUUUAUCCCGAAAGUAAAAGAUAGGGAUUUCCUUUUAUUUCUACAUACAGGCUUUUAUAUAUAUAUAUAUAUAUAUAUGUGUGUGUGUGUGUGUGUGUGUGUGUGUGUGUAGUUUAAAUCUGAAAGUAAUAAAUAUACAAUUAAUCACCUUUAGCCAUUUUUCUAAAUGGAAGCUGUUAUUGAUACCAGUGUUAUAUCUACCGAUAAAACCAUCUGGCCUCCGCGGCAAAACGGACAUAGCCACCAAAUCCCAAACGUGAAGAUUAUUACAUCAAAAGACACAAUUAACCAGAAUCAAAUUGAAGACUAGACGCGCAUGUCGGGUGAAAAGGUCUCGGGCCACUUCCUCCAACUUGUCCUACGCCAUCAAAACCAGUUGUCGAUCCACCGGUGAAAAGAAUAGACCAAGUGUGAAGUCAAAGUGUACAAGAAUAUAUAUAAACUGCAUUUCAAAUGGUAAGUUAUUUAUGUUAAGCACAAUGACGUUCAUGCAUAGCCAAAUUAUCCAACAUAGAUCUGUAGCCUCAACCAUUACAAGCGCACUCAACCUUUUAUUAACUCGACAUAGCCAGACCCAAACACAUGAGAAACAUUGAGUGUGGUAAAGCUUAGAAACUAACUAUUUGGACCGUUGACCAUACAGAUCGAGAGGCAUAACAUCAGAAAAAAGGUGUACAAUUGUCUCACCCUCAUGACAUAAACAACACUAAGUUACCCUUCCAAUUCCGCUUUAGCAUGUUGUCUUUAGUUAAAGAAAUCCUGCCAUAAGAACCAAAGGAAGAUUUAUGGACAUCCUUGAUGGAGAAAGACCCUAAACGUAAAAAAUGAUUGCCUUGCAUGCUUUCAUCAGCCCCUUCCUCCCAGGAGUGAGAAUCUCCUAGUUUCCAUUCGACUUGAGCCACAUCCUACGAACCAAUGUAUUUGUUCCGUAAAAUAUGCAUUGCAUGUCCCUAGCUUUUUAAAUUAUGGAAGAGAUCACACCCGCGACAUCUACGUCCAAAUAUGUACCCAACCCAAAAUUGAACAUGAAAAUAAAACAUCUCAGCAUCAUCACAUUUUUUUUUCUAGAAUACACCUCAUCAAUUAAAGAAGAUGCUGCAGAGCAGCUACAUUCCUAUUACGGGCAGGGAUUACAAUUUGAAUCUAUCCGUUGUCUCUCCACUCUACACAAAGUAGUAGUUGACACAAAUACGAUUCUGAAAAUAAAAGUGGUUGACACAGCAAAAAAAGUAGAGUCUUGCACAUGCAUUAGACAAGAGUAUCCUAUGGGUGUACAAAGAUGAGGUAGCAACCAUAUCCAUGAUGUUUUCUUUUGCGGGAGUAGUGGGAUAGAAGGAAAAUAAAUGCCAUAAGACUCAUCAGAUCGACCAGCAAUAACACAAAGAAUUCAGGAUUGCCUUGUACAGACAGAUGGCUGAAGGGACUGAUUUGGGUCAUGUCACUCAAAUCUGUCUCGAGAGAUGCAAUGGCACGACGAUUCCUUUUCCUGUCAUAGGAUAGAAUUUUCUUCCCCCGUCCUUCUAUAAACCAAUUCCAAAUAAUAAACCCCAAGGUAUAAUGCACCGGUAGCCUGUUACUUCUCAUACCAAGUUCACAAUUGUGACUGAUGUCCAUGUGAUUGUGACUUUCACUCACUUACAUAACAAGACUAGUUCUCCAAAUUGCUCAUAAUGCUGCAAAUUUUCCUUUGUUAAAUUGGUCAAAAAGAAGGCUUUUCCACCACCGUGUGCCAAAACAAAAAGUUUCGUGACAACAACAUUUAGGAUGCCGAUCGUUAAGUUUUCCUAGGUGCAUAGAAAUUGUUAUCUACUCGCUUCGAUCCAUAAUAAGUGUCUUGGAUUUAGUACAAAGCUGGAUUAGAGGGAGUAGUUAUCACCUCAGGUCAAAACUUCCUCCCGGUCGAGUUAUAGCUAAAAAGCUACUGGCUGCCUGCUCUAUUCAUUUACAAAGGUUCAUGCAAAUGCAUGGCGGUGCGUUUCUGGCUCGCGGUGGCAGAGCUCCUCUUGCGGUGGCGCUUCGGCUCACUAGUGAUGUGUUGGAAUAUUAAGCAAUUUCGAGAAUAACAAUUUAAUGAGAAAUUCCAGAACAUAUAUCAUGACAACAAUACCAACUAGCAUAUCCAUCUCGAAUAUCCUAGAAAUAUGUAACAACACAAGUAGCAGCAGCAUAAACUCGCAGAUCAUCAUUAAGCAGUAGAUCAGAUCACAAGUUACGUACUGUUUUGGCGGAGAGGAAGACGUUGCUGCUGCCGCUGCUGUGUUCGCUUGAUGAAGUUGCUGAUGAACAAGAUGGCGGCCAGUCACGCAUCUGUCGGCUCGAGGAGGUAGACGAACCGUGGUGGCAGGUAAGCGAGCAGUCGCGCGCAACGCUUCCCAAAAACCUUAUUUGCCCAAGUUCGCAAGGAUGAAAGGUUCCGGACCUGCUAUCCCGUUCGCCGGUGCACGCCGGUGCUUGGGAUGGAGUAGACUACGACGACGGCACAAAAGUGAGAGAUAGGCAAAACCCUAGCUCGGUUUGUUGUGGUAUCGAUCGAGGGACGGGGCCGGCUCAAUAUAUAGUCACGCAGGUACAGGUCGGUCCUAAAGCGAACCUGAACCGACUCCACAAAAUCCGGUACGCAUCCGUAACAGAUUCUAAAAAUACUUGCGUGGCAAAAACCUCCAAACCGUGUGAGGAGAUAGAGCCCGGCCCUGGCCCGAACUCGAAAUCGGUCCACAAAGCGCGUGGCGUGGCGUGCGGAGGAGGAGUGCGCGUGGGGAUUUUUCUUUGCUCACCUUGCUACUAGGUAAAUACCAACAUCGCUUAUAUGUUGGUCUCACUUGCUCUAAACUAGUAAGGUGGGACUAUUCUCACUCCCUCAUCCCACUUCAUGAAUGGGGCCUUUGAGAUUUUUCAGAAUUUAAUUAGAACACGGCCCUUAGCUAAUCAGGCCCACAAGGUCCAAAUUCUAACAUGAUGGGGUACUUUCAGGCUUCUACAACGUAGUGGUAGACUAUCCGGUCUUGGGCAAGGGGAGUGCAGAUGGACGCCAGGUGAAAGUCUUGUCUCUUGGCCAUGACCGAAGCGGGCAAUGGCAACGUCCAUGUGUGCCGUUUAUCCUCUUGAGGCGUUGCUGUGGUGUUGUGCAGCUCUCCACUCCAGGAACUAACUUAAUUAGAGGGAAACCGUCGUGAGACAUACGUCUUUUUUGUCGACUUUGUACGGCUUCGUUGCUUGGCUUUGCCAGCCUUUUAAUAAAAUAUGGAUGAGCGCAUCGAUCAGUCGAUGCAGAGGCCGGGAGUUAUCCUCCUUUCCGAAAAAGUAUAUAUAAAUAAAUUCCUCUGGUGUUUUUUGUUCAGAGCACAAAUGGUUAUAUUUUGUGUCAAUUCUUGCAGGUUCCCAUGCUGUAACAUUAUGUACGUACAUGAAUUGUCUCAAUCUUUUCUAAAAUAUCUAAGAUGCAACACCACCCUAAAAGAAAUUGAUGGAGAAAGGUUUGGAGGGUUUUUUUUCUCCUAAGGUUCCUUGAAAUUUUCAAAUAAUUAAUGAGUGUAGGGAAUGCUAGGUGUAAGAAACCAAAAAAGAGAUCAAAACAUACAUUGCAAUUAUUUGUGUUCCAUAGCUAAAAGACAUAAAUGAAUUCUCUAGUCAUUUUUGCACAAGGAAAAAAAAAAGUCAUGUUUUUAAAGUAAUUUUUUAGGUUGCCAUUUCACGAAAUUUCCUACCAUCAUGAUUUUUUUUCAUCAAAUUAAAUUGCUGAAAACCAUAACAUGUAACAUUACUAUCCAAAACCUAGUUAGGAUUCAUGAUAAACCGUUUUAGAAAGUUCAAGGUUUAACAUUGAUUGUUUUAUAUUAAUUCCAUGGGUUAGGGCUCAAGUGUCCGGGGUUUCAAAUAGUUUUCUUUUCUUAAUUUAAUAAUCUAGAUUGAAGAAAGUAAGUCAUCAUUUUAACUUAGUUCGACGUGUGGCAUGUCAUACUUUUGAAGGGGUCAUAUGUUUUGAAGUUUGCACGAUUAAUGUAAGAUAUAUUUUGUGCUUUAUGCAUCCUGGAUGCAAAGACCGAGGGUAAUAAAGCUUUCAUUUUUGCAAAAAAAGUGUCCAUUGUUUUGAAAUGUCGAAUAACCACUACGUGAGUAGGUACAGUUUUUUCUUGUAACUAGUGAAAAUUCCAUGUAAACGUACACACCAAUACCUCUUUACAGAUUGCAAUUCAGAUAUAUUUGUCAAUGCAGGAUGUCAUUCAUGAUGACCACCCUGUUAAACUUUGAGGUACAGCUCUAUUGGCUGUGAAGGCACCCCUCUCCAUGGUGCAUGAGAAUAUCCCAUCACAUAUUCCCAAGAGAAAGUCACAUUGCUUAAAAGCUAAAAGAGCUCUGUGAUCUAGGGACCCUAAGAUUUUGCUUUCACUGUCACUAGUGCAGGGGUGUGGAAGGGACGGACUGGCACCUAGCUAAUAUAUCCUGAUGCUGAAGGUUAUGGUAGCCAAUCCUACUCCAAUGGGGCACUUAAAAUUGGUCUGAAUUAAUAACGAUGAGCAGUCCAAAAGGUUUGUCAAACAACCUUUAUUAAGACCUUUCACUACCAAAAGAUACACUGCCCACCAGUUACUCUCAGCAUUAUUGAUCCUAACUAGUAGAAAAUCUUUCUAAUUAAGUACUUCCUCCGAUCCACGACGCUUAUUAUGGAUCGGAGGGAGUAAAAUCGUUAGAGUUUGACCAAAUUUAUAGAAAAAUAUAUUUCAUUUUAUAAAAAAAGGAAUGGAGUGAAUACAUUUUAUUCUCUUAAUCAUAUGAUAUACAUCGUUGCAUGUGCAUUUGCACUAAAAUUCGUACGCUAACGAGCAAAAAUUGUGGAUCUGCCUAAUAUUUGGUUAUUUACCAAAUUUAUCAUUUUCUGGGGAACCAACCAUCAAUUGGUUGGAUGCUUAGGAUGGUGAGACUGUACCCUCAACCAACUUGGGAUCAACUCGCCAUGUAUGUGUCUCAUUUAAGACGGAUUAUCCCUUCAGUGGUAGACAACGUACCCAUCAACAACGAGACGACGGCAGUGACUUCAUCAAUCUUAAGGCUCCGCGGCUCCGCUUUUGUAGGCGUUGUGUGAGUGCGUACAUGUGGUACUGUGUGGAUGUGUGUGCAUCUACAAUAAAAUCGACGUUUCUCAAAAACAAACUUGUAGAAUUUUCUCCAUAACCUUGGUGAAAAGGCUGCUGAUCAUGAGCUAGAUACACAAGUAGAAAAGAUUCCCAGCGAAAGUUUUCAGGACAGAAACCACAAUCUUUUGUUGGAGAAAUUAGAAGUCGUUGUUGCUGAAAUAGAUUAACACAAAAGAUGUUGCCUUUGGUGUCCACUCCCCGAAGAUCAUCCUAAAUGCGAAGCUAGCUUUGUCGAGAUAGCAUGGUACCAUUUUUAAAGUUACAAAGAUGUGUUAUCAUUUCCCUUUAAGCGUGACUUUAAAAUUCUAUGGCCAAUAAUAUGUUUAAAGGCAUCUGUUCAGUUCAUUUUAAACUAAAAGUAAUGUUUUGCGCCUUUAGUUAAUUAAUUAAUCCUCUCUCAGGGUGUGUUCUGAUUUGGUGUAGUUCUUAGAGUGCUUCGAUUUGAACUAAGUACCGACGGUCACACAAAAAAUACCCCUCAUCCAUAUAGGCAAAAUAGCGCGUUAGGAUAAAUGAGAAUAUUUGCUUUGGCUAGUCCAAACAUUACGUAUAGUUUCCGACCACCAGUUCAAUGACUCCCAAAGUGGUCAUCAGAUUUGGAGUCGGAGUCUAACAGUGACUGUUAGAUGAGCGUACAUUGCACCUUGCCGGUAUAUGAGAGAGAGAGAGCGAGAGAGAGAGAGAGAGCGAGCGAGCUGUUAAUUCCAUGCAUCUUAGUCUACUUUUGUGAGUUGGUUCAAUUUUAAGAUGCAUUUGAUUCUUCUCCGAGUUUGUCUAGCCAAAUUUCGUUUGUACAUGCUACUUUGGUCUUUGUUGGCUUGAUUGUCAAUGGAAUCAAGCCCAACACCUCACAUUCCCAAUUCAUAAUUUUAAAAUGGCCACGAAAUCCUUAGCUAAUAUUUUGGCUCUACAGUUGUUGGCAAAAUUGAUAGGGUAUGAAUCUUGGCGGCUACUUCUCCGUGUCAAUCUUAAAAAUAAAUUCCGCACUACACGGCUGAACAUCGGAGUUCUAAGCUCGUACAAGAUCUUCCAGACUUUACUUAUCCUAACGUACUCCUCUGUCCAAUAAAAAAUGUCUCAACUUUGACUAAAUUUGAAUGCAUCUAUACACUAAGUCAUGUCUAAAUACAUCCAAAUUUUUACAUCCAAAUUUUGACAAACUUGAGACAUCUUUUGGUGGACCGAGGGAGUAUAAGUAUUUUCAUACGCAAUUGUGUCACAGAUUAACAUGAGUGUCGAGGAAGUAUAGCCAAUUUGGAGCAACUGUAUCGAGCAGUAUCAACAUCCGUGUCAUUGUAUGGAACACGGAUUUGUUUUGUCCUACGACUAUACUCUGUACAUUUCCGUUUCUGUUUUGCUAUUUCUUAGUCGAAUGAGAAAUAACUAUUUUCUUAGUAGAUGAUAACAAUCUUUUGAUUCAAUCAUUGAGAUUCGUGUAAUAUUAAUGUAGGUCUGAUGGAUCAGAAAAUUUUCAUUGGAUGGCUAUGAUUGUCGACUGAAAAAUAACUAUUUCUUAGGCGGCUGAGAAAUAGACACUCCCUUUCUCUUUAUAUGACAGUAAUUCUCUUUUACACAAAAAUUAUCGUGCCCCUAAUUCCACUCAUCAUUUGAUUAAGUGGACAUAAUAACAAAGCCAGAUGUCCAACAAACAAAUGCAUGCAAGCGUCCCGGAGAGGAAAACUUGGUAGAGAUCCACAAAAAUCAGGAAAAAUAUGCCAAACAAUUCGUGAGAAAAUAAAAAUAAAAUAUGAAAUUGGUACGCCUAAACAACAAAGAAUCUACGGUACUAAAUUUCGUCGGUUCCAAACGGCGAGGACACAAUGCAGCAUAGAUCGUACGAAACAGAUUGACCUAUUUGAGGAGUGAGAACACAAUGCAGCUUUUCUCCUACUCGCCCCGUCUCAUAUUAUGUGUCGCAACUUUGUCUAGACACACGUGUGUACAACACUUAAUAGAAAUCUCCAGUUAAUAUGGGAUGUUUUUGGAAAAUAUAUUAUUUGUCCAAAAUGCGUCAUCUCAGAACUCAGAGGUCAUGCGCAUGCCAAUCGGUAUUGGGAAAAUGAUCCGAAAUGGCCAGAGAACCGAGUGGUAAUAUUGCUGGCAUGUGCCCGACUCUUUUUCCCAUUGGCACAUGUGCGUUCUUGUUAGCGGGACACAUUUCUUUGCACUUUACCACAACCGCCGCCUCCGUAGCAUCGUCAUCGAUCAUCCACUGGAGCUGAGUGAUCCAUCCUGGCUAUAAAACACCUCCCUCCCACCCUCCCUCUCCUUUCUCCACUGGGGAGACAGAGAGAGGGAGAAGAUACAUAAUCCAAUUUUGAUCACUAGCUAACUUACAUGCCCAACUGGUGAUCGAUCAUCAUAUUGACAGGAGCCAACAGCAUCUGGUAAAAUCCGGCCGCAUAGGCAAGGCAACCAACAGUUAAUUCCCCAUCUCCUUCAUCCCUCUGACUCUAGAUUCUAGUUCCAAAAUUCUCCUCCAAUGGACACACUUGCGUCGCAUGCAGCUCAUAUAAGUACACAUUACCCCAUGGCUCCCUUGGAGACAUCCACACACUACCAUAGCAGCAGCAGAUCAGAGUUGCACUGCUGCUCCCUGGAACCAAUGGUGAAGUUCUCCAAGCAAUUCGAGGGCCAGCUCGUGCCGGAAUGGAAAGAGGCCUUCGUGGACUACUGGCAGCUCAAAAAGGACAUCAAGACGCUGCAGGCCGCUGCUGCCGGUGAUCAGGGCAUCAGCGGCCCCGAGGCACCAGCACCGACGACGGCCGUGGCUAGCCACUGGGUGAUGAGGCUGCCGUUCCUCAAUCCCCAUGGCCACCACAAGGAGCCUGGCGCCAUACAGGCAAGCAUGCAUGCAUGCACCAGCUAGCUGUUCUAAUGUUUCCACGGCACAGAGGGAUUUAUAUAUGUUUUGUUGGGCUGUUGGGAAUGCAGGUGCACAGAAAGCUGGCGAGCGCCGGCGACGACGGGGCGGUGGCCGGGGUGGUGUACGAGACGGAGGUUCUGGACGCAGCAGGGCUCCCAGGCGUGGAGGCCAAGGCCUUCUUUGGGAGGCUGGACGAGCAGCUCAACAAGGUGAACCGCUUCUACGAGAAGAAGCAGGGGGAGUUCCUGGAGCGUGGCGAGUCGCUCAGGCGCCAGCUGCAGAUCCUCGUUGAGCUCAAAGCCGCCGUCACCGAGGCACGGCGGCGUGGGGGCUCGCCGGGGAGCGCCGAUGCGGAGGACCCAUCAGUCUCUUGCUCUAUCCUGCACGGUCAGUAUGCAUGUCGAUAUGCUCAGAUAUACUUGUUAAUUCAGCCAGUUGAGGGUAAAAGUUGAUUAGGCCAGUUGCUGUUCACAUGCUAGCUGUUAAAUAUGCAUAAAUAAGACUUUUGAUCUUAAUGAAUGGGAAAGAAAAUGGAAGUGGCAAUCCUGUUGGGCAUAUCUAAAUUAGGCCAGUCGUUGGGGUUGGGCGUGCAUGCAAUCUAAAUGCAUAUUUAGUUUCGCCAGUGAAUUAUCCUCCUAUAACUCAUCAGGCAUCUUUGUCACUACUAUCUCUGUUCCAAAAUAGAAACGAUGUAGAAAACAUGCAAAACAAACUCCAUUUGUCUUUGACAACUCAUUAGUUAAAUAUUAUUCAAGUUUUUUUAGGUGAAAGUGUAUCAUUCUAUUCGUCAUCAACAAUUUACAGCAUAAUUUUACAUAACAUUUUGCUUACAAAUUCGUAAAAUGUUAACGGCCAAAGUUGCUAUUCUUGUCGCUAGACUUGAGGACAAUAGGUAAUACUUAAUUGUUUAUAGAUUGUGACUUACCGGUUACCACACAAAAUUACAGGAGAUCAAUCUCUCAGGGGCAUUGCAGAGCAAGAACACGGAGGUCAAGGAAAGCUGACCAAAGAUGCUAUGGCAAAGAUAACUGAUGAAGAAGGGGAAGACCAGUUUUCCAUUUCUGAAGGUUUAGGUGAAUCGGGAAGGAUUGAGAAACCAAGAGAAGAAGUUGCCCAUAAGCUGAGGACACUCUCAGGGAAGGAGGUCACUUGCCAGGGCAGGAGCGUGAGGAUCACUAUUCCAGUAACCACACCGUCUAGGACUGUCAUCGCCAUCCGUGAUCUUCUGUUCGACGACAUGCUAAGCCAAUCAAGGAAGAAUGGCGGAAACGUCGGUGAUGGCUGUGAGAAAUUGAGCAUCAACAAGAAAAAGGUGCACCAGGCAGAGAAGAUGAUCAGGGGGGCACUGGUUGAGCUGUACAAGGGCUUGGGGUACCUGAAGACGUACCGGUAGGUGUAGCUCAUGACAUGGUGUGUAGUAAUGCUUUGUGCACCAAACUGAUACUGACAGGGAGAGCAUUCUUGUUGCAGGAGCUUGAACAUGUUGGCUUUUGUGAAGAUUUUGAAGAAAUUUGACAAGGUUCCUCCCAAUGCAUCUCUCCUUAUUGCAUUGCCUGAGAAAUCACAUAUGAGCAUUGCUGAAAAAAAAAACUCAUGUUUCAGGUUACAGCAAAGGAAGUCCAGACAAUUUACCUGAAAGUCGUGGAGAGCUCCUAUUUUAAUAGCUCUGACAAGGUAUUUUGCAAUGAUACAGCAGUCUUGAGAAGCUUUGAAGCAUUUCAUUUCCAUCAAAACUUCAAAGUUUCCUGGUUUUGACUGAAAUUCUCAUCUCAAUAGGCAAUCAGGCUAAUGGAUGAUGUUGAGGAGCUGUUUGUUAGACAUUUUGCCAAUGGUGAUAAAAGGAAAGCAAUGAAGUAUCUCAAGCCAAAUCAGAAGGAAGAAUCACACUCUACCACAUUUUUCAUAGGUACAAUAGUUUUCUUGUAAGCUUUGCAUCGUUCCUUCGUCAGGAUAAUUUCCAAGUCCUUGUGCACUACUGUCAAAUUUUCAGGUCUAUUCACUGGUGGGUUUGUAGCACUAUUCAUCGGUUAUUGUAUCAUGGCACAUAUAGCUGGGAUGUACACUCAACAAUCAAACAAGGUCUACAUGUCAACAUCCUAUCCUGUCCUUAGGUCAGCACCCAACAUGUCAAUUCAACUGCUACUACUCUGAAGAAACAAAAUGUGUUAAAACUCAGACACUACAGUACUGACAUUAAAUGAUCCCAAACUGCAGCAUGUUCAGCCUCUUCUUUCUACAUCUCUUCGCCUACGGAUGCAACAUCUUCAUGUGGAGAAAGACACGCAUAAAUUACACGUUCAUAUUUGAAUUCACACCUACCAAAGAGCUUAAGUAUCGUGAUGUGUUCUUGAUAUGCACUACGUCUAUGACGAUUGUUGUCGGUGUCAUGUUUGCACACCUGACACUCAUUGUAAAAGGGUAUUCUUCAAGUGCAGUUCAAGCAAUCCCAGGGUGUCUACUACUGGUAUGUUCUAUUCAACAUUGCAAAUGUGAAAUUGUUGCUUAUUUUUGUCUGUUCCUGUUGUUAUAUCCAUAUGAGGCUGAUGCUUCUAUUUAUUAUGUAUUUCAGGUGUUCUUACUAAUGUUGGUCUGCCCUUUCAAAAUCCUCUACCGAUCAAGUCGUUAUGACUUCCUAAGAGUGAUCAGGAACAUCAUUCUAACCCCCUUUUACAAGGUAAUUUUCUAUAGUUAAAGAGCGGCACAUUUGAUAAGUAGAUGACAUGCAUUUUCCAUAUCAGAAACAUAUGUUAAAUUCCUAUUUAUAUACAGGUUGUUAUGGUUGAUUUCUUCAUGGCUGAUCAGCUUUGUAGUCAGGUAACAUCAUAACAGAAGCUAAAUGUUCGACGCGUUCAAUUGUGCAAACUUAAGACACUAAAGAUAGUUUCUAGAGUUUAGAGCAUCAGAUUAUUUUAAAUUUAGAAAUGACUAAUAAAGUAAUGACUACUGGCAAAUAGGUACCGGUGCUUAGGAGCCUAGAGUACCUGGCAUGUUAUUACAUAACCAGCAGCUACAAGACGCAAGACUAUGGAUACUGCACAAGAGUGAAACAUUUUAGAGAUUUGGCUUAUGCAGUAUCCUUCCUUCCCUACUACUGGAGAGCCAUGCAGGUAUAGAGAUGGAACAUGACUUGCCAAAUCAGAAUGUCCAUUCGUCAGACUUUCUAAAGGUAGUGAUACCCUUUUCUUAUUCUUAUGGUUGUCCUGACAGUGCGCAAGGAGAUGGUUUGACGAAGGGGACAUAAACCACCUUGUCAACCUUGGGAAGUAUGUGUCAGCGAUGCUUGCUGCAGGAACAAAAUUAGCAUAUGAGAAUGAUAACAGUGCUGGAUGGCUGUCACUAGUCGUCAUCGUGUCGAGUGUCGCCACUAUCUACCAACUCUACUGGGACUUCGUUAAGGAUUGGGGCCUUCUACAGUUCAACUCCAAGAACCCUUGGCUUCGUAACGAUCUGAUACUUAAACAAAAAUACAUCUAUUUCUUAUCCAUGGUAUGUUCUCUAAAAAUAUCAAGGUUUACAUCAAACCUUUUUGAGAAAAUAAAAAUUGUGUGAUGUACUUACAGAGAGUAACAUUUUACAGGCUUUGAACCUUCUUUUGAGGCUUGCUUGGCUUCAGACUGUCAUCCACCCUAACAUUGGAAGCCUCGAUUCUAGAGUAACUCUUUUCUUUUUGGCAGCUCUUGAGGUGAUUCGACGAGGCCAUUGGAACUUCUACAGGUAACUUUAUUGCCAAUGAAUCUGAACACAUGAAUUAAAUUUAUGAUCCCGAAUUUACACUGAAUAAACUUCUAUGUCAGGCUGGAGAAUGAACACCUAAACAAUGCAGGCAGGUUCAGAGCUGUGAAGGUUGUUCCACUUCCUUUUCAUGAAGUGGAAGAGGACUAACACCAUAGGGUUGCAGCACUCCCAAACAGUUGAGAUGUAACACCAACUAAUGUUAGAAAGCAUGCACUUCAGUACUAUAAUUCGAUUCAUUUUUUGGUGUGAGGAAUAAAAGCAUAAAAUGUACGGUUUGGAGAAGUUGUAUGCAAAUAGUAACAAUAAAUACACAGAAUUCAUGAGUUCCAUUUAGUCUUCCAUGCAAGAAUUGAUACUGAUCUCAUGUGAACUUGAGUCAGUCCGCAUCACGGGAAGGUCCAAGUACUAGUUGCUCUGCGAUUCUUCUUUUGCCCAUUCCAUCUUUGGCUACCUGUGAAAAGUAAUUAUAUAUAGUUAAUGGAAGCUUCAUCAGGCACAAAUCACUUAAAAGAGGUUAAUCAAGGAUCACUAUCUUACUUGCAGAAUGUAGUCGAGCUCCCCUACUUUGAAUUGAGAAUGGUAAGACCCUAUGAGAUCAGGGCAUGAAGCCAUAUUGAUGUAGCAGUUGGCCUCACUUUAAGCACUGCAUCUUAUUUGCUGCAUAUUUGCUAAAAAAUAGCAUAUUGGAAGUUACGUUAGGAAACAGAAAGCAUAAGCAAGAAGAGCUGCACUACACUCACACUUCACCUUUCAUUGCAGGCAAAUGCAAAUUGUACUGAUGCCUAACAUUACAUUUUCUUUCACUAAUGGGACAACCUCUAUAUUUCCAAUGUCAUCAAAAAGCUCACCUGACAGAAGACAAGAAAGUAUUACUAUAUUGUAAAUAGUGGUAAGCACUCAGUUUGCAGUUUACAACAGUGUUGGCAACAUAAUAUCUCACCUGGAAGCAAGAGACAUAUUGUAGCCAUGUCCUAUGCCAUAAAAGAAAUAUCUAGUCUUUCGUACCAAGUCAUUUUCCUAGUGGAGAUAUGACAUAGGUCAAUUCUGAGGCAUGAAUACACAGCACAUGUAACUCAAGGACAUUUACAUGCAGCCAGUCAAUUUCACAUGAUGAAGAAUAACUCCAUCUGAUAUGUAGAACAGGAAGCAUCAACAUGUCACCAAUCUCAUGUUAUUCCAACUUGCAUUGCAUCAAAUAUAUUAUCUGCAGGUUCUUGUGGAUCAACCCAACUACUUCCUGCAUACUUUCUUACUCGCUGGAAAUCAAAUACAGUGCGAUCCCACGUUUUCUCUUCCCACAUGUGAACUGAAGCAUGAAUGUUGGAUAAUGUAAUGUAUGGUGAAGGAUCCUCUGGUCGUAUUUCAAGAAUCUUCUUUGCUGCCAGCCUUCCUAACUCCACAUUACCAUGAGUCCUACAUGAAGCGAGCAAAGCCUCCCACACCAGUUGGUCUGGUUGGCAAGGCAGAGCAUCAAUGAAUUCCAGUGCAUCAGAAAAUCUUCCAGCACGGGCAAAUAGAUCAACCAUGCAGGUAUAGUGCUCCAUCUUGGGUUCCACGUUGUACAAGGCCUUCAUCUGUUUGAAAUACUCACAACCCUCUGCGAUUAGGCCCAUUCGGCUGCAAGAUGAUAACAGCCCAACAAAAGUGUAAUCAUCUGGACAUAUCCCUUCUUCUUGCAUCAGGUCAAAUAGCUGAAUGGCUGCCACCUCAUUUCCAUGUUGUGAAAAACUUGUGAUUAGUGCAUUCCACGAGAUAAUGCCUCUACUCCUCAUUGAAUUGAAAAUUUUCAAUGCAAUGUGAACACUUCCGCACUUGGCAUACAUGGUUACAAGAGCAUUCUCCACAGAAUCGGCAUCAUCAAUUCCUAACUUCACUGCCCUCGAAUGAAUUUGCCGUCCAACAGCAUGGUUUGUGGUACUAGAACAGGCUCUUAGCACACUGGUGAUGCAAAAGAUCGGAGACCCUAGGCCUUUCCGAAGCAUUUCCUUGAAAAACAAGAGUGUCUCCUGAGGAAGAUCAUUCUGUGCAUAGCAAGUUAACAAAGCUGUCCACGAUAUAAUGUCCUUGUUUUCUAAUAGAUCAAAUAUAAUCUCUGCAGUCGCAAUAUCACCACAUCUGCCAUAAACCGUGAUGGUAGCAUUCAGCAGUGAAGUAUCCAGCUUGAAGAGAGUCUUUAGGGCAUAGCAAUGAACCUCCUCGGCCAAUCUCAGCUGUCCUAGUGAUGAACAAACCUGGAGCAGGCUAGUUAUGGUUGAUUGGUCAAUUGCCAUCUUUUCCAUGACCAUCUCCCGAAAGUUCCAAACUGCCUCCAUGCUGUAUCCAUUCCGUGCAUAAGCUACAAACAGCGAAGUCCUGGAGAAUGCAUCAUGCCUUAUCCGACAAGACAACUUGGCUAUCUCAUCUACUCCUCCACAUCUACCAUACAUUGCUAUAAGAGCAGUUCCUAAAGCAGGAUCGACCUCAGUGCCCAUCUUCAACAAGCAGCCAUGAAUUUGCUUCCCUCCAGGGAGCAACCCAGGUGCAUCGAACACCUUCAGGAUGCAAGAAAACGUCGCAUUUGUUGGCCAGAUCUUCAAGAGUAACAUCUUCCUUAAGAGGGAAAGUGCUGCAUCACGGUGUCCUGAGGAACCAUCGUUGUUGACAAGGCAGGCUAUCAUGCUGGUCCAGCUCACGACGCUCCGCUGUGGCGAGAGCGCAAACACCCGCCACGACGAGUCCACACACCCACACUUGGAGUACAUGUCAACCAAUGCCCCAGCAACACUCUCAUCGCCGGCCACGCCAAAUUUUACCGCAGAAGCAUGCACUUGGGAGCCUGCGACAAUGUCACUGGCACGGGCGCACCCAGAGACCAGGGCGCCCAGAGCGAACGAGUUCGGGCGGUCGUAGCUUCCGCGUCCUCCGCUGAGAAGCAUGUCGGAGAAGAGCAGAAAGGCCUCACAGAGAGCGCCGAGGCGGGAGACGUUGGAGAUGAGGACUGAGCAGGAGACGACGUUGCGGUGGGGCAUUUCGUCGAACAGGCCGCGGGCUUCCGCGGGGAGGCUGCUGCGGAAAUAGGAGAGGAGGAGGUUGUUGCAGAGGUAAGUGGAGGCGAGAAAGCCGAGCUUCACGGCGGCGCCGUGGACUGUGCUUGGGUGGCGGCCGCCGCGGAGGAGGAGGGCGGCGAGGUGGUCGUGCAUUUCUGUGUGGCAUCGGCCGCCCAGCCGCCGCGGUCGCGAAAAGUCUGUUAACUCGCCUUGCAGACUUGCACGGUGGAGUACUGUAUUGGAGUAACACUGUUAAAGGCGCGUUCGGGAACCCUCUGGCUUCCAGCUUCCCAGAAAUUCGGUCGGAGCAGAGCCGAACAGACUUGAUCCACGAAGAUAAGAUCCAUGAAGCAGGCUCGUUUUGCUGUACAAAAAUCGAAGCAGCCCUUUUGACGACUCCCAGAUCGGCAAACCACGGAGCAGUGCAAAAUUACACGUGAUUUGCCACCGUCUAAGUGAAAAACGUUUCAGUCGGUCUUUUCCUUGUCCCUCUCGUUCCAGCUAGUUGACCACCAGGAAGGGCUCCCCGCCGCUGUACUUGAACUCUGGUCGCCGCGAGAGGCUCCGCGCCGGUGCCUCCAUCAUCAUCUCCGGUCGCCACCCUGACUCCAGUCCGAGGGGAUUCCAUGGCCGCCGCUGCUCCGCAUCCCUGCCUGCAACCCGAAGGGACGCCCAGCCCCAUCAUCUCCACGGAUCGACGCUCGCACCUCAACUAGGUUGUGCGGCCGCCGGGUCUCCAACCUCCUCCAGUCGCAGAUCCGGCCGCCGUUGCCCCAACUGCCGCGCCAUCUCCGCCCGUAGCAGCUCCCCGAGCUCGUCCUCCCGCACAAGAUCCCGUCCACCUGCAGGUACAGUAUGGGCUAAGGACCCUCUCCUUACCAGGCCGGCCCAGCGAGACUUGGCUUUCGGCCCAACUCGACUCAGGAGCAGCCCCGAACGUUUCUGGCUCCCAUUGAGACGCUGGAAUCGUUGUGAGAAGCCGAAUCGAAGGAGUUUGCUGAAGUUAGACCGUUCCCCAACACGCCCUAAACAUACCCGAUUCGAACGUGGACGGUGUGUUGCACGCAUUUCAAUACUUUGAACGAACACUUAGACUAAUGAUUUAAGGGUUAUAUGUUAUAAAAAUUAUAUCAUUGGAUUAGUAUUUCAAAAAUGUUUCCAAUGAUAUAAAAUUCGGAACAUAUAAUCUACAUACAAUUUGUCUAAUUGUUGUUUAAAGUUUGACAUUUGAAAACGUGGGCGUCAUUUUUUGUGAAAAGGAGGAAGUAACAUAAAAGGAAAAUUAACUAUGAGCUCGCGGCAGAUUAACUAGAUUCUGCGUUGAAACUGCAAGGCAAGCUUUUUUUUUCAGACAAUGAAGUCGAGAAUGAAUGACGCACAAAUUCUUUUGAAAAUCCUACAGCGCAAAUUGGGUCUAAGACACCAGAUCUUCCCCGAGCCCAAGUCGGGGAUGCAAAUGGGAUGUCGUUGCAGAUCCAUCAAAGGAAUAAUAAAUUGAGACUUUUCGCUCACGAGAACAUUUAUCGUUUUUCUUCUAAGGACAAUAUCUGCAAAAAUCUACGAGGGCCUUUUUGAUCACAGAAAUCAAAAACACAGGAAUAAAAAAAAAUGUACGAUUGGAAUGUCCUGGCAUGUUGAAUCCUAAGGAAUUGCUUGAAAGAGAUGUUUGGAUGAUACACAUGAAAAACACACGAAUCUUGAGAUUAGAUAAUGCUUAAUUGGAGUAAAAGAUGAGAGAGAAUGCAUUGAAACUUUCAAAGAAUUUAUUCACGAGGUUAGACCUCAUGCUUGGAUUCCUCCAAAUUUUAGAGAAUUUUGUUCUGUCAUAUGAAAUUUCUUUGGUGACAAUCGUAUGAUCCAAAGGACAUAUAUAAAAAUUAUUUCUUGGCAUUGCAAUCCUCUAAUUUUCUUAUAAAUUCCUAUGAUACAAAGAAGGCCUGAAGCUCUUGCAUUGUGACAUUACAGAGCAAAUAUUAGAGAAAACAAAGUGGUUACAAAGAUGGCCUGAACCCCUUCUCUAAUAUGUGCUCUGUAAUGUCACAAUCCAACAUAACUCGAUCCAUACCAUUCAUCUCCAAAAUCAAAACUACUAGUUAUAAGCCUCACAUUUCUAUGAUUUAAUUUGCUAUUGUCUUUUUAUGCCAUUUUUUCUCAAACACGUCGAGCGGCGUGUCAUUUCCAUUAAGAAGAAAGCGCAAGAAGCGCGAGUACAAGCGGCAACAAAGGAACCACAAAGGGCUCCCAAAAAAGAAGUCUUUUUAUGCUUUUAUUAGUGAGGUUUAAAACUAGUAUUGUUGAUUUUUGCAAUGACUAGUCUCAACUGAAUCAAUGGAAUGAUGUUAGUCCAUGACAUUACAAAACAAUGUUGAAGGAUACAAAUUCGCCACUCCUGCUCUUAUCCUAAACAACUGGCCCUUGGGUAAUUCUUGGUACAGGGUCAUCAUUAUCGGAUAUGGGAAUCCGAUUUUAUAGGUUAUGGGAAGAGAAAUUAUUAUCCGGCGUUAUACGGUAUAUGAUAUGGUAUGAGCAUUAUCCGACGGAUACCAAAUUAUCCAAAAUUACAAUCGGAUAAUCCGACCCUAAUAAGUCGGAUAUUAUUCGUUUUUACCAACAUGUUACAUGCAACCCACUAGUCCAGGCUGCUCAUCCAAGAAAACCCAUAUUAACAUAUAUCCCAACCUACUUCUGGUGCGUUUUCUUGCCAUCUUAGCCACAAUUUGGGGACUAGGCGCAACAUAAGUAAUGACUAUGAAGUUAUUUGUUAUUACUACUAUGCACGCACUAUCCAUCCGUUUUCGAUCAAGCUUCGUUCCGCUGCCGUACCAUAUCCGUUUCCGUGUCCGAAUCCGUAUCCGCACCGUUUCCAAAUACGAUAAAAAAUAUGAAAUAUGAUAUGGUAGGAGCAUUAUCCAUCCGAAUCCGAUCCGCUUUCAUCCUUACAUCCGAUGGUCCACACCAUGGCCUGAGAAAUGACACUGAGAACUAGGAAAUCCGAAAAAAUAAUCAAAUGUUCCCCCUAAAAAAAUUGGCGGAAAAUAAACUGUUCUCUCUCUUUUCUCCCCGGCCGGCAACCGCGUCCUCCCGGAGUUCCGGUUGCCAUCCCAGUUAUCACUCGAGUUGCCCGCGCCGACCCAGUUGCCCAUCCGCACCUAGGCCCCAGCCCCUCUCCCAACCUAAUCUUUUUUUUUCUCCCCGGUCUGUCUGACAGAUUCCUCAAGGGCCUCGCUGUUCGUCCUCGCUGCUCGAUCCCUUCCAUUUCUUGUCUCUGAAGGUGAGGAAGAACCCUACUUCGUCGUUUAGAGAUAGAGUUUGGUGCUCUUGUUCUUGAGCACUGCUCCUAAAAGAAUACGUCCAUCUGUACUGUAUAUAUCCUCUUCAUAGUGUGCUUAUUGGUUUGUUUAUUAGUUACUUGUCCUGCAGAUUGCUGCAAAUCUAUGCCUGUUAUUUGUGGGUGAUUUUUUGUACUUCGUGAAUUAUGAUGAUGGAGCUGGUCGGAAAAUCUCUCCAUAAUACUGAACCUGUUAGUUCUAGUUGCUGCUAGCAGAAUAUUAUCUAUUCUUCCUUGCCAAAAAAAAAGCAAUGUUAUCCUCUUGGGGAGAAUUAGUCUUAUUUUUUUGUAUCAUCCCUUAAGCAUCCAAUUGCAAUCUAUUUUGGGUGUUCAUUUCUUUGGUGAUUAAGUGCAUCAAGUUCUUUAUUACGACCUGUGCGGUAAUACUGAGGCAGUCUAAACUUCUUGAUACGGGACGGGGUGGCCCGAUCUUUCGAUGAGAUUGAUAACUCUCGAUUUGGGUAGGAGGUGACGUUGACGAUCCGACUACGGCCUAGGAGGCAGCGCCUUAGCAAUCGAUACACCAACUCCAGAGGGUUAUUGAUCACGCGGGGGCACGAUCAACCUGACCACGAAGGUCUUUGUUCCUGCAAGCAAUCGAAGAACAAGCAAGAACAAGAUAAAUAGCAGAUGCAAUUUAAAAUUGCGAAUAUACUAUAUCAAACCAAUGUCUCAACGAGACGAUAAGUUGGAGUCUUGACGACGGUAAAACAGGUGGUCUAACCGACACACGCGGUUACACGAAAGUAGCAAAGAUGGCUAAAGUUUAUCUAAUCAAAACCCAAGGCUCCUUAGGGGGGGCUCAUGGGCUAUAUAAAGGAGGAGGGAGAGAUAUUUUCGUCCACCUUGAGUAAGGAGGCCGAAAUCCAACUCUAUCUCUAACUUUCCUAACAAACUACAACUCUUUAGGAAACAGAAAAACAGAUCCGUCAGCUUGUUUUGUCCUUCACGGUCAGCACGAGUCGAAUCUCUUGAUGGGGUCAGAUCCGUUGGAAAGGUCUUGUAAUUAUCUUUCCAACAAGUACUUGUUUGCUUGAUUUGGACUCCGGAUGCGGCCUGGGUGAUUAAAACAAAUUCGGGUCUCCUGGCAGCUCGGACCCGAAUCGGAUUCAACUUUAAUUCGUCGUAUCUUUCUCUAGCAAGCUCAGAAUCAUGUGCCGUUUGAUUUGUUGGAAAGUACACUUGAAAUCCUUCCCUCUCAGCUGUAU